rnacentral:lncRNA from 1 species
UUUUUUUUUUUUUUUUUUUGCUAUAUUUAUGUACAAGAUCAAUAAGUCGUUGAAUUAAUGAAAUGAAAUAUAUGAUUAGACUUAUUGAUCUAUGAAAAUACAGUCUUGUUAACGAAUGUCACGACAUAUUUUUUAAGGAUUUUAAAAUGAUAAAGGAACAUAUUAACAAGUGUUCUUAAUGUAAGAGUAUUUAUUUAAGCGUCUAAAAGUAGUAACUUUAAUAUUGCAAAUUGUGUAAUGAUUUUUACAAGUGUUUGCCUAAAAAGUUUUGAAGACAAAUUUUUUUGUUUUGUUGAUUUCUCAAACAAUGUCCUUAUGACCCUCCAUAAAAAAAUAAUAAUAAGGAUCUUGCUAACGAGUGCCCUCGGGGCAAUAGUUAAGGAAUCUACAAUUAAAAAUUUUGUCUUGGAAAUAUAAGGUGUUAUUUUGAUAAAGUAAUGAUUACACAACUUUUUUAUGAAAACUUACUUGUUUUUUGAUGCUUAACCAUUGUCCUUAGUACACUGGUUAGCAUUCUCCAAAAAAUAAUGCCCUUAGAACCCUUGUUAGCAAGACUUGAUAAGAAAUUAUUUCAUAAAACUGUCAAAUAUUUCAAUUUUCAAUAUAUUAAUUACACAAAUUUUUAUAAAAAAAUACCAUUUAAAUAUCUUAAAGAAUGUUUCAAUAGCACUUAUUAACAUUUUUAAAAAUAAACUAGUCUAUCUACCUUACAUGAGCAACUUAAUUGUGCAUAUAUAUUAAACAAAGUUGUAUGUAAUACUUAGCCUAUGAGACACCAAAGAAACAAAAUAGAUUUAACCUCACAUCAAAACAUCUAAACAUAAUCUUCAGAGUAUUUCAACUAAAACAAAAAUCUUUAAGAAAUAGACACGAAUUUACAACUUAAACCAAGUGGUUAAAUAGAAAAUAGAUUAAAAAGAAAAGCAGUAACUUAUAUAAUAUUUUUUCAAAGAGGAACUUAUUUAAAAUUUAUAGAUAGGUAUAUAUCUAUAUUUUAAAUAAGGAAGCAGUCUAUCUCCUCAAGAAAGGAAAUAAAAUAAGGUAGCGUCUAUCUUAUUUAAAAAGAAAAAUUGUAUGGCUUAUUUAAAAUUUUAUUGCAAAAGAGAUUUAUAUAUAAUCAAACUAUUAGAGUUAAGUGAUUAAUGAGCUUCGCAAAUGAAUUGUUUAGGAGAAUCUGGUUUCAAUUACUGAAUGAAACAAUUUUUGAUCAAAGUAUACUACUUAACUUACAUGUAAACUCCAAAUUACCAAGGUCCCUUUCUCCUUAGGAACCAGAGGGUUUAUACCAAGAAAAACGAGAGUUAUAUGUAAGUCUAUAUCUAUAACGAUGGGUGCUAUGAACCAGAGAUGGAGUUAGAAGGGGGACCAAUAGAGGCAACAACCUUCCCAAGUUUUUUCAAUUUUUUAAAUACUAGUAUGCAAAUUAUACUUUUUUUUUUUGUCUAUAUAUUUAUUUUUUGUGAACUUUGAAACAUUUGGAUUUUAGGUGUAAUUACACUAAUUCUUAACUAAAAUGUUUGACAACUAAUAAGAAAUGAAGUUUUGUCUGUAAUUUACAUAUGUACACUAAUCUUUAAUUAGAAUCUCCAUUUAUCAUUCCUAGUUGUUAUUUUGCUUUAUAAUUUUUGAAUCAUUGCAUGUGAGCUCUCGGGCAUUACCAAACAAUUUACUGCUUACAAUUUAAUCUUCCAUUUAUCUUCCUACUUUUGCAUUUUUUUUUUAAUAUUUUCUUUCUCCAGUAUACCAAAAUCAUAUUAGUAUGGUCAUUCUCUAACAAACCUCAAAAUUCUCAUCUCUUUUAUAUCGUUGAAAUUUCUUAAAAUUUGGAUGUAUUUUAACUUUAAUUAUCUCUUAUAAUUUCUUGUAUAUAUUAUAUGAAUUUGAAAAUUUAUUUUUCUUUUACUUAAAUGAUACUUUAAAACCUGGUCUUCCCUAAGUUUAAUUUUUGACUCCGUCAUGUAUGAACACUAUAUCUCUAACAUCCACCUUUUUUACUGGGUGAAACUCUUGUGGAUCCUACACUUUAGAAAUGGACCUCAUGUAAAAUGUAAAGUGGUGAGUCCAAACACGAAUUUUAAAGAUGUAUGCGUGGUUAAUUUAAGUCUUUUAGGGAGUGACGAUUGCCACAAAAUGACCGACCGCUUUGUAAGGAAGUCUUGGUGGGUAAAUGUGGUGAUAGAAUUCUAAAGUUGGUGGAUUGUGGAAGAGUUUGACUCUACAAAAGUGAUAGGUUUUUCUUGGAAGUUGCUUCUUGAUCAAAGUUCAGCUAGGAGAAAUUUAUUGUUGCAUAAGGCCGUUCCUUCAGAUUCUUGACUCUUUGUGUCUUUGUCAUCGGUCGGAGGAAUCCUCUUCCCAUAUUUUUCUCCAUUGCGAUAUUGCGUACAAUGUGUGGCCUUAGGGGUUCAAAUGAGCUUGGUUUUUCAUCGAUUACCCCUCAUAACUUGUUAAUGUAUCUAGAAAUUAUAAUAGGGGAAGCUAGCUAGGAACAACAAAAUCCAAAAGAGUUAUUGGCUAAUUUGGCACACUCUUACUUUGAUUCUUUGGAGAAUUAGGAAUAACAAAUGAUUCAAAGAUUUUUCAAAGAAUGUCAUAGAGGUGGUUGAAGAGGUAAAAUUGAUAUCAUAGAGAUGACGUUUAAUUAGGUUGAAAGUGAGCCUAUAUAGGAAUGAAAUCUGCACAGUAGUCCUCAAGGGCACCAUACCUGGAAUCCAAGGGUCUCUCCAAAACCAAUCUCCAUGCUCAUUAUCUAUUUGGUCUAGGUGUAUUAUGUGAUUACGGUACACAGGAGAACCAUUUGCAACAUCCUAGAUAUACAAAAAUACAAACCUUCUCAAACGAUACAAACCAACAAAAAAUAGGGGGACAAAUGCCACACCCAAAAGGAACAAGAAAAUAAAAGCAAAACAAAGUGGAAAAGGAAAAGAACAAGAAAAGUAUCUCAAAGAAAGACCAUGAGGCAUCUUGGUUAAUUAAAAAAACCAUGCUGAAGCAAAUAUUAUUCGGUUUUACUAAUUAAAUAAUAUGACAAAAUUAAUUUUUAAGUUUAAGGUGAAACAUGAAAGCUGCAUAUGAAAUCAAUGGUCUGGAAUGGUACAAGUACGACAGAUAAAAUAUUUCUUACAUUGAUGUUAAGCAAAACAUUAUAACAAUCAAACAAACAUACAUGCAUAAAAACAUGACCAUAGAUAGGGGUUGAGGGAAUUGAAUUCCUUCUUCGUAUGUUAUUCAUAGAAUUACUACAAGGGAACCUUUUUAGAUGGAGAUACUGUUAGGAAUGCCUCUGCAAGUCAAUCCUUCCUCACUAGAAGGAUAAAGCAAAGUAUACGGCAUCUUCACUGGUCCAUAUCGAUUCCUUAGAGUCUCAUCAUUGUUCCUUUGAGUGAGUUUUUGUUCAAUUUCAGCCAACUUUGUUCCGAAUCUCUUGAAAGCCUCUAAUGGUUGUGAAUCAGAAGUCCAAAGAUCACCUUCAAUUCUCUGUCCAAGGUAUUGUUCAUCAGAAGCAUGUCUUGACAAGACCUCUAUAAUGGUCAAGUCAGUUAGUGUGUCAUCUUUUGGUGUGAUUGUUCUCAAAAACGCCUUUUGAUAGUUCUUAGAAAGCUCAUCAUACUCGGGGGAUCCUUUCUUAGGCAUUAAUCUUCUGCUUUUAGUUGGUCGGUUAAGAAUGUAACCACCGUACGGAUAUUGUCCAAAAUUAACAGCUGCAUGAAGUGCUGAAGCAAUCCAUAUGAGGGUAGUGCAAGAGUCAAUCAACUCUGUGCGAGUUUGCAUCUUAACCCACCAUUUAGCAUUUUUCAAGUCACCGUGACCAACCUCUACAAGUUCUUUCCAAAAUGCUUGGAGUUCAGAAUCUUGUCCAAUAUUUGCAUCUGACUUGUAGUAGAAAUUCACAUAUUCUUCAACCCAUGACUUAAUAACAGCCCAUAUCUCUAAUCCAUCAGCAGCAUAAGGGUAGUCCUCUAUCAGAAGGCGAAGGCCGUGUGGGGAACUUGGAUCCUUAACAGCCACUCCUCUAGAUAACAAAAAAGGAAGAUAUCAUUAAUAUCAAAAUAAAAACUUUGAUAUCAAUAUAUUAUUAACGGAAAGUUUAAAAUUGCGGCAAAAUAGAGUUGAUGCGGCCACAACCAUUGAUGUUUAGACAUUAAAAACCUGAAUAUCCCAUCUUAGAUUGAGGUUGCGAACAAAUUUUCAAUCCUCUUUUUAACUAUUGAAUAUAUGUCUAGGAUCUAAUGUUUUUUAAGGUUACCUUUUGAGUAGAUCAUUAGGCAAACCUUGCUCUUUAAAAUUCCAAUCCUUAUAUAAUACAGCAGACAACUCUAGAGAAUAACUUCCCAUCAAGAACGUCUUCUCAAUAACACCCUCUGCAUUGACCAAAACAUUCCUUGCAAGUGCAUUAAUGUUCAUUGUGUCACGAUAGUGCGGAAGUAAAAGCUUAUGAAUAGGAUGAACCACACUAAGAUGCCUAUUUGUUGCUAUGAUGAAUGGCUCAACAACAGCAUGAGUGUUUAACCUGUCAGACAUAUAGAUAUUAAUGUAUAACUCAUAGAUAUAUAAAGCAUGUUUGACUCUCUAUAAUCUUUUCAAUUGAAUUUAUACCAAUGGCUGAUGAGUUGGUGAUGGCAAGAGUCGUUUACAACAACGUAUGCCUUGGCAAGGAGCCAAAUAGAAGCUUCAACACCUUCACUUGCAGGCAAGUAAAUAUCACUAACAGGACCAAAGCUAUCAGCCUGAGGAUGUGGGCUACUUAGCUCAAUGGCCAACGGCUUCAAAGUUCCAUCAUUUUGUAAGAAAAGGAAGGUUCUCGUAGCAUAUGCCUUUGUAUCAGCUGCAUUUAUUUUCCUCAGAUAUGGAUAUAACGAGUCGUGGUAAUCAAGUAUGUACAAUUUGUUGGUUUGGAUAGCCUAUUAAAAAAAUAUAUAAUUCAGUCAUUGCAAUAAUUUGAAUAAAAAUGAAACAAUUUUGCAAAACAAUACCAAAAUUAUUUAUUUCGAGUAUUGAUGUUAAAUUUUGUAAUUACUUGUUCAACUGUGAUGCCACCCAUGUUUUGUUGAAGCUGUUCUUUGGUUAUUGUGCUGGUAUUAUCACCGUAGAGUUGCCUAUCUAGCUUGCUCUUUGGUGGAAAUUCCUACAUUAAAUAUAUCAAGCAAUAAUAAGGUUAACAAUUACAAAACUACGAUGAAAAAUGGAUACAAAAUUCUUAUUUUAGUUUAUGUGUUUGCAUAACAAUUAUUAAACUAUUAAGUUUACCUGAAUUCUUUUGAUGAUGUGUGGAUUUACACCAGCAAUCAUCUCUCUUGUAAAUUCUUCGUCAGUCAUCCAUCCAGAUUGAUUCACUUUUCAAAGUAAGAGAAAUAUAAAAGUUUUAUGAAAUUAAUUUCUUUCCAAAUUUUGCAUGACUAAAUAUGUGUUUCUAAUGGAUACCUUUAAUGACUUUAGGUGGUGGAAACUUUAGGGCCGAUUCACCAUCAGUUCGGAAGAGUUCCUUGAAAAAUGGUAUAGGGCUAAGUUUGCUAAGUGUACUAGUAGGUAAUUUAAUCCCACCAUCAUAAAAUGAUCGCACAUCAUCAAAGCUGUUAAAUUCUGGCUUAUUGAAUUGUAAUGUAAUUGCAGAUUGUAAUUGAGGUAUGACAUUUUGAGAUACUGAUUUGAGUAUGUAAACAAGAAAAUCUGAAGACUUCAAGUGACCAAAUGAUUCAUCUCUUGGAAGAUAAAUAUACUCGCUCCGUCUCUCACUUUUAGGAUCUGCACAAAUACAAAAAUAGCAAAAUAUGCAUUAGCAAGAGGAAUGUCUUAGAAUCAUAAACAAAUGAAAAUUUGGAUCAACAUACUUAAGAUAUAACAUACAUAAAGUGUUUAAAUAAAAUAUAAAAGCAUAUAACCUUUCUUAGCUGGUUUCCUGCCGGUUCUCCCUCUUCGAGGGUAAGGCAAGGUGUUGGAUCCUCCAAUAACGGGACGAGCCAAGCUUGCUUUCUUGUCAGGAUCACCCACAUCAUUGUAGACAUCGUAGUCAUAGAUCCUUUCCCAUUCUUUACGCUCUCCUGUUCCAUCUCCUCUUAAAGUGUUCAACUCUUCUUGUCUAUAGUAGACUAAUGGAGGUGGUGUUUCACUUGGAAGAUAUGUCUAUAUUUAUAUUUUAGUUAAUAGUGUCAAAUUUUGGAAAAUGUAAGAUAUUUAAGAUGUAAGAUAAAUUUGAUAUUUUUUGAUAAUUACCUUGUUGGCAAAGAAAAUGCGUUCAGUUUUGUACUUUCGACAAUUGUAAAUCCAUGAGUUGCAAACAAAGUUGAUGGUUCCAUGGUUAGGAAUAUCUUCAAGUGUUAAACUUACAAGAAAGAAUUCUCCUAGCAUGAAAUUCUCAAUAUAAAAUGCUCCUGGAAUUCCCAUCUCACUAUCCCAUUCAAAAUGAACUUUGUAUGCAGACUGUCCAGCUCCUAGAAUUGGUGCAGAGGUAACAAAACCUUCAAGAAACGAUCUCUUUCCCACUUUACCUUUUCCACUUUCUACAAAUAUGUCACAAGUUUGUUUUUCAAUUUCAGUACAGAUUUAUAUAAAAAAAAAUAAAAUCAGUUAUGAUAAUUCUCAAAAGAAAUAUUAUAGCAAUUCAAAAUCUAAUACUUUUUUGCAGCGUUCAAUAUCUUUUUAGCUGGAAAAAAAUCACCAUUGAACUUAAAGAUUAUAGUAUCAUAUUAGUUAUGUCUGUAAAAUUUUAAGUAAAUUUAAAUUAAUUGAUAAAUAAUGGAGGUAUGUGAAGAUUAACUAUAUUUUUAUUAAACAACAUUAAUAUUAAAUUUCGUAUACGUCUCAAUAACAUAUAGAAAAAACUUUUGUUUUUUUUCUAAUCUACUUAGGGUGUUGCAGAUCCGUAUGCGCGCCAUUUGCCUAAAAAUAAUAACAUAUAAAAUAAUUCUAAAUUUCUAUAAAUUUUUUACACAGAAGAUCUAAAUAAUAUAACACUAAAGUUUAUCUAUCUCUAAAAAAAGUCCAAGGAUAGACCAUACUAAUUUUAGUAAACAAUAAAUUUUAUAAGGAAAAAUUAACAAAUACUCUUAAAAAAUUAUUUAUAGAAAUUAUAAUAAUUAUAAAAAAUGAAGAACAUGUGUAAUAUUUUAUCAAAGUUUAGUAAAGAAAAAUAGUAAAAUCUAUCUUUGAACCACAUGGUUAGAUUUGACGUAUAGAAAUCAAUUGUGAAUUUAAAAUAUGAAAAUUUUUACUGUAUACUUGCAAAUUGAAGUAUAUCGGUAUUUUUGUAUUGAAAAAAGAAAAAGAGAUUUUAUAACAAUGAGUUAUGAGUAUACAUCCAUUUAGUGAGCAUUAUGUUUGUAGACAGUAGUGUGAGAGAUUAAGUAAUUAUAAGAAGAAAAAAAAAAAAAAAGUAAUUACCAUCAGCACUAGUAGCACUAAUCAACCUGAGAGCCACGGAAGAGCACAAGAUUGAAGCGUAGGUGUCAAUUAUAGAGCAAGUGAGAUUACCAAGAACCUUGAAUCCACCUGUGACAUUUAAACCAGCGGUGAGGGCGUUGAUAUCCAACACAUUCCUAUGCAUCAAUAUCACUGUCCCCUUCACCUUUUGGCUUCUGUGAAAUGGAUUUGUAAACAUCUUUGCAACUUCUCCAGCAAAUUUGUUGUGCACUUUCUGGCAAAUGAAAGAAAACUUUGUGGCUUGCAAGUCACUAUUCUAAUUUUGUUUACACUGCUCUCAUUAUAUACUGUAAGUCUUGCAGCCUAGGUCAACCAUCAAUGUAACUAAAGGGGGUGGUAAUUUAGUAGAUUUAGUAAUAGUAGAUAGAUAGAUAGAUUUGUUUUUCAUUUGGAGGUCUAGAGGGGGUGGUAAUUUAGAUUAAAAAAAUGUAAAAAUAUUGGAGCCCUAAAGUAAGAGUUUAGUCUAUAUAUCUUAUGUUUCGGUUCAACGAAAGAGCUUAUUGUUUAGGGUUUAGAAAAUUUUGAUAGAAUUAUACAACUAGAAGAAUUAGGUUUUAUCAAAAAAAAAAUAGUAGAAUUAGGUAAAUUUUAUCUAUCUAAGAGUUUGGUUGGAUAUAUACUUUUUAGGCAAAAUUUGUUUAACAUUUAUAUUUAUUUUAAAAAUAUGACAUGAUAUUGAUUGAUUGGAUGAAGGGUACAUACACAAUAAAACUACGUAGGUAUCAUUGUGUUCCGGGUAGAUUUAUUAGAAUAAUAUAGUGGUCAUUUGAACAUUAAUUAAUGGUGAUAGAGUUGUUGAGAAUGAAUAAACUAACGAUAGCAUAAGUAAAUAAAAAGCAAAUAGAUAAAUUGCGAGUAAAAUAAUAAUUUGAUCGAUUGUGUAUGUAUAAAUCAAAAUUUACAAUUUGUAAAAAAACAAAUCAAAAUUUACAAGUGGUAUUUAUAGACAAAAUAACAUAACAGGUAAUUCUGUUGUCCUAUAACAUCCUGACUUACAAAAUUAAUCCACAUGUUUAUUUAGAUGUGCCAUUUUUCCUAACAAAUCCACAUGUUUGUAUUCAAGAUCAAAGUUAAUGUAUUAAAAACAAAAUAUAAUUAUUAUUGUUGGUACUACGAAGGUUUAAUGUCAGUAACUUACAGUGUUAGAAACCACACUGGAAACCCAUUGUUUUGGAACAUGCUUAGAAGUUGGAACAUGAGAAAGUGUGGUCCAACUCAUAUCUAAAUAAUAUAUUAGUAUCGAACCAGAGACAUUGGAAAGGAGUAUACUUUGCCAAUAUUACCAGAUCAACUCAAAUGGUUUACUUACAUCUUAACUUAAAACUUUAAAGCAUUAAAUAUAUGAAUUCUCUUGCUUAUAAUGUUGAACUUAUUUUUUUUCCUUCAUGGAAUGUAGAACUCUUAACAAGUAAGUCUAAACCCUAUUUUCGCUCACACGACAACACAUUAUCAACCUUCCCUAUCAUCUUUCCCAAACCUCAUGUGUGUAAAGAGUAUUGUCACUAUCACACGAAAUGUUUGUUGUUUUGAAGGAGUAUUUUGCAUACAUAAUAUUGGAGAGUGUAUUUAUUACAAUUUAAAACUUAUGACAUGGUAGCUACUAGCUUAAAUGCAAUACGUGUAAGGGAAGACGAAGACCCAUAGAAGUCUACUCUUUUGUACUCUUCCAUCAUCUUAACAAAGACAUGCGCCUAUAUCUGUUUAUUUGGCCGUACACAAUAGUAAUAAAGAUAUUGUUAUAUUAUUAUUGAAAUUUAUAACUUAGGAUAAGAUAUAGGUUUGAUCAGACAGAUGCAAUAAUUUUUCUACCCUUUAAAAGCUAUAUUAUUCAAUGUGUAUAUCCACCACUAUAGUCCUUGUAUGGAAAUGCAUUUUCCCAUAGUGUGAAUGGGGAGACCUGGAGAUCAUCAUGAAGCAUCGACUCAAACACACAGCUUGCACUGUUGGAGAAAGAUGCUACUAUUAUCUCAAUUAUUGUUAGUAAUUAUUCAUAUUACGCAGAUUGAGAUCCAAUUCCUCAACUUCAUUAUCACUAAUAAACUACUUUAGUAACCAAACUAAAUAUAUAUAUGCACCAAGAUUAGGCGUGUUGCGGUGUCCGACACGCGUGCUGAGUCAUUAAUUAGUUAUUUUAAUAUAAUAUUUAGUUCCGUUUUAAUUAGAUUUAAGUUUAUUUUAUUUUAAUAUUAUUUCCUUUUAGAGCUAUUUUACUUCAGUUGCAUAUUAUUAUAUUUCAGGAAUGAAUAUUUGAUGGAUUGAGUCUUGGAGCAAAAGAAAAGGGGUUUGGAGCUGAUUCGGAACGAAAAUACGAAGAUUUGGAGACAAAAAUAUGUCUCCCCCAAGCCAGAAGCUUGGCACGACCCGUGCUCCCACUGGCACGGUCGUGCCACCUCCCAGGAUCUCCUUUUGCUGCUUUUGCUUAGAUUUUAAGCUACUCUAUUUAGUUUUGACCGAAAAGCCCGCAGUUUCUUGUGGAACAUUCUAGUGAUGUAUUGCUUAGGUUUUAAGUCGAAUGUAAACUAUAAAUAGAGUAGCUAGCUAUCACAACAAUUCAUCUUUUGCUCUCUGAAAUAAUAAGUGACAAUUGUUUCUUUGAAUAAAAGUUCUCCUUUAUUUUAUGUUCUUCUUCUUCUUCUUCUUCUUCUUCUUCUUCUUCUUCUUCUUCUUCUCUUCUAUGUUUACAAUGAACGUGAGUGAGUAGACUCUUCUGCCUUGGGAUUGUUGGGUAAGUCUAAAUGACAUAACCCUAAUCAAACCAAGCCUUGAACCCUAAUUUUAUAUAAAUUUACUUUCUAAUCUAAAUUCACCGUUUUAACAUGAAUUAACAAUUACCAAACUAUAGAAGCGAAAGUGGAGGGUUAGUAAUUGUUAAUUCAUCAUCUCAAAUAUCAAUUUAUAAAGCGAAAGUGGAGUUUUGAUAUUUGAACAAGUGAAUUUAGACAAGGAUUGCGAAACAUGAAAAUAGUCUAGCAAACCUUGAGACAUAUAAAGUUUCGAACUUCAAGGAUUCUAAUAGCAACCAACCAUGAAAAUAGGCGUGGUUGCUAGGGGAACACACUCACUGAGACUGAAAGGAGAUGUGAUAAGCUAAAGAGAAACUUGUCUUUAGAAAGUAAAUCAAAUAUAAAAUUAUGGUUUAGGGUUUGUUUGUGAAGGGCUUGUUAUUUAGAUGAACCAAUAAUCCCAAGGCGUUUUUUAUUUUUAUUAUUUUCUUUCAAUUAAAAAUCCAAACUUUUCAACUAAAACUCUUUUCUAAUCAUUGUUGAAAGUUAAGUAAAUUCAUAACUCCAUCCCCGUGAGCUUAGCUCAGUUGGUAGGGAUAUUGAAUAUUAUAUGCAGGAGCCGGGGUUCGAACCCCGGACACUCCACUUCUCCACAGUUUAAUUGUGUGAGCUCUGGCCACUAGGCUACUUGACAAAAAAAAAAAAAAUUCAUAACUCCCUGUCGGAACGAUACUUUUGUUUACUACAUCUGUAAACCGUGCACUUGUGGUUUUAUCCCAUCAAAGCGUUGGUGUUUGACAUUCUUAUGACACUUAUACGACAUAUGUUGGACCAACUAAGUCUGGUGUCCCAAAAAUUUAUUAUUUUUAUUUACUUCAACACUCCAUGGAUCGGUGUCUGACAUCUGUAUGACACUCAUAUAACGCAUGUGUCGAAAAACUCAGACAAGUAUCCGAAGUUUUUUUCUUUGCUUCGAGACACCUUAGACAUAUCUAAGACGUAUCUACAAGAUUAAAGAUGUGUGAAAACAAUGUUGAUCAAUGAAGCCGUUAAAGAAAUUAAUCUUUUUAACAAAAUUUUAAUAUUUUUUGUUAAAGAAAUACAUUGCUCAAUUUACAUGUAUAUAUUUUGAUUCUCGCUUUUUGUCAAUGUCAAGAUCCUUCUUCAUAUCAGAUUUGCCGUGUUUUAGUUUUAGUUACUUCUUAGUUAAGUUUACUUGUAUGAGUCAUAAGUUUAAUUUUUUUUUAGGGAUGACUCAUAAGUUUAUUUAGUUUGUUGAGGUAUGAGUUAUAUGUUGGUAUAUCAAGUAUGAGUAAGAGUUCUAUAUUAAAAUGUGGAUGAUGAACACGUUAUAAUUGAGAUGAUAUAUAAUUUUAAUGUCUUAAUGUUUUGGGUUAAAGUGUGUGUCAACCACACAUGUAUUGUUGAUUUGAGCUUAAUGUGAAUGAUCUUUAGACUUCCCUAAUCAGCAAAAACAUUAUGCAACGUAAUUUUUCACUCCAAUAUUCUAUGAUAAAUGCUCAUCUUUCAAAAUUGACCAAUAUUCAUUGAUUUUUUUUUGAAGGAAACCAAUAUUCAUUCAUGUUAACUGUAUAUGCCAUCAUUCACUUUAUAAAUUUCCACUCAACGACUCCGUACCUUGCCAGCCAACACCUCUUCCAUGUCAGCAACGCAACCCAUCAAUAGCAGUUACACACCUAUAGAUAAGAUCCAAUCAACCAAUGAACCAAUCCAUAACAUUUAUACAGACUUAUUAAUUAAGAUUUAAGACCAUUCCAUUAUAGCAAUAGACAUAAGUCAGCAAUUCAAAUAAAGUUUAUAACCAACAUAAGUGUAUGCUUGAUAAAUAUUUCGUCUCUAACACGUAGCGACAAAAUUAUAUAGAGAUAUAUUUCCUUCUCAAAAUGUCCCCAACUGUUUCACCUUUUUUUAGUAGUGAGUCUAGUGACCAUCCUCAAUCUACAUUCUGCAUCAAAAUAUAUAUUGUUCAUGUUUAAUUAAACUAUAUAAAUCUUAUACACUGCAAGGCCCACAUGGUACUUAAGAAGCAAUUGCCAAGUCUUUGAUACAUUAAAUGCAUGCUUGUAUUUUAAUUUUUUCCCUUAAUAGCAAAGCAAAGUUAUAAAUUAAUUGUCACCAUGCAAAGUUUGAAAGCUCUUGACAUACAAUUAUGUUGGGUUCAUGACUUUUGGUGGAACAGGAGGAGUGCAUGACUUAGCAACUGUGAAGGCGUUAGUAUAACUUUUAGGUGGCCUAGUAACAUAAAAAAUUAAUAAGAAAUAUUAAACUUUAUCAUAAGCAAACACUUUCACAAUAAUUUUUACUUUCCUAAAUAAAGGUUUGAACAACCUGUGAAUCAAUGAAUUCUAAGAUGUGAAUCGAUGCCUAUUAUUCGUUUGAAGGAACCAACCUUGAUGAGUGAGCAGGUGUGGCUGAGUGAUAAAAAAUAUCAAAUUUUAUGAUCAUAAGCAAACACACGUUCACAAUAAGUUUUACUUCUCCUUCCAAAAAAAUAAUAAUUAAUUUUUUUACUUUUUCAUAUAAAGCCUUUGUUAGAGUUGUUAUACGUAAACCAACUAAUGUGGACAAACACCCUUCUACCACUCUUAUAGGUGGCCAAUUUUAUAAUAAAAAAUUCUUAUUAUCCAUAUCAUUUGUACAAGAAAAAAAUAAAAAAUAAAAAAUAAAAAUUGUUGUUUUCUCAGUUAUUCACUCUAGUGGCUCUCUUUUUCUCCACCGCCGCUGCCCCGUCCUGGCCUCUCUCACCACUACCAUCAUAUCCUUGUCAUCGUACCUCCGCCCCACCCCCUCUGCAACACAACACUCCACCAACACCACAACUGUCGUGGCCUUCACAGUUCACACCAUCCAGAAGUCUUCCCGUUCACCGCCCUCAAAUCGCACCACCACCACCAUCAUUAUGUAAGAUCUAGCCAUUACCAUCAUAGUUGCCGCCGUUCUCACCACACUCCGUCAACAUCCUCGUCCUCGUCACUACUCAGGCGAGGGAGAAGAGAAAAAGAGAGAUAGAUAAAAUUACAAUUACAGAAGGAGAGAGAAGGAGUAGAGAGAAAAAAGACACGCAGAUAAGAUUUGAGGGGAGGAAGAGAGUUCAUAGAGGGUGAGGAAGGGAACAUGAAAUCUCAUUUUUACCCCUUGUUUUUAAAUAAAACUACAGAAUUGUCAUCCACAUCAGCAAGUGGUACAAAGUGUGUACAAAAGGGAGUGGUCCAUCUAUCAUUUUCCCUUAAAGUUAAGUACCACGUGGGCCCUACAUAGUACUAGAGUGAUGAAUGUGGUGUAAAAAGUUUGGGUGGCGGAAGAUUCUAAGGGAGGAGUGCCGCUUGAGGAGGUGCCAUGGCGGAGCUAAAAAUAAUUUUUUGAUUGGAGCAAUUCUUUUAAUGUGUGUAAAUUUAUAUUUUCUUAUUAAUUAAAUCAAGUGAUUAAACCGGUGUUUUAAAGAUAUUUUAACAUAAAUAUUAUAUAAUUUUUUAUUAUAUUACACAUAUACUUUUAAUUGAAAAAAGAAUUGUGUUUUAUUCGCACAAAAUGUUGGUGAGAGAAAAAUAAUGUUGGUGAUAGAUAUACAACUUAGUGGUUCGGUACUCUUUUAGUGGCCAACUGGUUUGAACCCCUUGAUGGUUUUUUUUAAUAAAUUUAUUAAAAAUAGGCAUAAGAAAUUAAAAAAGAAUGGCAGAUAUGAUUUGAACUUUUAACAUGAAGGCAUAGGAUCUCUCAACUUAAACGUUAGAACACACUUAUUUCUGACGCAACAUAUUAUAUAUAAUAUAACUUCAUACUAUAAUAUGUGAAUAUAUACCUAUUAAAAUGAUUUUUUUAGUGUUUGGGUAAGUGAGUGGCUCCGCCACCGAGGAGGAGGGUGAAGGUAGUGAGGAGGCGACAACGGUGGCUUCAAAGGAGGGUUGUAGAGUGUGAGCAGAGAAGGAUAGGUUUUUCCAAUAACACCGCCAUUAAUUAUAGAUAGAGGAAGGGGGUACGAUAGUUCUGGAAACACCUGGAGGAAAUGUGGAGGGAGAGUAGGUAGGAAAUAGUUGGAUGCAGUAGGGAUUUUUCGCUUACAAAGGAAUGACAAAAUUUAUUUUAAUAUAGAGGAUGAAACAAUACUUAAGAAGUCGGUAGAACUUGAAGAAGUUGAUGAGUUGAAUAAAGGAAGAAAGGAGAAAGCAAGCAGUGGUCAAUGAUUGUAUUGAUUUAUAAUGUGAGAAGCUUGGGGAAGAUCGAAAAGGAAAAUGAUUAACUAGUUGGUGCGCCAACAAAAGGUUGAUAUCUUUCGCGUGGGAGGGUUUUGUCGGGGUGUGCUUGGAGUGAGGAUUCUUUUAAAAAUGUUCUUUUGCCAUUAUAUCUAUUCCAAAUAUGAUAUAAUUGCAAAGAGGAGAUUCUGUGAGAAUCUUUUGAUGGUUACAGAUACUUUGAGAGAAGGAGCUUGGUGUUCGGUGGGUGAUUUUAAUGCGUGUGUAGUUUGAAAGAGAGAAGGGGGAUAAAUUUUGAAGCUUCUUCGGGACAACCAUUGAAAAUGAACUCUUUUUAAUAAUUUCUUGAGGGAGGUGGACAUGCUGGAUGUGACCGCUACUGGUCGUAGAUUUACUUGGUAUAAUUCAAAUGGGAGUGCGAUGAGUCAUAUUGAUAGAGCUCUAAUUAUCAAGAAAAAAUGGUCUAACAAUUAGGGUUAUGUGGCUUGGUGGGUCUUAUCGAGGGAUAUAUCAGAUCAUUACCUCUUGGUUUUUAAAGUUGGAGAUAGGGGUUGGGGUCCAAACCCAUUUUGCUUCAAUAAUUUUUGGCUGGAAGACAUGAAGUUUAAACAAGUAGUGGAGGAUGUACAAGAAAAUCAAAAUGUUAGGUUUGAUGAGAGUGGUGUUGAAAACAAAACCUAAAGCUUUGAAUAUUGAACUGAGAGCUUGGAAUAAUUAAUGAAGUGAGGUUGGGUAUGGAGAUAUAGAAGUUGGUUGUCAAAAUUGGUGGAUAAUAUUAUGGAUCUAGAUGUUAGAGGCAAAAUCUGUUCUUUGAGUCGAAGAGGUGGAGAUUAGAGAAAGAAAGUUAACGAGUUAUUAACGAGAUUAGGGUUUAAAGAUCUAAGUGAAAAUGACUUUGGGAGGGGGAUGCCAAUUGAAAGUACUUCCAUAAAUGUGUGAAAGCAAGAUCAAACCAGAACAUAAUAAAAGUUCUUAAAUCUAAUUAAGUCGAUUAAAAAAGACACUUUUUAAGUAGGACGUUCCAUCCAAUGGCACCCACGCAAAAGUAGGAUGCUGCCACAUAUUUUGUUCAACUUGCUUUUUGAAAUUCUCUACCACCUCUGUUUUCUGAGUGCAGAUCUGCUCCAGUACAAAAUUGCUCCAGUUCCCAGUUAAUGUAACUGAUGCGUGACAUGUGGCAGGGUCAGAUUUCAACGGAUCAGAUUUUAAAAACAAAAUCAGUUUUUUACUUUGACACAAAAAAAGAGCUCUGUGAGAGUAAUAGCACGCUUACGCCCUUCUCCGUCACUCCUCUCCGCCCCUCUCCCUCUUCUUCGUUAGUACGUCGUCGUCCCUCUUCUUCGUUAGUACGCCGCCGUCCCUCUUCUGCAUUUCAAUUGGAGGAAUACAGUGUUAUUCGUUGUUGUAAACAUUCUGUUGGCACAUAGUGUGAUGUUUGUUAUUGCAAAUAAAAGAUAUCGUUGUUGUUAUUGAUUGAAAGCUUGUAACAGCGUGACGGCGGCAGCGGCGGACAGUUACAGCAGCGCGGCGGCGGAGUAGGGCUGAAUAGUGGUAAAUUAAGUUUGAACGUGUUUUGUUUCGACGGAGAAGAGAAGAGAAAUCAUUUCUAUUUUUUUAAUUAAAAAUAACUUACUUUGCAAAUUUAAAAUCUGAACCAUUGAUGUUGUUUUUGCCACGUGUCGUCAAUUUGUUCAAAGUACAGGACAGUUAAUGGAUUUUAUAAACUGGAGCUGAUCUGCACUCCUGUUUUCUAGUACAGAAAAUACUUUUUAUGUUUUGUAAAAAUGACUUCUUAAGUCGGUUUCGAGGCCGACUUAAUAGUAGACGACAUAAGAAGUAUUGACUUCUUAAGAUAGAUAUGACCCAACUUAAGAGAAUGACUUCCUCAGUCGCGUAAACUCUGACCGACUUGGCAAAGUAUUAUUUUAAUAUGAAAAAAUUGCCACGGGUAAACCAUGACCCAAAAUUGUUCAAGAAAAAACCGUGGCCAAAUUUUUUUUGGAAAAAAAUUAAAUUUGUUCGACAUAAGUCGGUUUCGAGUCCGACAUAAUAGUAGCCUGAUUUGCUCGAUUUCUUCAUGAAUUACUUCAAGAACACUGCUAUGUUUCGGGAAUAAUAGAAUUACAGACUCAAAUAUAAAAAAGAUUACAAAUGUCCCGAAAUCAUAGAUUAAUCUAAUACUUCUCUACUUUAUUGGUAAAACCUACUAAAAUUGAUAGAAAGACAUGCUAAGAAUAACGUAAGAUGACCUGUCAUCACUACCGCAUUAAGUCUAAGGAAGUUGGGAUCACCUUUUGUAUGUGGUAACCUGGUUAAAUUAGCUUGGUGAUUUCAAACUAUGAACUCUGAGUACCAGUUUAGUUAAAAGAGAUCUAUGAUGUUGGAAGAAUGUUGGAAGGCUAGCUUAGAUGAAAAGAGUUGGAUGACUAUAGAUAUACGUUAUGUAUUAAGCCAUCAGUUGUACUACCUUGUCUAUUGUAUACUCGUUAGUCGGUGCACUAUUACUCAGAUAUGAAUUAUAUUUAAUGUAAUCGCCAGUUAGUACAUUUUGUAUUUAGAUACGACUUAUGGAUUGUACUCAACAAUUAGGACUUUCAUCAGAUUUAUGAGGUAGUAUAAUGUUAUGGUUCAUUACAUAGAGAAAGUUGAAUUAUUUCUUACUUUCCAAGGAUGUAAGCUUAAAGUCCAAUAUUGUUCCGUGUAGGGACGAUCUUAUACGAAGUAUGGUAAAUUUUACUUCAAAUAACCACCCAAAUUACGGAGUAGUUUUUACUUCUUUCACCUAUUAUAUUCCUUGGUGAUUAAUUAUUUUUCAUAUUUUUAUUUCAUUAAGGUUCUAGAGCAGGUUGAGCAAUUGAGCUAUCAACGGAUCCCAACUUAUUCUUGUCAGAAAGUGUCACUGUCACCACUCAACGGGUGUGAAAGGAUUGUUACCAUUCAUGGAAGCCAUGUGAGGUAGGAAAAACUAAACUGAUACCAUAUUUGAACCAUAUAUAUGAGACAACUGGUUUCUGAAAUAAGGUACAAAAAGACACAAUAGUUCUUAUUGAUUUUAAGUAAAACAUUAACAAUAAAACAACCAUAGGUAGGAGGUGAGGGAAUAGAAUUCCGUCUCGUCUGUUAUUCAAAGCAGCAACACAAUAACCAUGACCCAAUUUAGAUGGAGAUACUAUUGGGAAUGCCUCUGCAAGUCAAUCCUUCCUCACUAGAAGGAUAAAGCAAAGUAUAUGGCAUCUUCACUGGUCCAUAACGAUUCCUCAGUGUCUCAUCGUUGUUCCUUUGAGUGAGUUUUUUCUCAAUUUCAGCCAGCUUCUUUCCAAACCUCUUGAAAGCCUCUUUUGGUUGUGAAUCAGAAGUCCAAUUAUCACCUUCAAUUCUCUGUCCAAGGUAUUGUUCAUCAGAAGCAUGUCUUGACAAGACUUCUAUAACAGUCAAGUUAGUUAGGAUGUCUUUCUUCGGUGGGAUUGUUCUCAAAAACGCCUUUUGAUAGUUCUUAGAAAGCUCAGCAUACUCAGCAGAUCCUUUCUUAGGCAUUAAUCUUCUGCUUUUUGUUGGUCGGUUAAGAAUGUAACCACCGUACGGAUAUUGUCCAAAAUUAACAGCCGCAUGAAGUGCCGAAGCAAUCCAUAUGAGGAUGGUGCAAGCCUCAAUCAACUCCUUACGGGUUUGCAUCUUAAACCACCAUUUAGCAUCUUUCAAGUCACCGUGACCUACCUCUACAAGUUCUUUCCAGAAUGCUUGGAGUUCAGAAUCUUGUGCAAUAUUUGCAUCUGACUUGUAGUAGAAAUACACAUAUUCUUCAACCCAUGACUUAAUUGCUGUCCAUAUCUCUAAUCCAUCAGCAGCAUAAGGGUAAUCUUUUAUCAGAAGGCGAAGGCCGUGUGGGGAAGUUGGAUCCUCAACAGCCACUCCUCUAGGUAACAAGAAAGGAAAAAAUCAUUAAUAUCAAAAUAAAAACUUUUGAUAUCAAUAUAUUAUUAACUGAAGUUUAAAAUUGCGGCAAAAUACAGUUGAUGCAGCUACAACCACUGACAAUUCACAUGAAAUUUUUUGAUGUCUCAUCUUAGAUCGUGGUUGUGAACACUUUUUCAAUCCUCGUUUCAACUACUGAAUAUAUUUCCAGGAUCUAAUGUUUUGUAAGGUUACCUUUUAAGUAGAUCAUUAGGCAAACCUUGAUCGGUGAAAACCCAGUCUUUAUAUAUUACCGCAGACAAUUCUAAAGAAUAACUUCCCAUCAAGAACGUCUUCUCAAUAACACCCUUUGCAUUGACCAAAACAUUCCUUGCAAGUGCAUUAAUGUUCAUUGUGUCACGAUAGUGCGGAAGUAAAAGCUUAUGAAUAGGAUGAACCACACUAAGAUGCCUAUUUGUUGCUAUGAUGAAUGGCUCAACAACUGCAUGAGUAUUCAACCUGUCACACAUGUCGAUAAUAAUGAAUAACUCAGACAUUUAAACUAUGUUUGGCUCUCUAAUCUUGGGAAUAGAAUUUGUACCAGUGGCUGAUAAGUUGGUGAUAGCAUGAGUCAUUUACAAUCACAUAAUUCUUGGCAAGUAGCCAAAUAGAAGAUUCAACACCUUCACUUGCAGGCAAGUAGAUAUCACUGAUAGGAUCAAAGCGAUCACCUUUUGGAUUCGGGCUACUUAGCUCGAUGGCUAAUGGCUUAAAAGUUCCAUCAUUUUGUAAGAAAAUGAUGGUUCUAGUAGCAUAUCCCAUUGUAUGAUCAUUGACUUCAUUUAUUUUGCUCAAAUAUGGAAAUAUUGAGUCUUGGUAAUCAAGUAUGUAAAGUCUCUUGUUAUGGAUAGCCUGUUCAAAAAACAUUUGAUUUAGUCAUUACAAUUGUUUGAAUUAAAAUGAACCUUUUUCGCAAAAUACUUCCUCCGUCUCAUUUUAAUCGUCAUUUUUGCAUUUUUUUUAUCUAUCUCAAAAUAAUUUUUAUUUUAAAAUAUUAAUACAAUAUUUAUCAAUUUUUUUAACUUUAAUAUACUCUUUUUUAUUGAAUUUUACUUCAUUUAACUAUUUUACUAACUACCAUUGAUAAAGGUGUUUUAGUAAAUGACACUAUUUACAAUUGAAAUCAAUCAACUAACCGCACACGACUCAAAUACUAUAAUUAAAAUGAGACGGAAGGAGUAGAAGUAACAAAAUCAUUUAGUCAUUACUUCUUCUACAGUGACCCCAUCCAUAUUUAGCUGCAACUGUUCUUUGGUUAUUGUGCUCGUAUUAUCACCGUAGUCUUGGCUAUUUAGCUUGCUCUUUGGUGGGAACUCCUACAUUAUAUAUAACAUGUAAUACUGAGAUUAACAAUUGAAAAUAUAGUAUGUAAAAUGGACAAAAUAGAGUUUAAUUUUCUGUUUGUAUAGAAAUCGUUAAACUAUGAAGUUUACCUGAAGUCUUUUGAUAAUGUGUGGAUUCACACCAGCAAUCAUCUCUCUUGUAAAUUCUUCAUCAGUCAUCCAUCCAGACUGAUUAACUGCUCAAAAUAAGAGCAUUGCAAAUGAUCCAUGAGAUUUCUUUCCAUAUUUUGUAUGAAUAUAAAUUACUAGGACUAAAAUCGUAGUAGUUCUAAUUCCCUGGGUACCUUGAAUCACUUCAGGCCGUGGAAACGUAAGUCCAGGUACUUCCUCAUCAUAGAAGGCAUGCACAUCAUUAAAGGUAUCAAACUCUGGCUUAUAAUUGCAUUCUAUUUCUAUCUCAGAUAUGAAAUCUUGAGAUGCUGAUUUCAGUAGGUUAUCAAGAAAUUCUGAAGACUUCUUGUGAUCAAAUGAUUCAUCUCUUGGAAUGUAAACAAAGCCGUUCCGACUCUCACUUUUAGGAUCUGUUCAUGUACAAAAUAGCAAAUAUGUAUUAGCUAGAAGAAUGACUUUAGAAUCAUUUUCAACACAAAAAAUAAUGCCAGCAUUAUUAAGAAAGUAAAAGAGAGUAUUUGAGAGAAGACAUAAAGAGAAAAAUGAAGUAAAAAUUGUGUUAUUCAAUUCAGUUUGUUACAAUGGAGAUGAACUCUAUUUAUAAGCUAAUUUCUAACAUAGCAUCUCUAACAAACUUAACAGCUGUACAAGCUUAUGUGGCAAGUUAGUUAGAGUUAGAAGUGGUUGCUUGCUCCUCAAGUAAUCUUCCUUCUUCUUCCAUUCUUAACAAUCAUAACAUACACUAUACUUUUAUAAAUAUCAAGGCGACAUUAAUUAAGUCUUAUUGAAAUACACCAGGGAUCACUUUCGUUUGUGAAGUAAUACCUUAAAAAAUAAUAUACCCAAGUGUUUAAAAAGAGUAUAAAAGUUUAUAACCUUUCUUAGCUGGUUCCCUGCCGGUUCUUCCCCUUCGAGGGUAAGGGAAAUUGCUCGAUCCCCCAAGAAUUUGACGCGCCAAUUGAGGUUUCGAGUCAGGCUCACCUAAAUCAUUGUAGACAUCGUAAUCAUAUAUUCUUUCCCAUUCCUUGCGCUCUCCUGUUCCAUCUCCUCUUAAAGUCUUCAAUUCUUCUUGUCUAUAGUACACUAAUGGAGCUGGUGUUUCACUUGGAAGGUAUGUCUAUAUUUUAAAUCAUAUGAAGGUGUCAGAUUUUGGGAACUAUAGUUUAUAUUUAACAUGCAAGAUAAAUAUGGUAUAUUCAUUACCUUGUUGGCAAAGAAGAUGCGUUCAGUUUUGUAGUUUUGAGCAUUGUAAAUCCAUGAGUUGCAAACAAAGUUGAUGGUUCCAUGGUUGGGAACAUCUUCAAGGGUCAAACUUACAAGAAAGAAUUCUCUUUGCUUGCGAUUCUUAAUAUAAAAUGCUCCUGGAAUUCCCAUGUCACUAUCCCAUUUAAAAUGAACAUCAAAUUCAGAUUGCCCUGCUACAUUCAAAGACGUUUCUUUUCCGACUUUACCUUUUCCACUUUCUACAAAUAAAAUAUGUCACAAUUUUGUUUUUCAAUUUCAGUAAAGGUUUAUAAAAAAAAAAAAUCAGUUAUGAUAAUUCUCAAAUGAAAAAUUAUAGCUAUUAAAAAUCUAAUUCUUUUUAUAAAAAAUUAACAAAUACUUGUAAGACAAUUUUUUAAAGAAAUUAUAAUAAUAAAAAAUGAAGAACAUGUGUAAUAUUUUAUCAAAAUUUUGUAAAAAAAAUAGUAAAAUCUAUCUUUGAAACACAUGUUUAUAUUUGACGUUCUCUAAACAUAGAAACCAAUUGUGAGUUUAAAAUAUGAGAACUUUUACUGUAUACUUGCAAAUUAUGUUUGUAGACAGUAGUGUGAGAGACUAAGUAAUUAUAAGCAAAAAAAAAUAAGUAAUUACCAUCAGCACUAGUAGAACUAAUCAACCUGAGAUCCACGGAACUGGCCAUAAUAUAGGUGUCAAUUAUAUAGCUAAUGAUACCAUGAACAAGAUUGAUAACACCUUUGAUUAAACCAGCGGGACUUGUAGCUGAAGUGAGGGAGUCUAUAUCAAACACAUUCUUUUGCAUCAAUAUCACUGUCCCCUUCACCAUUUGGCUUCUGUGAAAUGGAUUUGGAAACAUCUUUGCAACUUUGUGCACUUUCUGCUUUUCUGACAAAUGAAAGAAAACCUAGUGGCUUGCAAGUUUCUAUUCUAAUUUUGUUUACACUCUCACUCUUACUAUAUAUAUAUAUAUAUAUAUAUAUAUAUAUAGUAAGUCUUGCAAAUCAUGGGGGCUGCAUCCAGCACGUCAACGACCUAGGUCAAUACAGCAAGGUAAUUAAAAUCAAACCAGUCGGUUGAAACGGUACCUUUGAGUUUGGUUGGAUAUUGCUUUUCCUCUAGUUAAUAAUACUAGUUUGGUUCCUCUAGUUAACAUCUGUACCAAAAAAAAAAAUAUUUGUUUAACAUUUAAAUUAUUUUAAAAUAAAUUAAUAUAAAAAUAUUACAUGACAUUGAUUGAUUGGAUGAUGAGUAUAUAUCUAUUAAAAAUUGUAUAGGUGAUAGAGUGUUGAGUAGUUGAGAAUUAAUGAAGUAACGAUAUCAUAAGUAUAAAAGGCAAAAGGAUAAAAAUUGCGAGUAAAAUAAUAGUUUGGUUUAUUGUGUGUCAAUCAAAAUUUACACGUGAACUUAUAGAUAAGGUGACAUAACAUGUAAUUCUAUGUCAUGUUAAAAUUGAGAUUUUGCUUUAGAUCGAAAGAGAUCAGCAAAAUCGACAAUCGUUAAAUCGCAAUUAAAAUUGAUGGAUUUUAUCAAAAAUAUAAUAUUAAAUAUAUUUUAUAAAUGGUAUAUAGUGAUAAAUGACUUAGAUUAUAAUAAAUUGUAAGACCGCAAUCAAAAUCGUUGAAUUUUUCUUAUUUUAGAAUUAUACUAUGGGUUUGAGUCGUUAAAGAUGAAAAAAGUCACAAAAUCUUAAAUUUUAAGAUUUAAGUCGGUAUUUUAACAAGUCUUAACAUCAUGGCUUGCAAAUUCAACAUUGAUUGUUGUUAGAGUAAAUUACACUCCCCUCCCCUCAAAGAUGCUUGAAUUACAUUCCCCUCCCCUCUUAAGUUAAAAUAUACAAUCCCCUCCCCUCUUAUUCAAAACAUAUUAGAGAAAAUUUCACUCCCCUCCCCUAAGAGAAGCUUGAAUUACAUCCCCCUCCCCUCUUAUGUUAAAAUCUACACUUUACCCCCUCAAUAUUCUUUUUUAUUAUUUCUAAUAAUCUAGCAAAAAAUAAUAAUUUAACACACUUAAAAAAAUAGUAUUGCGAGUCUGUUUUAAUAUAAUAAAAAGUUGAAUACAUAUUUUUCGCUAUUUUUUAUUCACAAUUUCAUUAACAUGUAGUUUUAAACCCUAUUAUAAAAUAUUAAACAACCCAAAACAAAAUUAAAAUAUGUGAAAAAUUACUAAAAUCAUUAAGGCAUGAUUAUUUAGAAGUUAAUUUUAUACUCAGAUUUAUAAAAUCAAUAGCAAUAUAUUUAAAUUUAAUUAUCAUUGACAUUUAAACUAUAAAGAAAUGAAUUAAUUUUUCUUAAAUGGUGAUUCAAAAUUAAUAUAUAUUAUAAGAAUAUUUAAUUAUGUUCAAAUAGAUUAAAGUGUAGUGCAUAUUUAAUUAUUAAGGGAAUGGUUUGUAAUUCAAGCAUCUUAUAAGGGAGGGGAGUAUAAAUUUUAACAUUAGAAAAAAAUAUUGAGGGAGUAAAAUGUAUAUUUUAACUUAAGAGGGGAGGGGAGUGUAAUUCAAGCAUCUUUGAGGGGAGGGGAGUGUAAUUUUUUAUUGUUUUGUAUUGAUCCACAUGUUUAUUUAGAUGUAUCAUUUUUCCUAACAAAUCCAAAUGUUUAUAUUCAAGAUCAAAGCUAAUGUAUUAAAAACAAAAAAUAUCAAUUAUUGCUGGUCCUACCACGGUUUAAUGUCAAUAACUUAGUUUAGAAAUCACACUUGAAACCCAUUCAAUGUUAUCCACCACUAUAGUCCUUGUAUGAAAAUGCAUUUUCACAUCUACAUUUUCCCAUGGUAUGAAUGGGGAGACUUGGAGAUCAUCAUCAAGCAUUGACUCAAACACAAGGCUUGCACUGUUGGAGAAAAAUGCUAUUAUUAUCCUAAAUUAUUGUUAGUAAUUAUUCAUAUUACGCAGAUUGAUAUCCAAUCCCUCAACUUCAUUCACACACACACACAUAUAUAUAUAUAUGCACCAUGAAGUACACACCUCUCUAAGUGUGUCACGGUGUCCGACACCAGUGCCGGAGCCAGAAAAAAAUGUUUGGGUGGGCCGCUAAAAUAAACUAUAAACAAUAAUAUGUAAACAUAAAAUUAAAGUACUAAUAAGCAUUAAGCUUGAAGUUGAAAUUGCAAAGUUUGACUAAAAAGCUCGGGUGAAUGCUUUAAAAAAACAAAUUACAUAUUACUAAUGCUAUAAAUUAUGAUUUUUUUAUUUAUUUUAUAAUACAACUCUUAAUUGGAGGAAUUUUUUACAAAACAAUAUAAAAGAGAUUUGAAACCACCAAAAAUUAAAAGGUCUGUAAACCUCCGUUAACUAGCCAAGUAUAAGCAUAAAAAAAAAAAUCACAUAUGUCACUUUUGGAACCACCGAAAAUCUAAACGGUUGAAAAAUUGUUUAAAAUCUCGCAAAGCUGACUUAUGAUCGUCGAUUUUUUACUUUUUCCGGGUGGGCUGUGGCCUACCCCGGCCCUUAAAGGGCUCCGCCUCUAUCCGACACACGUCGAUAUUUGACAUUCAUAUGACACUCAUAUACAACACAUGUUGAACCAACUCAGUCUAGUGUCCCAAAAAUUAAUCAUUAUUUUAUUUUCUUCGACACACCUUGAACAUAUUUCUAAGGGUAUCUACAAGAUUAAAGAUGUGUGAAAUCAAUAUUGAUCAAUGAGGUGGUUAAAGAAAUUAAUAUUUUUAACAAAAUUUUAAUAUUUUUUGUUAAAGAAAUACAUUGCUCAAUUUACAUGUAUAUAUUUUGAUUCUCGCUUUAGCUAUUUUAUAAAUAAUACUAAUAUAUGAUUUGAUUAUAAGAAAUUAAUAAAUAUAUAUGUUGCGAUGCCAAAGUCUUAUGUUUUUUAAUUUUUACAUUGACGAUAUUAAUAUAUCCGUGUCAAUGUCAUGUGUCAAGUGUUCAUGUCGGAAUACAUGUCAUAAAGAGUGUGUGUAUAUAUAAUUCAAGAUCUUUAUUCAUAUAAGAUUUGCCGCGUUGUAGUUUUAGUUACUUCUUAGUUAAGUUUACUUGUUUGACUCAUAAGUUUAUUAUUAGUUGUUGAGGUAUGAAUUAUAUGUUAGUAUAUCAACUGUGAGUAAGAGUUCCAUAUUAAAAAGUGUAUGAUGAACGUAUUAUAAUUGAGAUGAUCUCUAAUUUUAAUGUCUUCAAAUUUUGGGUUAAAGUAUGUUGUCAACCACACAUGUAUCGAAAAUUUGCACUCCAAUUCUAUGAUAAAUGCUCAUCUUUCAUAAUCGACCAAUAUUCAUUCAUGUUAACUGUAUAUGUCAUCAUUCACAUUAUAAAUUUUCACUCAACUACUCCUUAGCUUGCCAGCGAACAUCUCUUCCAUGUCAGAAACCCAUCAAUAGCAGUUACACACCUAUAGAUAAGAUCCAUUAACCAAUAUCCAUGACAUUCAUACAUACUUAGUAAUUAAGAUUUAAGACCAUUGCAUUAUAGCAAUAGACAUAAGUCAGCAAUUCAAAUAAAGGUUAUAACCACAUUAUUGUACGUAAGUAACAUAACUAAGUGCAUGCUUGAUAUGCAGUGAAAUUGAAAGCAGACAAGAAAAUGCAGCAAUGAUAGGUUGACACUCUUAGGGUGUGUUUGGUUGUGGAGAGAGAGAAAGUGAUAAGAGAGAAGUAGGUGAGAGAGUUUGAGAAGAGAGAAAGAUGUGAGAAAUAAAGAUAGUGUUUGGUAUAAAAGAAAGAGAUAAGAAAUUGAGAAGAGAGAAGUGUUGAUUAUUUUUAAAAGUACAAAAAUACCCCUUAAAAUAAAAAUCUUUUCCUAAAACUACUCUAUUUUAUAUUUAAUUAAAUUUAUGAAUUGAUUAGUUUAAUUAGUUAUCUGGGUUAUUUUACUAAUAAUAAUAACAAGGUAAGUUAAUUAAUUUAAUUAUUAUUUAAAUAAGCCUAUUGUGAAAAAGAAAGAAAGAAUCACGUGACAACAUUGCAUAAAAGACAAAAAAAAUGUGUUGUUCUCUUAAAUUAAAGGGCAUAAAAGACAAAAUUAAAGCAACAAAAGAGUAACUUCUCUUCCGUUUCUUCGCUAAUUAGGGGAGAACAAAAAAUGCAUGGGACCCACCAAUUUUGUCCCUCUUCUCUCUUUCUCACCUUUGUCAAACUAGAGAAAUGCCACACUUCUCUCCUCUUUCUCUCCUUAGUCUCUCUCUUCUACAUUUCUCCACUACUAAAGAGAGUUUUAAUGUAUACACUCUUUUGCAUUACUUUAAAAAAAUUAAAGUUAACCAAAUAUAUAGUUUAUGUGACCACGUUUUUUUAGUUACGUGGCCACUAUUUUUAUGACAUACAUGCUCAUAAUAUAUUACUCAUGUUUAAUUAAACUAAAUAGAUCUUUUUUGGGACUAAAUAGAUCUUAUAUCUUAUAUCAUAAGCAAACACUUGGAUUUUUCCACUGUAGGGCCCACAUGGUACUUAAGCAAUUGCCAAGUCAAAAUAUAUAUGUUUACUUAAACUAAAUAAAUCUUAUCUCUUACCACUAUCGGGCCCACAUGGUACUUAACGCAAUUGCCAAGUCUUUGAUGCAUCCCCUCAAAAACAAUCUUGAUGCAUUAAAUGGAUGCUUGUAUUUUUUCCUUUUAUAGAAAAACAAAGUCUUAAAUUAAUUGGCACCACGCAGAAAGUUUGGAAAGCUCUUGACACACAAUCAUUUUGGGUUCUUGACGUUUGGUAGAAUAGGAGUGCAUGACAUAGCAACUGUGAAAUCAUUGGUAUAACUUUUAGGUGGCCAGAUAAUAUAAAAAACUAAACUUGAUCAUAAGCAAACACUUUCACAAUAAUUUUUACUUCCAUAAAAAAAGGUUUGAACAGCCUUUGAAUCAAUGACUUCUAAGAUGUAAAUCGAUGCCUAUUAUUCGUUGAACUUUGAAGGAACCAACGGGUAGCACUUGGAUGACAUAGAGUUGGGUGACAUUGACCAAUCACAAUGUCAUAAUGCUUGUGUUUCUCUCUCUUUCACAAGUAUUGUGACAUUAUAAUUGACUAAUGUCACUAAUGUCAUCCAACUCUAUAUCACCCAAAUACUAUCCUGAAACCAACCUUGUGAGUGAAGCUGAGUGAAAAAAAUAUUAAACUUUAUGAUAAGCAAACACACGUUCAAAAUAUAUUUUUUACCUCUCCUUCCAAUUUAUUUACUUUUUUUUACUUUAUCAUAUGGAGCUUUUGUUAAGUACAAGGUGGGUCCUAUAUAUUAUUCGAGUGAUGGGAGUGGUGUAAAAUUGGUCUUCUAUCAACUAGAUCACUCCCAUACAAACUGACGAAAAUAUCUCUAACGUAACUUAAAUCAAUCUGAAAGGGAGCGUGAGUUAACUCACACUGGGCUUGCGUUCAGGACCAGAACAUCAUAAACAUCUUUUUCAAUAAUUUUCUUCAUUCCUUCAUUCAUACAUACAUCCAUUUCUGUCAAAAAUACAUGUUUUCAUCAUUCAUUUAAUGAUUCAUUCAUUCACUCAUAAUUUAAAUAAAAAAAAUAAACGAAAAUUAACAAAAAUGUCAUAAAAAAACGCAAACGCGCAAAUGUAAAUAUAUAUUGCAUCCAUAUCUACCAAAGUGUAAAAAAUACAUCUAAAUAUACACAAAUGUUAGGAAAACACUAUAUAUAAAAAAAAAAUCUACUCCUAUGGACUAUGGCUCCUAGUCCUCCGCGGAACCGGCUCCUCCUGAAGCAUGCGAUACUCCGACCAGAUUCCCUCCAUAAUUUCAUCAUUAAAAAUGCUAAAAACAAACAUAUUUUCAUGUGUUAAAUAUGUCUUUAGUCCUUACAUUUUGCGCCCCUUUGAAGAAUAGUUCCUACAUUUCAUUAAAUGUUUUUAAAAUCCUCACAUUUUCUCUCUGUUAUCAAAAUUAGUCCUUGCUGUUAAUUCUCCAACGGAAUGCUGAUGUGGCAGUUAGUGGGUCCCAAUUAUUUUAAGGUUAAAUAUGUUUUUUGUCUGUACAUUUUGCGUGACUUUGAAAAUUAGUUUUUACAUUUCAAUAAAUGUUUUUAAAAUCCCUAAAAUAAUAAGGACUAUUCUUCAAAGUCACGCAAAAUGUAGGGACCAAAAACAUAAUUAACCUUAAAAUAAUUGGGACCCAGUAACUACCACAUCAACAUUCUAUUAGAGAAUCAACAACAAGGACUAAUUUUGAUAACGGAGAUAAAAUGUGAGGAUUUUAAAAACAUUUAAUGAAAUGUAAGGACUAUUCUUCAAAGUCACGCAAAAUGUAGGGACGAAAAACAUAAUUAUCCCUAAAAUAAUUGGGACCCAUUAACUGCCACAUCAGCAUUCCGUUAGAGAAUUAACAAUAGGGACUAAUUUUGAUAACGGAAAUAAAAUGUGAGGAUUUUAAAAACAUUUAAUGAAAUGUAAGGACUAUUCUUCAAAGGGAAGCAAAAUGUAAGCACUAAAAACACAUUUAACCCUAUUUUGAUUGAGACAUUUUAUCAAACACCUAGAGUUCAACAUAAUUUCUAACAAUUCCUAACUCUAACCUAACUCUAACGUACCAUAUUUCAAUCAAACCUACUCUAAUCAACUUCUAAAAAACAAUUUAUAACUUAAUUUAUCAUUAACAAUAAAAAUAUCAAACAUGCAAAUCAACUCUAAAACUUAAAAUUUCACAAUUUCAUCCAAAAAAAAAAAAACUAACAUUUAAACCCAAAAAACCCAAUGCAAAAGGUUAGAUAGCACUUGUGAUGGAAGUAGAAUUUGAUAUUGAUUUGAUUGAGUUCGGUGAAAAUCGCACAAAGUGGGAGAAAUUUCAUAAAAAAUGAGUUUGAAACACAAUGGUUAUAUUUUUGUCUGUUGUCGUUCUAUAAUAACACGCAAUGUGAGUUAAGUCACGCUGGGUUACAACGUAUGUGAGUUAAUUCAUGUUGAAUGUACCGGGCGUGACUUAUGUCACGAACGUGGGGGUACUUUCGUCCAUUCAGUUGGGAGCGAGUAUUUAUUGAUGGGAGAAGAGCAAUUUUCUAAAAACUUUGGGUGUGGUGGAAGAUUCUAAGUGAGGGUUGUAUGUUCUGUUAUGUUAAAAUAACGGAUAACUGAUAAGUUUGCUGAUAGCUGAUAGUUUAUAGCUGAUAGAUGUUGGUUGAUGGCUGAUAACUUAUAGUUUAUAGUUAAUGACUAUUGACUGAUGUUGAUAAGCUAGUUAAAGUGUGCUAAAAUUAACGGUUCAAUUAACUGAUAAAUAUAAAUUGACAUAAAAUGAAUUUUUUUUAUUCAUAAUACUUUUUUGAGAGGACCAAAGCCCAAUUUAAUUGAAAAAUUUAAUAAUUAGAAUUUAUAAAAAAAAAAAUCUGAAAAUAAAAUGUUUACUAGACUUUCCACCCGUGCUGCCGCACGGGUCAUAUACAUUGUAGAUAUAGUAGACAAAAACAAAUCUCAAUGCAUAUCAAAGAGAAUGAAAUAUGUGGUCCCAAAUAUAUGCAGAUGUUGGAAUUCGAACCUCAGACACCACGCUUAUUCACCAAAAAAAUAUUAAUUUUUAUCAAUCGUGUGUUACUUCAUUCCUUUGUUAAAAUUAUAUGUCAAUAUUAUAUUAUUGGUAUGUUACUUCAUAUUUUUCUUUUUUUUUUUGAAAAAAUGUUACUUCAUUCUUUUGUAAAAAUUAUAUGUUAAUGUUAUAUUAUGUACCUAAAAAUAGUUCAUUCUUAACCUCAACAUGUAAAAUGUUUUAUUUAAAUAAUUUUCCUUUUAUCGAAUAUUUGGCCUUUACCGUAAAUGAUACCCUUUAACUGUUUGUUGAAAUGUUUCUUCCACCUGUUUAUAUAGAUUGCAAAAUUCAGGUGCAUUUUGUGGUAAAUAUUUAACAAAGAGAGUUCAAUUCUAAUUUGGAUGAAAAGUGUAAUAUUAACAAAAAAAAAUGUUGCUAUAAUCUUUCAAAACCCUUUUAUUCCAAUAGGGCGAUUUGUUUUGUUGAAGAAAUAGGGCGAUUUGUGUUUUGAAGAAAUAGGGGAAAUAAAGCGAUGCCGAUUUGCUUUGUUCAUGAAAAUAGGAGAUUAGGUGUGAGCAUUAGCGUUGUUCAUGAAAAUAGAAGAUUAGGUGUGAGCAUUAGGGUUAAAACGGUAAAAUUAUGCAACAGGGUUUAGGUUAAAAUUAGGGCUCAUGAAAAUAUGAGAUUAGGUGUGAGCAUUAGGGUUGUUCAUGAAAAUAUAAGAUUAGGUGUGAGCAUUAGGGUUAAAACGGUAAAAUUAUGCAACAGGGUUUAGGUUAAAAUUAGGGCGCAUGAAAAUAUGAGAUUAGGUGUGAGCAUUAGGGUUGUUCAUGAAAAUAUAAGAUUAGGUGUGAGCAUUAGGGUUAAAACGGUAAAAUUAUGAAAUAUGAUUUAGGUUAAAAUUAGGGCUUACGGGUUACCUUUAAUAUAUAAGAAGAUUAGGUGAGAGCAAUAGGAUUGUUCAUGAAAAUAGGAGAUUAGGUGUGAACAUUAGAGUUAAAACAGUAAAAUUAUGCAAUAGAGUUUAGGUUAAAAUUAGGGCUUACUUGUUAACUUUAAUAUAUAACUUUAAUAUAUAAGAAGAUAAGCCCUUAACUUUGCCAAAUCCCCAAAUUGAUUCAACCAAAUUCUUCCUCCCCAAAUUGAAUCAUCAUGCAUCAUUCCUUCAUUAUAUGUCAAUUAACCGGUUGGUAUGAAGUAGAAAAUCGAGCGAUGUUGCAUUAUUUCAUUUACCGAUACAUGCUUAAGCAAAGACCAAGAAAAGAGAACAUGGCAAUAGAGAUGGAAUGGUUCAUUACCUUUUUAGAUUGAAGAAUGGAUUGGGGAGUUACGAUUUUUUUAAAGAGAAAACUAGUUACAAACCCGUGCUUCGCACGGGUUCAAUAACGUUUUUGAUAAAAAAAAAUCGAAAGAAGAUAUGUUAAAACGACGGAACAUUAUGAUUCAUCAUAAAAUAUGUAUGGACUGGUUCCAAAGCAUUAUAAAGAUCUGCUGUAGAAAAAGGGCAUGUUCUAUUUUGUUCAAAAGAUUAUGAAAACAACAUUAUAAUUAACAUGAUACUAAUUUGAACCAAUGAAGAAACCAACAAUGUGCAGAUUAACGUUACAUAAUAGUUAGGUUUAUAAAAGAGACUCCAAGUGUCAAAGACUAACUAAAAAGAGAUUUUUGCCAAUAUUUACUUCAGACAAAAUGAAAAGAACAAAUGACAUCCCAAAGUCAAAAUAGUUUACGAUUACAGACCAAAGCGAUACGUCAAAAUAGUAGAAGUUCAAAUAGUUCAGCAGCAAAUAUCUACUUUAGAACAACUCGAACGUGCAAGUUCUUCGGUGACUUUUCGAGACCAAAUAUGAGCUUACCACCUUCUAUCAUCACACGUUCUCUGCAGAAAUUGAUCCAUAGCCCACCCAAGUAUUUUUCAUAGCUUGCUCUUUCGGCGGUAAUGAGGCGACACUUAUACUUUCUCUGUAUGCGAAUAUAGUUACAUAUAAUUUAUAAAAUAAAGGUAGCUUAACUGAUUUAAGCUAAAGAAAAUGUAUCAUGACUUCUAAUUUAUCUUCCUAUAAAGUCUAGAUAAAUACAUGUAUGUGCAUUAUAUGAACCCCGUUGACCAAUUAACAUUGUUGAAACAAAUGGAAAUUAAGCAUCACUCCCGCAUGUGCAUCUAUAGCUAGCACCAUUUGACAUUGAUGUCUUCGAACAUUUGGUGCAACUCUUAUAAUACCAUCCAAACUGGUUAGGAUUGAAUUUAGUUGUUUUCCAAAUAGUGAUGAAGUAUGUAUCCUAACCCAAAUUAUGCACAUGAAAUAAAGAAUAAUGCAAUAUGUAUUUUUAACUUGUGCAUCAAAAAACUCAAAGCAUGUUCGUGCAUAAAAAAAGCAGACCAUGACUAAGUUUAUAAAUUCAGUAAUUGGCCUAACCUGAGGCAGAUUGAAAAAAUCGUUGUACAAAGUACGUUGAGAAGAAGCCGAACUCUAACUUAAGUUAUGACUGAUACUUUGACUCUGAGCUUGAGAAGUGUUAAGGUCACGACAACAAUUCAAGAAACAUGGUCAAAAAACAAUCAAAUCAAAUUGUGAAAUAAUAAGUUACUCUAAUACUAUAUUUUGAAAUCAUAAUGCAAACUUACUAAGUCUUAAACUUCUCAACAACCGGAUAAUGUAGGUUGAUGAGCAGCCUCGAACCUGACCAAUUGUUACAUAUAUUUGGGUUGCCAAUGACUACAAAAUGGAAGAACUCAAGGUAAAUAGAUGGUAAAUGAUCAAGCUACAGAGUAUUUUUCCCAUAGUGUUACAUCAACUAUAUUCCCACUGCAUAAGGAAAGACAUCUUUCAGGUCAUUAUCAAACUUAUACAAAAUUCUAUCAUCUGACGUUGACAAAUUAGAAAAUAAUACCUUUUAUCUUUCAACACAAUGUUCGUACACGGUUUCUUUCUAGUCCCAAUUGGUGUUGUCUUGACAAUCUCAUGAAGAAGCCCGAUGAUUUCUUAAAAAAAAAUUACAUCUAUAAUAAUAUUAUAAUCGGAGAAAACAAAGAAAUAAAUUAAAGCACAUAACUAUAUCAUAUAAAAUGUCAGAUUUGAAUUUUCCAUCUUGAAUUUCCUUAAAUGACUUAAAACGAAAUUCAUGAGUAAGAACGUUAGUUAACUUGUCAUACUUCUGCACCUUUGUAUCAGAACCAAAAACAACCCUAAAGAGAUUAAAUACAAUGUCCUUAUCAAACACAUGACAAUUAUACAAAGUAUAAGUCUUGUUUUCCUCGAUCAAAGCCUUUCAAUGCUCCAAUUCUCUAUACCGAGUUAUUACAUGAACUCGAUCACCCUAAAUUCGAGAAAGAAACCAAAAAAUGUAAAUAAAUCAAAAUGUACACUAAUAAGUAACAUUGAUAAAUCAUAAAGGAAAUUACAACAAAUCUUAACUAACUCAUCUAAUCUUUGCAUCACAAAUAAUGAGCUUCAUAUGUUGAUUCUCAUUACUACCAUUUACAAUCCAAGAAUCCAGCACUCCAAAUCCUAUUUUCCAAAUGUCCAAAUCAUUUUUUAGAUCCUUAAUGUAGUCAUAAUCCCUUGACAUCGAAAGUCCUAUAUAAAGAUACAAUAAUACAUCAUUUAAUUUUAUUCCCUUUGUUCAUUCUGAUAUCGAAAGAAGCUAACAUAUCCUAUGUGAUCAAUUUUUGUAUCAUCAAAUCAACCUGAUCUUAAAUGCACAAAUUUCUGAAUCAUCAACUUUUUGGACGUCAAUGAUAUGACCAAAACAAAUUUCACCAAUCAACUUUUGUACGGCUCAAUCAUAUAGGAAAGAAUAAACCAAAUAUGAAAAUUGUUAUGGCUUUAUGAUUACUCACAAAAACUAAAAUAACCCACAUACAUCAAUUUUUUUUCAACCACAGUACCAGAAGCUAAAAUAACAAUUGUGUCAAAACCUUAUCAUGAGCUAAAAUUCAAUCAUCAUGAUUUAUCAAUGUUACUUAUUAGUGUACAUUUUGGUGUCUUUCAAAAAGAUAAGAAUUUAUAUUAUAUGAUAUUAUAUUUGUUACAUUGUUGGUGCCAUGGAAACAUAUAUGUUUAGUUUUUUCGAAUAAGAAGAAGAUAUGCAUAGUUUGUUAUAAUAUAAGGGUGCAAAAUAUAUAUAUAAGUAUAAUUUUUCUAGGCAUCUAGACCUUUUUUGAAGAUAAGAAUAAAAAUAAUCAUACGCAUUAUGCAACGUCAAAAAAAAUUAUACGCAGUAGCGUAACAAAAAAACAGACACAUAUAAAGUAUUACUCUAAGCGCUAAUAUGUGUGUUCGUAUAUAUUUGCGAGGUUGAAGAAAGAAAAUAAAAAUAUUUGGUAUCAUUAAAUGACAGCGUGAAUAAAAAUAUUUGUAAGGUUGUGAUGAUUAAACAAUAUUGAAUUUAAAUGUAUAAGUGAUAAAAAGAUAAUAAAAUUCCUUUGAAAAAAAAGGUAAUAAAAUUAAAUGGGACCUCCUUAAAAAAAAUUAAAUGGAACGAUUCCAAAAAAAAUUAAAUGGAAGAAAAAAUCAUAUUGAAAUAUAAUAUUAAAAAAUAAAAGAAAAGGUUCCCAGUGUGAGUUGAAAAGAUGUGCUUUUGAAAUAAAUUGUCGAGAAGUAGUUUUUUAAAGUAACAUUCAACAACUUUUGGCCAAAGCUCAUUCCAUUCAAUUUUAUGCAUUAAAAAAAAAUUACUUUUUGUAGUAAGUACUUAAUUGAUAUUGUGUUUGUGUUUGACCUAACUUCUCCUUAAAAAUGUAGAAAAGUUGGAAAAAAAGCCGGGUCAAACGAUACCUUAUUCUCCUACAACGGCAAUGUAGAAGCAACUUAAUUUUGGACAAAAAAUUGAAAAAUAGUUAAAAACAUAAAAAUUGGAAAUAAAAUAUUUGGUAUCAUUUAAUGACAGCGUGAAUAAAAAUAUUUGUGGAGUUGUGAUGAUUAAACAAUAUUGAAAUUAAAUAUAUAUGCGAUAAAAAGAUAAUAAAAUUAAAUGGAACAUUCUUAAAAAAUUAAAUGGAACGGUUCAAAAAAAAAAGUUAAAUGGAAGGAAAAAAACAUAUUGAAAUAUAAUAUUAAACAAUAAAAGAAAAGGUUCCCAGCGUGAGUUAAAAAGAGGUGCUUGUGAAAUAAAUUGUCGAGAAGUAGUUUUUUUAAAGUAACAUUGAACAAAUUUUGGCCAAAGCUCAUUCCAUUCAAUUUUAUGCAUUCAAAAAAAUACAUUUUUUUAGUAAGUAAAUAGCGUGAGUUAAAAAGAGGUGCUUGUGAAAUAAAUUAUCGAGAAGUAGUUUUUAAAGUAACAUUCAAUAAUUUUUGGCCAAAGCUCAUUCCAUUCAAUUUUAUAUUCAAAAAAAUUUCUUUUUUUUAGUAAGUAAUUAAUUGAUACUAUGUUUGACCUAACUUCUCCUUAAAAAUGUAGAAAAGUUGAAAAAAUAAAAACCGGGUCAAGCGAUACCUUAAUCUUCUACAACGACAAUGUAGAAGCAACUGAAUUUGGGAUAAAAAAUUAAAAAAUAGUUAAAGUUAUCAAAAAUAUAAAAAUUAUAAAAUAAUUAAAAAAAUUGUGAGGGGCAAAAUGGGAAAUGCACCCAUAUAAUGGUGAGGUGGCAACAACACAAUUCCACCAAUUAGAAAAUUACAAAAAUACCCCUCCUAGGGGCAAAAUGGGAAAUUUAUAGAGCAUCAACUUUAAUAGUAGUAAGUAUAUAGAUAAGAAGAUGAAUGUGCAUCAUCAUCUUAGAAUGACAAAACAAUUAUUCUUUUUCUUUUUAUGGAGGAACGAUGGAUGCUUCAAUUUGGGGAGGAAGAAGGAGGAAGGAUUUUGUGUGAAUCAAUUUGGGGAUUUUGCAAAGGUAGGGUUCUUCAAUUAUAAACAUUUUAUUUUCAGAUUUUUUUUUUUUUAUAAAUUCUAAUUAUUAAAAUUUUUAAUUUAAUUUUACUAUUAAUGAUGUGGAAAUGAUGUGUCUAAUAAUGGUAUCAUGUUAGCAAUGUAAUAUAAUGUCAUUAAUGAACGCGCUACAUCAUUCAAAAAAAAAAGGAGGACAAUAAAUUUUUGUUGACAUUUUAAAUAGGAGAUCAAAAUGUUGGUUUUAGAAAAUGGAGUAUAAAAAAUUAACAAAAUUGAGAAAUGGAACAAAAGAUAAUAAACUAUAAGUUCAAAUGUUAUUUAAAAUAGCGUCUGAAAAAUAAGUUAUAUUAGUUCGUUAUGAAAAGAGACAGAUGUCAAACAGGACUUUUUGAUCAAACGACUUAUAAGCUAUAAACUCUUCUCUAUAAGCUACCUCUUUGCCCAUAGCAAACAGACCCGUGAGUGUGGGGGGAGGAGGAUGGUUUUGUCCAAUAACACCACCAAUAGGCUUGCGGAUAAUUAUAGAUGGAGGAAGGGGGUAUGAGUAUGAUAGUUCCGGAAACACUUGGAGGGAGUAGGUAGGAAAUAGUUGGAUGCAGUAGGGAUUAGUAGAACAUGAAGAAGCAGAUGUGUUGAAUAAAGGAAGAAGGGAGAAAGCAACUAGUGAUCAAUGAUUGUGUUGAUUUAUAAUGAGAGGCUUGGAGAGAUCGAAAAGGAAAAUGAUUAACUAGUUGGUGCGCCAAAAAAAGGUAGAUGUCAGGGUGUGCUUGGAGUGGAGAUUCUUAAAAAAUGUUGCUUUGACAAUAAUAUAUAUUCUAAAUGUGAUAUAAUGGCAAAGACGAGGUUGUGCGGGAAUCUUUUGAUGGUUAGAAAUACUUUGUGAGAAGGAGAAUGGUGUUCGAUGGAUGAUUUAAUACGCGUGUAGUUCGGAAAGGGGGAAGGGGAAUAAAUUUGGAAGCUUCUUUGGGACAACAGUUAGAAAUGAAUAUUUUCAAUAAGGGAGGUGGACUUGGUGGAUGUGACCCCUCUAGAUCGUAGAUUUACUUGGUAUAAUUUAAAUGGGAGUGCGAUGAGUCAUAUUGAUAAAGGUCAAAUUAAAAGAAAAAAUGUUACAAUAAAACACAGUAUUUAUUUAAGGGGAAAAUAUUUUUUUUAUAAUGUCGAAGUUACAUGCUAACAUGAUACGACACUGUUUUAAUUCGAAGGUGUGUUAAAACCUAGCAGCAGAUCAAAGGUACAGUACAACCACAAACCCAAGGUUACUUGCUUUCCAAGGCCACAAAAGGGACCUUUAACUCUGCUAUACUCUAUUUUGUGUAAAAUAGAGUGCACAUCGAUCUUCCCCUCAGAUAUACACUAUUUUGUGCUUCAAUAAAAAUUGAAGUGUUUCAAUUAUAAAAAUUUGUGAAGCGAAAACAAAGUAUUAACCGUUAAAAUUGUGAAGCGAAAACAAUGUAUUAACCGUUAACUAUGUGAAAUGAAAACAGAGAGAAUUGAUAUAAAUCUCGUAUUCAUAUCGCAUAUUCUGUGAUUUAACUAUGUGUACAAGAAGGUUUAAUAUUAACUAACUGUGAUAGAUUCUAGAUGACUCCUACAUUUCUAAUAUUAACUUCACUUGUUCUGUACAUUCUACAUUGUUACAGAAUUUGCCAAAUUUUCAGAAAAUUACAGAAUCUGUCCAUUAUACCUUGUUACUGAUGUAAAAGCUUGUCAAGUGUUGAUUCAUCAAUUUUUAUCUCUUAAGAAACAGAGCUUUAAGUGUGAGUGGAUGCACCUCACUUAAGAGCUUUUGAACAAGCAUUUGUUCACCAUUUCUCUGAGAAUUGUAUAUAUGUCGCUUGUUGCUCUAGGGCCUGUUUGAGUAAGAGUCAGAGGCAUAUAGCAGUAAAGAUAUUAUCAGAAGGCAUCAUCAGAUCCUAUUUUACAGCACUUGAUAUGUUUUUCAUCUCUUAAUCAUUUGAGAGUGAAAUAUCAUUUAUGGACUAAUCUUUGAACCAGCAGGCAGGAUUUCGGAAGCAAGUAUUUGAGGCUUUUGUGAGCAAUUGUUUGGUGCCUAAAGAGUAACCUUCGAAUAUCACUCCUUCCACAUUUUUUUCUCCUUUUCAGCUGUUGCUUUUGCCUUCUGUCGAACCAAGCAAAGUGUUCAUGUGCUCUCCACCAAAUCCAAUAUGCAUAAGCUCUUCAAGUAAAGACCUACUCAUAAACCAAAUUAUUUUGCAGUACCAUAAAAUGGAACAGAGUCAAUAAACUAAAUUUAUUCCCUAAGUUAUCGGUAUAAUGAGUGCGAGGAAGAUUAUGUACCUCAUAUCAUAUGUUUCAUCUAAUUCGAAGUUUGAUGGCAGAGUUCCAAAGAUGUCUAGCUUUAAUUUGUUUGAUGGAGGAAUUGUUUCUUCUAGAUCAUCUGAUUCAAAAUUUGUUGGAGGAAUUGUUUCUUCUCGAUGAUUGGAUUGAAAAUUUGAUGAAGAUGCAGAUGCAGUUUCUUCUUGAUCAUGAGAUUCAAAAAUUGUUGAAGGAAUAGUUUCUUCCUUAUAUAUCCAGUGAAAUCCACACUCUUUUAUCGAUACUUCAUCAUAUAGAUCUUCUUCAAUAAAGAAUCUAAAUGUAAGCUUUGGAUUGCAACUAGUGCUGUUCACAUCAUUAAUGGAUUUUAUUUCUUCAACUGCUGCCAUUAUCUGCUUGCAACUUGCUUGAUCAUACCAAGAAACCAAAUGAUCCGAUAUCAUGUGGAUUGAUGGAUCGAAACGCAAUAACCAACUGAAGAAAUUUGCUCUUGUGAAACUUGUUAUAUAGAUUCUUUCACCUGAACUAUUGUCCAAAUAGCACUCACAUCCAAAAUCCACAUCAUAUCCCAUAUGGCCUUGAGAAAGAACCAAGUAGUACGAAAAUCCCUGUAAAUUAGACGGAAGCUCAAGAGUGACACAAACUUGUGUAGAAGAGUAAUGGAACCAAUUUUCCAUGCCAGGCAUAGCAGGUAAAAAGUACCAAAUAAUUUCAUCAUCAUCAUAUAAAGAUGGUCCAGUUUCAAUUCUAUCCAUAGCAUCUUUCAAAACUGUUUGGUAUGAAUGUGGUUCCAAAUUUUUGCAGUUAAGGAGAUAAAUAAAACAAGGAUUGGGUUCCUCAUAUGGUUCAAUCGUUGAACUCAACACUUUCUCAAGAGAUUCACAAUUCGAGACAACCAAAACUGGAAUGAACUGUGAAAGUGCCGGAAUAGAUUGAAUCAUUUUACAAUCGUAAACAUCAACACGUUCAAGUCGGGGAAGAUACUUAAUGGUUUCAGGCAAGCUUCUAAUGUCCAUACCAUCCAGUGUUAAAGACUUUAACGACGAUAGUAAGGAGAUACUAUCUGGGAAUUCAGACAAUAUAGGAAUAUAAAUAAAGGUUAAUUCUUUUACACUCUGGAAGGCAGGACUAGAAAAUAAUUUAUCUAAGGUGAUAAAAGGGUCAUCUUCACGAUUCUGUGGACUCGAAAGCGAAAUAUGAUCGGCAAAGUUUUCUGGAAGAUCCACAAGACAAUCACUGAUUGGAAAGACAAACCGUUUAAGGUUUUGUUUAUGCAAUAUUGACGAUGGAAGUUCAUUCCGAUCCCACUCUGAUAAACACAAAUCCAAACCAUCAACGGAUGAAAAUGUGACUGAGAACUCUUUGAGAUUGAUGCAAUCCCUAGCUUCCAAUUUCCGGAGCGCUGGUGAACAAGUGUUACUCGAAAGGCUCUUAAGCGAUGUACACUCGAAUACAUUUAAAACUUCAAGCUUUUGGAGAAGGAAAAUUGAUGAAUCAACUUCAGGCAUGCUUUCACAAUAACGAAGUAUUACAUGUUUUAGAUUUGGGGAACCCGACACAUUUGGACACUCUAUCAGCUUUUUGGAGCCACCGAGGUCAAGUAUCUCUAAAUUUGGCAAAUCCUAUAACAAUAUACAAUUGGUCAAACAAGUUAGUGCAUUUUCUUAAAUUCUAUAGAUUUCACAACCAAGAAGGGGGAAUAAGUAUAAAGGCUCACAUGCAUUUUUUGUUUUCCUAUUUUGAUAAAACCACAAUUUUGGUCAGCCAUUUCUAAUUAUGCAAUUUUGAUCACCUAUUUUCUAAUUACGCAAUUUUGGUCCCUAAUUUUUAGAAAUUGGGAGUAUAUAUGUAAAAGAGUCUUGCUAAUGAAUGCUCACCAUCAUUUUCCAUUAUAAAAUACUUAAAACUUUUAACAAAACCAAAAAAAAUACAAGGAUCAUACUUACCAGUACUCCAUUCCAAAGUUUUUCCACAUGGCUUCCUUUCAAUGAAAGCUCCACAAGCAUUUCAGGACAAAAGGUGGAAGGCAAAGAUUGCAAUGGAUAGCCAUCCCAUUGAAAAUAUCUUAAAUUUUCUGGCAAUAAAUCAAGACCAUGUGGAAGGUUUAUAGAUUUAAUUCCCUUGUUGUCUUGAAAAGCAAGUAACCUUAGAUUUACCAUCUUUUCAAAUGAUUCAGGUCUUAAAUUAAUAUGUGUGAAUUCAGUAGCAUCUAAAAAUAUGGAUUCAACAUUCUCAGAUCCCUGUAAAAAAGUAAAUCUCAACGUUAGUAUUUCCGUAGGAAGUUGCAUUUUGUAUAUAAAGAUCAUAUGAAUAGGAAGGCAAGUGAGGGCAUCUCUUACUCUAUUAUUUUUCAAUACAUUACAAACUUCCUUAGGAUCACAUAAUCUACUGCGUUGUCCGGGAUUCUUAAGUGAUUCUUCACGAACAAUUUGUUUUCCUGUUUCUUGUAUCAAGUCAUGCAUUUGUAUGCAAUUUUCAAAGUCAACGCUUAUAAGAGCCUUGUCUAAAAGAUUACUUAUCCCUAUAUCAGCAAAGAAACCACACUCAUUUAAUAUUUUUGUUAUUCUAUUCCUUUCAUGUCCUUUGAAAAAGCACGCAAUGUCUAAAAAUAUAUCUUUCUCUUUAUCAUCCAAUUCAUUAUAACUCAAUCUGAAUAUAAAAUCAAUUUCAGUGUUUGGAAUUUCUUUCAGUUUAGCCAGUGCACAAUCCCAUUCAAUUUCACUUUUACAACGAAGUAAUGAUCCCAAUACUUUCAAAGCUAAAGGAUUUCCUUUGGCAUAAUCAACUGCUCUUUUUGAGAGCUCCACAUAUCCAUCCUUAGGUGAGACUUUUCCAAAAGCAUUCAAGCUGAAAAGCUGGAGGGAAUUUUGGGAAUUCAUCUUCUUAACUUCAUAAAUUUUUUCAAUCCCUCCACUUAUCAAGACAUGCUUAUCCCUAGUCGUCACAAUGACUGUGCUACCAGAUCCUAGCCAACCAUGUCCUACUCCAAUCAAGUUUUGCAGAAGUUCUGAAUUAUGUACAUCAUCUAUUACAAUGAAAGAUUUCAUGCGUUUGAGUCUUCUCAUGAUCAUUGAUGGUAUUAAUUUGGAAGUAUCAAUAUCAAGAUCUUCCCUGAGUAACUUGGAAAGAAGUUUGUUGCAUGUGUAAUUGAUCCCAUGUCUCUUUGAUACUUCUGUUACCUUUUCUAAGAAGCAACUGCCUUCAUAUUUAAAAGAGACCCUUUGAAACAUAGCAGCAGCAAGGGUUGUCUUACCUGUGCCUCCCAUACCCCAAAGUCCAAUGAUUUGAACUUCUGUUAGAUCAGAUUUUAUUAAAGAUUGAAUGCUCCAAUAGUUUUCAUCAAGUAUGAAAUUACAUGGAAGAUCAUUUGUAUACUGUUGAUUUAAUUUUCCUAAUACAGCUCUAGUAAUGGCUUCAAUCAUUUCAGAUUCAGUCCUAACAUGUGCAAAAAAAAAAAAAAAAAGUUAAUACAUAUCAUAUGAAUGCCAACCAAAGGUAAAAUCCAAUUCUUCAUCUGAAUCUUAGAAUUAAAAUAUUAGGAAAAACUAACAAAAUACUCAAACAUUCACACAAUUCAUUUUCAUUUAUAUGCAUUUACAGAACAUACAUGUAUUGAAUUGGGCUUGAUCCUUAAGUGUACUUAAAUUAACAUUUUUGUUGAUCAAAGAUAAUUUUCAACCAAAUAGUAUGUCAGGAAAGGCUGUUACCAGACCAAAAUUAUAAUCGACGUAAUUCUCAAUAUAAAAAUAUCAUCAACAUUAAUGAUUAAAAAUAUAAAGCACAUGGGAAUAAACAUGUAUUUACAAAUGAUUAUUUUACUUUAUUAGAUCCUACAUAGUCUCUUUAGUUUCUGUUGUGAAUCCGGUUGAAACUCACACCAAUGAAAUAAACAAUGAUGUGUGGAGCAAGUGAUAGUGGUAAUCAAUGAGAACAAAUGGUUUCCAAGCAAACAACAACAAAGCAGCCCUAGACUAGUGUAUAGCAAAACCACACUAAGAGAUAACAAAGCAUAAACAAGAUAAGCAAGAAAGGAAGAACAAAACACCGAGAAGAUUGUUGACCCAGUUCAGCCAAUAUGGCCUAAUCUGGGGGAGAGAGCAGCUCUCCAAUCCAAUAUGAGAAAGUGUUACAAAAGGUUACAAGAAACUCUAGCCUUCAAGCUUUACACAAGACAAACCCUAGAUUCUACCCUUUGGUGUUUCCCCACUCUCACAAGAUGAACCCUAAAAAAGAGAAGUCACUAGAGGAAGCUUUUGAUCCUUCCAACUAAUGAACUCCUCACUACCCAAGGUGAUUACAAUGUUUUUCCCAACCCAAGAGACACUCUCAACAAAGACACUCAACCCUUUGGUUCCCUCCUUUGCUAUCCAAGUUCUAUCUCUAAGCUCUUCCAAGCUCUCUCUCAAAAAAGCACAAGAACACAAUAUAUACUAGUCUUCCUCUGAAGAAAUUGUGCCACGAUUUCCCACAAUCGUGUCACGAUUUGCAUCUGACCCAAGGUUGACAAGUCCUUAUUAGUGAUACUUAACGAGCAAGUUUCUGAAUCGUGUCACGAUUUCCCAAGAUCGUGCCACGAUUUGGCGUCCUGCAAACUAGCUCACGGCACCUUGAAAUCGUGUCACGAUGCCAAAAUCGUGUCAUGAUUUCUCUGUUCUUCCAGACCACAAAUUUGAAGCCAAUAACAACAGUUUCUUUAGUUUGUUAGUCUCUUAGUCUUAACUUGUUGUUGUCGUCGUUGUCUAUUAUGAUCAUGUUGAGUUUAUUGUCUUUCUAGUUCCUACCCACCGUGUAUUUUUUCGUGUGAACUAAGUAGGUAUCAUAUACGCACAAUUGCAAAGAAUAAUCUUUCAAGUUGCAUAUGAUUAUAAUAGAUGGUAAAACUGUCCUUCAAAAAAUUUAUUUAAUGAUGUUGCAUUUCAUGAUUUAAGAUAUUCGGUGAUUCUUUCCUUUUCAUAUUAGUAACAUAUUUUACUAAAAAUACAAGGGAAUCUAGUUACCCAAGAGUAACAUAUUCUGUCCUUCAAAAUUGAUUUAAGUUGUUAUUUUCUAGUUUGCACUCAACUUGAAUAUGCUUCUAAACCUUAUGAUUUUUUAGCGAUUUAUUUUUUUUGCGUUUUCAUCAUAGUCAAUAGAUCAUAUAGCGUCAAUCUUCACUCAAUUGCGAUCAAUUAGCAAAUUUGAUAGGUUUUGAUGAUGAUGGAUAAUUGAAAGGUGGGGAUUCCGCAUUCAGAUGGAUGAGUGGGUUGAGAUUGGUGGUUCGGUUAGGUAAUCAGGGUUAUGUAAAACAAAAUGUUAAAUGAGCAAUAAUUCGGUAGUUAUCUAACGGAGGUAGAAAAUCGAAAUUUUUAAAAUGAACAUCCGAUAGUUAUCUACCGGAUGUACAAAAUAGAUUUUUUUUUUCUUUUUAAAAUGAACAUCCGGUAGUUAUCUACCGGCUGUACAAAAUGAUAUUUUUUUAUAUGAACAUCUGAUAGUUAUCUACUUGACGUGUUAUUAAGGACAAUUUCAUAAUUUUAAGAGGUCUAAAGAGAUAUGAGAGGGGGGGCCUAAAAAGAACCUUCCUUGUUAGUUUACCUAGAAGCAAUAUAAUUAAUGCAAAAUUACCAUAGGGUUCAUUCUCAAGACACCAAAAACACAUUACCUCGUGCAUUUUUAUACGUUAGAUUUUUUUUUUGUUAAACCUUUGUUUCUAAGGGAAGGUGCCUCUUUUUUUUUUUUUUUUUUUUAUAUUUUUUAUAAUUUCUUUUAACCCUAUUGUUGAAAUAAAUAAAUAAUUUUUCAUCUCCCUUUCUUUCUCUGGCCCUCCAUCAUAUACUUUCUUUCUUUCAUCUUUGUGUUCUCUUUACCUGCUUUGGUUGUUUUUUUUCCAUAUCAUUUUUUUUUUGUGCUUUAUAUAUAUAGGAAUAGUACUAUAUUAUUAGAGUUUUGCGUCGGGGGUUUACUAGUAUAAAUUCCAUACUGAAGUUUUAUUGCAUAAGAUUUUCUAUGAUAUAAUAGGAAUUUUUUUACUGAAAUAUUCUUAUUUCUUUCAUUGUAUUCUUAUGUGAUUAGGUGCUUUUAGAUGUGAACAAUGAAUUGUAACAAUUUCCUUUAAAAAAUAAAGAAUUGUAACAAUCUUUUAGAUAUUUAUUAAUUAAUUAUCGAUUUUAAUCACAGAACCAUGAUUUAGAGGUUUCUUCGGUUCGAUCUCCGAUCUGAUUUUUACAACAUUGAUAUUAAUUUGACGGGCAGACCGAUAAAAUUUAAUUUUAAUGUAUGCAAAAACAGAAAAACCUGUAUGUGGUGGAAUGAAAACCAGACAAAUUAGCUGCUUGAAAAAGAGCAUUCUUCCAAUUUUGCAUCAUCUUAUCAUCAUUUUUGCCUUGUUUCUUGUGUUUAAUCAACGCAGUGCCAUAACUACCAGUCUGCUUCCGCACGUGUGAAGGGUCAACAUGGUAGAACACUGGAAUAACAACAACCUUGUCAUCUUCAUUUUUGUUACAACACUCCAUUAUUUCAACAAGUUCGUUCAAACACCAUGUUGAAGAGGCAUAGUUUUCCGAGAACACCACAAGAAAUAUAGUGGAUUGUUUGAUUGCUUUCACUAGUUCUACCCAAACUUCAUCUCCUUUCUCGAUCCUGUAGUCUAUGUAGGUAUAAAUCUUGCUUCGGCACAAAUCAGCGUAAAGAUGGCUUGUGAAUCCAGCGCGAGUGUCAUCACCUCUAAAGCUGAUGAAAACAUCAUAUUUCUUCAUAGGCAUAGUAGCAGCAUGAGAAGAAGAAGAAGAAGAAGAAGAAGAAGAAGAAGAAGAAGAAGAAGCCAUAUAAUCUAUGAGUUAUUGUCCUUAGAAUGUGGGAAUACCCACAUGUAUAAAAGCACAUUUUCAUAAUGUGUGUGGACCCUUCUUUAAGCACUUUGCAGAAAAAUGGGAUGAUAAAGUGGAACACCAUGAGUGAUGCCUUUACUUUUUCUUUUGAUUUAUAGCAUAUGAUUUAUUCCUUUUUUUUUGGCAGUAUUUUUUUUAUAGUAAGGUUAGCAGUUACCGGAUGGAAUAUGGGAUUUCUUAGAAUUCCUUCUUUUUUUAGUGGUGGCCGGGGUUCGAAUUUCGGACCUUGCAUAUUUUAUGCAUUGUCCUUAUCAACUGAGCUAAGCUCACGAGGACUUAGAAUUCCUUCGAUGUUUCUUUAAAAGUAUUUAUUUUUGUUGAAUGAAAUUUUAUGUUUGUUUUGAUCCGAUAAAAGUGAAUAUCCAGUAAAAAUUGCAUUUAUCUAGUAUGUUUUACUGUUUUUAUGUUAUGUGAUCUAUUUGUUUCUUCUAUUUAUGUAGUGAUAAUUUUAAUUUUUUUUUUUUUUUUUUUGUGCUUUAGUUAGGAAAGAGGAAUGGGUUCUGAUGGAAUCAAAGCUAAUUUGAGAUUUUGACAUUUGAGGAUUAGAAUUUUAUUCUCUUAUAUUUAGGAAUCAAAGCCAAUUUGUCUUGAAGAAUUUUAUCUUGAAGAAUAAAUGUGUGAAAAAUUUGAGAAUUUUAUUCUUUUAUCGUGUGAAGAAUAAUUCUAAUAUGGAAUUGAAGAUAAUAUUUUGGCCAUCUCAACAAACAAGAACAUUAAUGUGAAAAAAUCCGAAUUUAAAAAAUAUGUAGGUUGUAGGAAUUACAUUUUAGUUCAUAAUCAAUCCAAAAAGAGACUCUGUAUCCGAUGUAAUCUAUCAAUUUGAAUGAAUGAAUAUCAUUUAUUUUUGUCAAAAAAAAGAACAUUAAUGUGAUUAAUAACGGCAGACCUUGGUAGAUGAUGGAUAUAGAACACGAGGAUAAUGAUAAUUUAUCUCAUGUGCAUAAAACACUAAGGGUGUGUUUGGAUUGAGGGUUUAGGAGGCGAAGGAGGGAGGAAUUUACAUUUUUUUUAAUUACGGACUAUAUAACAUGUUUUUCUAAAAUAAAUUAAGUGUGAUUGAAGUAUUAUACGAUCGUUUAUCAAGUUAAUAUGUUAAUUUUUUUAAAAACAUUUCAUAGUGUCCGUAUUUUAAAAAUGAAAAACCACCAAAUUAAGUGGUCGAGUUUAUUAUGACGUUGGUAGUCUGUUACGGCUAACCUUAAUGGUUUUGGGUCUUUUAGCAACACUUAUGAAGUGUUACAAAUUUAUUUCUUGCCUGUGAUUCAUCGAAGAGGCAUUCCACAAAGUUCAUUUAAUUAUCUUACCAUCAUUUAAUCUCUUCAUGAAUUACAUGUUCCCCGCAGAUUCAUUGUCUUUUACCCCAUUUCUCUUAAUAUAUUAUCUAUUUAGUGAGAAAUAAAAAAAAAAUUGUGAUACUACUCCUAAUUAAAAGUUAAUAUACUAAUUUGUUUAAUGAAAUAGACGAAUAACCAUGUUAUCAUGGAACAUGUUCCUUCCUUAAAAAUAAAACCUUGUUAUGAUGGUGUUGCAAGAAUUUUCUCUACUUUUGGCACAUCCGUUAUAUAGAUUCGAAGAUAACCCGUAAUCAAUAUAUAGGAGGCAAUGCUAGAACAUCAAUCAUUCAUACCAUGAGCCCUACAUGCAUGGAGUUAUGUUGAACAAACCAAAAACACCCUCCCAUUUGAAAGGUGUGCUAAAGAAGUGGCAACUAGUUCUAGAACGGUUGUAUUUGACUUUAAUGAUUAUUUAAUCAGUGAUACAAGAUAGACCUAAAUGAGAAAAGCACUAUUCACAGUUUCUUAAAUUUGUCUAUUUAAACCCAUGUUUAAUCGUCGACAAUUAAGUACCUUCAAAAUAUGUUUUAGGUGAAUAGUUUUUACAAUCAUGCCUAAUCAGUUUUGAUAAGAAAGGCUCAUUAUAAUUAUAAAAAUAAAAAAAAAAAUUAAAUAGCUUGGAUAUAACAGCGAAAUUGCUAGGAAUUUUAGCUAGAGUUUUACUGCAAAAUUGUUGUGACGAUAUAUCCUAGCGAUAUAGUUACGACACAUAAACUUUUGAACAAUAUUUUACUAUAAUUUAAUUGGUAAUUAGCUACAAUUUUUUCAUAUAUUAUUUUCAUUUUAGCUAGUAAAUAUUUUGCCAGAUCAUUUUCCGUUCAAUGCAUGCUAUGACAGCUAAUUCAUAAUUAUUCUCUAGCUAAAUGUAUUUGCGCUAGAGAUUAGCUACAAAUUUGCUUAGAUUUCAAUCUUGCAGCUAAUGGCAGAUUUUCUUGUAGUGCACGCAUAAUGAUUUUGAUUUAUUAUAUUGCCUAACUAUAAUUUAUCAUGUCAUUUUUUGUGCCGAUCAAGAUUCACUUCAAUCAAUAUUUUACCACAUUCACACAUUCGAAAUAUCUACAGUAGUUGGAUCAAGAUCAAAAGAUCAUGAUCUAACGACCGCUGAUAUGCCAAAGAUGAAUGUAGAAAAAAUAUUAAAUACUGAGGCUGAAUUAAAAUAUUAGGAAGAACAAGAACAAGACAAAUACAAUCUAUGUAUAGUAUACCAUAUAUUUUGCAAAUUAAACAGUGAGAUUUGUGGUCACAACUACAAACUAAAUAGGAAAUAAUUUGAAAUGAACCUAAAAAUAAGUGGUUUCCCUAGAGAAAGUCGAAGAUUUAAAAUCAAGGCCGCAAAGGAAACCUGUAAUUUCAAACCAUGAAGGCACUAAAUGUAGGUGGCAAUGACACGAAAUCUAACCAUUUUGAAGUUCUAACUCCCUUCUUAGUAGUGGCGGAGCCUUUCAUGGGCUGGGGUGGGCCACGGCCCACCCGAAAAAAUUAAAAAAUCAACAAUUAUAGGUCUAUUUUGUGAGAUUUUAUGCAAUUUUGUGUCGAUUUUAUGUUUUGGUUGAUCCAAAUUCUUGCAAAGUGGUGUAGUGGCCCACCCGAAAAUUUAAAUAAUUCAAUUAUAGUUUUAUUUUGCGAGAAUUUAUACAAUUUUAUGUCGAUUUUAGGUUUCGGAUGAUCCAAAUUCCCGCAAAUUGGUGUAGUGGCCCACCCGAAAAAUUUAAAUAAUUCAAUUAAAGGUCUAAUUUGCGAGACUUUAAACAAUUUUUCAAUAGUUACUUUUAGUGGCCCACCCUGACAUUUUUUUUCUGGCUCCGCCACUGCUUCUUAGCCAUUAUUUCAUUAGUUAAAUUUACUUUGAAAUCCAGAAGUCCUAGCUCAACUGGCAAAAUGCCGAAAUUGUUAGGCCGGAUGUCAUGACCGGGGUUCGAACCCCGGUACCUCCACUUGUGUGUGUGAGUUUAUAAUGGCUUUGCCAUUUCGUCUAUCUACCAAAAAAAAAAAUUACUUUGAAAAUUGAGAUUCACUUUGUAGCCAUGAAACGGUUUUAUAACAGAGUGAAUUUGAGAUUCACUUUGAUAUAUAUAUAUAUAUAUAUAUAUAUAUAUAUAUAUAUAUAUAUAUGUAGUUUCUUUGGAAACAAAUAGGUCAUGGAAGGAAAUGGGAGAUGCAGAGAAGAGCCGGUCGAUAGAAAAAGACUAUUGUUUUUUGGUAUUGUCGAUCUUACUAACAUCUUGUUUUAAUUUUUUUUUACUCUUUCAAUUAUUUAAAUAUUUAGUAUGUAUAUUUUUAUCAUUGAAUUAGAUUUUAUCCUUUAUUUAGUAGAAAAUUAAUUUCAGUAUAAAUAUCAUAAAUUAAUUUUUAUUCGAAUUUGUAGUGGUAAAUAAAAAUAAACGAAUUAAAUUUAAUAAAUAGUAUUAGGUUCUAGUGAAAAACACAAAACUGUUGGUAAAAGGCAUGUUUUUUUUGCUACUUUUAUUCAUGACGUUUACGCACCGGAUAAACCGUAGGUAGAACUUAAAACUUUUGGUGACAGUCACUUGAACUUUUCCUCUCAGACACAACCCUUGAAAUUGGGCGUACGUAAUUGACGCCUUUUUCUAGUAUUGAAGGACUUCUAUGGACAAAUAUUAUCUUUCUGUUGAUGUCAAAUUUCUUGAAGUGAUAUGUUGGGGGUAUAAGUGUGAAUAGUUUGUUGGAACAAAAUGUGUUUCACAAUGAACCUUAAUGAGUUUUGAUGAUAACAUGGUAUUAAAAAUUGUCAAUUGGUUAUUACUAAUUAUUGUUCAAGUGUACAGGACCAAAGGCUAGUCAAGUAAUUUCAACAGGUCUUGGAAGAACAAUGAAAAGCAAAAGAAUUCCAAGCAUCUGAAGAAAACUGCUCCUGAAGUUGAAGUGCUUCUGAAGUGAUGACGUCAUCAGAAGCAAGGUUUUCAUCAGAAGCUAUAUCUUCACCAGAAGCUACAUUUGAUCCUUUAAUCAAUCUGAAGAUUCAAAGUAGCUGGUUCUCAAUUCAAUCUUAUCUAAGAAGAACGAAGAAUUGAAAGGGAUGUACCAACGGUCAUAUGGAUAGCACUGAGCAUUUGUCCCUCGUUAACAGAGUUGACAAAGUACAAGUGUACAACCACUACCUCCACUACUCUGUUUUUGUCCACGCUACAAGACAAGACAACAGCUAUGCCUGCAUAAUUUGUGUCCUCAAGAUGGGAAUGAAUUUGAAGCUUAUUCUUCAAAGGAGUACACUCAAAUCAGGCAAAGGAUUACUGGUGGAUGAUCAAAGGAUUUCAAACGACUCUUUAGACGUUCUGAUUAUCUCAACGUCUCUUUCACGCCUCUAUAUAAAGGAGUGAAGACUUGAAGAUUAAAGAUAGAGAUAUACAAGUUCAAAAGCGCCAAAACUCUGUCAAAUUGAUUCUACAAAGCACACUGAAUUUCUGCACUGAUUUGAUACAUCUUAGAAAUUCAAAGUCUAGAGUCUUUAUUGUAUUGUAUUGAGAACACCACUGAUUGUAUAUCAAGUGUUCAAGUCAAACUCAAUUCUCUGUAUUUUUGUUUGAUCAGAAGUCUCUUGCCUGCGUGCUUGAGCAUUAGAAGUCUCUUGCUUAGUGCUUGAGCAUUGGAAGACUCUUGCGUGUGUGCUUGAGCAUUUUUGUGAAGUCUCAUACUUAGAAAGUAUUGAGCAUUUGUAAUCUUUGUGAUUAUAGUGAAAUCUCCUUGGAAGUGCAAGGGGGACUGGACUACUUCCGUGUUGUGGAAGGAACCAGGAUAACUGCUUGUGUCUUUGUCUUUCUUUUCUCUGCUCUGCUCUGUUCUUUUCCGCUGCAUAUCUAAUUCUGAUCAUUUCAUCAGAAGCACUCACAAACUGCUUCUGAAGGUUUAUCAGAAGAAGAUUUUUAGAGAGAAAAAGAAAACACAAUUCAACCCCCCCUUCUUGUGUUUUUCUCACCUUCAUAGUUUAGUCUCACAUCGACUAUAAAUUAAUUAAAUGUAGGAUAUAUAACUUAUAAGAGUGGCGACUCAUGCCUAAUGUCUUAAGGUUUUGGGGUGGAGAAGUUGUGUCCAAUCUCUUGAUGGUCCUGAUCAUUUACCAAUUGUUUCUCUUAGCGCUCUCCCGGACUCUGCAACAAUAUCUUGAAAAACCAAAUGGUUAUAAAAUCGUUAACUUGCAUUGCUUUUUCAGCACUGUCUUGUUUUUGCCAUGCCAUAUUGCAAAUUUACACUACUAGAUUUGCACAAACCUUGGUGUUAUUAAUUAACUUUUUCCAAACAUAAACUCUUGUAUUUCAUAUCACAUGUCUAACACAUACAAGAGGUACACACAUCAUGAGUAUUUCUUAUUGAUGUAAAGUAAACCAUAAAUACCAACAAACAAACAAACAAACAAACAAACAUAACAACAUGACCAUGAUGAGGUAAUUUGACUACUUCACACAUUUUAUUUAAAGCAACAGAACAAACAAUGAAACUCAUUAAAUGGAGAUACUAUUAGGAAUGCCUCUGCCAGUCAAUCCUUCCUCACUAGAAGGAUAAAGCAGAGUGUAUGGCAUCUUCACAGGCCCGUAUCGGUUUCUCAAUGACUCAUCAUUGUUCCUUUUGAUGAGCUUUGCCUCAAUUUCAGCCAACUUCCUUCCAAACCUCUUGAAAGCUUCUAAUGGCUGUGAAUCAAAAGUCCAAGCCUCACCUUCAUUUCUCUGUCCAAGGUAUUGCUCAUCAGAAGCAUGCCUUGACAAGACCUCUAUGAUUGUAAGGUCAGUUAGGGUAUCAUUUUUUGGUGUGAUUGUCCUCAGAUACGCCUUCUGAAAGUUCUUAGAAAGCUCGUCAUACUCAGCAGACCCUUUCUUAGGCAUGUGUCUCCGGCUCUUAGUUGGUCGGUUAAGUAUAUAUCCUCCAUAUGGGUAUUGACCAAAAUUAACAGCUGCAUGAUGUGCUGAAGCAAUCCAUAUGAGGAUAGUGCAAGCUUCAAUCAACUCUGUACAAGUUUGCAUCUUAAACCACCAUGUAGCAUUCUUCAAAUCACCAUGACCCACCUCUACAACUUCUCUCCAAAAUGCUUGCAGUUCAGAAUCUUGCGCAACAGCAACAUCUGACUUGUAGUAGAAAUUCACAUAUUCUUCAACCCAUGACUUGAUAGCAUCCCAUAUCUCUAGUCCAUCAGCAGCAUAAGGGUAGUCCUCUAUCAGAAGGCGAAUUCCAUGUGGGGAAGUUGGAUCCUCAACAGCCACUCCUCUAGAUAUAGCAUGCAAGGAAGAUAUCAUUAACAUAAAAAAUACUUUUGACAUCAAUAUCUUUUUUACCAAGAUUAUUAAAUUUCUAUUGUAGUCACAAUCCUAGCCAUUAUAGAGAAUUGCGGUAAAAUAUAGUUGAUGCCUUAUCUUAGAUCAUGGUUACUAGCAUUAUUUCAAUCCUUUUUUAACUAAUGAAUGAGUAGUAACUAAUUUUUUUUUGAAGGUUACCUUUUAAGUAGAUCAUUAGGUAGUCCUUGAUCUGGGAAAACCCAAUCCUUAUAUAAUACAGAAGACAGUUCUAUAGAAUGACUUCCCAAUAAGAAUGUUGAUUCUAUAAUACCCUCUGCAUUUACCAAGACACUCCUUGCAAGUGCAUUAAUGUUCAUUGUGUCACGAUAAUGUGGAAGCAGAAGUUUGUGAAUAGGGUGAACCACACUAAGAUGCCUAUUAGUUGCUAUGAUGAAUGGCUCAACAACAGCGUGCGUGUUCAACCUGUUACACAUGUAGAUAUUCAUGAAUCAAUCUUAGAUAUAUAAAAUUAAAUAUGUUUGAUUCUAUAAAAAUUCAUCAACAUAAUUGUACCAGUGGCUGACAAGUUGGUGAACAGAAGAGUCAUUUACAAUAACAUAAGCCUUGGCAAGGAGCCAAAUAGAAGAUUCAACACCUUCCUUUGCAGGCAAGUAAACAUCACUAACAGGACCAAAGCUAUCAGCCUGAGGAUGUGGGCUACUUAGCUCAAUGGCUAAUGGCUUCAAAGUUCCAUCAUUUUGUAAGAAAAUGAUAGUUCUAGUAGCAUAUGCCUUUGUUGUAUCAGCUGCAUUUAUUUUCCUCAGAUAUGGAUAUAUUGAGUCAUGGUGAUCAAGUAUGUAAAGCCUGUUGUUUUGGAUAGCCUAUUGAACAAAAUAUAAUUUAGUCAUUGCAAUUAUUUGAAUAAUAAAUAACCACAAAAUAACAUUGUCAAAGUUAAAUUAUAUGCAUAGUAUUAAUGUUAAACUAUGUCAUUACUUCUUCUACAGUGACCCCAUCCAUGUUUAGCUCUAACUGUUCUUCGGUUAUUGUGCUCGUAUUAUCACCAUAAUCGGUAUUUAGCUUGCUCUUUGGUGGGAACUCCUACAUUAUAUAUAACAAGUAAUACUGAAAUUAAGAUUGAAAAUAUAGUAUGUAAAGUGGACAAAAUAGAGUUUAAUUUUGUGUUUGUAAAGAAAUCGUUAAACUAUUAAGUUUACCUGAAUUCUUUUUAUAAUGUGUGGAUUCACACCAGCAAUCAUCUCCCUUGCAAAUUCUUCAUCAGUCAUCCACGCAGACUGAUUAACUGCUCAAAAUAAGAGCAUUGCAAAUGAUCUGUAAUAUUUUUAUUUAUUCUAUGAAAAUAUAUUGCUAGGACUAACUAAUAGAUACCUUGAAUCACUUUAGGCGGUGGAAACUUUAGGGCCGAUUCACCAUCAGUUCGGAAGAGUUCCUUGAAAAAUGGUAUGGGGCUAAGUUUGCUAAGUAUACUAGUAGGUAAUUUAAUCCCACCAUCAUAAAAUGAUCGCACAUCAUCAAAGCUAUUAAAUUCUGGCUUAUUGAGUUGUAAUGUAAUUGCAGAUUGUAAUUGAGGUAUGAAACUUUGAGAAGCUGAUUUGAGUAUGUAAACAAGAAAAUCUGAAGACUUCAAGUGACCAAAUGCUUCAUCUCUUGGAACGUAAACAAAGUCGUCCCGUCUCUCACUUUUAGGAUCUGUUCACAUACAAAAUUGAAGACACGCAUUAGCAAGUACUAGCAAAAAGAUCGAUAACUUUAAAGUCAUAAUAGAGAAAAUGUUUUGAUCACAGCACCAUUAAUUUAAUAUGGAACUUUAAAAUUAUAACCUUUUUUAGCUGGUUUCCUGCCGGUUCUGCCCCUUCGAGGGUAAGGCAAGGUGUCGGAUCCUCCAAUAACGGGACGAGCCAAGUGUGCGUACUUGUCAGGAUCACCCAAGUCAUUGUAAACAUCGUAGUCAUAGAUUCUAUCGUGUUCCUUGCGCUGACCCGUUCCAUCUCCUCUUAAAGUCUUCAAUUCUUCUUCUCUAUAGUAGACUAAUGGAGCUGGUGUUUCACUUGGAAGGUAUGUCUAUAUUUUUAUUUAUUUGAUGGUGUAAGAUUUCAGGAAAUAUAGUUCAUAUUUAAAGGUCUUGCUAACAAGUGCCCUAAUGUUAAGAUUAAAAUAUUGAAACCAGUUGAUAGCUUUCAUGUAGAAAAAAUUGUUUUUUGAUGUUCCAAUGUGUUAACAUUUCACUAUAUUUAACAUGCACGAUAAAUAUGGUAUAUUCAUUACCUUGUUGGCGAAGAAGAUGCGUUUCGUUUUAUACUUGUCAGCACUGUAAAUCCAUGAGUUGCAUACAAAGUUGAUGGUUCCAUGGUUUGGAAUAUCUUCAAGUGUCAAACUUACAAGGAAGAAUUCUCGUGUCAUGUUACUCUCAAUAUAAAAUGCUCCUGGAACUCCCAUGUCACUAUUCCAUUCAAAAUGAAUAUCAUAUGCAGACUGUCCUGCUCCCAAAAUUGGCAUGGAAGUAACAAAACCUUCAAUAAAUGUUUUCUCUCCGACUUUCCCUUUUCCGCUUCCUACAAAUAUGUUACAAGUUUGAUUUACAAUUUCAGCAAUGAUAAUACUCCCUCCGUCUCACAUCAGGUGUCACAUUUGAGUUUUACACAAUUAUUAAAAAAAUGAUUAAUAAUUUUGAUUUUAAUGAUAAAUAUGUAUCAUUUACUAACAUACUUUUAUUAAUUAUAAUUAGUGGAAUAUUUUUAAAUGAUUCAAAUACAAUAGAUACAGAUAUGUUAAAAGAAAAUAAUAAUAAAUAUUGUAUUAUUAGUGUUAUAAAAGGGACAAAUAAAUUAAGAAAAAAAACAUAUAAUUUAAGACGGAGGGGAAAAAACAUCUAAUUUGAAACGGGGGAGUAACAUUCAAGAUUAAUUUAUGUCAAAGUAACAAAUUACUCUUUUUGUGCCAAAAAAAUAUUAAUUCUUUCCACCUGAAUAAAGUGUUUUAUAUAGGAGUUGAUAGUUGAUUAUAUCUUUCAUGCUAUAAAUAAGUUUUUGGUCCCUUUAAAUAUCUCAAAUUUCAGUUUUUAUAGUUCAAAAUAUUUUCAGCAAAAUUUGGGUUUGCUAAAAAUAACUUAGAAGGAAAAACUUGCCAAAUUGUUUUAGAGAGACUAUAUAUAAAAUUUUAGAUAUUUAUACAGUAUCCCUAAAAAAAAAAAGAAAUUUAUACGGUAGAAUUAUUUUUUUUAACCCAUUUUGUAAUGAUAAAACAAAAGGGAAACUGAAUUGAAUCUUAUGGACUAAGGGUCAAAUAAUAGAGGAAAAAAAAAAUCAAAUUAUUGAUAAGUAUUAAUAAAAAAAUUAAACCUCACAAAGAUUAAUUUAAUGUAUCAAACUAAUAACUGAAGACUAACAUAUCAUAUGAUUUUCUAUGUAAAAUGUUACCAGAUCGAAAAUCAUAUGAUAUGUUAAUGAGGUAAAUCAAGACUAACUUCUGAUGUGUGUGUAUAAACUUCAAUUCAUUUGUAAACUUUAUUAAUGUUUACUCGUUAAAGCGUUAUUGAGCAGCGCAACACUGUCCAAAUACUAUAUGUGUUCAGUGUUGUAAAUUUAUGACGAGCAUUAUGUAGUCUUAGAAUGAGAAAUGAAUAAGUUUAUUACCAUCGGCAGUGGUAGCACUGAUCAACCUGAGAGCCACAGAACGGCCGACAAAGGCCCCGGCGGUGUCAAUUAGAGUGCCGGCGACACCACCAACAGCCUUGAUUCCAGUUUUGACCAAAUUAGUGGUGUUUUUAGUUGCACCAUUGAUGGCAUUGAUGUCGAAAACAUUUGUUUGCAUCAACACAACUGUGCCCUUCACCUUUUGGCCUCUCUUAAGCAUACUUUUGAACCCUGAAUACAUCUUAAUUUGCUGCUUAAAUUUUUUUUUUUGCAAAUUAAUGAGAGAAAAGUUUGUGGCUGGCAAGAUGCAACCAUCUCAUUAUUUAUAGGGCCAAAAUUAAGCUUCUGAUUAAGAACAAAUAAUUUUUUUUUAAUUGAUUAAUUGAUCAUUGACAUCGUGCAAAAACUAUUAGUAAUAGGCUAAUCGUGGAAUAUAAAAUAAUGAUGUAUUUUAUUAUAGAAAGAAGAUAACAAUAUGUGUUACACAAUCAUAUUAUGACAAAUGGAUUUUUGAACUAUAGUUAAUUAGAUUCUAACGCGUACACCAAUAGUAAUAGGCUAAUCGUGCAAAAAUUAUUUCCUGAUACGAGGUCGUCUUUCUUUCCAUUGUUAAUAAUAUCCCUUCUCACAACUCACAUUCACAUACCGUAACCAUGGUUCAAUUUAAUAAUAUUAAUAAUAAGAGGAUGUACAAGAGUUAAUUAAACUAUGCAAGUGCAACUCCUAUAUGAUUUUAAGAUGAACAUAACUCAACUCUUACAAAUAUGAUUUGUAAGGUGAGGGGUUUCCCACUUAUAAUAAACUCAUUUUAUCUUCAUUUAAUAUAGAACUUUUACACUGCUCAUAUAUGUUUAAGAAUGGACGACAGGAGUGUGACUCGAGUUGUAUGAAAAUAGAUGAUCAAAUAGAUUUUAUUACGACUAUAAUACAUAAUGAAGGUUGUCCCCGUGAGCAUACUCAGUUGAUAGGGACAUACAUAAUUAUAUGCAGGGGUUGGGGUUUGAACCCAGACACCCCACUCAUUCACCUUGAAAAAGGUGAAUUCUAGCCACUAGAUUAAAAAAAAAAAAAUUAAGAAUUCAUUUUCAGGUAUAGUUUUAUCAUCAAGUGUGAAACUAUUAAUAUAUGCAAUGUUAAAAUAUAAAAUAAAUUUGUUUUUAUUUUUUAUCGCAAGAUUUAUCAUUAAACUUUAUUUAGUUGUUUUGACUCAUUCCUUUUUCUAUAUUUUAGCUGUUUUAGUUGAAUGUAGUUCCGUUAGAACUAAAAUUUAAGUUUUUUUUUUUUUUUUUUUUUGGAAAGUUCCAUGAAAAAGAAAUUAGUUUUUUUUUUUUCUUUUUUUCUAGUACUGCAAACUUUAAAAAUAUAAUUUUUCUGAAUGCUUUUGUAUGAAUGAAUUUUGAGGAGUGUUAGAAACACUCUCUUUUUAACACCUACAUUGAUAUUUAAUUUACUCUUUUAUUGAAUGAAUUCAUUGAUAUUUACUAUUUUAUUGAAUAAAUUAAAUGUGUAUUAUACAUUUUAAAAUGAGUUUCACAUAAAAUGGUGGAUUCCAUAGAUUUCGUCAAAUAAAAUAGUGGAUGUUAGAAAGAAUGUUCAACUCUAUGGUCUAUUCACUAAUAUUUUCACACCCCACAAAAUAUUUCUAAUACAAAAUAUUUUGUCAAGAUUGAAUAAACUUUCAAAAAAACUUGAGCUAAAUUUUCCAGAAGAAAAAACUGUUGAUUGGAAUACACGGGGAAUUUUUUUUUGGAAUUUUAGUCACGCUUCAAAUGUGGUUAAACUGCCGAAUUUGUAAAACGUAAUACUUGGAAAAAGAUUUCCAAAAUUUUAUCCAUAGUUGCUAAAAAUCCUGAGGAAAAUUCAAUGAAUCUGCCGUUUAGUAUCAUUUCAAGAAACUUUUAAUCAAUUGUAAAAAACUUUUACUUACCAGAAAUAUUUUGUCCGAGUUAAAGUCAAAUGACAAAAAGAUAAAAUUAACAAUAGAAUUUUUUAUAGUUUGUAGGGAGGAGAUGUAUGAAUGCAGGGGUAAAGAUUAAAGUGAAUUUUUAUUUAAACUAUAGAGCAAAAGCAAAAGCCCGCGACAUGUGCAAUGAGGCUAAGGCUUUGUAGAGCAAGAGUGAUUUUUUAUUUUUUCACAAGAGUUGUUAGGGCAAUGAGGACUACCCUACUCUUCCUACCCCACAAAGUAUAUAACAUGUCUAAUUUAUUUCCAACGACUUUAAAUUAUUGAGGAAUAGGAGUUUAGUCCUUUCAUCAUUUCAGUUUUUGGGAUCGAAAAAUUGAAAAAGUCAAAAUUUGAAUUUUUUUUUUAAUGUACUAGUUUUUCUAGUCCAUACGAAGAGAUACAUAUCAUGUGAAAUUCACACAUAAGACUGUAAGAUUAUAAGUUUGAAGCGGACAAAGAUGUUCAAACUAAAAAUAUUGAUAUUAGUCAUUGAAAUAGACCAUGCAGACAAGAAAAUAUUAGUUUUUGAAAGAAAGAAAAAACAAUGUUACGAGGAACUCAAAUUUUGAGUUUUUGAUAAAUUAAAAAAUUUGAAAAAAUGGGAGUAUUUGUUAACAUUUCCCUAUAAAUGAAAACGAUAAAACCAAACAUUUUAAAAGAAUAUAGUAGUAUGAUUUUGAGGGGUAGGUAGAAUAAUUCUUCUGGAGCGAUAAUGCUAUGAGAAGAGCAACCAAUUGCAUAUACUUGGAUAUGGUUUGGAAGGAGCACAUUUUCCAACUCAUUAAUUAUUUUAGAGAGUGACUAAUUUUUUUUUUUGUUAGACAUGGUUACACGUAAGUACAAGUUUAGUUAGGGGUGCCCUACUUUCGUGUGGUGAAUUCGAUGAUUUUUGACUUUGGAUCGCGUGUUCAAUUUCAUCAUUCUUGGAGAGAAUGAGACUUUUUAUCUUGCACAACUCUCGAGUCUCCUUCUAAUUAACUUUAUAAACUUAUUUUUGAUCAUAUCUUUGGGGCUUGCAUACUUAGAAGUGUUUGUUUUGAUUUGUAGUUUUUCUUUGGGCUUCGACCAUCUUUUGUACCAAAACAAGAGAUUACUUUUUGCGUCCAAUGAGUUUCUCACGCACCAUAUUUUUUUUUUAAUACCCUUUAGAUUCUAUAAUUCAAACAGCACUUCAGCUUAUAUAAUCUGAAAACUUGUAUUUCCAAUAUUUACUUAACAUCGCUGAUUUACAAAACAUCAUUGACAUAUACUAUUAAGAAAACAUAAUUGAAAAUGACCAAAAAUUGAAACAAAAAUGUAGAGACAUAAAAACGAAUUCAAAUUCUCAUUAUAUUAAUAGAUCAUAUCUUGAAAGUACAUUUACAUUAACAUCAAAGCAUAUUACGCAAAAUUAUUAAACAUCUAAUAUUAAACAUAUGGUGCAAGAAGAUCAUGUAGGGGUAAAAAGAAUAUGAUGGAGGGGGAAGGAGGUUGGAGUAAGGUUUUUUUUUUUUUUUUUUAGGAUGAAGGAUACUUUGAUGGUCAACCUUACACCUAAACAUAUCAAAUUUACAUCCAAACAUAUGGUACAAAUUUGCAUAGUGGCACCAUCUUCGUUGAUCGCUCAUACGAUCGCUAAAAUAAAAGAGUAACCUUUUUGUAUAAAAGGUCAACGAUGGAAGCAUAUUAAUUGUGGAAGAAAACAGAAGGAGAAAAUGUGAAGAAUGAGAAUUUGUGAAGGAUUGGUGGGUAUUUACAGGAGGAACUUGUGAAGGAUGAUGCAUAGAGUGUAUAAGACCAUUGAUUACGGUCAAAAAACGUGGUAAACCUGGUUCGACCGGUCAAUGAAACUGAUAUGACCAAAGAAAAACUUGUUCAAUGAGUUAGUCUUGCUGAGCUGAUUCGAACUCUGAACUAGUUCAUAUUAGGUAAUUUGAACUCAUCCCAGGAAUGUUAUUAUAUAAUCCGAACUAAUUUAAGAUUGUGUUAAAAUUCAUACCUUAUAGGGUGAGGGAGAGUUUAAAUUAUAAAUUAUAUAAUUCAAACCAGUUCAAUACAUGUUCUUUUUGUGAUCUACAUUGCACCAACAGUUUCCUUUUAUGUUUUUUUUCUUUUUCUGUGUUCUGGUGUUGUGCCUUAUUGGCCUUUUUUUCCAAAACUGUGACACCAAUUUUUUAGGGCGAGAAUAGAAUUUGAUUGAUUCUCUUCAUUAAAUUCAAUGGAUUUCAUAAAUUUCUAAUUUUAAGGUCACACGGCUAAUACAUAUAUAACACAAAGUGUCGUCAGAGUCUUUUGGCAUUGGUGUCAUACUAAUCUUGUUUGAAUUCUCUACUCCGAUUAUUUUCUAUUACUUUGAGAAUUCAUGAAGUCAUUCAUAGACCUAUUUAACACAUAAUUGAUGCCUGUGUUUUAUAUUUACACUUUAUUAAAACUGUUGUAAAAGAAAAAAAAAACAGACAUAAUCAUAUUUUCGUUUUAUAGUUACGGUUUGCAAGCAUGAAUUCUCACCUCCGUUGAUCUCUUUAAAUUAAUUCGAAGCUUCAAUUCAAAGUGGGUAGAAGAAAUUGUAAACAGAGCAAGAGGUUUAGCUUGGAAUUCAGAAAAAAGUCUUGAAGCUUCACCCUUUCAUCAAUUCUUGAUUUUUUCUUCAAUUUGAUUAAGGGGGAUUACCACUAAAUGACUGUUUUAUCUUUAUCUAUUUUAUGAGCAUGUUGUUGCUUUAUGAAAUUUUUAGAGAUUCUUAGUUUAUGCAAUCUAUUUUAUGUGUUUCUGUCAAUCGCACUUUUGCUGCUGCGUAUUUAUCUGGUUUUGUGUUUGUGUCAGUUUCUGCAUAAUAUCUGCAUUCGUUUAGGUUUCCUUGUAGUUUCUUGUUUAAUGCAAUUACUACAUAAUUGCAUUUCUAUUUUUCAUGUUUCAUUAGUUAAUGUUAUUGCUCUUUUUAGAUUUUAUUUCUGCAUAAUACAUUCUUUAAUGAUUUCUACUUGGCUACUGGUUAGAACUAACAAUUAAAAAUAAAAGAUCUUAAAUAAGGGCAGGUCUUUAAAAAAUACCAUUAUAAUUUUCAACGUAACAUGCUUCUCUAUUUUACAUCUCUUUGUUAUAUAUAUUCAAAUUGGUGAGGUAUUUGAGAUUCUAGAGGGUGAUAAAUGCCUUCCUGAAGAACAAUUGCAAAGCUUAUAAAUGCCUUCCUGAAGAACAAUUACAUCUCCAAAUGUGGUCUUCCUGGAAACUCAGGUGGCAGACAAAUUAAAUCUUGUUCUGGUUUUGCUUGCAUGCAAUGUAAAUUUGAAUCCCUCUAAUAUCUCUUUUGUUUAGAACCUUCUCCUUAUGUCUAUGGUUUUUUUUUUUUUUUAAAUUUAUAAAGAUGAGCAUAUUUCUUAUUCAAAUUUACUAAUUUAGAGAAGGGUUCAUUGGAUUUGAAACUUGUUAUCAUACUUAUGCAUAUGUCAUCUUCAUUUAUUUGUGUGGAUUUACAGGGUUGUAUAUGGAUUUGUUAUGUUUGCAACUUAUUUUCUUUUAUUUUCAAUAGGCUACAUAUGCUUCUUGUACAGUUUCUUUGGAAACAAAUAGGUGAUGGAAAGAAAUGGGAGCUGCAGAGAAGAACCGAUCGAUGGCGGAAUUUUCAUGGAAAUAUAUGUGCUCUACCUAAUGGUCAGUGUAACAACUUGAAGGCACCAUGAUUUCUAGUCAUAGUUUAAAAUUGUUUGAUGUAAAAGGUCGAAACUAAAGCAUUAAGGUAAAAUAUAAUUCACUUUAACUGUUAUUACUUUUUGGGUAUUAACAGCAUUGCAACUGUUAUAUAAUCUUAGGAAAUCAAUAUUGUACAUUACUUUUUCAGCACUAUCAUCUUUUUAUCAUGCCAUAUCGCACUACUAGGUUUGCACAAACCUUGGGGUCAUUAAUUCAUUUUUUCCAAACUUAAACUAAUGCAUUUCAUUAUCAUAUCACAUGUAUUACACAUACAAGAGGUAAACACAUCUUAAGAACUUCUUAUUGAUGUAUAGUAAAACAUAAAAGCAAGCAAACAAACAAACAUACAUAAUAACAAGACCAUGACGAUGAGGGAAUUUGACAACUUCACACAUUUUAUUCAGAGCAAAGCAACAUACCAUCAAAUUCUUUAGAUGGAGAUACUAUUAGGAAUGCCUCUGCAAGUCAAUCCUUUCUCACUAGAAGGAUAAAGCAGAGUGUAUGGCAUAUUCACAGGCCCGUAUCGGUUUCUCAAUGACUCAUCAUUGUUCCUUUCAAUGAGCUUUACCUCAAUUUCAGCCAACUUCCUUCCAAACCUCUUGAAAGCUUCUAAUGGCUGUGAAUCUGAAGUCCAAACCUCGCCUUCAUUUCUCUGUCCAAGGUAUUGCUCAUCAGAAGCAUGCCUUGAUAAGACCUCUAAGAUCGUAAGGUCAGUGAGGGUAUCAUUUUUUGGUGUGAUUGUCCUUAGAUACACCUUUUGAAAGUUCUUAGAAAGCUCGGCAUACUCAGCAGACCCUUUCUCAGGCAUGUGUCUCCGGCUUUUAGUUGGUCGGUUAAGUAUAUAUCCUCCAUAUGGAUAUUGACCAAAAUUAACAGCUGCAUGAUGUGCUGAAGCAAUCCAUAUGAGGAUAGUGCAAGCUUCAAUCAACUCUGUACAAGUUUGCAUCUUAAACCACCAUGUAGCAUUCUUCAAAUCACCAUGACCCACCUCUACAACUUCUCUCCAAAAUGCUUGCAGUUCAGAAUCUUGCGCAACAGCAGCAUCUGACGUGUAGUAGAAACUCACAUAUUCUUCAACCCAUGACUUGAUAGCAUCCCAUAUCUCUAGUCCAUCAGCAGCAUAAGGGUAGUCCUCUAUCAGAAGGCGAAUUCCAUGUGGGGAAGUUGGAUCCUCAACAGCCACUCCUCUAGAUAACAAGCAAGGAAGAUAUCAUUAAUAUAAAAAAUUAAAAAGCUUGAGAUCAGUAUCUAUUUAACCAAGAUUUUAAAUUGGUUGUAGUAUGAUCUUAGUUAUUCUAGCGAAACGCGGUAAAAUACAGUUGAUGUGGCCUCAACCAACGGUGUUUGGACAUAAAAAAACCUUGAUUUCUCGUCUUACAUUGUGGUUACUAACAUUUUUUCCAAUCCUUUUUUUUUACUAAUUAAUUUAUGUGCAGGAUCUAAUAUUUUGUAAGGUUACCUUUUCAGUAAAUCAUUAGGAAGACCGUGCUCUAUGAAAACCCAAUCCUUAUAUAAUAGAGCAGACAAUUCUAAAGAAUAACGUCCCAUCAAGAAUGUCGAUUCUAUAAUACCCUCUGCAUUAACCAAGACAUUCCUUGCAAGUGCAUUAAUGUUCAUUGUGUCACGAUAAUGUGGAAGUAGAAGUUUGUGAAUAGGGUGAACCACACUAAGAUGCCUAUUUGUUGCUAUGAUGAAUGGCUCAACAACAGCAUGAGUGUUCAACCUGUUACACAUGUAGAUAUUAAUGAAUUACUCAUAGAUUGAUGAAAUUAAAUACGUUUGAUUCUAGAAAAACUCAUCAACAUAAUUCGUACCAGUGGCUGACAAGUUGAUGAAAACAGGAGUCAUUUACAACAACGUAAGCUUUGGCAAGUAGCCAAAUAGAAGCUUCAACACCUUCACUUGCAGGCAAGUAAACAUUACUAACAGGACCAUAACUAUCUUCUUGAGGAUGUGGCUUACUUAGCUCAAUGGCCAAUGGCUUCAAAGUUCCAUCAUUUUGUAAGAAAAUGAAGGUUCUCGUAGCAUAUGCCUUUGUAUCAGUUGAGUUUAUUUUCCUCAAAUAUGGAAAUAUUGGGUCAUGGUGAUCAAGUAUGUAAAGCCUGUUGUUUUGGAUAGCCUAUUCAAAAAAAUAUAAUUUAGUCAUUGUAAUUAUUUGAAUCAUAAAUAACCACAAAAUAACAUUGGCAAAGAUGUAUAUUCAUGGUAUUAAUGUUAAACUAUGUCAUUACUUCUUCUACAGUGACCCCAUCCAUGUUUAGCUGUAACUGUUCUUCGGUUAUUGUGCUCGUAUUAUCACCGUAGAGUUGGGUAUCUAGCUUGCUCUUUGGUGGGAACUCCUACAAUAAAUAUAGAAAGUAAUAAUGAAGUUAACAAUUAAAAAUAGGAAAAUGUUAUUUCUAGCGAAGGAAAUAUGGCUGCUCCUAAUUCUUGAAGAUUUCGUGAUGCUAUCUUUCGGGAAAUAUGGUCAAAAUAAAAAUUAAAUUUUCUGUUCGCAAAGAAAUCGUUAAACUAUCAAGUUUACCUGAAGUCUUUUGAUUAUGUGUGGAUUCACACCAGCAAUCAUCUCCCUUGCAAAUUCUCCAUCAGUCAUCCAUGCAGACUGAUUAACUGCUCAAAAUAAGAGCAUUUCAAAUGAUCCGUGAUAUUUUUAUUUAUUCUAUGAAAAUAUAUUGCUAGGACUGAACAUGUGUUUCUAAUAGAUACCUUCAACCACUUUAGGUCGUGGAAACUUUAGGGCCGAUUCACCAUCAGUUCUGAGGAGUUCCUGGAACACUGGUAUGGGGCUAAUUUUGCUAAGUGCAUUAGUAGGUAAUUCAAUUCCACCAUGAUAUAAUGAACGGACAUCUUCAAAAGUGUUAAACUCUGGCUGAUUGAAUUGUAAUGUAAGUGCAGAUCGUAAUUGAGGUAUAACAUUUUGAGAUGCUGAUUUCAGUAUAUAAACAAGAAAGUCUGAAGACUUCAAGUGGCCAAAUGAUUCAUCUCUUGGAAUGUAAACAAAGUCGCUCCGACUCUCACUUUUAUCAUCUGUAACAUACAAAUAGAAGACAUUAGCAACAAGAUCAAUAUCUUUAAAAUCAUAUAGAGGAAAUGUUUUGAUCAUAGGACCUUUAACUUAAGAUAGAGCAUAAAGUUUAUCACCUUUUUUAGCAUGUUUCCUGCCGGUUCUCCCCCUUCGAGGGUAAGGCAAGUUAUUGGAUCCUCCAACAACGGGACGAGCCAAGCUUUCUUUCUUGUCAGGAUCACCCAAGUCAUUGUAAACAUCGUAGUCAUAGAUCCUAUCCGAUUCUUUGCGCUCACCCGUUCCAUCUCCUCUUAAAGUCUUCAAUUCUUCUUGUCUGUAGUAGACUAAUGGAGCUGGUGUUUCGCUUGGAAGGUACGUCUAUAUUUAUAUUUAUUUAUCGGUGUCAAAUUUUGAGAAAUAUAAUUUGUAUUAGCAUGUUAAAGAAAUAUGAUUUUUUUUCAUUACCUUGUUCGUAAAGAAGAUGCGUUUCGUUUUAUACUUUUUAGCAUUGUAAAUCCAUGAGUUGCAAACAAAGUUGAUGGUUCCAUGGAUGGGAAUAUCUUCAAGCGUCAAACUUACAAGGAAGAAUUCUCCUAGCAUGAAAUUUUCAAUAUAAAAUGCUCCUGGAAUUCCCAUCUCACUGUCCCAUUCAAAAUGAACAUCAAAUGCAGAUUGCCCUGCUCCCAAAAUUGGUAUGGAGGUAACAAGACCUUCUAAAUAUGUUUUUUUUCCCACUUUACCUUUUCCACUUCCUACAAAUAUGUCAUAAUGCUUAAUUUAUGUCAAUAUAAACAACUUAAUCUUUUCUUAUGCUAAGUGCUAAAUUUAUGUUCACCCAAGUUGCUUAGAUUAUAUCAAAGUGAAAUAAUUCCUAAUUUCCUACAUAUAUUUUAGUAAUAGUUGAUUUAUUAUUUAAAAUAAGUUACGUCAAAGUGAUAAUCACAAAAAUAAAAAUAAAAAUUUAUAAUAAAACAAAAGGGAAAAUAAAUUGAAUCUUAAUGGACUCAGGAUCAAAUUCUUGUAAAAAUUAAAAUAUAAAGACAAUUUUCAUUUGGAUCCUUUGUAAAGCCAUUCAUUUAAAAACGAUAAACUUUGAAACUUAUAUCACCUGCAGAUUUAAAAAAUGGUGAGGCCUAGGUUGCCUUUGAAAACUCAUGGGCAAUUUACCUAAACCAAUCAAAAGUUUUCAUGUGUACUCCAUUAGAAUAAUAACAUUUAUUAUUUUAUUUUGCAAAAAUUUAGCAAGUAUUUUAUUAUUUGCAUAUUCACCCCAUCUUAAAUUAAUGAUUUUUUACAAUUUAAACCAUCACAAUAAUUAAAUUUCACCUCUAAUUCAAUCACUCUCCAAACCUCUUUUUUAGCUUGGCAAAAAUCAUUAAAAAUUAAAAUUAUCACCCCUGAGAAUCAAACCUGGAUGCUCCCACCUAUUUAAAAUGUACUCUGGAACCACUUGAUCAAUACAUUUUUUAUGAAAUAAUUUGGAAUUCAAAAUUAUGUUAUUAGUGAGCAAAUUAUUUUAUUUUUAUUUGCAGUGCCUUUAUAACCUAGCUUUAGUGAGAAAAAAAAAUCAUUUUAUGUGUGUAUAAUUAUGAAGUAGUAAAUUUUUCUUAAGAAAAAUGAAUUCAUUCAAUUGAUUUUUUAUAUUUUAAAUUUCAUUCUUUUUUAUAAAUUCAUACUUUUAUAUAGAUUCGAUGACCUACGACAAUGUUUCAUUUGUGAUCCACCGAAUUAUGAUUUAUUUUAGGUACUAUUUUUCAUUUGGAUCAGAUAAAUUGUUUAAAGGUAAUAAUUUUUUUUUUUGCAAGGUCUUAUAAGUUAUAACCUAGCUUUAGUAAAAAAAAUCAUUUUAUAUGUGUAUAUUUAUGAAAUAGUAAAUCUUUCUUAAAAAAAAUAAUUCAUUCAAUUGAUUUUUUAUAUUUUAAAUAUCAUUCUUUUAUAUAAAUUUAUAAUUUUAUAUAGAUUCGAUGAACUACAACAUUGUUUCAUUUGUGAUCAAACGAAUUAUGAUUUAUUUUAGGUACUAUCUUUCAUUUUGAUCAGAUAAAUUGUUCAAAGGUAUUAUUAUUAUUAUUUUUUUUGCAGUGUCUUAUAAGUUAUAACCCAGCUUUAGUAUAAAAAAAAUAAAUCAUUUUAUAUGUGUAUAUUUAUGAAAUAGUAAAUAUUUCUUAAAAAAAAAAAAAUGAAUUCAUUCAAUUGAUUUUUUUUAUAUUUUAAAUAUCAUCCUUUUAUAUAAAUUCAUACUUUUAUAUAGAUUCGAUGACUGAUGGGAUAAAACCGCAAGUGCACGAUUCUACCAGAAUUCAGGGCAUUACAAACGCAACAUGUGGCAUAAAAACAUUACUUUAUAUGUAUAUACUAUUGAUUUUCCUGUUCAUUUAAAAUAUUUUAUUUGCUUAAUUGCACUUUUGGACCCCUAUCUUUUCAAAAGUUGCGGUUAUGGAUCCCUAACUAAUUUAAAUACAAAACAGUCCCCUAUGUUUUGAUUCUUUAGCAGUUUUGGACCCCCAAGGCAAAAAAAAAAAAAUUUGACAAGUGGCACCUCACUUAGGGUGCCACGUCAGCGUUGACCGAGUCAACAAUGAAUUGGGGUCCAAAAUUGGCAAAAAAUCAGAACAUAGGGGGCUGUUUUGUAUUUAAAUUAGUUAGGGGUCCAUAAUCGCAACUUUUGAAAAGAUAGGGGUCCAAAAGUGCAAUUAAGCCUAUUUUAUUUACUAUUUUAUCCUUUAAUAAUAUUAUAUUAAAUUUGAAUUAGAAAAAUGAAAUCUCAUUAAAAUAGGAAAUAUACCACUACAACAGGAACAAUACUAUAUAUACUUUUUUUUUUUUUUUUUACAAAAUACUAUAUAUACUAUAUAUGAAGGGAAUAGAGACUUUGGGCUGAAUUUUUUAUAAUUUCAAUUAUACCCUUUAAACAAAUUUUCCUAUAUUAAUGUUCCAUUCUUGGUGGUAUUAAAAAAAGAUAAGAAUUUAUAUUAUAUUUGUUAAACUACUGUGUUGUUGUGGUAAAAGAUAAACAUGAUUUUUUUGGGUUUGUUACAAUUUUAAUUUCACAAAUAUUUGUACUUAUAAUUUUAAUCAAAAUCAAAAUUUCAUAUAAAAUACCGUUCAUAAUUUACACAUGUCACGUGCCCGUUUUUUCGCUAGUUAUAUAUAGUAUUUAUACUAUAUAUAAAGAAAACUAUCUCUUUCAGCACUUUUGGACAGGAUUUUUCUUUCCAAAAAUACCCUUAAUUUUUAAUACAAACAACACAUGUAACAAAUAAAUAAGAAUAAAUUUAAAUAUUAAAACAAAUGUAACAAACACGAUAUGUGUGUUUGGUUUUUUUCCUUUAUCAUUUAAAAAGUGUAACAAACUAUAUGAGUAUAUUUAAUAUUUGCUUUUUUUAUUAUCCCAAUUAUACCAUUAAAACAAAAUCCAUAAUCAUCAAUCAACAACAAGAAGAUCCAACAUUUUAAAAAAUAAAUAGAUAAAUUUAAAGGAAUUUUUUUAAGAUUCUUAUGUUGUUACAUAAUAUUUGGACAAGAUUCUAAUUCUCAUUAAUCUUUUCUCCCACGUCAAGAAUAUCUCUUUGCUUCUUCUGAUUCAUAUUCAUUCAUUCCUUAUUAUUCUAAUUUUUAACUCAAUUCAUCUUCCUAUAGAUUUGCAUCGUUUUUGCUGAACCAAGAAGGACUGUUAAGUAGAAGAAUUCCAGAAUCAUAGAUGUAAUCACAAUAGUUCUCAAUGACAAUGCUUAAAAAAAAUUGAUUUUUUUCCCAAUCUAUCUCUCUCAAUCCCGAUCUACUCUCUAUCCCCUUAAACCCUUUUUUCCUAAACUAUUCCUUACCUCUCAUGCUCUCUCUUCUCCAUCGGAUACCAUUUCCCCUUCUAUCAUCUUCAUUGCAUUCUCCUCUUUCUCUUUCAUUUUUGACUUCUCAAUAAAAAAUCAAUCGCAGCUUCAAUUUUUUAUUGUCGAAUUCGAAUUCGAAUUUGGGGUGCGUGGGUUCGAUUGAGAGAGAUAGGGAUCGAGAUGAUGGAUAUAUAGACAACGGUGUUGAUGGUGGUUUUGAAAAAGAGGUUUUGAUGGUGGUUAUCUGGAUUUUCUCUGGAUUUUUUUUUAUGAAGGUGAUGAAUGAGGGAAAGAAAGAAGAUGAAGUAUGGGAUAUAAUGCUAGAUGUUGUUGGUUCACAGUAAGAUACAGUGGACAUGCAUGAUCUAACAAUCUUUCUUUAUUAAAAAAGAUCAAACGGUUUAUAUUAAAAAAAAUAAUAGGAUCUAUAGUGGACCAGGGGGUUCACCAUAGAUAUUUGAGGUUAAAGUUAAUUUAUUUGCAAACUGUGGGAAAAGUGAAGGACUAAAACGUGAGUUUUAUUAAUUGUGAGACCAAAAUAAAACCAAAGAAUUAAAUAAGCCUUUUUUUUUACUAAAGCUAAGUUAUAACUUAUAAGACAUUGCAAAAAAAAAAAAUUAAUACCUUUAAACAAUUUAUCUGAUCCAAAUGAAAAAUAUUAUCUAAAAUAAAUCAUAAUUUGGUUGAUCACAAAUGAAACAUUGUUGUAGUUCAUCGAAUCUAUAUAAAAGUAUGAAUUUAUAUAAAAGAAAGAUAUUUACAAUAUAAAAAAUCAAUUGAAUGAAUUUAUUAUUAUUUUUUAAGAAAGAUUUACUAUUUCAUAAAUAUACACACAUAAAAUGAUUAUUAUUAUUUUUACUAAAGUUAAAUUAUAAGUCACUGCAAAAAAAAAAAUAAAAAAAAUUGCUCACUAAUAACAUAUUUUUGCAUUCCAAUUUAAUUCAUAAAAAAUGUAUUGGUCAAGUGGUUUGGGAAAACAUUUCAAAUAAGUGGGUGCAUUUAAGUUCGAUUCCCACGAGUGAUAAUUUUAAUUUUUAAUGAUUUUUGCCAAAUUGUUCAACUAAAUUUGAAUGAAUGCAUGAUCUUUGGCAUUAAAUUCCAAAUUUGAUAAAAAAAAAAGAGAGUGAUUGGAUUAGAGGAGAAAUUUAAUUAUUGUGAUGGUUUAAAUUGUAAAAAAUCAUUAAUUUAAGAUGGGGUGAAUAUGCAAAUAAUAAAAUACAUGCUAAAUUUGUGCAAAAUAAAAUAAUAAAUAUUAUUAUUCUAAUGGAGUACAAAUGGAAAAUUUUGAUUGGUUUGGGUAAAUUGUCCAUGAGUUUUUAAAGGUAAUUUAGAAAAAACCUUAAAAAAUUGGUCUGUUACUUGUUUAGCGUACAAUUUAGCGACCGAUUUCAAAGUUUGGUAAAAUGCAAAGUUCACUAAAAUUGUGAAAAUGCUACCACGUUUUUUUCCCCCUCAUCUCAAUUAUCUACUGAUGUGAAAUGUUAUAUGUUAUUAGGAAUUCUCUCAGGUACUUAUGGGUCUGUUUGGUUAACCCCAAAAAAGAGCUUUUAGCUUCUAGCUUAUAGCUUAUAAGCUCGUUUGAUAAAAAAAACUCUGUUUGGUAACACUUUUUUACCAUGAGCUUAUAGCUUAUUUCACGAGCUUAUAAGCUAUUUUUCAGAAGCUAUUCCAAGUAGCGUUUGAGCUUAUAGCUUAUAGCUUCUCACUUUUUCUUCCAAUUUUACCCUUAUUAUUUCAUUUAAAUUGUAUUUUUAUCCAUUAUAAUUUUUAUAAUAAGCUACGUAAUAAAGACUACUAUCCCUUUAUUCCAAUUUUUGUAUAUAUAUCAGCUGGCCUUUUUUUUUUUUUUUGAAAAAAUAUAUACCUUCGUUUUUUUUUUACGAAACAAAAUAUUAUUAUUCUAUUAGUGUUACUUUUUUUUUUUUUUUGAGAUAAGUGUUAUUUUCUUUAUUCUCUGUUAUUAUUAUUACUCUAUUAGUGCUACUUUUUUUUUUUGUUUUUGAGGUAAAUGUUAUUUUUUUUAUAAAGUGGAAACACUUAAAUGAUAAUAAAUAUAAGAUAAAAUUUUAGUGAAUAAAAUUUAAUUUAAUUUAUAAUACAUAGGAUAUAUUAAAUUAAUAAAUUUAAAGUAUUUUUUUAAAGAAAAAUUAGUUUACAAAAUUACAAAUACUUAAAUUAAUGAUAUAAUUUUUAUUAUGAAUUAAGAAUACCCUUUAUGUCAUUUUACAUUUAUCAGCUAGUUGAACCGCUAUUUUUACCAAACACUUCAGUUAGCUUAUCAGCUAUAAGCUAUCAGCUAGCUUAUCAGCUAAAAGCUAUCAGCUAACUUAUCAAUUAUCCGCUAUUUUUACUAAACAGAGCCUAUGUCCACCGAUGUGAAAGGCAAACCAAAGUUUACUAAAAUUUCAAAAUUGUCACUGUGUGCAUCUUUCCCAUUAGGUAUUUUCUGUGCCGAUGUGAAAACCCCUGUUGUAAGAUGUAUAUUUUCUAGUAGUGGUUAUGCCAGCUUGUAGCCUUAGAUCUCUCCAAGGAAGAAAAAAGCUACUAAAAAAACUUGAAUUAGUAAGAAGAACUUUAGAGGAAAAAAAUCUCCCUAAAUUUAGUGACCAAAGUAUAGGGAAAAAAAAUAUUUUUCCAUCACUAAUUUUCGUCCCAAUUUUAUUUGUUUUAUUUUUAUAGUGAAAAUUCUACCUCAUAUAUUAACAAAAGAAUAAAGUUUAAAGGAUCAUCAAAUCAUCAGCACAUUAUAUCUUCACCUAAAAUCAUAAGACACUUACUAUAUGAAUCACUUUUUAUAUGGCAUUUGUUAAGAUAGACUCAUUUAAUUUUUAGAAGUACUACUUUAACAAGUUAAAACUAAAAUAAUAUAUAAAACAAGGGUUUAAGUUAGCAACUUUUGCAGGCAUUUGUUAGAAUAUAUUCACUCAUUUUUUUAAGGGACAUCCACUCAUUUUUUUUUUAGAAGGACUAUAUGUUAGAAGUGAUAAUGAAAAAUUUGUUAAUUAUACACACAGUAAGGUGCAUGUUGCUAAAAUACUCCAAAAAGCUUCCCCCAAACACAUAUUUCAAGGUGCAAAGUUCAAAUUCUUUUAGGAGAGUUGUAAAAUGAUCAUUAGUGUCGAGUAGUAGUAUGAAAGAUUAAGAAGUAAUUACCAUCAACAUUGGUAGCACUAAUCAACCUGAGAGCCACUGAACGGCCAAAGGAGGAAGUGUAGGUAUCAAUUAUAGAGCUAGUGAUAUCACCAACAACAUUGAAUCCACCUUUGAUUAAACCAGUGGCACUUUGAGCUGCAGUGAUUUCGUUGAUAUCCAAUACAUUCUUAUGCAUCAAUAUCACUGUCCCCUUCACCUUUUGGCCUCUGUUAAAGAUACUUUUCACCCCUGAAUACAUCUUAGUAAUUUACUGCUUUUAAUUUUGUAUUCUUUUGCAAAUUAAUGAAAGAAAAGUUUGUGGUUUGCAUGUUGCAACCAUCUCAUUAUUUAUAGGGCCAAAUUAAUGUUCUGAUUCAAAACUAUAUUAUUUUUUUAGAGACUGAUUCAAAUCAUAUGAGUCAAUGUUCUUUCCAUAUUUUAUCCUCAUCCAAAAUAAUUGAUCUACUUGUAAAAAAAAAACAUUUACCAAAAUAAUUUAUCUUUUUCAAUUUGCAUGCAACAUUAACGACUUCUUUUCUACUGUACAAUGGAAUUAAUAUCAUCAAUUUCAACUCAAUAUCUUCAAUUUUUUAUAUAUAUGGUAAAAGUUAAUACAUGAUAAAAGUACUUCAUUAAAAGCAAUCUUCUCUUUACUUUUAACAUAGGUGCAGUUUUUUUUUUUGAAUGAACAUAGGUGCAGUGUUAAAAAAAAAUGGAGUAUUCCUUAAACGAAUUAGUUGUCUUUUUUUAUGUGACUAAAAUGAAGUCGUCUUUGUUUAAACAUACUCUUCUCACAGAAGAUAACCAUGGUUCAGUGCAAUAAUAAUAAUAAUAAUAAUAAUAUUAGCAAGAGGACGUUGAGGACUAUAAUUUGAGAGGUAGGUAGGCGAAUUUACCGGGGCAAUAAUGCAAUGAGAAGAGCACCCAAUUGCAGUGCUUGGCCCCAAAGAUGUUCAAAACUAGACUAUUAGUGUGUGAAGAGAAAAACAAAAGAAGAAAAACAUGAUUUCUCAGUAUGUCCAGUUAUAUUCAAAUUUGUUAUAAUACAAUGUCAAUUGUUGAUUGAAACUAGAGAUUAGUUCAGGUAGCAGAUGAUGUCCUCGAUUAUGAUUCUCUUUCUUUGCACGAUUGACGUUGAGGAAAGAAUUUUCUCCCUCAGCUACGGGUUCCUGAAAUUAUUUAGUAAAAUGUUAAAUAGAGUUGUGUUUUUGGCCAAGAAGUGUAUGUAAACUAAGAUAAAGAGAUAAUGAUAAAUGGAUAAAUUAGCGAAAAAAAUAGCUUGUGUUUGAUUGUGUGUUGACUGUUAACUCGGUCUAAAGUCUUCAAGGUUGAUGUACUAGCCAAUAGACUCGAGAAAGAAUCGACCAACCCUCUUUCGGCUAAAAUAACACUUGCAUAACCUUCUAUCGGCUCGGAAAAUUCUCCCAACCAAAUGUCAUUUUGUGUUGCGUUAUCACUUGAAUUUCGAGUGAUGAGAUGACGCAACGUAAUUGAAAUGGUUACGAACAAUAUCAUCAUUACGUCAUAAAAGUAGAAAAGUAGUCGUUGGGAUGAAUCAAUUUGAGAUCUUUUGUGUAAAAGUAUUUCAUUACUCUCAUUUUUUUUUGGGUAUAAUUACUCUCAUUUUAACGUCUUCUACUUAUAUAUAUGAUUAAAUUUUGAUACAUUAAUAUGAGAAGAGUACUUUAUUAAAAAUAAUUUUAUCUCUCUUUCAUUUAUACAUUGUUCUUCAUCCAUGUGAAUUAGUUAACUAAAUCGGUUAUUUAUGAGGGAGAGAGUAUUUUUCUUUUGAACUAUAAUAUUUAUUUUGUGUAAACCUUCUGAUUUUGGGAAAAUAAACCGCUUUUUUUUUUUUAAAUAAAACUCUAAACUCCAGUUUUCAGUACGUAGGUAAGUUUGAAAUCAUCAAUUGAUCAUUGACAUGCAAAAACUAUUAGCAUGAGGCUAAGCGUGGCAGAUAAAAUAACAAUGAAUUUGUUUAAAAAACAGUAAUAAAGUACUGAAGGUAAAAUACUUUAUCAUAAAAAAAUAUAAUAAUAAUAUAUGUUGAUUGAUCAUAUUUUGACAAAUAGAUCUAUUGAGCUAUUGUUAAUUACAUUCUUACGUGUAUACAAAUAAAAAUAUUCCCUGUACGAGGUUGUCUUUUUUGUUUUUGAUUUUGAUGGUACGAGGUCGUCUUUCUUUCUUUUGUUUAAACAUACUACUUUUCUCACAUAAGGUAACCAUGGUUCAAUGUAAUAAUAUCAAUAAUUGUACAAGAGUUAAUUUAACCGUGCGAUUAUUGCACAUUACGAUGCUCUCCAUUUUCAAUUGUCACUAUUUACUUGUUAACAAAAUUAAAAAUAGUAGAAGUAGGACUAUACUAGAUUCAAUAAUAUUUUAACUUUUAAAAAAUUAAAUUCAUUAGUUUUGACCGUUUCCUAAUACAAUAUAUUGAUAAAUCCUUAAUCAAUGUCUUAAAUACACUUUUUAGUAUUUUUCUUAAAUUAAAUAGUAGGUCAUAUCAGAUUUUUAAAAUGUCACAUUCAAACCUAAAUAAUAAACCUACGACACGCCACAUGCUAGACAUUGAUCUUAAAAAUUUUGGUAGAUUAGACUUAGAUUUUGCAAAAUUUAGUUCGGCCUAACCUAUUAUAUUUUGAAGAUUGCUCUAAUCCAUGUCCUAAUUAUUCAUCCCAUUAAUUCAGCUGUUCAAUAUUUUUCAACGGCAAUUACUGCUACGGGCAUUUUUAAGACCAGUUCAUUUACUUUUUAAAUUGUUUUAAUAGCAAUUUUCAUUAUUAUAUGUACCCCAUAUACGCUUCCCAUGACGUCCAACGCUGACAGCAGCAUGCAAGUGCACUUCACGUGAUCUUGUUCCUUAUUGCAUAGUUAGUUUUUUAUUUUCUAAUUUUACUAUACCGAACUCUAACAUUUUCACACUCAAAGUUCUUGCCCUGUCUCCCGUUUUUUUCUUUUCUUUUUUUAACAAAAACAACUUAUAUAUUUUCAUUCAUCAAAUCAAAUUGAAAGUAAUACAAGAUGGAAUUAAAUAAAAGAUAUGAUGCCGAAUAUACAUAGAUGUGAUAUAAGAUAGAAUAACGAGCAUAUAAUUAUAACACUUAAUAAUAUAUGAGUGACAUAAUUUGUUUGUGUUCAAGCUAAACUCAUCUUAAAGUUUUGAAACUGUUCUACUAAUAAUUUAACUGUGCGAUUGCGCAUUACGAUGCCCUCCAUUUUCAAUUGUGACUAUUUCCUUCAUCGCUCAUAUGAAUUAGCUGUUAAAAGGUAGGUCGUAUCAGACUUUCAAAAUGUCAUAUUUAAACCUAAAAAAUAAAUUUAUGAUAGACCGCAUGCUAGAUACAGGCCUUAAAUUUUUUAACAGAUUAUCCUUAAGUCUUGCAAAAUUUAGUUCGACCUGCCUAUUUCAAAAAUUGCUCAAAUCUAUUUCAUAAUUGUUCAUUCGCUUAAUUCAUUGGAAGUUAACUGUUGCUCGAUAUUUUUCAGCGGCAGUUCAGAUCGGUUUAUUCAUUUUUUAAGUUGAUGUAAAUAGAAAUAUGUACCCCAUAUUCGCUUCCCAUGACGUCCAAUGCUGAUAGAAGCAGCAUGCAAGUGCAAGUGUAUUAUAUUACCGUAUAGUCGCUUGAAAUGAAACCACACACUUCACGUGAUCUUAUUCUUUAUUGCAUUCGUUUUUUCUUCACUAAUUUUACUAUCCCAAAACUCUAACCUUUUCACACUCAAAGUUCUUGCCCUCUCUCCCUCUUUUUUGUUUGACCAAAAGCAACUUAUAUUUUUUCAUUCAUCAAAUCAAAUUGAAAGUAAUAUAAGAUAAAAUUAAAUAAAAGAUAUGAUAACAAGCAUACGAUUUUAACACCCUUAAUAAUAUAUGAGUGACAUAAUUUGUUUGUGUUCUUGCCAAAUUUAUCUUAAAGUUUGGAAAUUGUUCUACUUAUAUCUACAAUUGGACAAAAUACCGUCAAACUUCGAUUGAUUGCUAGAAUUAUCCAUGAUGUCUUCUGCCACUAACUUACAAUCUAGUUCAAUUUUCACGGUUGAUAAUCCUAAUUCUCGAACAUUCAUAGUGAUAUGUCCGGUGAAGAUGAGAUAAAUAUGGGGGUGGUUCUCUCCGGGAACUGCAUUUGUUCUCCGGAAAUUUUUCUUUAAGUUGUAAAUAGAUCAUUUAAGUUGUAUAUUUAUCGCACUCUUAUCCUUUUAAAGAUUUGUUUGAAACUUAAAAACUUAAAAAACUUCAUAUAGGUGUAUUAAAUUAACAAUUUAAAAGAUCUAUUUGAAUUUUUUAAAAAAAAAAAAACAAAAAAACUUAAAGGACAUAUUUAAACCUUAAAAAACUUAACUGAUCAACCUAAUAUUUUUGUCAAACUCAUAAAAAAGCGUUCAUGGCAUACGGUGUUUUCCUUCCAUAAAAAUAAAAAAUAAAAAAUAUCUGAAUGUAUUUUUGUUUUACAAAACUCACAUGGCAUGUUGUAGGAGAUUUGAGAUGUGUGUGGGGGUGGGUGUAAAAUUCCAUAAACCUGAUAAAUCAAAAUUGUUAAAAGUGAGAGUAAAUUGGAAUGGAAAAUUUAAAAAUUGUGGAAGUGGGGAACCACGUAAAAAUAAACUUUUCCAACUUAAACCAUAUGAUAAUUUCUUAAUCUGUCCUCUCAUGUUAUCAGCAGUACGCUUUUAAUAGUGUUUUAUAUUUGAAAUAUACUGCCAGAAAUACAUUUAUGAUAAUAUAAAUUGAUAGAUUUAAGCAAUAUAAGAAGAUUCAUAAAUUAUCAAAACAUGCGCAAUGCUAAAGCCCACAACAUGCAGAUGCACAAAGGAGGAUUCGAUUUGUAGUGCAAAGUUGUUGGGGCAAUGAAAAUCGGAUUUAAUUUGUAUGUAUAGAUAGUAUAAAACUUGUUUACACAUGUAUCAAAUCAAAUUACGCCAUUAAAAUAUUUAUGGAGAUAUUUAAACAAUUCACUUAUAAAAACGACACUUUAUUCUAAUUUGAUUGGAUGGAUAUAUAAAAAGAAAUUACACUACUUGUUCAGAAAAAAAAAAAGAAAUUACACUAUCGGUGCAUAGAAAUGACACUCAUGAAAAUUACCCUUCCUACCAAACAGUAUAUAAAGUCUCUAUAUUAUUGCCAACAACCAUAAAUUAUUGAGGAGGUAGAGGUUAGCCAUUUUAGCACGUUUGUGUUAUUGAGAUAACAAAAUUGAAAAAAGUCAAAAAUUGAGUUAUUUAAAAUGUAGUAGAUUUUGAAAGAAAGAAAAAAAGUUCCAAUGAACUCAAAUUUUUGAGUUUUUGAGAUAACCAAUUAAAAUUGUUCUUGGGACGUAAAACACGCUGAGUAUUAGGGGUGUUCAAAUCCAUACCAAUCCAAAAUAAAACCGCAAACUGAUCCAAAAAAACCGAAAACCGCAAAAAACCAAAUAUUUUUGGAUGUGUUUGGAUGUUGUUUUGGAAAAACCGCUAUGAUCGGAUCGGAUUUCGGAUUGCGUUUUCAAAACCAAACCGAACCGCAAAAGUAAAUUUUUAUACUUAUUUAUUAUUUUAUUAGUAUUAUAUAUUGCACUAAUAUAUUGCUUAUUGAUAUUUAAUCUUAUAUAUUGCAUUAAUUUAAUCUAUAUUAUUACUACUUCAUCUAUUUCAAAUAUAAUCAAUCAUUUUUAUUGUGUAAUGUUAACUUUUUAAAUAAAUUUGUGUCAUAUUUUGUAUCAAACCUAUUAUUUUAUUGUGUAUGAGUAAUAUUAAUAUUUAAAAAAAAAAUUACAUGUUACACUUUGGAUAUCCAAAAACCGAUCCAAAUUAAACCGCAUAUAUUUGGAUCGGAUCGGUUCGGAUUUUUUUAACAUAAUCAUCCAAACCGAACCGAACCGCACGUGAUUUUUAUUUUGGAUCGGUUGAUUUUUAACCUCAAAACCGAUCCAAACCGGACCGCGAACACCCCUACUGAGUAUGUAAGCUUAAUAUUGUUUUUCUUUUACAAAAAGUAAAUUUAAGGGGGUGUUUCUAUCAAGUAUAAUAUUUACAUUUAUGGGAAUACAUAGGUACGGAAUGAGUAUAUCCAUAUUUUUUAUAAGAUUGAGAAAUCAUUAUUCUUAGGUAUCUAAGGUUCUUAGGAAUGAAAUAACUUUUCUUAACUUUAAACAAUCUUACGAAAUUAUUCCCAAGGUAAAGGAUGGAAAAGUAGGUUCCCAUCAAAUUUUGUACACUUUUUUUCUAAAAGAAUAUAACUUGCAAUUCCCCUAGGAGUGUUCAAGAGUGUGCCAAACAUUUUUUUUUUUUUUUAAAUACCCAUGAAUAGAACUCCCGUCAUGAUAUCUUUAACUGUGAUUCCCUUUCUUCAAGCGAUUAAUGGUGAGGAUGGAACUUUGUUUUUAGGUUUUUUUUGCUACUAGACUAGUUGGAAAUGCAUGUAAAAUAACAACGGCAGAAAAAUAAAAGUGAUAAAAUAGGGAAAAUAGUUUGUGAUUGAUUGAUUAUGUGUUAAAUACAUUGUAUAGAGUAUGUACUUAUAGGCAAAACUAUUUCUACUGGCCACAAGAUAUUACCUACAGUGUUUAACCUUGUUCGACUAUUUUCACGAGUAAGCAUCAGCUUUCCCACGCUCGACUGUCAGCUUCCCAAUUAAUGGCAUGACAUGUUGACAAGGUCCAUAAUGUUUAGUACCUCAUUGUCCAGAUCUGCUUGAGCUUUGACUCAAUAUGAUGUCUUCAAGACAAUCGACCUACCCUUGUUUGGCUAGAAUAACACUUGCAUAGAUUUCCAUCGCUUGUCUAUUGAUUUCAGCUAACAUGACAUAUAUAAUUACUUUUAGGUGUAAACAUAUGCUUCCUUGCGUUGCAUUUUCGAUUGGCUUCCAAGUGAUUGGGAUGAUGCAACAUAAUCGAACUGAUUGCGCGUGAACAAUGCGAUCUUUUAUGAAUGGAUAUGAACUAAUAACCCUGUCAAUCCAAUAACUCCAACGGUUACCGCAGUUUUCUCAAUUGGUAUGGUGAUAUCUUCGCCUAUUUGAAAGACGAUCUUUACGUAUAAAUAACUUUUUAUAGACCUGGAUUAUUCCCCAACUUUUCACCCUUUGUCGUUCUUUUUAUGUGGCUUCCUAUCCACUAAAUAAUUCAUGACUAUUACUUUUUCUACCCUGCUGCCUUCUCGCGCGCCCUGCAAAAUUUACUAAAAUACCCCUGGUCCGGAUUACAUAAUCCGGAGCAAAUUGUUAGUGAUAUCCGAAAAACGAAAUUCGGACCAGAUGUUAUGCGUUUUUUUGUGUCUUUCUUUGAUGUCAAGGGUUUCUGUUGACCGUUAUAUGAACCCCACACAAGUUGCAAUGUUAUUCCAGGGUUCAUACGAACAGUCAAUAAUGACCAUGACACCACUAACACCCCAAAAAAACUAAAAACAUUUGAAGAAAAUGGAAGAAAAGAGGUGAAAUGAAGAAUGAAGGUAUUUGUUGAAGAUGGAAGCAUGUUUAUAGCCUAAAACAAGUCCUAGGUCAUUAGUACAGUAAAUGAAAACGUGUUAGUGGUUGUAACCGUCCAAACCCACAUUAAUGGCUCUCUUUCAAAAGAAUCCAAUGCUGAAGCUUUCAAGAUUUUACAUUCCGGAAUAACCUUAGCCCUACAGAAAGUGCCAACUUUUCCCUUGUUCACCAUUAUCGCAUUAAUCCGGAAAAUAUAUUCCGGAAAACAAAGGUGCAUUUCAGAUUUUAUUUUCUGGAAUGCAACAAUGUCAUGGCCAGUGGUCUGCACCACACAUUUUUGUCGAUGGUCAGGUAAUAAAAAACGUGUUUUAUCACGUUUUUUGACUGCAUUUAUGGUCUCCCAACCGUUUUUGCCCCUCCCUAUAAAUAACCUUCCAAACCCCACAAUUUCUCACACCAUCCUCUCUCACCCUCUCCUCCUCUUCUUCCUUCUAAAACCAUCGUUUUUCAUCGUUGGCCUUUCAUAGAUAAGGGUCUCGUUGAAAACUUUCAAGGUUUGUAUGAACGGUCAAUGUGGAUGGAACAGUGCUGCAACGAAGUGCGGUUCAUCUGAGGGUCAUGUGGGUCAGUGUGGUUCUUAGCUUGGCCUAUCUGGGCGUAAGUUUCAGCACCCCCACCUCCCUCAGGGACAUUGUUUUCUUCUUCCUGCCUUCCUCUUCCCUCCUCCUCCUCCGGUUUUCCUCCAUUAGGGAACCUACUGCUAUGUCCUAUCGCAUAGUAGUGAUUAGGAUCUUAGGAGAUUAGAAUUAGGCUCUUAGGAUAUUAGAAAUAGAUUUAGGAUCUUAUAUAAUAAGCUUAAAAAGCUUGAAAAUUAUUGUAAUGUAUAGUUCAUAUAUUAAUAAAAUGAGUUAUUUUUAUGUUUGUGUCCUUUUAUUUCUGUUUUUUAUUUUAUUUUACGAAUUGUAAAGCUUAAAAUUGCAAAAGUUAUGGUAAAAUAUUAUUCCGGAUUUUCAAAUCCGAUUUAAAAAUACAUUCCGGAAAACGAAAUUCGGACCAAGGGUAAAAUUGAAAAAAAAAAAAAAAAAGGGUGUGCAAGGAAAGAUAUAGGGUGGAAUAGGUAAAACUCACAAUUCAUUUUGGUGCGUCCUUCAACCCUCAAACCCAAUAGUCAGAGAGCUUUGCCAAUGAUUAUUCUCUAGUUUUACACCCGAUAAUUUUCUUAAUCUUGUCAUUUUCAAGAUAAAAGACCACUAAUUCAGAAAACGAGAAUGAGAAGGGAAGUGGCAAACGAACUUUGACUCGUAAAGGCAAAUUAAAGCAUGACAAUGUCUAGAUAGGGGAAACUUAAAUUCCUAACAUUUCAUGGGAAGGUAAUAAUUGUCUCAAUCGAUUUCCAGAACUAACACUUCCUUCAUUUACUAAGUAAUUUCUUAUCCUUGUUUUUAAGAGUCUUUGUGCAAUUUUAUUUAAGGAUUUUUAGAAAAUUCUAAGGAGGUGCUGAUAGUUUAGUGAAGAGUCUAUGAUGUUUAGAGAAACCAUUUUAAGUCUUGUAUUUUCCUACCUAGACAACUCUAUAAAUGUCAUAAGUCUUUUUGUUAUAGACGCUAUGAGUUGAUUUUAUCACUAUGACUAGAAAAACUCAUUGGAUUAGUAUUGAAUGAUCAACUUCAAUGAUGUUGUUUGAACUAUAUGUAAUCGAUGAUGUCCUCUAUUAAUGCAAUCUGAAAUAUGCUUAUAAGGUAUACCUUGUGCUUAAUGAUUUUCAAUGCCUGAUAAACUCUGAAUUGAUUUUAAUUUAUAGUUCACAAUCAACACUUGUUUUUGUAACACGAACUAGGUAGUGUUCUUUAAUCAAUUUAUCUAGACAUAAGGUAUUAAUUAGUAUGGUCGGUAGUUUAACUGUCAAUGAAUCUUUUGAUAAAAUUAGUUUCACCUAAGAAAUUAGGGUUCUAUUUUAGAUAAAUGGGACGUCGAGGCAAGAAAUUGGUCGUGGUCUAUUUCUUUAAACUGUUGUGAACAUAGAAAUCAAAUUGUUAUUGUCUAGGAACUAGUAUUAUCAAAGAAAAUCUUUCUAUAAUUUAAUUUGCGAAACCAAAUCUUACGAAAACUCCCCCCAAUUUAACUUUUUAAUAAGUAUUGUUUAAUUGUCAAGUAUAAACAAUAAUAUUUGUGGAGAGGGAUCUUUAUAAACACUAUUACUUGAUCUGCCAAAGAGUCCAUCAAGCUUUUGGCGCCAUUGUUAGGGAAUCGUUGAUGAUCUCAACAAGGUAGCUACGCUCUACUUACAUGAUUUGUUUUUUUUUGUAAUUUAUUAUAAAAACAUAAAAAUAUUUACUUUUGGCUCUUUAAUCUUAGUGUGUGUUGUGCUAAAUAAAUAUUCUUGAGUGUUGUUAUGCGAGGUGGAAGCUCAGGUACCUUGUUAUUUGAUUCUGAGGUUGAGAAGAUUACAAGAGAAAACCAGAAAGAUUCUUUUUCUAUCUCAGUACCCCUCAAAUAAUCUAAAAAUACUAUCAGAGGGAGAACAUAGGCAUGGUUAGAGAUGGUUUAGCAAAGGAAACUCAAGUUUGAGUUUUCCCCCCAAAAUCCUAAAAUACUCUUUUUUUCCUUAUUCUUUUUUUUCUUCCAGAAUUAAUGAACGAUGGUGUGCAAGUCCUAUAUUUCACCACUUAUAUGUCACGCAGGUUCUAUUGUAACUUCUUUCAUUUAUUACUUUCGUUGUUCUUUUGCUUGAUCUAUUCUUUUUUCCAUGUCUAUUCUCUGUUCCGAUUUGUUUUGAUUUUGUGAUCGAUAUUAUCUCUACUGUUACUUCUUUCGGUUAUUGUAUCCCUUGGUGUUUGAUUAUGUUUCACAUUGAUAAACUUAAUAGUGUUUUUACUUUUUACUUGUUGAAGAGCUUACAUUUGUGUCUAUAGAGUUCUAUUGGAAGUAAAUUGUUUAUUUUUAUGUUUUCUUAUAUUUUUGUUUGUUUUUGUAUUCAACUUGGCUAUUGUAAUCACACCUCUGUUUCCGGUAGCUGAAUUAUUAUUGUCUAAAUUUGAUCAAAGGCAACCUAGCAAUUGAAUAAUCGAGCCUUGUCGGAAAGUGUCAUUGUCACCACUCAAUGGAUGAGAAACCAACAAAAAAGCCGGAUUAUUAGAAGAAUGAAUGUGAAAGAAUUGUUACCAAUCAUGGAAGUCAUGGGAGGUACAUAAAGUUCAACAAGAUCACAAAAGAAUAGCGUGAGAAGGAGAAAAAAGUUGUGCGAGAAAUCAGAGAGAAUUGAGGAAAAACUCAGUUGAUACCAUAUUUGAACCAUAUGAGACAAUUGAUUCCUGAAAUAAAAACAUUAAGGCUGCAUUUGAUACAAGAGGACUAGAAUGUUACAAGGUACAAACAGACACAAUAAUUCUUAUUGAUGUAAAGUAAAACAUUAACAAUAAAACAAACAUACAUAAUAACAUGAUCGUAAGUAGGAAGUGAGGGAAUGGAAUUCCUUCACAUCUGUUAUUCAAAGCAGCAACACAACAACCAUGAUCCACUUUAGAUGGAGAUACUAUUAGGAAUGCCUCGGCAAGUCAAUCCUUCCUCACUAGAAGGAUAAAGUAGAGUAUAUGGCAUCUUCACUGGUCCGUACCGAUUUCUCAAUGUCUCAUCAUUGUUCCUUUGAGUGAGUUUCUGUUCAAUUUCAGCCAACUUCUUUCCAAACCUCUUGAAGGCUUCUUUUGGUUGUGAAUCUGAAGUCCAAUUGUCACCUUCAAUUCUAUCUCCAAGGUAUUGCUCAUCAGAAGCAUGCCUUGACAAGACCUCUAUAAUGGUCAAGUCAGUAAGUGUAUCAUUCUUUGGUGUGAUUGUCCUCAAAUAAGACUUCUGGUAGUCCUUAGCAAGCUCAUCAUACUCAGGUGAUCCUUUCUCAGGCAUGAAUCUUCUACUCUUUGUUGGCCGGUUAAGGAUAUAUCCUCCAUAUGGAUAUUGUCCGAAAUUAACAGCUGCAUGAAGUGCUGAAGCAAUCCAUAUAAGGAUGGUGGAAGCUUCGAUCAACUCUUCACGGGUUUGCAUCUUAAACCACCAUGUGGCAUUCUUCAGGUCACCAUGACCAACCUCUACAAGUUCCUUCCAGAAUGCUUGGAGUUCAGCAUCUUGUGCAAUGGCAGCAUCAGACUUGUAAUAGAAAUUCACAUAUUCACCAACCCAUGACUUAAUGGCAGCCCAUAUUUCUAGUCCAUCAGAAGCAUAAGGAUAAUCCUCUAUCAGAAGGCGGAGACCGGUAGGAGAGGCUGGAUCCUCAACAGCUACUCCUCUAAAUAACAAGCAAGGAAGAAAUAUUAACAUACAAAAAAUAUGUUCUAUGGAGUUAUUAUUAAUUAAAGUGAUUUUAAUGAUCAUUUUACAACUGUUUUAGAGGAGAUUUAAGCCCGUAUAACAGAAAUUAUUAGUUAGAGUUUGUUGAUAAAAAAUUGACAGACCAAAGAUGUAAGGUUACCUUUUGAUUAGAUCGUUAGGUAGUCCUUGCUCAAUGAAAUUCCAAUCCUUGUAAACAACAGCAGACAUUUCCAAAGCAUAAUUUCCCCACAAGAAGGUUGAUUCUAUAAUACCCUCUGCAUUGACCAAGACAUUUCGUGCAAGUGCAUUUAUGUUCAUUGUGUCACGGUAGUGAGGAAGUAAAAGUUUAUGAAUAGGGUGAACCACACUAAGAUGCCUGUUUGUUGCUAUGAUGAAUGGCUCAACAACAGCGUGGGUGUUCAACCUGUCACACAUGUCGAUAUUCAUGAAUUAAUCAUAGAUAGGUUAAUUAUGUUUGAUUGUGUAUACGUGAUUAAUGAGAUUCAUACCAAUGGCUGACAAGUUGAUGAUAGCAGGAGUCAUUUACAACAACAAAAGCCUUGGCAAGGAGCCAAAUUGAAGCUUCAACACCUUCACUUGCGGGCAAGUAAACAUUGCUAACAGGACCAAAACUAUCACCUUGAGGGUGUGGCCUGCUUAGUUCAAUGGCCAGUGGCUUCAAAGUUCCAUCAUCUUGCAAGAAAAGUAUGGUUCUGGUAGCAUAGGCCUUUGUCUCGGUUGCAUUUAUUUUCCUCAAAUAUGGAAAGAGUGGGUCGUGGUGAUCAAGUAUGUACAAUCUAUUGUCUUGGAUAGCCUGUAUGACAAAAUAAAAUUUAGCUACUGUGGUUUACUUGAAUAAAAAAAAUUCAAUCAUGGAGAAAAAUAUUAAUCAAACUAAGUCCAUGAGGUGUCAACCCAGUGGUUAAAGUCGACCUUAUAACCUCAAGGGAUAGAUUUCAAAUUUUCUCCCGGACGAAAUUCACGAACGCCACUUUGGAAAAAAAUAGAACUGAUCAAAUAUGUCAUUACCUGUUCUACGGUGACCCCACCCAUGUUUGGCUCCAAGUUUUCUUUGGUUAUGGUGCUGGUAUUAUCACCAAAUUUUUGGCUAUCUAGCUUGCUCUUUGGUGGAAACUCCUGUAUUAAAUUUAGCAAGCAAUAAUGUCACCAAUUACAAAAAUAACAUAAUGUUUACAAAAUAGUCUUAGUUUUAUUUUUUUAAUUUCUUAACAAAGUUAAACUAUUAGCUUUACCGAAAGUUUUUUGAUGAUGUGUGGGUUCACCCCAGCAAUCAUCUCCCUUGCAAAUUCCUCAUCAGUCUGCCAUGCAGAAUGGUCCACUGUUCAUAUUAAGAAAUUUUCAAAAGAUCCAUUAGAUUUCUUUAUAUGAUUUUGUAUAAAUAUAUUACUGCAAGGACUAGGUAUUAUGAUUAAUAUAUACCUUGAAUCACUUUUGGUGGUGGAAACUUAAGUGCUUGUUCACCAUCAGAUCGGAAAAGUUCCUUGAACAAUGGUAUUGGACUAAUCUGGCUUAGUACAUCAGUAGGAAGCUUAAUUCCACCCUCGUAGAGAGAGCGCACAUCUUGAAAGGUGUUAAACUCAGGGUUAUUGAGUUGUAAUGUAACUACAGAUCUCAGUUGAGGUAUGACAUUUUGAGAUGCUGAUUUGAGUAUGUAAACAAGAAAGUCUGAUGACUUUGUGUGUCCAAAAGAUUCAUCUCUUGGAAGGUAAACAGUGGGACUUCGAGUCUCACUCUUAGGAUCUGUUCAAAUAUAUAAUAACAAUAUAUGUUUUAGAAACAAUACCAAAAUCUUUAGAAUCAUAAGCAGGGUAAACAUUUGGAUCAACCAAAAAAACACAUGUUUAGUCCAAAAUCUGACAGAAGUGUUUGUGGCCUAACCUGUUUUAGUUUUUCUUCUGCCAGUUCUUCCCCUUCGAGGGUAAGGGAAAUCGCUUGAUCCCCCAAGAAUUUGACGCGCCAAUUGAGGUUUCGAGUCAGGCUCACCCAAAUCAUUGUAGACAUCGUAAUCAUAUAUUCUUUCCCAUUCCUUGCGCUCUCCAGUUCCAUCUCCUCUUAAAGUCUUCAAUUCUUCUUGUCUGUAGUACACUAAUGGAGCCGGUGUUUCACUUGGAAGGUAUGUCUACAUAAAUUUAAUCAUUCAAAAUAUCAAGUUUUAGGAAAUAGGCUUAAUAUUCAGCAAGCUAUAUAGUUAUUAUGAUAAAGUGGAUUUGUGAUUUGAGACAUCAGAAAGAGAUUGGGAGUUGCAAGUUCUCAACUCCCUCUACUCGCAUUUCUAAAAACUAAUUACUAAUAUUUGUCGUUAUAAUAGAAAUAACAAGCUACAUGUGUAAUAGAAUUUUUAUUCUUACCUUGUUGGCAAAGAAGAUGCGGUCGGUUUUGUACUUUUUAGAAUUGUAAAUCCAUGAGUUGCAGACAAAGUGGAUGGAUCCAUGGUUUGGAACAUCUUCAAGUGUCAAACUCACAAGGAAGAAUUCACCUUGCAUAAAAUUAUCGAUGUAAAAAGCUCCGGGAAUUCCCAUGUUACUGUCCCAUUCAAAAUGAAUACUGAAAGCAUUUUGUUUGUCUCCCAAUGUUGGUAUGGAGGUAAGAAGACCUUCCAGAAAUGUUUCCUUUCCCACUUUUCCUUUUCCAGCAGCUAUAUUAAAAAUGUCAAAUAUUAUUAGUUUCUCAAUUUCACUAAUCCAUGAUUUUCAAAGUUUAAUUUUAUUCUUUUACAGAUCCAUUUUUCUUUUUACAUGAUCAUCAUCCAUCUUGCCUGAGUUAUAUCGAAGGGAAAUAAUUUCAAUAUUUUAGUGGUAAUUGAUUGUACCUGAUCAUUUAUAACCAAUAUUCUACAUCAAAAUCUCCAUUGCACAUUUUUAAUUUAAUAAAAAAAACAAAAGGGAAAAUAAGGUAAAUCUUAAUGGAUUGAUGUAUCAAAAACUCUUCUUGAAUAAUAGGCUGGCUUGGUGGUGUGGUGGAAGAGUUAUGGAGUAAUUAAUGCAGUCUGAGUUCAAUUCUUACAUCUAGCAAAAACUAACAACCGACAUAAUACUCAUUCGAUAUUAUUUAUAAGAAAUAAUGAAUUUUUUGAUUUAUUGAAUAAUUAAUGUAUAUGAUAUAUAUUCUAGAUCGAAUACAUAAAUUAUUCAAUGAAUCUAAAAAAUUAAUUAUUUCUUAUAAAUAGGAUUGGAUGAAGUAAUAUUUAUUGCUUAAAAAAAUAAAACUCCUCAAUAUUUUGUUGUUAAAUCAGAGAUAUCCUCCACGUGCAAAUGUCUGUCACUUAUGUUAUGUCACACAAUGUUGGUAAAAGAGUCUAAGUAAAGAGAUCAUAGAAGUAUGAAAAGAAGCAAUUUUAAAUAGAAAAAGAUAGUAGAAUUUACAAUUUUAAAAAUCUAAUAAGACAGAAGUUCAAAUAUAAAGUAUAUAGAUGGGGAUGUCAAAUUUUAAAUAGCUUAUGGUACAAGAUUAAUUUAAAAAAUUUAAGUGAGCAUGUGCACCCAUCACGUAGAUCCAUACAUACCAAAUGACAAAGAUAAAGUCCAAAACAGUUGCCAAACGCCAAAUAUCACACUUAUUUGCAUUAUAUAUACUUCUUUUUUUACAAAACCAUUAGAUAUACUCCCUUUAAUAUACAUUGGAUAUAAGUUUUUAUAUAGUCAUUUUUUAUUCCAAUAGUACUAUUUUUUCCAUAUCAUUUUAUUACUUAAUCAAAUGUCCAAAUUAUUUUAAAUAGUUACUUAAAUAAUUUCAUAAUUUCUUUAUUUUAAUUAAGAAGAGACAACGAUGAAAUUUUUGUCUGUCAAGUAAGGAUAUAGUUUUGCAGUUAAUAAAAGAAUAUAAACACAAUUUUUUUCUUUUCAUAAAUUUCAUCAAAGAAGGUAAUCAAUCUUAUUCAGAAUCCGUCGAUCAGACACUAAAUGUGAUACCUCUCUCAAUCAAGAUUCUAAAAUCAUUCUCGUCCGUUAGAUCCAAUUACUUCCAUUGGUGUACACAUAAUUUAAAUAAGUUAUAUCAAUCAAUUAAUUAAAAUGCCUAUUUCUUGUAUGAAUUAAACAUAGUGAGAAAGGUCCUCGUGAACUAGCUCAAUUGAUAGAGACAUAUAAUAUAAUAUAUGCAGGGGUUGAAGUCCGAACCCUAAACAUCCGACUUCUCCAUAUUUAAAAUGUGUGAGCUCCCGUCACUGGGUUAAUUGACAAAAAGAAAAAUAGAGUGAGAAAGAGAAAUGAGUUAUUACCAUCAGCACUUGUAGCACUAAUCAACCUGAGAGCUAUAGAACGUCCCAAGAAGGAAGUGGCAGUAUCAAGUAUAUUGCCAGCAACAUCACCAACAAUACCAAAGGCACCACCAAUGAUACCAGUAGGGCUUUUAGCAGCAGUGAGGGCGUUGAUAUCCAAAGUAUUCUUUUGCAUCAACACCACAGUUCCCUUCAACUUUUGGCCUCUAUCAAAGAGACCUGUUACACCAGAAAACAUCUUUGAAUAUGCUUUAAAUGUAUUACACUAUAUAUGGUAAAUGAAAGAAAGGCUUGUGUCUUGUAACCAUAGGGGUGGUUAGUAUUUAUAGUAGUUGAUGAGAUUAGGAUCACAAUGUUAUAGUUCAAAUGAGGUGAUAUUUUUAUUCAACUACUCAUUUACAACAUGGUGGAAUGCAAUUGGUCACGUCUUAUGCUAAUUUUUUAUUAUGAGUGAUUAUCUCGUGGUAUAUAAAAUAAUAAUAUAUCCGAUUGCAAAAUUAUUUUGGUAGUUGUUAUAUGUGCCAGCCUUGGCAUUAUGUUCAAUAAUAAUGACUCUGUUUGCUCUAUUGUUAAUUAUUACUACUAUCUUACGUGUCUGCAUUGGUUUUCUCGAGUUUUCUCAUAUUUUUUAAAGUGGGAAAAUCUCUACCCUUAAAAUUCAUUUCUUUCUUAUUUUAAUUUCAAAAUCUCUCCUCUUUUUUUUUUUUUUUUUUUUUUCUUUUUCUUUUUCUUUCUCUCAUACUAUCAAAUCAAGAUUAGGAUUGGACUUGAGAUACAUUUGCUUAGUCACAAACAUAAAAAUGAGUCAUUUAACACACACAAUGUAAUAAAAAAAAUUGAUUUGGUGUUGUGGUCUAAUUUAACACUUACUAUAUAAGUAUUUCUCCAUCCAAAGAUGGAUCCAAAAAUCUAUUAGCAAUUUUAGUUCACGGCCUAAUUUAUUCUCUUGUUUGGGAGUCUUUUGUAACAAUUUUUGUUUUUUUAUUUUGGGUUGACGGCAAGACCUUUGUCUUUUGAUGUAACUAUACUCUUUUUCCUUGUUCUUUUGGCACUUUCUGUGCUGGAAUAGCAGAUAUUUUUCAAAUAUAAGCAAUCAACGUUUGUUCUAGGGCGCUCUAUAUAUGGAUAAUGUUAUCAGCCACGUUUUUGACAUUUGCAUCAAUUUUUUUCUUUAUAAAUGAUGAAUAAGACAUGUAUUACUAAUGAUGGUUGAUAUUCCAGCUAUCAUGGAAUCCAAGUCGCCAUAGUACAAUGUUUUUAAAAUCCCAGCUAUGUUGGCAACCCAAAACAUCGUGUGUCAAAUGCGCCACAUCUUAUAUAUUAUUAAUAAUAAAAAAUACAAAAACGAAAAAAGUUGAGUUAAACUCAACAAAGCUAAUUAAAAUGAUAGGUAUGCAUACCAAACCUAUCUAAAAAAACCACUGAUAAUAAAACUAGGACAUAUAUACCACCAUUGAAAAUCUCCAAUUAGUUUACAAAUAUCAACGAAAAAACUUCUCCUUUUCCUCUUGUGACAUAGAUGAUCUCCAGUAGGUUUCUGCGUUUUUCCUCUUCAGUUUCGUGUUUUGCUGCUUGCGUUGGGGGUGUGAAAAUUAAACACUGAUGACUUGUGAAAAAAAGAAGCAUAAAGGGCUGCUGGACUAAAGUCUGAUAAUUGUUGGUCCCUCUAUUAUUUUUGUUAUAUACACCCCUCUAUAAACGAUUAUUGUUAUAUACACCCUCGUAUAAAAAAAUUAGGUCCCUAAAGGCAUGGGCCCUAGGCUGCCGCACCCCAUCCUAUAUCUAUGGCUGGCCCUGAAUGUUAUCGUUGUAAUAGAAGUGGUUUAAUAUAUAAAAUGAAAGACAUAAGGUAAAUAGGGUAAUGUUGCAUUAAAAAUGGAUGUUGGUAAGGCAUGUGGCAUUGAUAGGUCAUUUGAAAGAAAUUUUGAUGAAGAUGAGGUUAUGUCAGUAGUGAAUGAACUAGAUAAUGAUGUGUAUUAAAAUGGUGGAUUAUUCCAUUAUUGUUAACAAUGAAAUCACAUGACCAAUCAUACUCGGACGAGGCCUUCAUCGGAGAGAUUCUUUGUCUCAUUGUUUAUUCUGUGUGCAGAAGGCCUAUGUGCUCUUAUUAAGUAUGUCGAGGCUAGUGGAGAGCUUCAUGGGGUCAAAAUUUGUCGAAACACUUUGAUUAUUACUCGAAUUUUAUUUGCAGAUGACUACUUUCUAUUUUUCAGGGAAGGUGAAGCGCCGAGACUCAAAAUAUGAAGCAAAUUUUGAGGUUGUACAGAGCAACGUCUGGAUAUUACAGCUUAAAUGCCCAACAAUCCCUUCAAAAUGCUUUUACAACAACCUUAGGGGGGUCAGGCGGUGUUAUGCACAAUGAAGUACAUCGGACUACCCUCUAUGAUUGGUAGAAGAAGGAAUGUUACGUUCAGCUUUCUCAAAGAUAUGACUGGAGCAACAAGUAUUUGUGAAAGGAAGAUAUAAUGAUAAAAACAUGUACUGCAAGCAAUACCAUCUUAUGGAAUUAGAAUUUUCUUACUUUCUACCAUGUUCUUUGAUGCCAACGAAAAGAUUAUUAACACGUACGUACUGGUGGGGUCAUGGUGGUUCCACAAUUAGAGGUAUUGACUGGUUAUCAAGGGACAUGCUUGUUGUCUACAAAUUUUUUGGAGGUUUGGGGUUUAAAUACUUGACGUCAUUCAACUAAGCAAUGUUAGGAAAACAAGAUCGGAAAUUCCACACACACUUGGACUGUUUGGUAUCAAGACUGUUCAAGGCGCUCUAUUUUCCUCAUGGAAGCUAUCUAGACCGAAAGUGAUGACAGAGCACUAUAUGACAUUUUGGGCUAUGUUUUUAGUACUUUUAUUUGCAUUUGAAGACAUAUAAGUUGAGAGAUAGAGGAGUUGUUAAUGGUUUGGGAAACAUAUUGUAUUGUUUUCAAUCGAGCCGUUGUUCUUGAUGCUUGACAGUUUAAGGAACCUCUAGGGUAUGUUUUUUAAACAUCGUUGUUCCUUGAUUGAGGAACCUCUAGAUAUUUCAUGAAGUGUAAUUCCUUUAGAUGACAAUUUAAGAGUCACACGGGAUGUUGCAGUCAAAAGAUGUGAUCAUGGCUUUCAUAAUUGAGUUAUGGAUAAAACGACAUCUGUAGGAAUAUUCUCUCUAUAGUAAACCACCGUUUAUGUAAUUUUUAGGUUUUAAUUAAUAGGUACUUUGCAUUAAUCCAACAAAGAGGGAAGAGGGAAGAGGGGAUUCAAGGAUUCCCUAAUCACCGUUAUACAUCUAAAUCACACAAACAUAAUCUUUCUUUGGAUAGGGAAAUUUAACCAUGCAAAUCUUUUUUUCAUCUCUUUUCUAUUUUCUUUCUAAUAAGUUUUGCUAAUUACCGAAAAACUUGCUACUUUAUUAAUUGUUAUGAUUUGGUGCACUUGCCAAUUUCGUCCUUCAGAAAGCUUGGACAUAAAUCAAAGCUUUAGUUGGAGAAGAAUAUUUACCGCUAAGAGAGUAGUACAAAAAGUUGCUCGGUGGAAGAUCAGAUCGGGUACAAAGUUUCAAUUUUUUAUGCUUUGUGGGUAAAAGAUGGGACAAGUAUUCUAGGAGAUGGUCAACCUCUCAAGGUAAUUCAACAGGCUAAAGUGCACAAUCUCGUUGAUCAAGAAUUUCCCGUAUAGAACAAUCAUAUUGUAAACCAGUGUUUUGAUCAACUUAUAAAUGAGCUCAUUCUGAGUACUCCUUUAAUUGAGUCUGUUAAAGAAAGAUAAAUUAAUUUUUAAAUCAAAGAAAAAUGAACAUUACUCGGUAAAAAUUGUGUACAAGAUUUAUACAUAAAAUAGUGCAGGCAACUCAUAUUUAUGUCAGUAAGGUCAUUGGCUGGAAUUUAGAAGUUAAAGGUGCAUCCCAAAGUGAAGGAUUUCAUUUGGCUGAUUUAUCAAGGUUGCUUACCGACGCGUGUAAGGCUGAAAGAUCGAAGUCUCCAUUGUCUGUCUAUUUGUAUGAUGUGCACCGGUAACUAUGGGGAUGCAAUGCAUAUAUUGUUUGAUUCUCCGUAAAUAGGAUAUGUAUAUAUUUUUCUCAAGUGCAUUAAUUUUAUCAUUCAUAGCUCCAGCCCAGUUUAUAUUUUUAAAUGUUUCUUCAAUAGAUGAUUUGAUUCUCACAUAAUCAACGGCAACAAUAAAACUUUGAUUGUGUGGAAAGUUGUUUAGUGGAGACAUAUUGAGAAAUAUGUAUGAUAUCUAUAUAUAGAGGGACAGAUCGAUAACAUUUGCAAUCAUCUACAACAGGCCAUGUUACCCAAGAACAAUCAUCAAUAAAAGAAACAAACCACCUUGCCCCAUAAAUAUUAGAAACAACAAGAAAUAUUAGAAACAGGGGCCGAUCGGCAGACAUCAAAAUGAAUAAGAUCAAAUGGUUCAACACUUUUACGAAGAUUCAACGAAAAAAGUGGUAUGUGUACGCUUAUAAAAUGGAUAUAUAUAUCACAUUUAAAAGACUAAAUCGAUUGCAUUAAAAAACAAAGAUGGAAACAUAAACUUCAUUAGUUGAAAAUGAGGAUGACAAAGACGUUUGUGCUGAAGCCAAAUUUGAGAGGCAGAAUAAGACUCUGACUAAGACUGAAGUGCAGAAGACAACACCUUCUGAUCAAUUCGUGCAUCAUACAAAUAAUAUAGCCCUCCUUGUUCCUAAGCAACUCCAAUCGUCUUUCCCAUUACAAGAUCCUCGAAAGCACAAUGUGAAUCAAAAAAUAUUACUGCACAAAUAUUAUCCUUUAUAAGCUUACGAACAUAGAUAAGGUUAUUCCAAAGACAAGGAACAUGAAGCAUAUCUUUCAACUUAAAAGGUUCAAGGUUAAUUUCUCCACAACCAUCUACACGAGUAUGAGAACCAUAUGCAGCCGCAAAAAAGAAUGUCAUAUGAAGAAAUUUACUUCAAAAAGGCCAAGAACCAAUGUCAUAUGAUCAAUAGCACUAUAGUCAAUAAUAUAAUCAACAUUUCAAGCAAAAACCACAUAUAACUAUUUUCAGUCACAUUGGCUGAUAACUACAAAAGAAUCUCCUCAAAAGAACAACAAAAAGAAGAGGCUUCAAAUAACAAAAAAUAGGCAACAAGGUAAAAACCGUAAGUCGCAACAACGUAAAAUCACCAAAUAAAAGUCAAACUGAAUCACAAAGGGUCCUCAAAGAUGCUGGUAGUCACAAACAAGCACAAAACAACCGCUAUCAAUCAGUUAGUGUCAAGAGUACCCACGUAAAAUAGUAUCUUGGUCUUGGAUCAAGAUUUUGACCCCUUAAACGAACCAAUUAUGUGAAGACUAUAAUUUCUAGGAAUAAAUGGUGUCGAAUGGUGGUUCACAAGGUGGCAUGUGCAUCGCACUUGAUGGAGCUUCACUUUAGAUUGGGCCUCUGCUCUCAACUUCUCAAGUUCUUCUUCAAAAAGUAUUUGAGAACAAAUUUUUAUAGCCCUUUCGUUUAAAAAAUCUUUUUAGUUUUGCCAUAUUAGUUGAUGUAUGAUUCUUUAACUGUAUUUACAUUGGAAAAACAAUUGGCAGUGGAAAUAAAAUCAUUAUGAUCUAUUAUUGCUUUUUCAAUGUUAUCAUUUUUUUGUCAUGCUAUAUUGCAUAUUUGCAUUGAGAGCUUUUUUGUCAUGAAAUAAAAUAUGAAGUUUGCAUUUUAUAUACAAAGUAAAUCACACAACAAAAUAGAAACAUAGUAACUUUUAUUGAUGAAAUACAUUAUAACAAUCAAACAUGAUAGUUUUUAUUGAUAAAACACAUUACAGAAUUAAAAACAAACGUACAUAAUAACAUAACAUGACGAUAUACAUAGGGGGCGAGGGAAUUGGAUUCCUCCUCCUCUUUUAUUAAUAGCGACAACGCAACAACCACGACGUUUUUUAGAUAGAGACACUGUUGGGAAUGCCUCUGCAAGUCAAUCCUUCCUCACUAGAAGGAUAAAGCAGAGUGUAAGGCAUCUUCACUGGUCCGUUACGAUUCCUCAGUGUCUCAUCAUUGUUCCUUUGAAUGAGUUUUUGCUCAAUUUCAGCCAACUUCUUUCCAAACCUCUUAAAGGACUCUUUUGGCUGUGAAUCAGAAGUCCAGAGAUCACCUUCAAUUCUCUCUCCAAGGUAUUGCUCAUCAGAAGCAUGCCUUGACAAGACUUCUAUAAUGGUCAAGUCAGUAAGAGUAUCAUUCUUGGGUGUUAUUGUCCUCAGAUAAGACUUCUGGUAGUCCUUAGCAAGCUCAUCAUACUCAGGGGAUCCCUGCUCAGGCAUGAAUCUUCUACUUUUAGUUGGUCGGUUAACGAUAUAUCCUCCAUACGGAUAUUGUCCAAAAUUAACUGCUGCAUGAAGUGCUGAAGCAAUCCAUAUGAGGGUGGUGCAAGCUUCAAUCAACUCCUCACGAGUUUGCAUCUUAAACCACCAUGUAGCAUUCUUCAAGUCACCAUGACCGACCUCUACAAGUUCUUUCCAGAAUGCUUGGAGUUCAGAAUCUUGUGCAAUAGAUGCAUCUGACUUGUAGUAGAAAUUGACAUAUUCAUCAACCCAUGAUUUAAUAGCAGCCCAUAUUUCUAGUCCAUCUGAAGCAUAAGGGUAGUCCUCUAUUAGAAGUCGAAGACCAUAUGCUGAAGUAGGGUCCUCAACGGCCACUCCUCUAUAGAACAAGCAAAGGAAGAUAACAUUAACAUACAAAAAAAAAAGAUAGUUAGGAAAGUUACUUAGAGUUUGUUUGAUUGGUAGUUACUUUGUUGAUUCUCUACUAGCUCUAUACAUGGCUACAAAGUCAAACAUUUACCAUUGAACUGAAACCGUGUGGUAUUAUACUUGAGAUCAAUAUCUUUUUAAAAAACGGACUGAGUCAAGAUGUAAUGUUUUGUAAGGUUACCUUUUGAUUAGAUCAUUAGGUAGGCCUUGCUCAGUGAAAACCCAAUCCUUGUAAACGACAGAAGACAUUUCCAAAGCAUACUUUCCCCACAAGAAAGUUGACUCGAUAAUACCCUCGGCAUUGACCAACACAUUUCGUGCUAGUGCAUUUAUGUUCAUCGUGUCACGAUAAUGUGGAAGCAGAAGUUUAUGAAUAGGGUGAACCACACUUAGAUGCCUAUUUGUUGCUAUGACGAAUGGCUCAACUACAGCAUGAGUGUUCAACCUGUCACACAUUGUAGAUAAAUUUUCAUCAAAUUACUCAUAGAUGUAUAAAAUUUAUUUGAUUGUUUAAAUAUCAUAAACGAAAUUCAUACCAAUGGCUAACAAGUUGGUGAUAACAUGAAUCAUUUACAAUUACGUAAGCCUUGGCAAGGAGCCAAAUUGAAGCUUCAACACCUUCACUUGCAGGCAAGUAAACUUUGCUAACAGGACCAAAACUAUCACCUUGAGGGUGUGGCCUACUUAGUUCAAUGGCCAAUGGCUUCAAAGUUCCAUCAUCUUGCAAGAAAAGAAUGGUUCUAGUAGCAUAGGCCUUAGUCUCGGUUGCAUUUAUUUUCCUCAAAUAUGGAAAGAGUGGGUCGUGGUGAUCCAGUAUGAACAAUUUAUUAUUCUGGAUAGCCUGUUCCACAAAAUAAAAUUUAGCACUGUUGAAUUAUUUUUUUAGAGUAAAGUUGUUGAAUUGGGUAGAGAUUUACCUGUUCUACCGUGACCCCAACCAUGUUUGGCUGCAAAUGUUCUUUGGUUAUGGUGCUGGUAUUAUUACCAAAGAGUUGGGUAUCUAACUUGCUCUUUGGUGGAAACUCCUAAAAUAAAUGUACGAAGCUGUGGUUAAUUAAAACUUAUAAACAUGGCAUGAAAAGUGGGAAAAAUAGCAUUUGUUAGUUUUUCAGUAUUUUCUUAACAAUGUUAAACCAUUAACUUUACCAAGAGUUUUUUUAUGAUGUGUGGAUUCACCCCAGCAAUCAUCUCCCUUGCAAAUUCCUCAUCAGUCAUCCAUGCAGAAUGAUCGACUGUUCAAAAUUAAAAUUUCAAAAGAUCCAUGAACUUUAUUUCUCUGAUAUAUGUUAAUAGUAAUAGGAAUGUGUGACUAAUUAAUAUAAACCUUGAAUCACUUUUGGUGGUGGAAACUUAAGUGCCGCUUCACCAUCAGUUCGGAAAAGUUCCUUGAACAAUGGUAUUGGGCUAAGUUCACUUAGUAUAUCAGUAGGAAGCCUGAUUCCACCUUCAUAGAGCGAGCGCACAUCUUCAAAGGUGUUAAACUCAGGCUCAUGGAAUUGUAAUGUAACUAUAGAUCUUAAUCGAGGUAUGACAUUUUGAGAUGCAGAUUUGAGUAUGUGAACAAGAAAGUCUGAUGACUUUGUGUGUCCAAAUGAUUCAUCUCUUGGGAGGUAAACAGUGUCACUUCGACUCUCACUCUUAGGAUCUGUUCACAAAUACAAUAACAAUGUAUGUUUUAGAAUCAUAAGCAGAGUAAACAUUUGUAUCAACAAAAAGACUUAGUAAACAACAUCAGGGAUAAAAACAUUAGUUGUCAAGUAGAAUACAAUUUCACAUUUUAGUACCAUAUCACUUAAUUUUUGCCAGAAUUUCUUAAAAUAUAACAUACUCAAGUGUUAAGAUAGAACGUAAAGUUAUAACCUUUACGAGCUGCUUUCCUGCCGGUUCUCCCUCUUCGAGGGUAAGGGAGGGUGCUAGAUCCUCCAACAACAGGACGAGCCAAACUAGCGUUCUUGUCCACAUCACCCAAAUCAUUGUAGACAUCAUAAUCAUAUAUUCUUUCCCAUUCCUUACGCUCUCCAGUUCCAUCUCCUCUUAAAGUCUUCAAUUCUUCUUGUCUGUAGUAGACUAAAGGAGCUGGUGUUUCACUUGGAAGGUAUGUCUACAAAAUUGUAGUCAUUGAUUGUGUCAAGUUUUUGGAAAAGAGAAUUUAUAGUCUAAAAAAAUAUUUAACAAGUUAUACAUGUUGGAUAUAAUUUAUAAAUAUUCUUACCUUGUUGGCAAAGAAAAUGCGUUUAGUUUUGUAAUUUUUAGCGUUGUAAACCCAUGAGUUGCAAACAAAGUUGAUGGUUCCAUGGUUUGGAACAUCUUCAAGAGUCAAGCUGACAAGGAAGAAUUCACCACCUUGCAGAUAAUUCUCAAUAUAAAAAGCUCCUGGAGUUCCCAUGUCAUUGUCCCAUUCAAAUUCAAUACUGAAAGCAUUUUGUUUAUCUCCCAAUGUUGGCAAGGAGGUAAUAACACUUGCCAGAUACGUUUUCUCUCCCACUUUGCCUUUUCCGGUUUUUCCUAUACAAAAAUUGGACUCUCAAUUUCACUGAUGAUGAUUUUAAAUAGUAGUAACACGUUAUAGCUAUUCCAAAAUUUGAUGUUUUUUACAGCUCAAAUGUUCUUUAUACCUACUACAUAAUUUCUCAACAUCCACUUGCCCUUAAUUAUAUCAAAUUGAAACUAAAUUUUAAUAUUUUAGUGGUAAUUGAUAGUAACUGGUUAUUUAUGAAUAAUAUUUGGGUAUUGUUAAAAUAAGAUAAAGAAGUUGUUACCAUCAGCAACGGUAGCACUAAUCAGCCAGAGAGCCACAGAACGGCGGAACAAGGAGGUGGCAGUGUCAGCUACAGUACCGGCAGCAUCACCAACAAAAUCGAAGAAACUGUCAACUACACCACCGGCGCUUUGAGCUGCAGUGAGUUCGUUGAUGUCUAAGACAUUCUUUUGCAUCAACACCACAGUUCCCUUCACCUUUUGGUGCUUAUCAAAGAGACCUUUCACCAAUGAACUCAUCUUUAAUGCUUAAAUGUAUUACACUAUCUUUGGUAAAUGAAAGAAAAGCUUGUGUUUUGUUACCAAGGGGAUGCUUAGUAUUUAUAGUAGUUGAUAGGUGCAAGGUUAGUUCAAAAGAAAUAAUUGUUUAUUGUUCAUUAUUAUAUGUUUUUUACAUAAUUAAUUUACUAAAUAACAACACAUUUAAAUGAAGAUGGGUAAUAUAAGCUGGCACAUUACAUAAAUAACUCUUACCAAAAAAAAAAUUACAUCAAUAACUGAUAUCUACGUGUUUUUUUGUUUCUGUCACUUGAGUGCGAUAUUUUUUGUUCGUCAUCUUGAUGCAUUGUUGUUUGAUUUUUUGUUUUGUUGUGAUGUUCUUUUAAUUUAAAUUCAGUCAAUGACUUUAGCUCUAACAUUAAAAAUUUGGAGGGAUAAAUAUUAAGUUUACUUUGAUUUUGUGACUUUUAUAGACAUUUUGUUACUUUAUGUUAUUAAUUUGGUUUUUUCUAGAUUACCUUUGAAGAAUGGUGGGUAAUUUACCCACCAACCAAUGAAAAUGAGCAAUUUAUUGGUGGGGUCAAUAUAGUUCAUGGAUACCACUUAAAAAUGUGCUUAUGUGGCUAAUGUGUAUUGGUUGGGAUAAAUUACCCACCAUUCUUUCAUGGAUACCCUAGUUGUCACCUAUUAAUUUACAUGUUGUGGUUUUAUUCUCAUGUUUAACUUAAAUCAAUUCAGCUACUCAAUCUCCUAUAAUAUUUUCCACGUGUUCUAUUAAUUUGAACUGAUGACUGUUUUGGUUAGUAAGAAAAAGCACGUUUAAAUGCAAUUGGGGCACAAUCUUAUGCUAAUUUUUCGAUGAUUAUCUUGUUUUAUAUUAAUAAUAUAUUCGUAGGUUUCAUUAUUAUUUAGAUUGUUUUAUGUAUUGUUAAUUAGGUACUGACCUGUAUGCAUUGGUAGUUUCGAUCAGGGUUGAAAUAGAUGGCCGUUUGGGACCCCAUCUUAGGAGGGACAUAAAUAUUUUUAUAAUUAGAAAAGUAAAACCAUAUGUACUUAAAAAACUAUAAAAAAAUUUGUUAAUGUUAACGAGUGGUUCAAAGACACUUGUUAAUUAGGUUACUGGAAAUUAGAUCUCAAGUUCACAAAAGAACAAAUUUCUAUCCACUUUUCAAUUCACUCAAACUAACAAUGAAUCCUAAGAGAAAACAAUAAAAAAAACGUUUUGAUCCUUUUUCUAAUGAGAUCUCACUGUUAAAGGUGUUUGUAAAGUGUUUCACUUUUCCAAGAACCUCAUCCAAAGACAUUAAACCAUAAAGUUCCCUUUGAUUUUUCCUAAGUUUAUCUCUCUUGAAGCCACAUAUUAAAUUGAAGAAUGAAGCUUUUUAUAGAACUCAGACUUAGAUAAUGAUUUUGUUUGGAUAAUGCCACGAUUUCGAGCUCGAACACAGUAAUGCACUAAACCUUAUCCUCAAAGUGCGUCAUGAUUUUCUCCCUUCAGACUGCAAAAUAAUGCGAACCAAACCUCAAAAAGUCUAAACCAAAUUGCGUCAUGAAUUCUUCAAAUCGCGCCAUGAUUUUUGACGAACUUCAACAUUAACUUUGAGCCAAUUUUAAAUAUUUCUCAUCCUUAACUCUAAAUUGUUGGUGAUGUCAUUUUAACCAUCAACAACCUAAAUGCUAUCUCCAAUGAUAAAUUAUUCUUCAACAAAUUUAAUCAAGUUCAAGCAAUCCUUGAACCUUGAUAUAGACAAUAACUUGGUGAACACAUCUGUCGGAUUUUCUUCCGUAGCAACUUUCUCAAUCAUAAUCUAUUUCGAUUCAAUCAUGUCUCUAACGAAGUGCAAGCGAAUGUCAAUGUAUCUUCACAAUGUAUCACAAUACACUUGAAGAUAUGUCAAAUGGAUGACAUUUUGGCUUUGGCUAUCACAAUGUAUCUUCACACAUAUUUGAGCAAUUCCUAACUUAUAUAUUGUUGUAUAUUAAUAAUAUAUCCCUGUUCCAGAACUAAAACAGUAGUCUAAACUGUUUUUUAUGUCAUCUAAAGAUCGUACCCAAUCACUAUCAGAGUAACCUUGCAACUUGAAAAUUUUCCAUCGAUAGAACUUAAUGCCAUAAUUUAAGGUUCCCUUGACAUACCUCAACACUCUUUUUUCUCCUUUGAAAUGAGAUUCUUUAGCACAAUUCAUGAAUCUUGAAAGAACAUUUACAACAUACGAAAUAUUUGGUCUUGUAGUUGUAAGAUACAUUAAGCAUCCAAUUAAACUUCGGUUGAGUGUUUCAUCCACGUGUUCUUCUUCAACAUCCCUUGCAUCUCAAAUUCUCGAAUGAAAUUAAGCGCUUGCAUUCCCCUAAUUCUUUCAUCUCCUUCGUAUUCAGUUUUGAGGAAAUUUCAUAUUUCAAAUGCUGGUUUGAUGGUCAUAAUUUUGGUUAAGAUUUCUUCUGAGUCAUCAGCAAAGGAAGAACUUCGUAGUCCUCCUCAAGAGCUUCGCAGAGGUCAUUUGCCUCUAAAUACGCCUCCAUUCCUGCUGCCCAUAUAUGAUAGUUUUCACCAUCAAACACAGAUAAUGGUAGGGCUUUGUAGGGUGUUUCAGAAUCCAUCAGUUUGAUGAAUUGAGGAAUAAUGUUUAAGCUUUUACGGUAGCUUUCACUCACUUCACUCGCAAGUCCCUCCAAGAAGAAGGCUUUGAUACCAAUCUGUUGGUGAUUAUACGUAACUCAUAGAAUAGGAAGGGAAAAACUGAAAUAUUAUUGAAUUGAAAAAACUGUUGUCAAAUACAAAGUUGUAACUUAAAUAAAAAACAAAUAUUGAGUAACUAACUCAUGAUCUUUAGCCACUACUUUAUUAGCUAAUUAAAAACUGAAAUAUUAAAACAAAUUCUCUUAGAGACUUGGUCAAAUAGUGCAGCUGGAAGUAACAACUGAUGAUACACAUGUUCAACACCUUCUCAUCAUUUAUUCAAAGCAACAAACAACACAACAACCAUGGUGUUUUUUAGAUGGAGACACUGUUGGGAAUCCCUCUGCCAGUCAAUCCUGGUCCACUGGAAGGAUAAAGAAGAGUGUAUGGAAACUUCACAGGCCCAUACCUGUUUUUCAAUGACUCAUUAUUGUUCCUUUGAAUGAACUCUUCCUCAAUUUCAAUCAAUUUCUUUGCAAACUUUUUGUAGGCUUCUACUGGCUUUGGAUCAGAAGUCCAAAGAUCACCUUCAGUUCUUUGUCCAAGGUAUUCCUCAUUAGGAUCAUGCAUGGAUAAUACCAGCAUAGUAUUCAUAACUUCAAGGGUUUCAACCUUUGGUGUGAUUGUCGUCAAAUAUGUCUUCAUGUAGUCCUUAGCGAGCUCCUUAAACUCAUGUGAUCCUUUCACUGGCAUGAAUCUUAUGGUUUUAGUUGGUCGGUUAAGGAUGUACCCUCCAUACUGAUAUUGUCCAAAAUUAACAGCUGCAUGAAGUGCUGAAGCAAUCCAUAUGAGGGUGGUGCAAGUUUCAAUCAACUCUGUACGAGUUUCCAAUUUAACCCACUUAUCAGUCUUCAAGUCACCAUGACCUACUUCUACAAGUUCUUUCCAAAAUGCUUUGAGUUCCUCAUCAUCUUUAACAUCUUUAUCUGACUCGUAAUAGAAAUUGACAUAUUCAUCAACCCAUGACUUAAUAGCAGCCCAUAUCUCUAGUCCAUCUGAAGCAUAUGGAUAAUCCUCUAUCAGAAGACGCAGACCAUGUGGGGAAGAAUCAUCGUCAACAGCCAUUCCUCUAGAUAAAUAAACAAGAAAGGUAACAUUAAAACACACGCAAAAAAAUACGGAAGGGGUUAUUGUUAAUUAAAAUAGUAAUAACUAAUAACUAUUUUACAAUUGUCUGAGAAAGAGUUCGUACUCUGUCAAAUAGAAAUAUAAUAAUAGUUAGUUUGAGAUUUUUAAUUAGUAUGUAAUUAGUUUGUUAUUUGGUUGUUAGGUUUUAAGUUAUUGAUUCACUUGGGAAUAUAUAAAAUGUAUAUAUUUUAGAUUAAUAUCUUUCUAAUAAAUGGACUGAACCAUGAUGCAAUGUUUUGCUAAAUUACCUAUUUUUUAGAUCAGUAGGUAGUCCUUCUUCAGCGAAAACCCAAUCCUUGUAAACAACAGCUGACAUUUCCAUACAGUAUUUUUCAAACAAAAAUGUCGACUCUACAAUACCCCCUGCAUUGAUCAAGAUAUUUCGUGAUCGUGCAUUUAUGGUCAUCGUGCCACGAUAGUGUGGAACUAAAAGUUUAUGAAUAGGGUGAAGCACACUAAGAUGCCUAUUUGUUGCUAUGACGAAUGGCUCAACAACAGCAUGUGUUUUCAACCUGUGACACAAGUAAAUAUAUAUUCAUAAAAUUACUACUCAUUGAUAAAUCAAAUAUAUAAUUUUAUUAUAUCAAAAUGAUCUAGGAAAUUCUCACCAAUGGCUGACGAGUUGGUGACAACAUGAGUCAUUUACAACAGCGUACGCCUUUGCAAGGAGCCAAAUUAAAGGUUCAUCAUCUUUAGCAUCUUUAUUUGGGGGCACGUAAACAUUACUAACAGAACCAAAACUAUCACCAUUAGGAUGUGGCAAACUUAGCUCAAUGGCCAAUGGAUUCAAAGUUCCAUCAUCUUUAACAAAAAGAAUGGUUCUAGCAGCAUAGGUCUUUGCUUCAGUUUCAUUUACUUUCCUCAAAUAUGGAUAGAUUGCAUCGUGGUGAUCAAGUAUGUACAAUCUAUUGUCUUCGAUAGCCUGUUAGACAAAAAAAAAAAAAAAAAAAAAAAUUAGCCUCUGUAGUUCAAUUGAUUGAAAAAAUUAAUUUUAAUAGAGAAAUAAUAAUAAUAAAAUUAAUUCUUCAUUACCUCUUUUACUGUGACCCCAUUCAUGUUUGGCUCCAAGUGUUCUUUGGUUAUUGUGCUGGUAUUAUCACCAUAGAGUUUACUAUCUAACUUGCUCUUUCUUGGAAGCUCCUGCAACAAAUAUAGAAAGCAAUGAGGUUAAUUACAAAUUACUAUGUAUGUAUUAUAUAUGAAAAGUUGAAAUGAUAACCUUCUUUAUUUCUUUUGUACAUGCUUAAAAAUAUUACAAAUUUACCAGAAGUUUUUCGAUGGCAUUCGGAUUCACACCAGCAAUCAUCUGUCUUGCAAAUUCCUCAUCAGCCAUCCAUGCAUGAUAAUCCUCUACUCAUAGUAACAAAUUUUCAAAAGAAUCCAUGAGCUUUCUUUAUAUGAUUUUGUAUAUAGUUAAAUAUAUAUUGCGAUAACUUGGAAUUUCUGAACAAUAUAUAUAUAUAUACCUGCAAUCACUUGUGGUGUUGGAUACGUUGAACUUUUAGCCACUGAUUUAGCAUUAAUUGGGGAAAGUUCGUUGGACCUCGAUGUUUUGUUGAAUUUACUUAGUAUAUCAGUACCAUGGUUAAUUUGAAUAUUGAAGAGUGACAACACAUCUUGAAAGGUGUUAAACUCUUGACUGAAUAUUAAACUCUCAUCUGUGUGAAGUAAUUCAUCUCUUGGAAUGUAAAUUCUGCCAGUCCGACUCUCAGUCUUUGGAUCUGUUCAUAUUUAUGAUAACAAAAUUAUGUUUCAGCAACAAUACUAAAAUCUUUAGAAUCAUAAGUAGAGUAAACAUUUGGAUCAACCACAAGACAUGUUUGAAAGACUAUUAUUUUGAGACACAGGCACUACAAAAAUAGAGGACUACACACAAAUAUUUGUAGCCUUACCUUUCUUACUUGGUUCUCUACCAGAUCUUACCCUUCGAGGGUAAGGAAAACCGUCUGAUCCCUCCAAAGUGCUUGAUCCCCCAAGAACUGGACGACCCAAGCCAGCCUCUUUGUCUGGUUCACCCAAAUCAUUGUAGACAUCGUAGUCAUAGAUCCUAUCCCAUUCUUUGCGCUCACCCGUUCCAUCUCCUCUUAAAGUCUUCAACUCUUCUUGUCUGUAGUAGACUAAUGGAGCUGGUGUUUCACUUAGAAGGUAUGUCUACAUUUUUUUAUUUCAUAGUGUCAAAUUUUGAGAUAUAUAAAUAUAAUAUAUAUAUAACAUGUAAGAUAAAUAUGAAUAUGAUAGUUUUCAUUACCUUGUUGGUAAAGAAGAUGCGCUCAGAGUGAUAGUUUUUAGCAUUGUAAAUCCAUGAGUUGCAGUUAAAGUUGAUGGUUCCAUGAUUUGGAACAUCAUUAAGGGUCAAACUCACAAGGAAGAGUUCACUUUGAUUAAAAUUCUCGAUAAAAAAAGCCCCUGGGGAUGGAGCUCCCAACUUUUCAGUGUCCCAUUCAAACGUAAUAUUGAAAUGAAAUUGGGUUUCAUCCGAGGCAAUAAGACUUCCCAAAUAUGUUCGCUCUCCCACUUUUCCUUUUCCAUUUCCUACACAAAUUGCAGAAAGUAGAUCUUAAUUUCCAGAUAUACUACUAAUUUAAAUUACAUCUUUUUGUGCAAAUUUAUUACUACUAUCAACUUAUUAUGGUAAUUUUGUCAUAUUCCUAUAUUUAGGGAUGAAAGUGGUAAUAAUUAUAAUCAUUGUUCCUACUUUUUUGAGAAGAAAACAUCGAAGCCUAUAUCAACAAAGAUAUUCACAAAUUUUUAAACCGGGAGUUUCUACUCUACACUCGCAGAUUAAACUAUAGUGAAAUACUUGAUUUUUUAAUCAAUAAAUUAAUUAUCGGUUUAAUGAAAUAAAGAGUUAUUUAUCAACUUUAAUUUUAUAUUGUAUGAAAUAUCAUUGUAUAAGGGAAAAAAAAAUCACAUCAUUGUUUAUAAGAAUCAUAUUAAAUUAAGAGUAAAUGAUAGAAAAUAACUUUUUUUUUUCUUUCUAAAAAACACUUUUUUUUUUCAAAAACAACUAAACUAACAAUUCGUUUAAAGAUCUGAUGUAUCGAUCGAUGUACUCGAAUUCGUCUUACAAAUAUUGUUUUAACUUGUCAAUUUUACGAUAACAUUUCUAAACAUUUUUAUCCAAGACUUUUUAUUCUGUUAAAAUCUAGUUCUAAAGGGAAAUAGGCAUCGGUAAUAUGGAGUUUGAUCGAGAGGUAAGUAUAGUUUGAUAAAAAAUUGUUCCAUUCAGAAUUGAACUCACGUUCUCUUAAAUAUUUUAUCUAGUGGAACUCAUUAACCACUUUUCUUUUUGGCAAGUAGCCUAGUGGCAAGAAUUCACAUUUUUCAAUAUGAAUAAGUGGGGUUAUAGGGUUCGAACCCCACCCCCUGCAUAUAAUUAUGCAUGUCCCUGCCAACUGAGCUAUCCUCACGGAGACCACUCAUUAACCACUUUAACCUACCAAUUAACUAAAUUUAUUAUUGCAUAAGUUUUCUAUAACUUUUACUCUUUUUAACAUAAAAAAUGUGUUCAUUUGCAUUGUUACUCCCUCGGUCCAACAGUUUACAAAUAAUCAUGGAUAUUAAGAAAAGUUGUUGGAUAAAUAAAGUUGUCCCAAAUUGUUACCAAAUUGUAUUUGUGUUAAUGUUGAUUUUUCAUUUUUCAAAAUACAUUGAUAGUAUUAAUAAAACAAACAGUCUUAUAAUUAUGUACGGAUGGAGUAGUGGAUAUAGUUAGAUAAAGAAGUUAUUACCAUCAACCGUGGAAUCACUAAUCAAUCUGAGAGCCACAGAACGGCCUGGGAUGGAAGGAUCAGCAGCAUCUUUGUUUUGCUUAAGAAUCACAAUACCCUUAAGCUUUGUGACCUUGUUCCUAGCUGACACUGACACGAAUGAAGUCAUCUUUGAUGCUUAAAUGUAUUACACUAUCUUUGUCAAAUGAAAGAAAUGUUUGUGUCUUGUAACCAUUGGGGAUGCUUACUAUUUAUAGUACUUGAUGGGAUCACAAGGUUAGUUCAAAAAAGAUAAACUAUUCUUUGAUACACAGCUGUUCACGAUAUCAUAUUGAGAAAGACGCCAAUUAUUUUACCUAUUUUACUACUAGUGUAUCUCAACAAACAAGUAGGGAAAUCCAAUUAUUUUACUAUUCUUUUUUUUGAAGGAAUUAUUUACUAUUCUUGGAAUAGUGUGUACAUGCAAUUACUCCCUUCUAAUCUUUUUAUAUCAUCAUCUUACAUAAACUAUGAAUAUCAAAAGGAUUUUUCUAUCAAGUACUCAAAACGUUUUCAAUUAUAAGCAAAUUUAACUUUUUAUAUUCAAAAUGAUUUUUCUAUCAAAAACCAUGCUUAAACGUAUUACAAUAUCUUUGGCUAAUGAAAGAAAAGCUUGUGUCUUUUAACCAUAGGGUGGUUUGUAUUUAUGUAAAAUAUGAAGAAAAAAUAUAUAUAUAUCCGUUGAAUAAUUAUUUUGUUAUAAUAAGGUGUAUCAAGUGAGAGGAGUUUUUAUAAUGAGAGAUGAGAGGGUUGAGUUGUAACUCUUGGAAUUUCACCUCCUUCAUCUUGUUACGCGCGCCUUCUUUCUUCUCUCACAUAUGUUUCCAAUUCCUCACAAAUCCCAGACACCUUGAACCUUCCUCGCGACCGCUGCAAGGACUGUGUAUUUGCAUAAUCAACUCAACGUGCGUAGAUCCACCAUGACAAAUUUCCAUCCAUAUUUGUAUAAUCGGUUUCUAGCCACGGUUGAAGAUCGUCGAAUUGACUUCAGAAAAUCAGAUAUAAUCACUGAUUGAGUGACUGGGAAAAUUAAGCAAGAAGUAAUUAUGUGAUUGUCUCUUUGUUUGUGUGCAUAUAGAACAUUUAUCCGAUCUGUGAGUCGCAUCUAUUGAUGACUGUUAUUAGAGCUUUUGGGUCUAAUUUCAUGAAAAACUAAUAAUAUAAUUAAUUGUUACUUUAAAUCCCAAAUAAAAGUAAGUCCAAUCAUUUUAAAACGGAGGGAGUAAUAAAUUAAAAAUUUCAGGCAAAAAAUUGACAUAUAACCAAUCAUAUGCGAUCAAUGAAGAAGAAGAAAGAUAAAACUUAAAGAGAAGGUGUACCUUCUUUUUUUACUCAAUCCGUUUUAAAGCGAGUGUCGUUUUAGCAAAAAAAAAAUUGUUUCAAAAUGAAUGUCACUUUCAGUUUUCAAUGCAAUAAUAACUUUUUCUUUUCAAUUGUACCUUCAAUUAAUAUUAUAUACAUUACUUCCAAAGUAUUAUUUUUUCUUUAAUGAAAAACAAACUAAUAGUUGAUUAUGAUAAUUUGGUAAAAUAACAUCUUUUUUUUUUAAUUAAUGUAUUUCCUAAUAUAUUUAUAAAAACCUUAAACGACGUUCAUUUUAAAACAGAAUGAGUAAAAAACCAAAAUCAAACUAAUCCAUCAAAAUUAACACUUACGAAAAUCUAAAAUAAAAUUUUAAGAUGAGCAUUCCGAAUUGGGUUGCAACUUCUCUUUUUUUAAUUGUCUCCGGUUAUUAAAUUAUGGAAAGUUAAACAAGUAGGUGUAUGGUUGUCUUAUGUGCGAGAGAUUCCAAAGUCACAGCUGCUUUGGUGCUAUUUUUUUUUUUGGUUACAUGCUGCAUUAUGGUUAUUAAUAACUAUUUUUUUCCCCUAAUAAAUAAUAUGGUCAUUAAUAACUGUGCUUUGCUCUAUUAUUAAUUGUAUUAAUACGUGUGCGAGAUGGUAGAUCCGAAUUUUCCGGUCAUGAGAUACAAAACUGUUCACGUUCCCAUAUUGAGAAAAACGCCCAUUAUUUUUAGUUAAUAGUGUCACAACAAACACGUUAGGAAAGCCAAUUAUUUUUUUUUGUCUGCUUUGGAAAACCAAUUAUGAAUAGGUAUGUAACUAAAAUUAGGGUCAUGCUAACCGGUAUCAAGGUACUGGUUAAGGGUAUCAAAAAAGAAAGUUAUUACUAAAGAAAUUUUUUAACUUUUUAUGGAUUUAUUACAUAAUUUUUAAUACAAUAACUAUUAUAUAAUUUUCUUUUUUAAUAUCCUUAACUGGUGCUCCGGAGAAACCGAUUAGCAAUUUCCCUUAGAGGGUCAUGAUCUUAUGAGAUUAAGGAUAAGUUUCUCUCUGGUUUCAACCUCUUCUAGAUUUAAUAAAUAAAUUGACACAAUUUCUGAUACUUUAUUUUUAUAUUUGGUAUAGUAACAUUUGUUCUAUGAGUACAUGUUGGCAUUCCCUUAAGAGUUAAAACUGGUAAAAGGUUUAACGAUUGAAAAAUAUAGAGAAUUUGAAAUGAUAAAACUAUUAUUAGUGGUGAAGAUGCACAUGAAUUGGAAAUUGAAUACAUGUUUUUUGAGUAAAAAAUUGAAUACAUGCUCAAUUAAGUAAACUAUUAUUGAUAAUCAACAAUUGAUUUACAUUAUUUAAAAAAAAAAAUAUUGAUUUACGUAAUCGAAUACUAGUUUGAAUAAAAUUCGCCAAAAUUUGUUUUUUUUAUCUAGUAUUAAUGAAAAGUUUGGCUCUUUAGAUAAGCUCAUAGCAUAUAAGUUGUUGUGAAAGUGAUUUAAAAUUGGAUUUUUGAAAGUGCAAAAUUAGGGUCCGGUUUGGACAAAUCGAUGACUGAUUUUGAAUCAUUUUCCAGCCUUUGUAUUCGACAAUUUUCGGCGUCCGAUUGGUGAAAAUCGGCGGCCGAUUAUGCAAAACAGAUUUUUAUGGGUUAGAUUUAUUCCAAUUUUAUGCGGGAUACUUUUACUAUAAAUAUAGACCUUGUAUCAGAGUAAACAUUGAGAAAGGGGGUUGAAAACAAGGGUUAUGAAACAAACAACAAACUAGGGUUUAGAGAGAUUUCUCUAAGCGGGAGACACUAGAGUUUGAAUUGUUUUGAUUCACCUUGAACAAAACACUGUUAAGAUUGAGUCUCUUGGUCACAUGAAGAGAUUGAGACUUUAUGUAGAAUUAGGUUUGAAGACUAAUUCUUGUUACCUUUUGAUAUCUCUUUGUAAAGUUACUCAUCAUUAUAGUGGAACAGAAGGCUGCUCUCUCCCUCAGACUAGGUCAGUAUUGGACCGAACUUAGUAAACAAAUUUUGUGUGUUCUCUCUCUCUUUCUCUCUCUCUCUCUCUCUCUCUCUCUCUCUCUCUCUCUCUCUCUCUUUCUCUCUCUCUCUCUCUCUCAUUGUUUUCUACUUUACUUGUGUUUAUAAUUGUUACCCAUGUUGAUAUUGAUUGCUUAAUUAUUUUGCUCCACAAAUCAAGUAUUUUAUUGGUGCGAUUUUCAACAAAUUCACAACAUAAGUUAACUUAUUAUAAUGGAUAACAUAUAAGCUAGCUUAUAGAUGAAGCAGAUAGACUAUCUGAAUGAAUUUAUAUUGUUUGGUAAAAUUUGCAGUAGAACUAACUUAAAAAUGAUACAUUUAAUUAAUAAUUGAUUUUUUUUUUUCAAUUAAAAUUAUAGGGGUAAAAUUGAUAUAAAUAAUGAUAAGCUAUAUGCUUCAAACUACUAUAAACUAUAAACUAGUAAAAAUAGGUGAUAAAUUCAUGCAAAAGAGACACUUAUCAUUCUCUUAUAUGACCUUAUAAGAUAUGUAUAAGUUAUAAGAUGGAAAUAGGUCUUGCCAAACAGACUCCUAUCAUUCUCUUAGAAGGAAUUUUUUUAGGGAACUCUUAUAAGGAAUUGAAAUGAUGUUACAAAAAUCUGUAAACAUAUCUAAAACAUGACAAUGGCUCCGUCUAUGGUGGGAGACCUGAAUAGGUCUCAUACCGUAGGAGACAUAGUUUUUUUUUUCUUUUAAAAUGAAUAUGAAUCAUUGGAUAAGGGUUUGAUCAAAAUGUUUACUAUACACCUCCAAUACAAUUGUUUUCUAUUAUUCUAAACUUGUGUAUUUAUUCGACGUUGUUUUUGUUAGACAUAUAAUUAAGGACGACCAAAAUUAUGCAUGCAAACAUAUUUGCAGAUAAAAUUUACCCCGAGCUAGUACAUGACCAAUAUUUUAAUGGGUAUACACGAAUAAAAGAAAAUCAUAUUUUAAAUACUCGUAAGUUAAUAGAUGCACAUGCAGAUGAAAUAUUUAAUGAGAUUAUCUUCAAAAUAUUUAAUUACCUUUUUAUUAUUAAAAAAUACUUUUUUAUGUGUGUGGGCCUAAAUACUAUUUAUUUGAUAUUGUGACCGUAUUAAAAUUGCUCUUCUUGAAGACUAUGCGGUUAAUUAGUAAUGAGUGAUUGUAUGAAUUUUUCCGCUUACAAUAUUUUUUACUUUUGAAACAAAUGCAAACUACUAGAAAUACUCGAUUUUUCUGCGGAACUACCUGCGGAUUUAUGUGAAUAUUCCGCAGAAAACGGUUUUCCUGUGGAUUUUGUCAAGAAUUUAGGUUCCCAUGUAACAGCUUCGUGGGUAAUUGUUUCCUGAAGAUUUUAGGAUCCGCAGGAAGAGUGAAAAAAAUCCGCAGGAAACGUUGGGUUAGUGAUUAGGGAAUUUUCCUGCCCAUAAAAGCACUGUUUCUGCGAAUAUAUUCUCAGGUAUUUCCGCAGUAAAUGAAGCAGGAAAAUCCCCUAGACUCUUUUUCCACAGGAAAGUGAGCUAUUUAUUUAAAAAAAAAAUAAUGCACUUCAUUGCAUUGAACGAUAUAAAUAAUAGAAUAUACAAUUCUUAUAAAUUUCAGAAAUUAUAGAAGACACAGUUUCAUUAAUCAUGCAACAAAAUAAAAUUGAAAGUACCACAUGUCUCUUCAUAGUUGAACCUCCUAUACACAAUUGCUAAUGUCUCAUGCCUUCAAGUCUGUUCCACUCACACCACCUAAUAAACUUCCUAUAAUUACUAGCUAUCCUCCAAAUAUAAAGAUGUAUCGGAAAAGGAGCAUGAACCUCUUACCAACAUCUUCAAGAAGCUGCUAAUCCAAAUUCUUCAUCCAUGCAUUCAUCUAGGUUAGCCUUCUCUAGUACAUACUCAAUUUCAACUUGUCCAACAACCCAAAAAUUAAGAAAAAAAUAAUAGCAUAAGUUUCCUUCCUAAAUGAAAGGAUAUCUGAGAAAUUUCACCCAUAUACAAAACCCUGAUCAGCUUUGAGAAACUAUUAGGCUGAGAAAGACAAAGACAAAAGUGGCAAGUGCACCAAAUCAUUCAAGUAAUAAAGUAGUAAGUAAUCGUAUUUACUGGGGAUCAUUUUUUUUCUACUUGGCAAUUUACUAAACCUUUUAUUAAAAACUAUAAAUGAUGGAAAGUUUGGAAGUUUUAAUUGAUUAACUACAAAAAUAAAAAUGCAUAUUGUGACGAUUAAAAAUAGGACAGUUGAAAAUCUGUGACGGCUCCCCGAUUGUCGAGGACAUGUGUGUCGCUAGAGAAUUUCGUGUCAGUUCAAUAAAUGGUCAUUCCAACAGUCGCACAGGACAUUGCGACAAUUGGAAACCGCCCUUACUUGCGACAAUCGGAAACCGCCCUUAUAAUUAUCGCAAAGAACGCAAUGUUUAUAUUAGAAGGGCUAUUUUGCUUCAAACCAUCGUAGACAUGUGAUUUAUUUUUAUUUUCUACAUUUUCCAUUUUGAUUUUGAUAGUUUAUUCAAUAAGAAUUAAUCUUAAAUUAAAAUAAAAAAUAUUAAUAAAUACUAAAUGCAAAAAUAUAUAAUUAUAUAUGAUUAAAUCUCAUUCAUAUAAUCCUUUCAAGAAUAACAACAUUGAUUCCCUAAAAAAAAAAAAAAGAAUAACAACAUUGAUACAUACAUAAACUUGAUUAAAACAAUAAAUAAAAUAGUUUAACAUUCAAAAAGCCAAAACACUAGUGGAGUGGCUGAUUAUACAAAAGAACUACAUAAAAAUUAAUUGAUAAAAAUUAUCCCCUAGUGACUUUGCUCCAUGAUUCUCAAGGGAACGCCUGCCAUCUAGAAAUAAGCCAGUCCUUCACUCGUCCAUUUAGAAAUUAUACAAACAAAUGAAUACGUUGGUUGGAUUUGGAUACAUCAUGUGGGUUGAUUGUGUCGUAGGCCUUCACAGAGUGUGAGAGAUGUGCGUUGAAAUCUUCAGACUCCUUUCCUGAAAAUUAGUUAUCCUUCAUAGAAUUGAGGACACGAUUCUUAAUAUCAAACACCAUGGGGUUUGCAGGUUGGAACCUGAGAGACAUUUAAUCAUAGUUGGUCUUCUGCUAUCAUGUAAGAACUGCAAGUGCAUGAGAAUGCAUCAUGCGCAGUGCCCAAGAGUAUAAAACUAUAAUCAUAGGAUUUAUAAAAGAGAAUCACAUCAUUUUAGCAGAUUCUGAUUUAGUAUGUUUAAGAGAUAGCAGAUCAGAGUUUGACUUCAUAUAACCCUCUUUCUGUACAUAUUGCCUUAUAUAGUUUAUUGUAUUUAAGUCCUAGUUUAUUGUCAUUAAUUCUCCUUUGUUGUUUGGGAUCAGCUAGGCUUGACUUUAGGGAUUUUGAUAGGAAAACUCUGUAUAUAUGUAACACUGAUUUACAAUGAAAGAUAUGACAGUGAAACACUUUGGUUCCUGUCUUUAUAUGGCAUCAGAGCAAUUCUGAUCCUAAAUUAGAAACGUUUGCUGAAAAUGGCGGACAAAAAUGAUUCCACCAUAGAAGGUGGGAUCAAAGGAGAUCGAAAUGCAGAAACAAAAAUAGCUGGGAAGAAGACACCUUCUCCGUAUGAUCUGAGUUCGCACGACAAUCCAGGAAGCGUUAUCACCCAAGUCCAAUUACGUGGUGAAAACUACGAUGAAUGGGCUAAGGCGAUGAAGACCUCAUUACGGGCACGACGUAAAUGGGGGUUUGUCGAAGGAAACAUAAAACAACCUGAAGAAGGAUCGACAGAAAUGGAGGAUUGGUGGACCGUACAAUCUAUGCUCGUGUCUUGGAUCCUGAACACUAUAGAUCCAACUUUGCGAUCGACCAUCUCUUAUAUGGAGAAUGCAAAGGAAUUGUGGGAAGACAUCAAAGAACGAUUCUCAAUUGUGAAUGGACCUAGGAUCCAACAAUUGAAAUCGGAUCUGGCACAAUGUAAACAAGAAGGAAUGGCCAUGGUGAAUUACUAUGGAAAACUCAAGAUGCUUUGGGAUGAGUUGGUAAAUUACCAACAAAUCCCAAUCUGCACGUGCUCAGGAUGCAAAUGCGGCAUCAAGUCGAAAUUAGAGAAGCAAAGAGAAGAAGAAAGAGUGCAUCAGUUCUUGAUGGGACUAGAUGAUGUGUUGUAUGGAACAGUCCGCUCUAAUUUGCUUGCUACUGAUCCGCUGCCAUCGCUGAACAGAAUAUAUGCUACUUUGAUACAAGAGGAGCGUGUGAAAUCAAUUGCUAGGACCAAGGAAGAACGAGGAGAGGUCGUUGGCCUGGCCGUGCAAACUGCUGGAAGGGCUAGAGGACGUGGUGAUAUGAAGGAGAAGAAUGCGGUAUGUUCAUACUGCAAUCGAACAGGACAUGAUGCAUUAAGCUGUUUUCAGGUAGUUGGAUACCCUGAUUGGUGGGGAGAUAGGCCACGAAAUGAAACUAAGAUGGGUGCAGGUCGAGGAAAAGGACAACAACAAACCAGAGGUUCUAAUCAAGGACGUGGGAGAAGCACAAUUAUUCGUGCAAAUGCUGUCCAAACAAAUGAAGGAGGCCCGGUCGUGACAAAUGCAGAUGCAAGCGGGUUGACAGGUUUAAGUAGUGAGCAGUGGCAGACUUUGGUAGAGCUUCUAAACACUCAUAAGGGAAGCAAUACGGAAAGAAUGACAGGUAAAAAUACAAUAUGGAUUGUUGAUACAGGCGCUUCUAAUCACAUGACUGGAAAUGUGAGAUUUUUGCACAAAAUGAAGAGCGUGCAAGGAUGCCCGGUGGGUCUGCCAAAUGGAGAACAAGCUGCUGCUACUCAAGAAGAAAGUGUAAUUCUUGAAGGGGGCCUGCAACUUAACAACGUUCUAUAUGUGCCCGGAUUAAAUUGCAACUUGAUAUCUGUAUCCCAAUUGAUAGAUGAUAUGGAUUGUGUUUGUCAGUUCACUAACUCUCUAUGUAUUAUGCAGGACCGCACUUCGAAGACGCUGAUUGGAGUGGGUGAACGAAGAGAUGGGCUCUACCAUUUUAGAGGGAUUCGACAUGAGAAAGUCUGCAAAGUAGGAGACAUGUCUUUGUUGCAUCUUUGGCAUAAACGCAUGGGACAUCCUUCCAUGAAGAUUAGUCAGUUAAUUUCAAAUGUUGGUAAAAAUAAGAGUGUGAUUGAAAAUAAAGCCUGUGAUGUUUGUCAAAGGGCAAAGCAAACUAGGGAUAGUUUUCCUUUAAGUGAUCACAAAGCUAGUAGUAGUUUUGAACUAGUUCACUGUGAUUUGUGGGGGCCUUACAAAACUCCUUCUUCAUGUGGAGCGUAUUAUUUCUUAACAAUAGUAGAUGAUUUUUCUCGAGCUGUUUGGAUCUAUUUAUUGCUUGAUAAAAGAGAAGUUUCACAAACUAUAUUAAGUUUUAUUGCUUUGGUAGAUAGACAAUAUGAGAAGCAAAUUAAAAUAAUUCGCAGUGAUAAUGGAACUGAGUUUACAUGUUUAAAAACAGAAUUUAUCAAGCGUGGGAUCAUUUUCCAAACAUCUUGUGUGGGAACGCCACAACAAAAUGGACGGGUCGAAAGAAAGCACAGACAUAUCCUAAACAUUGCCCGAGCACUGAGAUUUCAAAGCAAUUUGCCUAUUUCUUUCUGGGGUGAGUGUGUUUUAACAGCAGGAUACCUCAUAAAUAGGACUCCAACACCUCUGUUAGAUGGAAAAACCCCAUAUGAGAUGCUAAAUGGGCAGCCACCUUCAUAUGAACAUUUGAAGGUUUUUGGAUCUUUAUGUUAUGCACAUAAUCAAGGAAGGAAAGGUGAUAAGUUUACCAGCCGAAGCAAGAAGUGUGUAUUUGUAGGAUACCCUCCCGGGAAGAAAGGAUGGAAGUUGUUUGAUCUAGACAACAAAAAUUAUUUUGUGUCAAGAGAUGUAGCAUUCUUUGAGAAUGAGUUCCCUUUUGCCUCUAUUGAUAAAAUUUCGAGUGAGCCAACACAAAUUAUCGAAAAUGAGAACUAUGAAACUCAAAGUGCAGUGAGUGAACAUCAGGAGCUACCUUUGGAAGUGGAAAUUUCUGAAUUAAGGGGGGGUACUGAUGAAGAGAAUGUGCAAGAAGUUGGGACAUCACAAGUGCUACAACAAGAUGAUGAACAUGAAGAAAUUAGUGAAGAAGAUCUUGGUCGAGGUAAACGCGUGAAGAAUCCCUCUGUAAAGCUGAAUGGUUAUGUGACAUAUAAUGUACAAAAAAUGGUUAUGAGCCCAUCUACGAGUUCACUCCCUCUACAGCCGAAAUCAGGUGCGCCCUAUCCCAUAAUGCAUUAUGUGAGUUGUGAUAAUUUUUCAGUGCAGCACCGCAGGUUUCUUGCUGCUGUAAGUGCAGAGAAAGAGCCGAAAAAUUAUUCUACGGCCGUUAAAGAUCCUAGAUGGCGUACAGCUAUGCAGCAGGAGAUACAAGCGCUUGAAGAUAAUCACACAUGGACUAUAUGCUCUCUCCCAGCAAAUAAAAAGGCCUUGGGGUGUAAAUGGGUAUACAAGAUCAAGCAUCGUUCCGAUGGGACCGUAGAACGGUUUAAAGCUCGACUCGUGAUCCUUGGAAAUCAUCAAGUGGAGGGGAUAGAUUACAAUGAAACAUUCGCUCCUGUAGCUAAAAUGGUUACAGUUCGAAUUGUGCUAGCAGUUGCUGCAGCCAAGAAGUGGGAACUCCAUCAAAUGGAUGUUCAUAACGCCUUCUUACACGGAGAAUUGCAAGAGGAGGUGUUCAUGAAACUGCCCCCUGGUUUUCGUCCCUCUCAACCAGAGAUGGUAUGCAAGCUUGGGAAGUCACUGUACGGAUUAAAACAAGCUCCCCGUUGUUGGUUUGCUAAGCUUUCCUCAGCCCUCAAACAAUACGGAUUUCAUCAAUCAUAUUCUGAUUACUCUUUGUUUACCUUGUUUGAUAAAACUGUGCAGCUUGUGGUUUUAGUUUACGUUGAUGAUUUGAUCAUUUGUGGAAAUAAUCAUGAUUCGAUUGAACGGUUCAAGGAAUACUUGAGUCGUUGUUUCCAUAUGAAAGAUUUAGGAUUGUUGAAAUAUUUCUUGGGGGUGGAAGUGGCGAGAUCGCCUUCUGGGAUUUUUCUCUGCCAAAGAAAGUAUGCUUUGGAUAUUAUUAGUGAAGCCGGGCUACUUGGAGCAAAGCCUAUGCCGACUCCACUCGAGCAGAACCAUAAUCUCAGUCUUGCUCAAGGGGAGUUUCUUGAAAAUCCUGAAAGGUACCGUAGGCUUGUUGGACGCCUUAUCUAUCUUUGUUUUACUCGACCUGAGUUGUCGUAUAGUGUCCAUAUUCUCUCUCAGUUUAUGCAGCAACCACGAGAAGACCAUUGGACUGCUGCGCUAAGGGUGGUGCGGUAUCUUAAAGGGAAUCCAGGCCAAGGUAUAUUUCUUGACAGUACAAGUGAUAUGAAGCUGCACGGGUGGUGUGAUGCUGACUGGGCAGCUUGCCCUAUCACUCGCAGAUCACUCACAGGUUGGGUCAUCUUCUUGGGGAACUCGCCUAUCUCUUGGAAGACCAAGAAGCAGCAAGUUGUGUCUCGGUCAUCUGCUGAAUCCGAAUACCGUUCGAUGGCUAAUACAACUUGCGAGUUAAAGUGGGUGAAGAGUAUUCUUUGCAGUCUAGGUAUCUCUCAUUCUAUGCCUAUGCAACUCUAUUGUGAUAGUCAGUCUGCGCUUCACAUUGCAAAGAAUCCCGUCUUCCAUGAACGUACCAAACACAUUGAAGUGGACUGUCAUUUCGUUCGUAAUGAAAUACUUCAUGGUCAGCUUCAACCUUCUUAUGUUUCCACUCAUGCUCAACUCGCAGACAUACUUACUAAAGCAUUGGGUCGUGCUCCAUUUCAAUUCCUACUUGCCAAGUUGGGCAUUCGAAAUCUUCAUGCUCCUACUUGAGGGGGGGUAAAAGAGAAUCACAUCAUUUUAGCAGAUUCUGAUUUAGUAUGUUUAAGAGAUAGCAGAUCAGAGUUUGACUUCAUAUAACCCUCUUUCUGUACAUAUUGCCUUAUAUAGUUUAUUGUAUUUAAGUCCUAGUUUAUUGUCAUUAAUUCUCCUUUGUUGUUUGGGAUCAGCUAGGCUUGACUUUAGGGAUUUUGAUAGGAAAACUCUGUAUAUAUGUAACACUGAUUUACAAUGAAAGAUAUGACAGUGAAACACUUUGGUUCCUGUCUUUAUAAUUUACAGCCAUAGCUGUUCUCUAUAAUUGCUCUACAAUUCCCAGUAGUUAAAUUUAUUUACCUGGAGUUGAUGAAAUUUGAGCAAGUAAACAGUGGAUUCUACAUACAUUGGAUUGCUUUCUACAUAUCUAAAAUAACAAUCAAAAUGUCAGUGAGCAUAAAUAUUGUUUAAUUAUUACAAAUUUCAUAAAUGAAUGUUGUUUAGUACUUACGAGAUGCAUUCAUCAAGCCUUUUGAGAAGUGGGAGGAAGUUUACGAUUCCAACAUUCAUAUUUGAAGAAUAAAAAUUGGUAGCAACCUGCACAUGACGAUUUAAAGAAACCACAUACAUCAUCUAUAAAUUCAUAAGUAUGUGAAGUUUUCAGUUUGCAUUCGCAAAUUUUUAACUGCGUAUCUUACUCACCAUAACUCAUUACAAGGUAUAGUUAAAGCUAACCACAUUUUAGUGUCAUUUUAUUCACCAUAAACACAUGAGAAGAAUCUUUGCAAUAUGCAAUAAUCUUAUAUGUUCCCUGCAUUUCAAUUUUAAAUAAUGCUUUAUCCUUCCAGAUUGAGUACAACUUCAUACUUUAGUUUUGUAGAUUAAAAUACACUAAAAUGCACAUAGCUAUGUAGAUUAAAAUGACAUUGAUAAUGAUAUCCAGUAGUUGUAAAGACUUCAUUAGUAAGUUUAACUCAAGUUUAAAAAUUCUUGUAACUUCACAAGUUAAUAACUAAAACUCUUAAGCAUCAUAACUCAAUUAUUCCCUUUCCUUUAAUUUUUUGUAAUGGCUGUAUUCUCUUUCCUUGUCUUACCCAGAAUUGCAAAACACACCCACGACGACCUUAUGAACAGUCACAAAACAACCUUACAAAUAUGUAACGACACAAUCGACUUUCUCUAAUUCUUCAAUCUAUAGAGCUUGCAAUAAGAGAAGUUGAUAUGAGAAAUUCAAUGGGUUCAGUUCAGCACACAAAGAAUAUUUGUUAUUUGAAAAUAAAAAACCGCAUGAGAAUGUUAUGGAUCUUCUUCGGUUCCUCCUUCUGCUGCACUAUUGAAGAUUGAAGAUGUUGUAUUAAGGUGUUUUUGGAUCUGGGUACAGCACAAUUUUGUUGAGAAUAAUAAAAAAAAAAAAAAAAAAAAAUUAGACUUAUUUAACCGGUUGCCGGUUUAAGAAAUUAAAAAUGAAAUGACGCGUCCGUAACUGAAUGAGCGACUGCCCCUAACAUUACUCUAUUUAUUAUUCAAUGGUUAGGAUUUCAUCGGACCUUCUAGUCAUUAGAGAGGAUUCAUUCCUGUCCUUUAACCAUAGGGUGCUUAGUAUUUUGGUAUUUAAGUUGAUGGUAUCACGUGGUAAUGGCUCAGGAUAAGAUAUUUUGUUUGACUCAUCAUCAAACAAAACAAAUUCAAAUUGAUUCACUGCAUUAUUAUUUUUGGUUUGUUAUGUACUGCUCUGACGUUAUUUGAUGGUAUCACGUGCUUUUUUUCUUCUUCUUCUGUUUGCUCUGUUAAAAAAAGUUCUAUUAUUACGUGAGUGGUUAGCUAGAUCAUAUUUAGAAGGACCACCGAUAAACACCAAAAAAUAAAAAAUAUAAUCGAUGUUUAAUUUUUUAUUUAUUUAUUAAAAAAGACAAUUGUUCAUUCGAAUCUAUGGAAAUACAUGAAAAAACACAAAUUCAACCAAGGAAGACGGAAUUUACUAUUAAAACACGUAUAUUUGAUAGUGGUUCCGGAUGUAGAAAACUAAAGUUUGUGUUGAGGUUUAAAGGAGACGAUAAGCAUAAAGGAAUAAAGAUAAAGUUGAAACAAGAAGGCACAUGUUUAAGAAAAUGCAGAUGUUCCAUUCAGGUUGAGUGGUUUUUUUAGUGCAUAAAAAAUAUGGAGUCUUGGUUUUGUUUCACGAUUGCAUAAUCAUGAGAUGCAGUCAAAGUUAGAAGGUCAUAUUUUGGUGUGUCGUUUAAAUAUUUUGUCUACUUUAAAAGAUAGACGGAAAGACAACAGUUCCAAAGCAAGUUUACAAUCUACGUCAAAGAUAAAAAAGACCAUAAGGGUGUGUUUGGUUUGCAAAACAACAAGUACUGGACAGAACAGUACAAGAUAGAACAGUACAACACAAGGCAGAACAGCACAAAACAAAUUUUUUAUGGCAUUGAGUAAUUUUUUGUUUUAUACGAUUUUUGAGGGACAAAAUGCUAUUUUGGUAUUUUAGACAACUUGUACGUGAGACAAAAAGUUGUGUUGUGGUUUGGUGAGGGACAAAAAUAUGAGUUUUUGUCCUAUCUUUUACCUCCAGUUUGUCCUAUACCUGAAACAGUUUUAUAAAUCAAACACUGGACAACUACAGUUGUUAUGUUUUGUCCUUCAUUUUUUAGCAAAUCAAACGCACCCUAAGAGAUUGGAGAAAAUGAAGCAAAUUGUUGAAGUGUUUGAAGAAAACAACUAAGCUUUCAGGUAUAAAUGUUUGGGGAGUCAAAAAUUGUUCAAGACAUGUUUUUGGUACAUCCUAAACAUGUGAACUUGUUUAACACUUUUUCUACUCUUUUGCUAAUGCAUUUCAUUUAUUUCCUUCGAUCACUAUUAUAAUAAAAAAGCAUUUAUAAGAUUUAUUGAAUUACUUAUAUAUCCAGUAUUAUAGAUUAAAUACGUCAGUUAUUCUAUUAAUAAAAAAUGGUUUUUUUCUUAUAAUAGUGAAGGUAAUGAGUAUAAAAUAUCAAUUACUGAGAUGUAUUGUUUGAGAUAGUUUGCAUUAGUCAUAUAACUCAAUACCCAAAACACCUGACUCACAUUUUGUCAGCGGUAGUCAAGGUUUUACAACUCAAGAGUUUACCUCAACUCGUUUUGCUUAGGUAAACUCCACUCUUAAACUCGAUUCGAGAAUUCGUACGAGUUUACCUAAAAUUAAAAUUAUAUAAAAUUUAUUAUAUGCAUGACAUAUAUAAGUUAAUAUAAUAUUGUAAAUAGGUUAAUAGUGCAAAAUAUGACUUAAUUACAAAGGAAAAUUAUAUGAAACUUCUAUAAUGAAACGUUAUGCUCAACUUAGCAUCAAAAUACAAAAAUUAACGCACAUAAUUAUAAGUUUCAUAAGUCUCUAAGUUUAAGUCAUCCAUAAAACCAUCCAAAAAAGCAAGUUUCACAAGUUUAUAAAGUUGUUAAUAAAACUAGAGAAAUGCUAGCAACACUCUCUUUUGGACACUCUCUAACACUCACUCUUUUAUUGGAUAAAAUCAAUGUAUGUCCCACCAUUUUAUGUGGGUUCCAUUUCCAAAGUAUACGACCCACAUUGUUUUAACCCAAUAAGAGAAUGAGUGUUAGAGAGAGUGUCCAAAAGGGAUUGUUGCUAGCAAUCCUCAUAAAACUAUCCAAAAAAUAAACUGGCUAAUUUCUUCAAAAAGUCAUCAAACACCACCACCGCAACCCUAACCAACAUCGCAAUCACCGGCGUUGCAAUCGGAAUUUCCCCCAUCGAAAUCGCAACCCUAACUAAUAUGUGCUCUCAUGUUCAUGGUUUGAGAACUCAGAUAAGAAAAAAAAAAAGAAACGUUUCAUUUCAGGAAGCUAGCAAUGUGUUACUGUAAAAGUAACUAUUUGAUAAACGUUUCAGUCUCUGGGCUUUUAGAAUCGAAAUUGGGUUUUGAAAAAAACUUAGCCCAAAAAAAUGGGCCAAUUUUUACUUUUUUUUUAGAUUUAAACUCGUAAAACUCGGUCAAGUUUACACGAGUUUAUCGAGUGUACGUUAACUUGGUCAAACUUGUCAAACUUUCCGAUUUUACCAUAAACAGAGUUUACCUCCGAGUUAACACGAUUUUGGUACCUAAAAACAUAAAUUCGAUAAACUCGGCGAGUUACCACUCAAUUUGCGGAACAUUGCCGGUAGUACAAUAGUUAAAUUGGCAUAUUGGAUUCAAUAAUUCGAUAUGACAUUAACUUGGAGCAUUAGUCUCGGGUCUGUCCAGAGAUUGUGUCCCAUCUCAACUUCUAUGGUUUUUUCUUCAUGAAAUUCUUGCGGAAAAAAAUUCUGUUUUAAUUAGGCAUGGCAACAAAACUCAUACCCUCACGGUUACCCACAAAAAUCAAACUCAAUUUGACGGGCUUUCUCCGUUUUGACUGAGUUUGGGUAUGGGUUUGGGUCUUCCCCGAUUUUAAAACACGGGUACAAGACGGGUAACGGGGAUAUAGGUACCCAUGCUCAAACCCAUCCUGAAUGUAGAAAAUCAAUUUAUUACCCAUUUUAUAUAAACAGAAACCCAAACCCUAAAUCAUUUCACUCACACAAUUAGAGUCUCAGACUUUAAAAUGACACUCACUUAUCAUAGUUCUCUUCUUUCUCCUUCCAUGCCUCACACUCUCGGCCUCUCUCUUCUCCUUCACUAUAGCCAUCCAUUUCCAUAAUCUUUUUGCUGGAUAAUGCAUUACAACAUUGCGCUCGGGGAUGCAAAAUACUUUUAUUUCUAUCAACAACAGAAAACUUUCCGGGGAUGGGAUGGGGCAGGAAUAUCCGAACCCGUCGGGGACGGGGAUGAGAUUCGAUUUCUCAUCCCCGCUGGAUAUGGGUAGGGUAACAGGUAAGUAUAUGAGAGUAGAGUAUGGGGACGGGGAAGGUAAAACCCGUCCCCACCCCCGCCUCAUUGCCAUGCCUAAUUUUAAUAAAGCACUUUCAUAUAAAAAUAAUCAAUUUUUUACCUUAUGAGUUGAUGUAUGUAAGAUUCUUUAACUUACUUAUCUAUAGUAGAAAAACAAUUGGUACAUGAAAUAUAAUCACUAUUGUCUAUGAAUAUUUCAACGUUAUCAUUUUUUUUUUGUCAUGCCAUAUUGCAUAUUUGUAUAAGCUUCGAUGUUCACAAUUCAUUUUCUUAAAUUAUGAAGUUUGCAUUUCAGAUAUAUCAUAAAAUAAGUCCAUCACAAUAAAAGGUACAAUCAUAGUAGUGUUUAUUAAUGAAAAUGAUAACAAUCAAACAAACAUUGCAUAAAAACAUGACCAUACAAAGGGAAAUAUGAGGGAAAUGGAUUCCUUCUCAUCUUUUAUUCAAAGCAAGAAACAACAAAACAACCAUGACAUUUUCUAGAUGGAGACACUGUUGGGAAUGCCUCUGAAAGUCAAUCCUGGCUCACUUGAAGGAUAGAGCACAGUGUAUGGCAUCUUCACUGGCCCAUUCCUGUUUCUCAAUGAUUCAUCGUUGUUCCUUUCAAUGAGCUUUUGCUCAAUUUCAGCCAACUUCUUUCCAAACUUCUUGAAGGCCUCUACUGGCUCUGAAUCGUAAGUCCAAAGAUCACCUUCGAUUCUGUGUCCAAUGUAUUGCUCAUCAGAAACAUGUGUUGACAAUUGCUCCAUAACAGAUAUGUUCACAACGGUAUCCGUUUUUGGUGUGAUUGUUCUCAAAUAAGCCUUCUCGUAAUCCUUAGCAAGCUCGUCAUACUCAGGGGUUCCUUUCUCAGGCAUGAAUCUUCUGCUUUUAGUUGGUCGGUUAACAAUGUAUCCACCGUACGGAUAUUGUCCAAAAUUAACAGCUGCAUGAAGUGCUGAAGCAAUCCAUAUGAGGGUGGUGCAAGUUUCAAUCAACUCUGUACGAGUUUCCAAUUUAACCCACUUAUCAGUCUUCGAGUCACCAUGACCCACUUCUACAAGUUCUUUCCAAAAUGCUUUGAGUUCCUCAUCAUCUUUAACAUCUUUAUCUGACUUGUAGUAGAAAUUGACAUAUUCAUCAACCCAUGACUUAAUAGCAGCCCAUAUCUCUAGUCCAUCAACAGCAUAUGGAUAAUCCUCUAUCAGAAGACGCAGACCAUGUGGAGAUUUUGGAUCCUUAACAGCCACACCUCUAGAUAACAAGCAAGGAAGAUAAUAUUAACAUACAAAAAUUUAAGUGAUAUUAAUAACUAUUUCGAACUUAUUAAUUUAAGUUGGCUAGAAUUUGUUAAUAGAUAGUUAGCUUAUUAAUUUCGUAGUUUCUUUGUUCAUUCUCUAUUUCUCUAUGGAUACAAAACAAAACUCUUGCAUCUAAACUGACAUCUCAUGGGUGUAAAAGAUUAUUUUUGAGAUCAAUGUCUUUCUAAAAAUGGACUAGACGACGAUGUAAUAAUUUGUAAGGUCACCUUUUGAUUAGAUCAUUAGGUAGUCCUUGAUCUUGGAAAACCCAAUCCUUGUAAACUUCAGAAGACAAUUCCAUUGAAUAACUUCCAAACAAGUAUGUUGACUCUAUAAUACCCCCUGCUUUGAUCAAGGUAUCUCGCGCAUUGGCAUUUAUGUUCAUUGUGUUACGAUAGUGUGGAAGUAAAAGUUUAUGAAUAGGGUGAACCACACUAAGAUGCCUAUUUGUUGCUAUGAUGAAUGGCUCAACAACAGCAUGAGUGUUCAACCUGUCACACAUGUAGAUAUAUAUUCAUAAAAUUACUCGGAUAUAUCAAAUAUUAGUGUUUGAUUGUAGAAAAAAUGAUUAAUGAAAUUCAUACCAGUGGCUGAUAAGUUGGUGAUAGCAUGCGUCAUUCACAACAGCGUAAGCCUUGGCAAGGUGCCAAAUUGAAGCAUCAACACCUUCACUUGCAGGCGUGUAAAUAGUAGUAACAGUACCAUCACCAGCAGGAUGUGGCACAUGUAGUUCAAUGGAUAUUGGCUUCAAAGUUCCAUCAUCUUGCAAAGAGAGAAGGGUCGUUGAGGCAUAGGCCUUUGCGGCGCCAUUUGCAUUUACUUUCCUCAAAUAUGGUAAGAUUGCAUCUUGGUAAUCAACUACGUAUAAUCUAAGGUCCUUGAUAGUCUGUUAGACAGAAUAAAAUUUAGCCAUUAUGGUUCCUUUGAAGAAAAAAAUGAAUUCAACAUAAAAAUAAUAGUAAAAACAUUAAUUCUUCCGAGUAACAUUGAAAUGUAACACUCUUUACCUGUUCUACACUGACUCCAUCCUGCAUGUAUGGCUCGAAGUGUUUUUUGUUUAUUGUGGUUGUAUUCUACAUUUGACAUAGCAAGCAAUGAGGUUAGUUAUCAAUUAUAAAUUUAGCAUGAAAAUUGAACAUGGUAGUCUUUUUUAUUUAUUUCUUUUGUACUUGCUUAAAAAUAUUUAACUAUUAAGUUUAAUUACCCCAACUUUUUUGAUGACGUUUGGAUUCACACCAGCAAUCAUCUCCCUUGCAAAUUCCUCAUCAGUCAUCCAUGCAGUGCGAUCCUCUACUCAUAGUAAGAAAUUUUCAAAAGAUUCAUGAGCUUUCUUUAUAUGAUUGUGUAUAUAAUUAAAUAUAUUGUUAGGACUAGGAAUUUCCGACUAAUAUUUACCUUGAAUCACUAGUGGUGUUGAAAACUUUGGAUGUUCACCAGCGAAAAGCGAGAGCACGUCAUCAAAGGAGUUAAACUCUACUUGAUCAUUUUGUAAUCUUACUAGCGAUCUUAAUUGAGGUGUCUCAUAUUGAGAUAUUGAUUUGAUGGUGUUAACAACAAAGUCUGACGAUUUCGGAGGGAUAAUUAAUUCAUCUCUUGGAAUGUAAAAAUAGUUACUCCGACUCUCAGUCUCUGGAUCUGUUCAUUAUAGUAACAAAAUAUGUUUUGUCGAAAUAAGUAAAAAUAUAUAUCACAACAAAAAAUUGCAAACAGACACAAGUGUUUGGAGUCUCACAUUUCUCGAGGUGUUUUCUGCCAGUUCUUCCCCUUCGAGGGUAAGGCAAGGCAGUUGAUCCCCCAAGAACUGGACGAUACAAGCAAGGAUUUUGGUCUGGUUGACCCAAAUCAUUGUAGACAUCAUAAUCAUAUAUUCUGUCCCAUUCCUUACGCUCUCCAGUUCCAUCUCCUCUUAAAGUAUUCAAUUCUUCUUGUCUGUAGUACAGUAAUGGAGCUGGUGUUUCCCUUAGAAGGUAUGCCUACAAAAUUUUAACCAUUGGGUGCUGUCAAGUUUUUGAAAAAAGAAAAAUAUACAUUUAAAAAGUUACAUGAAAAUGAUAAAAUGGUUUGAGCUCAGGUACGUGAGUUCAACUUCCUCUACAAACAUUUUUAAUAACUAAUCGUUAAUAUUUGUCGCUCGAAAAAAAUAUUGAACAAGAUAUAUGUUGGAUAGAAUUGAUAUCAUUACCUUGUUGGCAAAGAAAAUGCGUUCAGUUUGGUACUUUUCAGCAUUGUAAAUCCAUGAGUUGCAAAUAAAGUUUGUGGUUUCAUGGCUUUCAACAUCUUCAAGGGUCAAACUCACAAGGAAGAUUUCAUCUUGCGUAAAAUUCUUAACAUAGAAAGCUCCUGGAAUUCCCAUGUGAUUGGGAUCCCAUUCAAAAUGAAUACUGAAAGCAUUUUGUAUGUCUCCCAAAUUUGGUAUGGAAGUAACAAAACCAUCCAUAAACGUUUCCUUUCCCACUUUUCCUUUUCCAGUAGCUAUGUUAAAAAUGUCAAAUAUUAGUUUCUCAGUUUCACAAAUGAUGAUGAUUCUCAACUAAUUAGUUUUCAAAUAUUAAUUUUUUUUUACAACUAAUUUUUUUUUUCGCCUAUACAAAAUUUGUCAUCCAUGUGCACGUUAUUGUAUAUAGUUAUAUAAAGAAAUUAUUACCAUCAGCUUUGGAAGCACUAAUCAACUUGAAACCCACAGAAGUGUCCAACAAGGUAGGACGAACGGUAUCACCUUCAUUCUCAACAACAGUAUUACCACCAAUAACUUUGUAGUUCAAUGCAUUCUUUUUCAUCAAAACCACAGUUCCCUUCAGCUUUGUGACCAUGUUCAAUGAAGUCAUCUUUGAUGCUUAAAUGUAUUACACUAUCUUUGGCUAAUGAAAGAAAUGUUUGUGUCUUGUAACCAUGGGGAUGCUUGGUAUUUAUACUACUUGAUGGGAUCAUUUAGGUUUUUGUUUUUUUGAAAAAUGCUAACUUUGGGCCCAGGGGCGGAGCCAUAAAUUAAAUAAUGGGGGGACCAAGUUUAAAAAAUAUACUCUAGUUAAACAAAAAAAAGUUCAAAUCUACUAAAUAUAUGAGAAAUUUAAGUUACAUUUGAUGUUAAUAUUGUGAGAAGAUAGAAAAAUUAGAUUCAUUUGUGCAUAUAAUAUAAGACUUCAAAUAAAAAUGCUAAUGAUGGAGGGACCACAUUGACAUUUCUAAUGAAAUAACAACAUAUAUAGCAAUAUAUUAGGAGCAUAAAAAAAUUUAUAAGAAAAUUUGGGGGACCAUGGCCUCCCCUGGCCACCCAAGUCCCUCCGCCCCUGCUUGUGCACUUAGGGCACAUGUUAAGAAUUCUGUUAAUAGAAAUUAUGUAUAAAAAAUUGUGUUAAUUUACUGCUCAAAAUGUUUAAUAUUAAUUUUUUACAAUAAAUUCUUACCAUUAAUUGAAUGACAUUAAUGUUUAACAUGUGUCAUAAGGACACAAAUUAGCAUGACCCUUGUUUUUUUACUAAAAUAUGAUAUUCAUUCAAAUUGAUAGAGUAUAAUAGAAAUAAGGGGUAAUAGUCAUUUUGGUCAUGAAUGUGUAACAAGUAGCAAUAAUGGUCCUCAAUGUAUCGAAAUUUCAAAAUAGUUCAUGAUUGUGCACUUUAUUAGUCAAAAUAGUUCCUAACAUUAAAAUAGUUCUUUAAUAUUAUCAUAUUAGUUCUUCAAUAUACUUACAUAUUGUUGUAUGAGACUUUAUAAGUACUUAGUUAUUCCUUCAAAAAAAAAAGUGCUUAGUUAUUGUUAUUUCAGUCAAUAUAUGACAAAAGUUAUUGUGAAUAUUGAGAGAUUAUUUUAGCGUCAAAGACUAUUUCGAUUAACAAAGUGCACAAUUUGGAACUGUUUUAAAAUUUUAAUACAUUGAGAGAUUAUUGUGACCACUCGUGACCAAAAUGACCAUUACCCUAGAAAUAAACACAAAUUCAACAUCACUAGAAAAACAAAAAAGAAUAAAUUUGUAAACAAACUCACAUCACUCAAAUUAAUAACAUAAAACAUCAAAAUACAUACAAAUAAUAUGAUAAAAUUAAAUUAUCAAAGUACUUAUGUCUUCAUAUCAACAACUUUAACGCCUAGCUUAUUGAUUAAUCAAAGUUGAAAUGUGGCAAUAUAACCAGAACAAUACCACAACAAUUUAUCUAAAAAAAUAAAAUCCACCACAAUUACAAGAAAUAAAAUACGUCGCACCAAAUUGUUAGCAACUAGUUUCUAUAUCUUUGUUAAUUCACCCACAAGUUGUAUUGAACACAUUUUAAUUAAUGAAGUGAUAUAAUUUUUCUUUCCAAAAAAAAUCGUCGCACCAAGAUGACAAUGUCACAUUAAAACGACGAAAUCAAAAACAAAAAAAAAAACCUAAUCUAUGUGAAAAUUAUUAGUUUUUAUUUUUCGUGAUGUCCGGGGUUCGAACACCGGACCUCGCAUAAUUAUGCAUCGUCCUUACCAACUGAUAUAAGCUCAGAAGGACAUUAUUUUUUUUUUAUGGUCGCUGGGGUUUAAACUCCGGACAUUGCAUAUAUUAUGUUUUGUCCCUAUCAACUGAGGUAAGUUCACGAGGACACGGGGACAUUAAUGUCUAUUAAAAGAGAGAGCAAUAUAAUUUUUUUUGUACAAAUAAUACCUAAAAUCAAUCUUCUUCCAUCAACAAAGAAGAAGAAAGAAAAAACUUAGACUAUUACUUUUCCCAACUUAUAUUUUACUAGCGAGUCCUGUGAUUUUUUCAAAAAUGCUCCUGUGAUUAUCAGAUUUUAAAAUUCGAACUGAGUUUUUUCUUUAUUAUAGGGUGAAAAAAAUGAGUCUUUGUCCAACUCGGAUUUUAUAAUCCAAAAACCUCAAAAAAUAGGACGCGCUACUUAAUUUUUUCUGAUCAUAUAAUCCAAACAACCCUUAAACACCCUUUUUCAAGGAAAAGACAGUGCAAAUUAUAUAAUCUUAAUUGUAUCAGCACCAAUUCCGAACUUUUUUGUAGCAUGGAUAUUCAUUUUAUGGACAAUAUUAAACUUCCUAACUCUCAUUCUUCUGUUUUAGGUCAUUGUUAGCUGUUCGUAGUCAAAAAUCUGAUUUUCGGGCUACUUGAUCGGAUUGUUCUGAAACAUCCCCUGAAAAUCAGAACAAAAUCAAGUAUUAAGACUCCUGUAGAAGAGAUUUCUUACGUGACGCUGCCCCUCAAAAUCCAAAAUUCAAUCAUUUAGACCUAUUUUUUUAUUUUUUAGAAUUUUUCAUAUUCUAAUUAAAAUCUGGAAAAAAAAAAUUGUAUUAAUUUUAUUUAAUUUUUAGAAUUUUUGAUUCUGAUUUCUAAUUAUACAUAAAUAUAUUUUAGAUUAUAAAAUCCGAACGGAUUUUAAAACAAAAUAACUUUUGGCUUCCCUAUUUUUAAUUGGGGCCGGCUAAAUUAUGAAGCUUAUAUAAUUACGUACUCCUUUUUUCUUUCUUUCUAAUAUAGUCAUUUUUUUUUGCUUUUUAUCAAGUGGUCAUUAAUUACUCUGUGUUGCUCUACUGUCAAUUGUAUUAAUACGAGUACGUAGUAGUAGAUCCAAAUCUUCCGGUCACGAGAUACUGUGAUACACUACUGUUCAUGGUCCCACAUUGAGAAAAACUCCCAUUAUAAAAAAAACACGUUAUAAAACAAACACGUUGUGAAAACCGACUACUUUAUUGGAGUACAUUUUUUGGUCACUAUUAUAAAAAAAGUCAAUUUUUUUAAUUCAUUUACUAAUUGAUAUAUGUGAUUUAUAAUAAAGAUUUUAUACAACAUUAAUCGCAUGAAUUUAAAAUAUAGAUUUUUGUUUAUGAUGGUAAUCAGAUGAUAUAUUUACUAGUGCACAAUAAACACGUUUGGAAAGCCUUGUAAAAAGAAAAACGUUAGGAAAGCCAGUUAUUCUAUUCGUUUUGUUUGGGAAGUCCAAUUAUGAAUAGCGUGUACACCGUCGUCUAAAAGAAAAAAUUAAAAACAUCAAAAUGAAUGCAAUCGUUAAUUUUAUAACUUUUACAUGCUAAAGAGUAUUUUUAGGGUAUUGGUUAAGUGGAUAUAAAUAAAAAUAUUGUGUUGUAAAAUGGUGAAGAGUAAUGAAUUUAACAUUUUAAACGUUAAAAUGUUGUUGAAUCUAAUACAAAUAUACUAAUUUUGAUUUCUUUAACAAGUGUCUUAAAGGCAUUUGUUAGCAUAACCUUUUGUACAAAUAUAUCUAUAAAAAUCUGUGAAACAUUAAAUACACUCACUGAUAUUAAAAAGACAAUUGUUAAAUAAGGGAUAAAAAAAUGUUUAAAAUAACAACUUCAACUUAAAAGUUGUGAACUUUUUUUUUGAAAAUUUUCUUAUAUUAAUAACCAGAGGAGUAUGUAAUUAAACUAAAGAGGUUGAACCGUGAGAGACGUUUUAGAGUUAAGGGUUAUGAUCUUAUGACACAUGAAAUUUCUAUAAAUAAUAAAUUUUUAUUGAGAAUAAUUUGGUAAAAAAAUAUUUAUUGAGAAUAAGUUAUUUUAAAAUUUUAAAAAAUAAAUUGACACAAUUUCUGAUAUAUAGUUUCUAUAUUUGGUAUAUUAAAAUUUGCAUUUUUCUAGAGUUAAAACUACUAAAAGGUUUAACUGAUUGAUUGAAAAAAUAUCGAUAAUUUGUAUUGAUAAAACUAUUAUUAGUGGUGAAAAAUGCAAAUGAAUUGGAAAUUGAAUAAUGUUUUGAGUAAAAAAAUAGAAUAAAUGCUUAGUUCAGUAAAAUGUUAUUGAUAAUCAACAAUUUAUAAUUUACAUAAUGGAAUAUAAGUUUGAAUAAAAUUUGCAAAGAUUGGUUUUUUUUUUAUCUAAUAAUGAAAAGUUUGGAUCUGUAUAGUUAAAAACAGUGAAUAGUUAAUAAACUAACUUAUAAAUAAAACAUAUUAGUUUGAUGAUUGAUUUGCAGCAUUUGAAAAAAUUUGUAGUUAAACUAACUUAAAAAUAUGGAAUGACAUAAAAAUGAUAUCUUUAAUUAAUAUUUAAUUUUUUCAAUUAAGAGUGGAGGGGUAAAACUGAGAAAAAUAAUGAUAAUCUUUUUUUUUUUUAGAGCAAAAAUAAUGAUAAUCUUUAAACUUUAAACUACUUGAAUUUACUCAUAAAAAACAAUAUACACUAUUAAAAAUAAGUGAUAAGCUCGUAUGAAAGUGACACUUACGAAACAUGUCAUUUCUAAUCAUAUGAGCUUAUAAGACAUAUGUAUAUCAGCUAUAAGCUCGAAAAUUAGGCUUACCAAACCGACCAUAUAUCACUCUCUUAGAAUGACUUUUUUUUAUAGGGAUUUCUUAGGAGGACUUGAAAUUAUGUUACAAAAAUCUUUAAACAUAUCUAAAACAUGACAAUUCUUUAGGAAGUUUCAAUAAUUCAAUAAAGAUAAAACUGUGAAAUGUAUAUUUUCCUAAUGCAAUAUACAAAUUCAUUAUUAAUGAUCCUAGUUAAAUUGUUCAUUGUAGAGAUUUUUUUUAUUGAAAGUGUCUAAAUUAUGUUUGCAGACCUCUUAUCAGAUGAAUUAAGUAUUCUUGUUUUUUUAGGCUUAUUUGAUCCAUUAAUCUUCUAAAUAAUUUCAUAUUUUCAUUUUGGUCCCACAAUUAAUAAAACUUACAUUUUAGUCCCUCAUUUUUUUCUCCGUUUGCCAAAUAAAUCAUGAAUGUUAAAUUUAACUCCAAAUAACUAUGGUAAACCAACCUUUACAGUGGUCCACCAUAGACCUUAUUAAUUUUUUUAAUUUAAACCAUUUGAUCUGUUUUUAAAAAGGAUGAUCAUUUGAUUACACAAAUGUAUUUUAUCUUACAAUUAUUCAUGUCGGGUUUAAUCUUAAAAUGCCCAGUUUGUGAGAGGAUAUACAUAAAGUUGAAUCUUUGAUGCGUCUUCAUGCUUUGAGGUUAAAUUUUGAUUCCUUUUAUUCAAAUUUUAGUUUAGGCUUUUACUUGAUUUUGGAACGAAAGAAUACAUAAUUGGAAUUUGAAAGAGAGAGGUUAAUCAUGUGAUGUUUAUUUUGAUUUUUGUUUCCGGAAAUUUUUUUUGCUUGUUCAUGAGUGAUGAUGAAGGUAUUGUUGAAUUAUGAAGAAGGGGAAGGAAGAAGAUGAAGAAAAGGAAAUAAAAUUAGGUGUUGUUGAUUCACCGUAAGAUAAAGUAGACUUACAUAAUCCAAUGGUAAGUAUUCUCUUUAUAAAAAUCAAACGGUUUAAAUUAAAAAAUUAAUAAGGUCUACGGUGGACCACAUAGUUAUUUAGGGUUAAACUUAACAGUCAUGAUUUAUUUGACAAACGGAGGAAAAAAUGAGGGACUAAAACGCUUGUUUUAUUAAUUAUGAGACCAAAAUGAAAAAUCUAAAAUUAUUUAGGGGACCAAUAAAUCAAAUAAACUUUUUUUUUACAAGCAAAUAGUCUUGCUUUGAUUAUGUAGUAGUUAUUAAUGAUUUUGCAACAAAAAAUUCUAAGGAAACAAGUCUUGCUUACAAUAUACUAAUAACUUUGAAGUUCGUCUGACAUAACUUUUGGCUUCCAUAACUGUUCUAACACCUUAUUUUCCUUUUCCAUUUGCUUUGAACCCUCAAGAUUCACAAAAGGAUAUCAUAGCCAUAUUCAUAGUUGGCAAAUGAUAUGUGACAAUAGUCAUCUCAGGAAUCCCUUUAUUUGGCUAACUUGAAUCUGAAUUCUCCGAUAGCCUUUUGAAUGGCUUUCUUGAAGACUAUGUAGUUAAUUAGUCAUGAGCGAUUGUAUGAAUUUUUCCACUUACAAUAUUUCUUUUACUUUUCAAUGUUGUCCUUGUUAAUGACAAAAGGAACAAAUGCAACUUGUGGUACUCAAGUUAAGUGUGUGUUUGGUUUGGCGGCAGAGUUAAUUGAUUCUGGUAGAAUUGAGUUUGAUAGAAUUGAUUAUGGUUAAAAGUGAGUUUGAUGUGAAUUGAUUUAUGUUUCGAUACACUCACUUAAAAGUGAUUCUUAUGAGUUGAUGUUGUUUGGAUAAUUUUAAUCAAAAUUGAUUUUGAAUGUGCAAUGACCAAAUUAUCUUUUUAAUUGUUUUUGAAACUAAAUAUCAUAUUUUCUUUUCAGAUAAUUAUUUCUACUUUUCUAAAAUCAUAAGUACAUUUUUAUUGGUUCAUAAAUUCCUUUUAAAAUAAUUUUUUUAACGGAAGUUCCUGUUAAAAUAAUAUUCAUUAAUAAGAGUUAUUUGUAAUAUUUUGUUAUCAAACCAAUUGAAUUAUUAUUUGCUUCGACUCCUACAUAGUUCGAGCUUUUCUAGUUUUAGAAUUAAAAGCAAAAAAAAAAAAAAAAAAAAUGUAAAAGGAAAAUGACUCUACAUGAAUUACAAUGGGCCCAUUCAUCUCUCAUCUCUAACCUGAAGAUUAGAUAACAGUACCAGGCACCAAUAAAAAAAAACGCAGGACAAUAAAGGGUAAAACUGGAAAUAAUAAUGUUACUUCUACAUAAUUGAUUUUUGUGGACGGAAAUGCUACAUAUUGUAGCUUCACCUAAAAUCGAUUGUAAAAGGAACAAUCACAUUUUUAACAUGGGUACCAAACACCUUCCAAAUAUAGUAGAACUACGUUUAUCAGGUGUAAACGUACGUUCAUGGAUGCCAACCGCAGAAUCAAACAGGGACUAAGAUCUUCUCCGUUUAUAACUUUUUUCAUUUGUUUCAUUUGGAGAGAUAAAAACACAAAAAAAGUAAAAAAUAAUUAAUGAUAAUGGGAUCCACUUGGUAAUAAGACCCACCAUCUAUUUUUUGUGUCUAUCUCUUUGCAAAUGACAUCUUCCAUUUAUUUUUAUAAGUGAAAAGGAUCUUUACCCGUGGAACUCAUUUUGGUUCUCCUCUUCGUAUUGUGCCGUGAAUCUUUUGACAUUGUUGAUUUGUCAUCUUUCUCAUAAAAGAUGAGAAAAUUAGAAGUUUUGUCUCCUUUAGGGACGUACGGGACCAUUUUAUCACCCAUAAUAGACAAGGCUUUGUAUACACAUGGGCCUAUUGAUGAGUUAUAAAUUAUCCUAAAAUAUCUUGAGAAUAUUGCUCUUCUUCCAACAAUUUUUGCUCGUUUUCAACUGAACUUUUAAAAAUAUCCCUGCGUAAGUUAACUUACAUAGGUGUUAAACUCUGCGUGACUUAAGUCACGUUGAAAUAUCCCAAUAUUUUCAUCAAUCAUUUCUUUUCCAUAGCAUCAAUGAAUUAAACAAGGAAGAGAACAACAAGUUCUACAGUCCUAAAAUAAUUGAGAAAGAGGAAGAGAGCCAGGUGGUGGACAAAAUAUAAUAAUUCAAUUGUUGAUAUCAUGUUGAAUUCUGUUGCAUAUUAAUAAAAUAUCAAACAGUUGGAAUGUUGGCAUGUGAAGAAUCAUAAAAUAGUUAGAAUUUGAAAGAAAAGUUGUGGCGCAUAUGAGCAUAUAAGCAUAUUGCAUACGAAAGGAGUUGAGAUUAUAUUAGGGUUGUUGUUUUAAUUCAUCGAUGCUAUGAAGAAGAAAUGAUUGAUGAAAAUAGUGGUGUUUUUCAACGCGACUUAAGUCAUCCAUGGUAUAACACCUGCGUGAGUUAAGUCAUGCAGGUUUAACAUCUUUGUGAGUUAACUCACGCAGGGGCAUUUUCGGAAGUUCAGAUGGAAGCGAGCAAAUUUUUUUGGGAGAAGAGCAGUAUUCAUAUCUUGACUAUUAUUUUCCUCAUCCUACUUAUUUCUCGCGCGUUCUAUUCUUUUACGAAAAUGUCUAUGUGAUUUUCGAAAUUUAUAAUCCGAAUUGAGUUUCUUCUUUGUUAUGGGGUGAAAAAAAGAGUUUUUCACCUAUUUCGAUUUUAUAAUUCAAAAACCUCAAAAAAUAGGACGUGUUCCUUGACAGUGCAAUGGCCUCUGCCCAUUAGAUUUAUCAUGUGCAGUGGAAUGGCAGAGCCCGGUUGACCACCACUGCAAGUCUGAUCUUGUGGGUUGUUGCGUAAUGCUUGUUAAGUUGUUAAUUAAAAUUUGUAAACACACUGUUUUGCAGAAGAAAAAAAAAUUAAGCAUGAAAGGAUGAAGAACAGUGAUGGUUAUCGGAUCAGGCUUUGAAAUGUAUAUUUUCCUAUUUCCUAUAGUGAGAAAAACUCCCAUUAUUUAACUACUAGUGCACAAGAAACACGUUGGGGAAUACUCUAAUGUGCAGUUAAAACCCAAGAGGCUCAAACGAGAGAAGCUUGAGUUAAAACUACUAGUAGUAAAAUAUUUAAGGGUUAUACUAACAUGUAUCUUAAAAAUUCCAUAAAUAACAAUUAUUUAUUGAAAAAAUAAUUAAUUUUCAUAUUUUAACAAAAUAAGUUGGCACAAUUUUAAAGCUGAAGUUUCCUAUCGGAUUCUUUAACAUGUAUUCUCUCCGUUUUAAAUUAUAAUAAGAAAAAAAAAACUCUUUUUUUUUGUCCCAAAUUAUAAGCAAAUUGCAUUCAUUUUGCUACCAUUUUCAUUUUCUUUAUAAUUAAUAACCAAUGGAAAUUGUUUUUACAUCUUUUUAGGAAACUUAUUUCAAGAAUAACACAAAAAACUAUACUACAAAUUACUAUAUUUUAGAUUUCUUAAUAAGUGUAAAAUAAAUCUUUUUUCUUAUAAUUUGAAACUGAGAGAGUACCCUUAGCAUUCCCAAUGUUCAAUUAAUUGAAAAAAAAACGGAAAUGAUAACUUGUAACAUUAAGAUACACAAUAAGAAAUCUAAUAUAGAAAUAAAAUCUUGAAAAUUGUGUUUCUUUAUUUUAAAAGUUUAAAUUUUAAUCUUAGAUUUAUAAAACUAUUAUAAUUACAACUAUUAGUGGUAAAAAAAAAUGUAAAUGAAUUGAAAAUUGAAUACUUCUUAUGGUCUCAAUUAUAAACCACAUACAUUAUUUAUUAAAUAAAUCUAAAAUAUGAAAAGUUGUUUAUAAUUGAGACGGAAUGGAGGACACGUUUUGAGUGAAAAAAAAUACUCCAUCCUAUCAUAAAACAAGAUCUGAAUCUUGGAUAAAUUGAACCUAAGGUUCACCAAAAAGAUUUGUAAGUAAACUCCACAAUGAAAAGGUAAGGCUCUGCAAAAAUAAAAGUGCACCAAAAUUCAGGCAAGUCUUUAGAUUCUUAUAAUACAAUAUUGAUAAGGAAAAUGCUGAAAAGCACGAUAAGGAUUGUCGUCACAUUUGCACGAACGGUUUUAUAAAUGUCAUUUGGUUAUUUUUCCUAAUUUUUAUUUUGCACAAAAUGACAAAUCUUGCCUCUGCUGGAUCUUUCUCAUGAGAAAUCACAAAAAAACACCUCAUUCAAUGAUGGUUCUCCAAAUCAACUUUUGCAUGUGUCUUACCACCCUUGUUGAACGUGGAUCAUGUAUGCUAUUAUUGCUUUGGUAGCAUUGUUUUUUUUUUCACUAUAUAUAUAUAUAUAUAUAUAUAUAUAUAUAUAUAUAUAUAUAUAUAUAUAUAUAUACUAUAUACAUGCAAAAGCAUCCAUAAACUAAAAAACAAAUCCAUUAAUAAAGUAAAUAGGGUGCUAUUGAACAUGUCGUGCGGCUUUUCAUGUGUUGAGUCCUCGUGCGAUAUAGCAGCUCUCUAUUGAUAAUCUAUAACUUCAUUGACUCAUAUCAGAGUUUGUGCUUGUGCUCUCAAUUAUCCCUUUUGAUUAACUAUCUUAUGAAUAAAUAGAACUUCCAACAAUUACAUCUACUAAUUCACUUGCCUCAAUGCUUACAAAUAACUUGAGAAAAACUCACAUCACCGGUUUACAUAUAUUAUUGAACAAUCUAAGGACAUAUAGUACCAUACCCCCAACUUAAAAUUUAGAUGUAAUUGUAUAAAAUCAAUCAAAUUCUGUCAGAACAGUUCAAAACAUUUAAAUAUGUCUUUCGGUUCGAUAUUUCUAAUGUUAUGUUAAUUCUCAAAAUAUUUCAACAUUGACUAUAAACCAAAAAAUAUCAAUCACAAUCGAGUUUGACGACAUUUAUUUGGAUAUAUGUUGAUCUGGACUUAAAUUCAAAACUAUAGGUUCUAUAUUCAAUAUCUAAAAUUAAGAAAUUUGAAAUCUUACAAAUUUCAACAAAAUAAACAAACUGCAGGCAAAUCUGCAGGAAAAGACAUAUGAAAAAUCGCAGGAAAAUCCGCAGCAAUAUAUGUGAAAUUUCCUAAUGAAACAGAAAUAAUAUUUGAUAAUAAUUCCGCAGGUAAAUCCUCAGCAAAAUAAUAGGUACCUGCGGAUGUUCCUGCGGCAUCUAAGAGGUCAUCAUAUAUUGGCAGCAGUUGGUAGAAACCACAUAUUCCAUGGGAUAGCGUGAAACCUUGUUGCUUUUGAACUCGGGGUGGGGUAUUCCCCAUGGCUGCUCCUGGACCAAUUCCACGUGAUUUCUAAUGGGAGUUCUUGCACUACAACAUGAUUAAGAUUUAGUAACAAUUGAAAUUUGUAACUAAAUUAAGAAAAAUGUUACUAAUUAAAUUUAGUAACAUUUGAGCAAUUGUUAGGUAAAGCCCGUGUUAUUAAAAAGCUUCAGUAACAUUUUAUAUCAUAAUUGUAACAGUAAAAAAAUGUUGCAUAUUUAUAUUUUGUAACAUUUUUUGUAUGACCAGUAACACUAAAAAAAUGUCACAUUUAUAUUUUUUGAAAAGUUGUAAAAAAGUGUCGCAAAGUCGUCUAGACUAAAAUUGAGAAUCUAUCGAAUUUGCCUUUGCUUUCACUUCAUUCAUAUUUAAAUUAGCCAACAAUAUUUAAAGAUAAACUUAAUUCAAAUUUACAACUCCAAAUAUUUCCCCAUACAAACAUUUGAAAUUUGAUUUCAUAAUGGAAAUGAAGUAUGCAACACAAUUUCAAUUACAUACUAUAACUAUUAGAAGUUUUCGUCAAAUAAAGCAUGUAAAGGUAAGAAGAACAAUGUGCAAUAAGCCUUCUUUAUGAGGUAUCAAAACUAUAUAUGUAGGUUUUGUUCUAAUUUCCACUAUGAAACGUGCAUUCAAUCAGACUAGCUUCACAAACUGCUCAUCAACAAACCAUAGGCCUUUGGAAUAAUUUACACCGAGGAAAAUAAAUAUUGUGCGAGGAAGGUAUGGUCUUUGGGAAGGUAGAUGAAAAAAUAACUCAAUUGUAGAUCAUGUAUUUGGGAGUUGCACUGAACUUUUGUUACCCUUUGAUGACUUUAUUCACUUCAAGUAUUUCAUUGUUACAAUCUCCCUUGGGGCACUAAUAGUGUACAAACCAGCUUCAGUGCACACACUCCUUAUAUCAGCUCCUAGAAAGAACAAAAUCUAUGUUGCUUAGAAAAGAAAGUAAGUUGCAAAAAUUCCUAAAACCAAAAAAAGUUUUGAUUAGAAAGGAUAUAACUUGAAUACUUAUGUACUUGCAAAAGAUUGAUGGUCAGAAGGUAAAAGCUAAUUUAAAAAUUGCCCAGUUGUUAAGAAGUUCUUACUAGGAGUUAGGGUGAAGCCGAGCUGGAAGCUCAAAAUGGAUAUCCCUUUUAUAAUUCAUUUUUCUUUUGUGUAUCUUGAAUAUUUGUGUCCUGCUCUCUAAGUUAGGAAGCCAAAUUCAAAUUUACGAUCCAAUCGCCCACACCUUAAUAACGCUGGAUCAAAAGUGUGUGGCCUAAAAAUAGUGGACAAAAAGCCAUUAGAUAUAUGAAGAAAAGGACUUGUGAAGCAACCAAUUGGUACUAUUUGAGCUUUAUAUUGAUAAAGUGGAUUUGGAAAUCCAUGUCUUCUCACCAACAUAACCAUUAACUGGUCCUGGUAGAUUUGAACCCACAAGAGUUAGGAUUGGUACAUUAGGUCUUGUUCGAUAUGUUGUUGGAUUAGACAAUAUAGGUGGAUAAUCCAUUCUUGUUGAGUCGAAUAACCUACAAUAGAUCUUUGCAUUCCUCCUAUUGGGCAAAAGAUCGGUUCUCCAGCAUAAGCCAUGUUGUUCUCUUGCACAAAUUGUCAUAAGAUGACACUUGCAACAUUCCAAUUUGUCUUACUACCUUAGGUAAAUAGAACAUUAGACUAAUUAAUUUCACCCUAGUGACUUUGCUCCAUGAUUCUUAGGGGAACGCCUGCCAUCUCUUGCCAAUUUUAAGUUUAUUGGCUCGAAAUAAAAAACAAUGACUAGCAAGACAAAUUACUCAUUAAAACUCAUAAUUAAAAAACAGUGACAAUCUUCAAACUGGAUAGUAAAAGAAAACAAGAAAAACAGUUUGAGUGCAUCCACAUACCACAAUGAACUUUCAAAAUGGAAUAGCAACAUUGAUAUGAGAAAUUUGGAUGUUCAACCCAGCUGAGAUUAUAGGUAAUGGAGCAGGAUUCCUUUGUUGAUUUUUGAAUGACCCCACGUACUUGACUUACUCCUCAGACAAGCCGAAAGUUGUUGGGAGACAUGCACCGUUGUCGUGAGCUUGUUCACAGAAAUCAUGGAUUGUACCAUUUGAUCACAGCAAUGCCACAUCCCUUGCUUCUAACAUCUUGUCUAUGGUUUCUUCUUUGGGGGUAGCUUCUUCGUUGCUUUGUGGACAGUAUUCAUUUAGAGACAUAUUAUCAAUCAGUUCUAUGACUUCCCAAUUAGUUUUGAUCUUCAUGAUACCUCCAGUUGAUGCAUCAUACAAGUUUAGGGUUUCAGCCAUGUAGUGAAAGUCUGCAUGGUAUCUCUAUCUCCGUACACAUGUGACAUGGACACCUUUUCAGAAGAACUUUGAAUCUUUCUCAAGCGCUAUAGAAUGUUUCCCUAUCUUGCAUUUUUAAGCUAGCAAUUUCCUUCUUCCUUGCCAAGUACUUCAUGUUUGGGAAGAAGCGAUCUGAGAAUUCCCUCUUGAAUUGAUCUCAAGUAGAGAUCGUGUCAGUUGGAAGUGAUAUAAGCUAGUCCUUCACUCGUUUAUUUAGACAUUGUACAAACAAACAAAUCAUUUGUUGGAUUUGGAUACACCAUGUGGGUUGAUUGUGUCGCAGGCCUUCACAAAGUGUAAGAGAUGUGCGUUAAAAUCUUCAGACUCCUUUCCUGAAAAUUAGUUGUCCUACAUAGAAUUGAGGACAUGGUUCUUAAUAUCAAACACCACGGGGUUUGCAGGUUGGAACCUGAGAGACAUUUAAUCAUAGUUGGUCUUUUAUAAUCUCCUAGAAUAUUACGAGGAGUUUCGUCUGUCAUUUCUGAAUCGUCAGAUGAGACGUCUUGAAUGGAGAUAGUAGCUUCUUUGUUCGCCUCUUGUUUACCUAACCAAUUGUAUUUUACGAAUGGCCUUUUCGAUUCUUUCAAUGUUUGGAUAAAAAAGAAGGUACAUGAAUCUACACCACGUGGGAGGAAUUUGAACAAAACAAUACUAGAAUAUUUUUAGUAUUUUUAGAAUAAUAAAUAAAUAAAAACAAAUAAAGAAAGUUACUAUUAAAAAAUAAAAACAAAUCUGAAACUGUUUAACACUUUUUCUACCGUUUUGUUAAUGCAUUUCCCUUACUCGCUUCGAUCACUACUAUAAUAAAAAAAAACAGUUUAUACUAUUAUAGACUAAAUAUAUCAGUUAUUCGAUUAAUAAAAAAAUGAUUUUUUUUUUUUUUUUGUUUAUAAUAGUGAUUGUAAUAAGUAUAAAAUAUCAAUUACCGAAAUGUAUUGUUUGAGAUUGUUUGUGUUAGUCAUAUAACUCAAUCCCCAAAACAAAGUGACUCGCAUUUUGUCAGCGCUAAUACAAUAAAAUAAGGGGAAAUUAUAUUGACCUCCCCUAAGGUCUCAUUAAAUGAUACAAACACCCCUCUUAGUUAAAAAUAUACAUUAACCUCUCAUAAGUUUUCGUUAAAUAUGAUGGUGAGAAAAACACAAGAAUGGGGGUUGAAUUGUGUUGGUUUUUUCUUCUUUUUCUCCUAACUGAAAAUACAGAUCAGAAGCAGAUAGAGUUCUACUUCUAAAGAGAAGUUCAGACUAAUUGCAGCGGAUAAAACAGAGAUAGAGAGAGAAGAAAGACACAAGCAAUUUAUACAGGUUCCUUCCACAUACCGAAAGUCAGUCAUGUCCCCCUUGCACUUCCAAGGAGAGUUCACUAUGUAAUAUCUGAUUACAAUUGCUCACUACUAAACUUAGUAAGAGACUUCCUAUGCUCCUGAACACAAUCAAGAGACUUCUAUUGCUCAAGCACAACUGCAAGAGACUUCUUGAUUCAAACAGAAUUACAAGAAAAAUGUUUGAGGUUGAACACUUGAUAUACAAUCAAUGGUGUUCACAAUAUAAAUCAGAUACAGACUCUAAAGACUCUAGAAUUCCUAAGAUAUGAGCUUUGAUAAGAAAUUCUAAGUGAACUUUGAAGUGGAGAACAAUUUCAGCAGAGUUUUGGCUUAGUUAAUUCUUGGUAUUGUUCUUAUAAAACUCUGAGUCUUCACUCCUUUAUAUAGAGGUGUGAAAGAGACGUUGAAUUGCCCGCACAUUCAAAAUAGAGUCGUUUGAAGCUUUUGAUCAAUCACCAAUGAUCCUUUUCCUGAUAUGGUUAUUGUCCUAUGAAGGAUCAAUUUCAAAUGUAUUCCCUUUGAGAAGAAACAUUGUUGCAGGCAAAGUUGUUUUUCUUGUCUUGUAGCAGAGACAAAAACAGAGUAGUGGAGAUAGUGGUUGUACACUUCGUAGAAACGUACUAUGUCAACGCUCUUUGAAGAAUUAGCAUCCAAUGCCUUCCAAAAUAGCCGUUGUAAUACUUUUCCAGUCUUCUGCAAUCUUAGACGAGUUUGAAUCCUUUAAACAGCUUUUGAAGCUUUAAGUUGCAUCUCCUGAUGAACUGCAGCUUCUGGUGAUUCACAACUUCUGAUGAACUUGCUUUUGAUGACGUCAUCACUUCAGGAGCACUUUGUCUUCAGGAGCACUUUAACUUCAGGAGCAGUUUUCUUCAAACGCUUUAAGCUUCCCUUUUUGUUGAUGUAUUUGCUCUUUAUUUGUUCUUCCAAGACCUUUUUAAGAUGUCAAAUUUUUGUCUAUAGUCCUGUACACUUGAACAAAUAUUAGCAUAUCCAAUUGACAAUUUUUAAUACUUUGUUAUCAUCAAAACUCUUAAGGGUUAUUUUUGCUAAACACAUUUUGUUCCAACAAAAUAGACAAACACCUUCCUUCUUCAUUAACAAUGUUUGCUUUCUCUGUUAAAUCACAAAAAUGCCUUAAAUUACUGCACUCACAAUUUAGGGAUUCUUUCGCUUGCUAUCAUCAAGCCACCAAAUAAUAAGAUUCUCCUAUUUUGCAAGCCAUUGCAGCAGCAAAAGAAAGAAUAGAGGAUUCUUAUCAUUUUUUCAACCUUCAACCUUAUCAUUUUUUUGGUCAUGCCAUAUAAUUUGCAUAUUUGUAUUGCUAGCUUGGUAUAAGCUUCGAUUUUCAUAAUUGAUUUUCUUAAAUUAUUUUCAUAUAUCAUAUAAUAAGCCCAUCACAAUAAAAGGUACAACCAUAGUAGUGUUUAUUAAUGAAAAUGAUAACAAUCAAACAAACAUUCCAUAAAAACAUGACCAUACAAAGGGAAAUAUGAGGGAAAUGGAUUCCUUCUCAUCUUUUAUUCAAAGCAAGAAACAACAAAACAACCAUGACAUUUUCUAGAUGGAGACACUGUUGGGAAUGCCUCUGAAAGUCAAUCCUGGCUCACUUGAAGGAUAGAGCACAGUGUAUGGCAUCUUCACAGGCCCAUUCCUGUUUCUCAAUGAUUCAUCGUUGUUCCUUUCAAUGAGCUUUUGCUCAAUUUCAGCCAACUUCUUUCCAAACUUCUUGAAGGCCUCUACUGGCUCUGAAUCGUAAGUCCAAAGAUCACCUUCGAUUCUGUGUCCAAUGUAUUGCUCAUCAGAAACAUGUGAUGACAAUUGCUCCAUAACAGACAUGUUCACACGGGUUUCCAUCAAUGGUGUGAUUGUUCUCAAAUACGCCUUCUCGAAGUCCUGAGCAAGCUCGUCAUACUCAGGGGUUCCUUUCUCAGGCAUGAAUCUUCUACUUUUAGUUGGUCGGUUAACAAUGUAUCCACCGUAAGGAUAUUGUCCAAAAUUAACAGCUGCAUGAAGUGCUGAAGCCAUCCAAAUGAGGGUGGUGCAAGUUUCAAUCAACUCUGCACGAGUUUUCAUCUUAAACCACCAUGUUGCAUCCUUCAAGUCACCAUGGCCCACUUCUACAAGUUCUUUCCAGAAUGCUUGGAGCUCGGAAUCAUCUGCAACAGCUGCAUCUAGCUUGUAAUAGAAAUUUACAUAUUCUUCAACCCAUGACUUAAUAGCAGCCCAUAUCUCUAAUCCAUCAGUAGCAUAAGGAUAAUCCUCUAUCAAAAGGCGAACACCAUGUGGAAAUUUUGGAUCCUUAACAGCCACUCCUCUAGAUAACAAGCAAGGAAGAUGAUAUUAACAUACAAAAAUUUAAGUGAUAUUAAUAACUAUUUUCAACUUAUUAAUUUCGUAGUUGCUUUGUUCAUUCUCUAUUUCUCUAAGGAUACAAAACAAAACUCAUCUAAACUGACAUCUCAUGCGUGUAAAAGAUUAUUUUUGAGAUCAAUGUCUUUCUAAAAAUGGACAAGACGAAGAUUUAAUAUUUUGUAAGCUUACCUUUUGAUUAGAUCAUUAGGUAGUGCUUGAUCCGGGAAAACCCAAUCCUUGUAAACAUCAGAAGACAAUUCCAUUGAAUAACUUCCAAACAAGUAUGUUGACUCUAUAAUACCCCCUGCUUUGAUCAAGACAUCUCGCGCAUUGGCAUUUAUGUUCAUUGUGUUACGAUAGUGUGGAAGUAAUAGUUUAUGAAUAGGGUGAACCACACUAAGAUGCCUAUUUGUUGCUAUGAUGAAUGGCUCAACAGAAGCAUGAGUGUGCAACCUGUCACACAUGUAGAUAUAUAUUCAUAAAAUUACUCAGAUAUAUCAAAUAUUAGUGUUUGAUUGUAUAAAAAUGAUUAAUGAAAUUCAUACCAAUGGCUGAUAAGUUGAUGAUAGCAGGCGUCAUUUACAACAGCGUAAGCCUUGGCAAGGCGCCAAAUUGAAGCAUCAACACCUUCAGUUGCAGGCGUGUAACUAGUAGUAACAAUACCAUCACCAUCAGGAUGUGGCACAUGUAGUUCAAUGGAUAUUGGCUUCAAAGUUCCAUCAUCUUGCAAAGAGAGAAGGGUCGUUGAGGCAUAGGCCUUUGCGCCAGUUGCAUUUAUUUUCCUCAAAUAUGGUAAGAUUGCAUCUUGGUAAUCAACUACGUAUAAUCUAAGGGCCUUGAUAGUCUGUUAGACACAAAAAAAUUUAGCCAUUGUGGUUCCUUUGAAGAAGAAAAAAUGAAUUCAACAGAAAAAAUGAAUAAUACCUGUUCUACAUUGACCCCAUCCUGCAUGUAUGGCUCCAAGUGUUUUUUGUUUAUUGUGGUUGUAUCCUACAUUUCACAUAGCAAGCAAUGAGAGGUUAGUUAUCAAUUUUAAAUGUAGCAUCAAAAUUGAGCAUGAUUGUCUUUUUUAUUUAUUUCUUUUAUACUUGCUUAAAAAUAUUUAACUAUUAAGUUUAAUUACCUCAACUUUUUUUAUCACGUUUGGAUUCACACCAGCAAUUAUCUCUCUUGCGAAUUCCUCAUCAGUCAUCCAUGCAGUGCGAUCCUCUACUCAUAGUAAGAAAUUUUCAAAAGAUCCAUGAGCUUUUUUUAUAUGAUUGUGUAUAUAAUUAAAUAUAUUGUUAGGACUAGGAAUUUCUGACUAAGAUAUAUACCUCGAAUCACUAGUGGUGUUGGAAAGUCUGGAUGUUCGCCAGCGAAAAGCGAGAGCACUUCAUCAAAGGAGUUAAACUCUGGUUGAUCGUUUUGUAAUCUAACUAGCGAUCUUAAUUGAGGUGUCUCAUGUUGAGAUAUUAAUUUGAGGGUGUUAACAACAAAGUCUGACGAUUUCUGAGGGAUGAUUAAUUCAUCUCUUGGAAUGUAAAAAUAUCCACUCCGACUCUCGGUCUCUGGAUCUGUUCAUUAUAGUAACAAAAUAUGUUUUGUCGAAAUAAGUAAAAAUAUAUAUCACAACAAAAUAUUGUAAACAUACACAAGUGUUUGGAGUCUCACAUUUCUCAAGACGUUUUCUGCCAGUUCUUCCCCUUCGAGGGUAAGGCAAGGCGGCUGAUCCCCCAAGAACUGGACGAUACAAGCAAGGACUUUCGUCUGGUUGACCCAAAUCAUUGUAGACAUCAUAAUCAUAUAUUCUGUCCCAUACCUUACGCUCUCCAGUUCCAUCUCCUCUUAAAGUCUUCAAUUCUUCUUUGAUGUAGUACACUAAUGGUUGUGGUGCUUGACUUGGAAGGUAUGCCUACAUAAUUUUAACCAUUGGUGCUGUCAAGUUUUUGAAAAAGAGAAAUAUACAUUUAAAAAAUUACAUGGAAAUAAUAAAAUGGUUUGAGCUCAGGUACGUGGUUCAACUUCCUAAACAAACAUUUUUAAUAACUAAUUGUUAACAUUUGUCGCUCAAUAAAAAUAUAGAAUUGAUAUCAUUACCUUGUUGGCAAAGAAAAUGCGUUCAGUUUGGUACUUUUCAGCAUUGUAAAUCCAUGAGUUGCAAAUAAAGUUUGUGGUUUCAUGGCUUUCAACAUCUUCAAGGGUCAAACUCACAAGGAAGAUUUCAUCUUGCGUAAAAUUCUUAACAUAGAAAGCUCCUGGAAUUCCCAUGUGAUUGGGAUCCCAUUCAAAAUGAAUACUGAAAGCAUUUUGUAUGUCUCCCAAAUUUGGUAUGGAAGUAACAAAACCAUCCAUAAACGUUUCCUUUCCCACUUUUCCUUUUCCAGUAGCUAUGUUAAAAAUGUCAAAUAUUAGUUUCUCAGUUUCACAAAUGAUGAUGAUUCUCAACUAAUUAGUUUUCAAAUAUUAAUUUUUUUUACAACUAAUUUUUUUUUUCGCCCUAUACAAAAUUUGUCAUCCAUGUGCACGUUAUUGUAUAUAGUUAGAUAAAGAAAUUAUUACCAUCAGCUUUGGAAGCACUAAUCAACUUGAAACCCACAGAAGUGUCCAACAAGGUAGGACGAACGGUAUCACCUUCAUUCUCAACAACAGUAUUACCACCAAUAACUUUGUAGUUCAAUGCAUUCUUUUUCAUCAAAACCACAGUUCCCUUCAGCUUUGUGACCAUGUUCAAUGAAGUCAUCUUUGAUGCUUAAAUGUAUUACACUAUCUUUGGCUAAUGAAAGAAAUGUUUGUGUCUUGUAACCUUGUGGGAUGCUUAGUAUUUAUAGUACUUGAUGGGAUCACAAGGUUAGUUCAAAAAAGAUAAACCAUUCUUUUAUUCAUUAAUUAACUGCUACUUGUGACACAAUUGGAGCGCAUCUUAGGCUAAUUUUGUAUUUUUGUUGAUUAUUUCGUUGUAUAUUAUAAAAUAUAUCAGUUAAAUAAUCAUUUGGGGUUUUGUUUUUUACUAAAAUAUGAUAAUCAUGCAAUAGAGUAUAAUAGAAAUAUACAUAAAUUUAACAUCACCAAAAACUAAUUAAUUAAUAGCAUAAAACGAUCAAUUUGCAAACAAACGCAUAUCAUUCAAAUUAAUUAAUAGCAUAAAAUGUUAAAAUACAUACAAAUGAUAUGACAAAAUUUAAGUGAUCAGAGUAUUCAUGUCUUCAUAUCAACAACUUUGACGAUCAUCUCAUUGAUUAAAUUUAUAAUGAUCGAAGUUGAAAUGUGUCAAUCCAAACAAUACCACAACAAUCAAUCUAAAAAAAAAAAUAUUGAACGUCAGACUAAAAUGACGAAAUUACAAAAGAAAAUAUAAUCUACGUAAAAAUUAUUGAUUUUUUAUUAAAAGAGAGAACAAAUCAACACUAUAUGUCUAAAAUCAAUCAUCUUCCAUCAAUGAAGAAGAAGAAAGAUAAAACUUAGAGAUAUGGCUUCUCUUUUUUUAAUUGGGGCCGGCAAAAUUAUGGAAACAUAAAUAACAAGUACGUAAUAUUUGUUGUCUUGUGUGUGAGAGAUUCCAAAAAAAAAAUUAUAUACGCGGGGUUUUUAUUGACCAUAUUGGUGCUAUGGUCAUUAAUUACUCUUUUUUUAAUCCAAUAUGGUCAUUAAUAACUCUCCUUUGCUCUAUUGUUAAUUGUAUCAAUACGUGUACGUAGUAGUACAUCCAAAUCUUCCAAUCACGGUUCCUAUAUUGAGAAAAACACCCAUUAUUUUACUACUAAUACACAAGAAACACGUUGGGAAAUACUUACCCAAGAGGCUCAAACGAGAGAAGCUUUAGAGUUAAAACUACUAGUAGUAAAAGAUUUAAGGGUUAAUACUAUCGAAGAUUCAUUAGCUAAAAUUUAAAAAAAUUUAACAUUAAAUAUGAAUUUUUUAAAACGGCAAAAGUUAAAGAUAAAAUUAACAAAAUUUGGAUGUAGGAAUCAAAUUUUGCGACAAUUUUUUGAAGAGGAACUUUUAGUGAUGUUCUUAACACGUCUGCAAAAAAUUGUUCAAAAACUCAAGAGUUUAAGCAUAAAUUAAACAAAUUUGAAUUGAGGAGAGACUAAUACUGAGUGUAGAAUUUUUUUUUUAGGGAUUAAAAAAACUAUUAAAAUUAAGUAAGAAAUAAACUUAAAAGGUCCUAACUUUAUAAGGACCAUAAAUAUAUUUAACCUAUAUGUUUUUAGGGCAUAUCUUAAAAAUUCCAUAAAUAGAAGUUAUUUAUUGAGAAAAAAUUAAUUUUCAACUUUUAACAAAAUAAGUUGACAUAUAUAAUUUCCAAAGCUGAGUUUUCCUAUCGGAAUCAUUUAACAUGUACUCUCUCCGUCCUAAAUUAUAAGAUUAAAAAAAAAAAAAAAAAAAAACAACUCAAUUUUUUUUCCCAAUUAUAAACAAAUUGCACUCAUUUUGCUCUUCCUUUCCUUUAAGGAUAACACAAGAACUAUACUACGAACUACUAUUUCCUCCGUUUCAAAAGACACGUCGCAAUCAAAUACUCUACACAUGUCAAUGUACAACUUUGACGGUUGAUAUCUCUAAUUAUCUAAAGUAAAAAUUUAUAACAAUUUAAUAUUUUGAAAACAUUUAUCGAGACAAAUCGAACAACAUUUUACAUACCAAUCUUUGCAUUUAUAUAUUAUUUAAAAAGUAUGGUCAAAGUAAGUCAUGUGAAUAGUGCACAUUGCAAAAAUGUGACAUUUAUUUUAAAACGGAUGGAGUAUGUUUUAGUUUUUUCAAUAUGUGUGAAAUGGAGUUAUGACAUUUAUUUUAAAAUGGAUUAACAACAAAUCAACCAUAUCAUAAGUGUUACUAAGAAUCCCAUCUCUCAUGGCGGAAGCAAACACAUUGGGACUAGAUUCUAUUUCAUUAGGGAGCAGGUGACUAAUGGAGUGAUUGAGUUGCAUUACUGUCCUACAGAAUUGCAGCUUGCAGAUGGUUUUACAAAGGCUUUGAAGCUUGAUAGAUUUAAACUUUUGAGGAAGAAACUUGUUGUUGUUAACAUUCAGCAGUUAUUAAUUAAGGGGGGAGUAUUAGAAUGUUAAUACAUAACUUAACUGUUUAGAUAUAAUAUAUUCGUUGGGGAAUAUAUUAUACCCUUGGGGGUAUAAAAGUUUGUCACAAGUUAGUUAGGUAAUCAAGCUAAGUUUGAUAGUUAGAUAGCUUGUUCUAUAAGCAAGUGUUAUUGUGCCUAUAAAGGCUUUGUAUUGUGAAACUUCAAGUCUUAAUGAGAUUACACAGUUCAUAUCAAUCUCUCUAUUCUUCUCUCUUUCAUUUUUCAGUUCUAUUUUUUUUAUUUCUCAUCUUGCUAAAAACUGCUUAUUUCAAUAAGCACUUCUGCGCAUAUGAACACACGCAUAUGAACACAGUUUCUGUUCAAACAGUAACAACAAUGCCAACCCCUUUCACAUUCUAGAAGAGAAUUAACAUCUAGGAAAAGUAACUACAUCCCUAUAGAGUUCAAGUUUAGAAGGAGAUAUAUAGUUGCUUUGCAAACAUUUUUCAUAAUCUCCUUUGUCUAAUUCUUCGUGGUUGUCAACCUCUAAAUUCACCACGAAAAGGGUUUUUGGCGUCGAACCUCAUUGAUAGCCUGAAUUACAAUUUACAAGAACUUGAUCCAAGUUAAAAAUUUUGUUUUUCUUGCCCUGUUUUGAAGUUUCGGCAUGACUUGAAACUCUAGCAGUUUGUUUGUUUUGCUUUCUGUUCUGGUUUUUUUUUUUUUUUUGCACUUUAGGAAUAUCGUUCUUAGUGUAUGCAAUAUGGAUGACCUACAAUAUGACAAUUUUAACAAAUUUAGGAAGUCUUUCAUAUACAACCCCCAACAUGAAAUGCAAACACCCUCUAUACGAGAACAUACUCGUGAAUCGGUUUUGAUAAAUCAACAUCAACAAAUAGUCUAGCAAAAUGUCCAAUUACUCUAUUUCUAGUAGGUUAAUCCAAUGUAAUAUACAUUCUAAUAACACAAGCAAUCUCAAAUAAAGUUUUAGGACGUCAAUAUUCCUAAGGGAUAUCACUUAAACAAAUCUAAACAUGAUCAUUAGAAUGUUUUUUAUAAUCUGGAUAGAAAUCACGAACCCAUUGAGAUAUACAAAGAAUCGCGAAUUUGAGUUUCCAUGAGCCUGCCAACCAAACGGAAUGCAUAUAGGAGUUGAGGGCGACCUCUAGGGUGCGCAAUCGAAAUAUAUUGUGUAUCGUGCAUGAGUGAGUGCACUCUAGACCGGAUAUAUCAAAUUCUCUCUUCCCCGUGAUUGAACACCCCCUUCUUCCUCUCUAUUUCAUUGUUCAAUUUCUUUUAAAUCAAUAUUUGAUCUGUGUUGAUGGUUGGAUUUGCAGGUGUCAUAAUGCUUUGCUUUCACUCUUAAGUCCUUAUUUUCUUAGGAGAUUUUAUCCCAAGAAUGACAGCAAGGAAUUAUGUUAAUAGAAAAUGAUUAAAUAUAUGGAUUUUCAAUUUGAUAAGAGUUAGUGUAUUUUUUGGCUCUGCUACAUAUAAGAGUUUGGUGUUCAAAUUGAUCUUGAACUUUCAUUGUUAAGGAAAAUAGAUCAAGGGUUGCUAACUAACUGAUACUUUGAAAGAAAGAAAAAAUCACUAAUGAGCACGCUAGCCUCCGCCGGAGUUUGAGAGAGCAAACUCGAAGAAACCUUUGCUAAGUGACAUUAGUCUCCAAUUUUUAUUGAAUUUCCAAAGAGAGCUUAAUGUGUGUUUGGAUGAGGAAAUAUUUUGAUUUGAAGGGAUUCAAAUACUUUGAAGUGAAUUCCAUUGUUUUGAUAAUAAUUUGAAGAAUUUUCAAAAUGAUGGAAAUUUAUGAAGUAUUUUGUUCAACUUAAAUUUAGAAAAUUUCAAAUGACACUUAAAGUUAAGAAUUUCAAAAUUCUUCAUUGUUAUAAUUUUUCAAAUUUUGCAUUUUGGUCCUCAAAUUUUCCAAAAUUUCCAAUUUGACACCAAUAAAUUUCCAAAAAAAAUGUAAAUUGACCCCUCAAUUUUUUCGAAAUUUACAAAUUGACCCCUUAUUUCAAUUUUCAAAAGUUGCCCAAAAAUGAUGACAAUGAAAUUUUUUAUUACUCCAUCCAAAUCUUUAUACUAACAAUUUAGAGUUUUUAGAAAUAGCCUAUUUCAAAAUCCUCUCCUCUAAAGAUGUCCACAUCAUCAUAAUCCUAAUUGGCAUUUGUUCCAAAAAUUUCUUCUAAUUUUUAAUACAAGCUUAAUAAUUAUAAAUAAAUAUUAUUAAAAACCGUUUUUUAUUAAUCAUUAAAUGGUACAUAAAAUACACAGUUGGUUACAAUAAAAUCAUUAUUAAUAUAAUAAUUGUUUCGAUUAAAAUUUAUAUGUUACAUUAAAAAUUUGUACGUUACAAUCAAAUGAUUAUUAAUAUAAUUAUUAUUCAAUUAACAUUUAUAUGGUACAUUAAAAAUUUGGUAGGUUACAAAAUUAUAAUAAUUAACUUGAAUAAAUUAUAUUUUGAAUUUUGGUCCGUUACACUAUAACAGUAACCUACUAAUUAAAAAUUUAAUUGUAGUAAUUAGUUUUUAAGGUUAUAUAAUUAAUUUUUAUUCGUUACAAAAUUAUAUUACUUAAUAUUAAUAAGAUAUUAUUGAAUUUUAAAUGUUAUGAAGUUAAUUUUUUGUAGGUUAGAUGAAAUAUAAUCUAAUCAUUAAUGCACAUUUUAUAAUAUUAAUUACGUUGAUAAUAUUAAUUUUAAAACGGUCAAAUUAAUAAUUAGUAGAUAUUAACCGUUAUGGUACUAUUUUUUUAUAUAAAUAGUAGCGCUUUUAGGUACGAGUACACAACAAUCACAAAAUAUAGUUCUUCUUUUUCUAUUCUAUGGUUCUCUGAUAUCUAUAUUCUAAGUAAUUUCUUUAAUUUUUUCUAUUGCAAAGAAAAACGUCUACGAAACACGACUUCAUCUCUAAUGUUUCGCCAAGAAAAUAAUCGUGGACAUUGGUUGUGAGGGUUGUUCGUGCUUGGUUUGUUCAAGACUACAAAAAUAAAAUAAAAACUACCAUUUUCUAUGGAGUUGGUUCUAAUGGAUCGAAAUUGACUUUUUUCAUACCGUUUUUUGUUUUGCUUUGUUUAAAGUAUAGUAUUUUAAUAUUUGUUAUCUAGGGUGAUCGAAUAUGUGUGUUUAUACGAAGAACAUUGAUCUACAAGUUCAAGGAGCAGCUCCAAGAGGGAAUGGCGUUCACGAUUUCCUUAUUUGAUUUUGUUUGCAACAGUGGUUUGUAUAGACCAUCACACAACGAAUACAAACUGAAUUUUACAAUUAACACAAAAAUCAAAAUAUUUAAAUCUUCUUUGGUCCCUACAAACAUGUAUUCGUUUACACUGCAUAUGAUGUUUUCAAUGAUUCUUACGACAUGAAAUGUAAUUUGAAUCAUAUUUUUAUCAUCAAACUAAUUUCAAACCCCCAUCCCUUUCUAACAACAUGAACUAAAUUAUAUAUUAAUGUAGUUGGUGUCUUGACUGAGGUGGAUUUUGUUUUAAUGAAGACCUCAAAUCAAUUAUAUUAAAAACCCUUCAAGCACAAGAUGUACCCAAUAAAAGAAAAUACAAAGUUCAAGAUGCAUAGAUACAAAAGAACCAAAUCAUGAGGUAGAAUAACCAAGACAAGUAGAAAGAUUAUUUCACCAACAUUUCAACUCAAAAUACAUACAUGAUUGCUUAGCAUUUUGUAUCCAGUAAACAAGAAAUAUAAUUUAUCUAACAACACCAUAAACUGGUUCUUGUGACAAAAAUGUAAGAAUUUUUGUCUUUCCAAAUAAUCCAAAUGCAAGUCAGCAAAAUCAACUGAAAACUAAAACGAACUUUUUUUGGAACAAUUGAGAACCACUGAAAUGAAGAGUACCCUCAAUAAUUAAUUGGAAGAACACAAUAAUUCCAACCACUUUAGAAUAUUAUGUCAUAUGCUACCAAAGAAUUCACACUAAAAAUAAAAAAGAUAAUUUUCCUCUUUUUCACAUCUGCCAGAACAUAAAAAUAAGUCCAUAUUUUAAAUACUCCAUCAAGCUAAGUUGCCAUUUAUUAGAAUUCAGAUAUUCAAGAGCCUCCGCGAAAAGAGAGAGGCAUUUAGAGGAGCUACUUUGUUCCUAAUGAGAUUUUUUAGAGCCAUAGGUUCAUCAUGCUCCACUUGCAACUAGAUGAUAUACCCCUUUGUCAGAGUAACUUUCACCAUGAUCAACUUUAAAGAAACUUAUAAAAAAAUGCUAGCCUGAAAAAUAAUGUUGUCCACCAAAUAACAACAAUAUAUCCCCUGCACCUCAUUCCAAGAAAAAUUCUAUGACAUCGUCUCCACCCCAUCCAACCCUAACCUACGUAUCUCCUCAAAUGGCAUAGAGUUAUUCUCAUAUAACUCAAAAGUUCUUCUAAAUAUAUCACACAAAGGACCACUCUACAACCACGAAUCAUUGCAAAAAAAAAGGAGUAUUUUUUCUCAUUACUCUCCACUAUCAUCAAGUUGUCAUCAAACCAAUUUCUAAUCCCCAUCUCCGCCCCUAUUUUAACAUCAUGGAAGUAAUUUUACCACACACACUCCUAAUUGUCCCCACUCUUCACAUGAACUCACCCAACCUAUUCUAAGAAGCUAAAACUCUAAAAUGCAAACUCAUUGAUCCAUAUCAGCCUCCAAAACUAUUCAUGUAACAAAGAUAAGUUAAAAUUCUACAUUAUAUGAACCCUCAAGCAACAACUAUAUCGACCAAGACACACCUUAUCUCACUUAAACCAAUUGACUUUAAUAGCUUCCGCACUCUCUCCACACUAAAAAUAAUAAGGAUUCAAUAAAAUAAUUUUUACUUAAGUAAGCCUUGAAGAAUGAAAGAAAUUAAACCAAUUGUGGUGGAUAUUGAAAGAGAAUACAAAGAUACAUUAGAAGAAUAUUGAAUUGAAUUCGAAUGGGUGAAAUCAAUUUAUUUUCAUUUUUAAUAUAUAAUACAUUAUGAUAUUUAAUUAUUAUUUUAAUUAUUUGUCAAAUAAUUUUUAAGAGAUAUCAGUUUGAACGUACUCUUUUUUCUAUUUUCUGGUAAAUUUAAAAAGGCGAAUCUGACAAUUUUGUUGCAAAAGUUAAGUUGUUCCUAGGUAAGUAUUUAUAACUAUCAACUUGAUUAUUUAAUACCAUUAAAAACUACAUAUUUAUUCAUUUAGUUGAACCAUUUUAUUUGUUUCUUUAGAGAUUGGAAAACGAUGUUACAAAAUUCUUUUCAAUCAACUAAGAUCAAAUUCAACCAUUAAAUUAUGGAGACAAAAAGAACUAAAGAAAAUGUAUGCUUAUUUUGAUGAAGGAGAUUUUUUUUCCACAAUCCUUUUAGUAAAUACAUUUUCUAAUAAAUGGUAAAACAAUUACCUUUAUUUUUAGUUGCCUGAUCUAUCCCACAUUAGCAUACCUGAAGAAUUUUUUACUCUUACUCUUAGGAUCACCAUUGGAGUUAAAGAACCUGCAUGAAAUUGAGUGGGUUGACAUAGAUCUCCUACCUUUUUCUUCCCCAUGUUUGUGGAGGUUUUAGUUUGUGGAUUUCGGUUAGGAAUAUUAAGAAGGAGGAAAUGUUUGCUUGGAAAAAAGGGGAAACGAUGAAUUGGAAAUCAUAACUACACUAAAAUAUAACGAAAUUAGGUUAGAUUGUUUUAAUUAGGUUAGGGACUCUCUCCAAUCUUAGAUAUAACAAAUAAACAACUACAUUUUAUUAUCUUAAAUUAAAAAAAAAUAUAUAACUUACUUUGACUUUAUUUAAUGUUAUUUCUCCUAAUAUACAUUUUAAUUCAUGUAAGUUUUAUUUUUAAUAUUUUUUUAUUCUCAUGAAACAAGUUCCAAUAGAUGGUACUUUUCAUAAUUUUAUAUUUUUUUAGAAACAUUCGAGAAAACUAAUUGCAUAUAAGUAAAUUUUUGAACUUAGAUAUAUUUUUUUUAUAAUUGAAAUCCGAGAGAGUGAUUAAAUAAAAAAAGUAAUAACUUUAUUCAAAGUGGUAGGUUUUUUAUUAUAUUUUUAUAAGACAAGAGCAAAAAGAAUAAUCUCAAUUAAGUUGGUACCCUACUUUAAUCGAUCACCAGUUGCUCAUAUAUAUUAUUAAAAAAAGGAAAAAAUUAUAUAAAAUCUGGGAGGACAAAAAAUAUGAUUCAGUCAAUCCAAGUGGAUCCACCCUAACGAGUAAUAUAUAAAAAAAAAAAAAAAAAAGAUCAACAAAGUGGAUUCAACCCUAAUUAAUUCUAACAAACGAAUACCAUUAACGAUAGACGUUUGUGAUGGCCAAUCGGGUCUAUAAUUUGGCGAAUUGAUCGAUCUUCAACACAAAAUCAGAUCACGUGCUAUCAACUCCCUACAACAACGACAACAAGCAUUAACGACUCUUUCAAGUCCACACAGUCUCAUGUCAAUCAAGGAUUAAUGGGAUACGAAACACAUACAUAUUCUUGAGAGUGGAAAGUAGAUUCAACCGCCAACACGGUAAUUAACAGAUUCACACGCACUAACUGUUUACUGCUAUGAUCAACAUCAAAUUAACAGUCAUUUAUGGCCCAAUAUAGAACCUCAACCACCUCCAAAGAAAGGGAGGAGAUGGCGGAUUCGAAUGACCCACCAUAACCAAUCCACACGGCGGCGAAAAAUGUCUAAAACGGUGGCAAAAUAGAGGAUAAAGAACGGACCCUUUCGGGUUUCAACCAAACCAAUGCGGGGUUCUGCUAUUGAGAAGCCAACACACAAAACUAAACAAGAUUGCCGGUGACAACCAACAAUUUACGAAUACCAACAACUAAGCAACCACCACCCGUAGCAGAUGCGGUACUGGUUGAAUCGGAAACGAACGACACGAAUUGUUGCGGGAACCGGAAAAAGGGUGGUGCGGGGGGACGACGCCACUCAUCACACCAUCGUUGAAUGUUGGUACAUCGUAAGUGAUGAAGGUUUCAAAAAAAAGGGGGCGAGGUGGCGGAAGAUUUCUAAAGAGAGGGCAGAGCCAUAAUGGUAGAUUAUAGCAGGGGUAAUCAUACCUCUUAUUAAUUAGAUAUAUUUUUAAGAAUAUACUAAUUAUUUAUAUAUUUUUAUAUUUUAAAUAUAGUUGUACUUUUUCUCAAUAUUUUAAGCAGAGUUGGCGUCCCUGCCAACUCUGUCUCAAUUUUAAAUAUGAAAAUAAAGUACUACAUAAUAUCAAAAUUCUGAAUGAAAUCAAACUAAAAAAGUCAAAUAAUAUCUAAAAAAACUUAUUUAUGUGUAAACUCUGUUAAAAAAAAUUUAAAUAAAAUGUAUCCCGUGCUUGGCACGGGGCGUUACACUAGUAAUAUACAUUCUAAUGACAAUGAAUUCUUUAAAAUUUCUCGAUUACCUCAUCUAAACAAACUCUAAUAGUGUUGUCCAACGUAAGAAUCAACUUGACACUUUAAUCCUUUCAAAUAAAAACUUGAUAUUUAGAGGAAUUUUAACAUGGUCACAAGACAUUAAUCAAAAAAAAAAAAAAAAUGGUCACAAUAUAAAAUAAACACUGUUUGGACACACACAUUUAGUAUUAUUUUAAUUAUAAAAAGAAAAUUGAUAAAAGAUUAUUGAAUAUUUUGAGAAUAAUAUCUUGAUGUGUGUGCCAAACACUAUUUAUUUAGUCUUGUGACCAUAGAAUAAUGGUCACAUUUUAAUAGAGUGGGUCAUGGAGGAUAAUCUCAUCGACAUCUUUUAAACCUUGCUUUGCAUCGAAUCUCCAUAAAAGAACACCAAAAUUUAAUUGGGAGAAAUGAGGUUAAUUAGGGUUUAGGUUUGGUGCUCAGAGAUUUAAAUUGGCGAGGGAUUGAAUAUGAGAGAGAGGAAUUGUGUCCAGAAAUAUUGCUUCCCAUCUCAAAUUCUCAGGUUUUUUCUUCAACAUGUCUUGAGAACAAAUUCUGUACACUAUAGCACUUUCGUAUAAACAAUCAACAAUUUUUGCCUUAUGAAUUGAUGUAUAUUUCUUAAACUCUAUAUAUAGUAGAAAACAGUUGCUACUGAAAUAACAUUAUUAUGAUCUAUUACUUUUCCAACAUUAUAAUGUUUUUUCAUACCAUAGAUGCAUUUUCUCAAAAUAUGAAGUCUGCAUUUGAUAUAGCAAGUCCAUCAUCACACUACAAGUACAAGAUACAAACAUGGUAGUUUUUAUUGAUGACAGACAUUACAGCAAACAAACAUACAUAAUAACAUGACCAUACAUAGGAGGAUGAGGGAAUUGGAUUCCUUCUCAUCAAUUAUUCAUAGCAACAAACAACACAACAAACCAUGACAUUUUCUAGAUGGAAACACUGUUGGGAAUGCCUCUGAAAGUCAAUCCUUCUUCACUAGAAGGAUAAAGCAGAGUGUAUGGCAUCUUCACAGGCCCGUAUCGGUUUCUCAAUGACUCGUCAGCGUUCCUUUUAACUAGCUUUUCCUCAAUUUCAGCCAACUUCCUUGCAAACUUCUUGUAGGCCUCUUUUGGCUGUGCAUCAGAAGUCCAAAGAUCACCUUCGAUUCUCUCCCCAAGGUAUUGCUCAUCAGAAGCAUGCCUUGACAAGACUUCAAUAAUGGUAAGGUCUGUAAGGGUAUCACUCUUGGGUGUGAUUGUCUUCAAAUAUGCCUUCUGGUAGUCCUUAGAAAGCUCAGCAUACUCGGCUGAUCCUUUCUCAGGCAUGAAUCUCCUGCUCUUAGUUGGUCGGUUAAGGAUGUAUCCUCCAUAUGGGUAUUGUCCAAAAUUAACAGCUGCAUGAAGUGCUGAAGCAAUCCAUAUAAGGAUGGUGGAAGCUUCGAUCAACUCCGCACGAGUUUGCAUCUUAAACCACCAUGUGGCACUCUUUAAGUCACCAUGACCCACCUCUACAAGUUCCUUCCAGAAUGCUUGGAGUUCAGCAUCUUGUGCAAUGGCAGCAUCUGAUUUGUAGUAGAAACUCACAUAUUCUCCAACCCAUGUCUUGAUAGCAGCCCAUAUCUCUAGUCCAUCCGAAGCAUAAGGAUAAUCCUCAAUCAAAAGGCGAAUGCCGUGUGGUGAAGCUGGAUCCUCAACAGCCACUCCUCUGCAUAACAAGCAAGGUAUAUCACAUUAGCAUAAAUAAAAAUUACUUUUGUGAAUCAAUUGCUUUUUCCUUUAUGAGUAAACAUAGAAUCUAAUGCUUUGUAAUAUCACCUUUUGAGUAGAUCAUUAGGUAGCCCUUGCUCAGUGAAAACCCAAUCCCUAUAUGCAACAGCAGACAUUUCCAAAGCAUAUCCUCCCCACAAGAAUGUUGAUUCUAUAAUACCCUCAGCAUUGACAAGGACAUUCCGUGCAAGUGAAUUUAUGUUCAUUGUGUCACGGUAGUGAGGAAGUAAAAGUUUGUGGACAGGGUGAACCGUACUAAGGUGUCUGUUUGUUGCUAUGAUGAACGGCUCAACAACAGCGUGAGUGUUCAACCUGUCAUACAUGUAGACAUUAAUAAACAACUCACAGAUAGAUAAAUUAUAUCUGUUUCUAUAAAUCUCAUUUACGAAAUUCAUACCAAUGGCUAACAAGUUGGUGAUGGCAAGAGUCAUUUACAACUACAUAAGCUUUAGCAAGUAGCCAAAUAGAAGCUUCAACACCUUCACUUGCAGGGAAGUAAACUUCACUAACAGGUCCAUAACUAUCAUCGUCAGGAUGUGGCUUACUUAGCUCAAUCGCCAGUGGCUUUAAAGUUCCAUCAUUUUGCAAGAAAAGGAUGGUUCUAGCAGCAUAGGCCUUUGUCUCAGUUGCAUUUAUUUUCCUCAAAUAUGGAUAUACUAUGUCAUAGUGAUCAAGGAUGUACAAUUUGUUGUUUUGGAUAGCCUAAUCAACAAAAUAUAAUUUAGUCACCGUACAUCAUUUGAAUAAAAAUGAACCAUUUCUCUAGAAAAACAUUAAUAUCUUGUGUCAUUACCUGUUCUACAGUGAUCCCGCCCAAGUUUGGCUCCAAUUGUUCUUUGGUUAUGGUGCUGGUGUUAUCUCCAUAUUUUUGGCUAUCUAGCUUGCUCUUAUGUGGGAACUCCUGAAUUAAUUGUUUCAAGCAAUAAUGUUACCAAUUAUAGAAAUAACAUAUUGUUUACAAAAUAGUUAACAAUGCUAAACUAUUAACUUUACCGUGAGUUUUUUGAUGAUGUGUGGAUUCACUCCAGCAAUCAUCUCCCUUGCAAAUUCCUCAUCAGUCAUCCACGCAGAAUGAUCGACUACUCAAAAUAAAAAUUUCAAAAGAUCCAUGAACUUGAUUUCUCUAGUAUAUGCAUAUGUUGAUAAGAUUAGGAGUUUGUGACUAAUAUAUACCUUGAACCACUUUAGGUGGUGAAAACUUAAGGGUUGAUGCACCAUCAGAUCGAAAAAGUUCCGUGAACAAUGGUAUUGGGCUAACGUUGCUAAGAAAAUUGGUAGGUAGCUUGAUUCCACCAUCGUAAAGUGACCGCACGUCUUCAAAGUUGUUAAACUCUUUGCUAACUACAGAUUUCAAGGAAGGUAUGAUAUUUUGAGAUGCUGAUUUGAGUAUGAAAGCAAGAAAGUCUGAAGACUUUGUGUGUCCAAAUGCCUCAUCUCUUGGAAGGUAAACAGUGCCGCUCCGACUCUCACUCUUAGGAUCUGUAAAUAUACAUUGUAGGUAAAUAUGUGUUAGCAACAAAAACAUCUAUUGAGAAAAACACUACCUAUCACACAUGUUACAAUACCAUUGAAAACAUCCAAGUAGAAAAAUUGAAAAGUGACAUAAUAUUUUAGUUAGAACAGAAGGUUUAACCUUUUUUAGCUGGUUUUCUGCCUGUUCUCCCCCUUCGAGGGUAAGGCAAGGUGCUCGAUCCUCCAAGAACUGGACGACCCAAGGUAGGUUUCGAGUCAGGCUCACCCAAAUCAUUGUAGACAUCGUAAUCAUAGAUCCUUUCCCAUUCCUUGCGCUCUCCUUUUCCAUCUCCUCUUAAAGUCUUCAACUCUUCUUGUCUAUAGUACACCAAUGGAGCCGGUGUUUCACUUGGAAGGUAUGUCUACAUUUAUAUUUACUUAAUCAUGUCAAGUUUUGAGAAAUAAUUUAUACUUAACUAGACAAAUAAAUAUGAGUUUUUCUUUACCUUGUUAGCGAAAAAGAUGCGGUCACUUUUGUAUUUUUUGUCAUUGUAAACCCAAGAGUUGCAAACAAAGUUGAUGGUUCCAUGGUUUGGAACAUCUUCAAGUGUCAAACUCACAAGGAAGAACUCAUGUUGCAAAAAAUUCUCAAUAUAGAAUGCUCCUGGAAUUCCCAUGUCACUGCCCCAUUCAAAAUGAACACUGUAAGCAUUUUGCUUGUCUCCUAAUGUUGGUAUGGAGGUAAUAACACCUUCCAAGAAUGUUUGCUUUCCCACUUUUCCUUUUCCACUUCCUACAAAAAUUUCAAAAUGAAUACUGAAAUCAUGAUUCUCAAAUUAACAACCUAGUUAUAGCUAUUGUAAAUCUAAAGUUUUUUAUAGCUCAUUUUUUCCCUACUAAAUCUAAACUCAAUCUAAAUUUAUUUUCAUCGAUCCGGCUUAAGUCUGAGUUGUACUGAUAUAAGUGAAAUAAUUUGGAAUUUUUUUUCUAAUAAUUGUUAAUAGAUUAUCAAUUAAAGGGUUGUUGAUGCUGGUGGAAGACAUAGUUAGAGCUCAUAAGGUGGGAAACUAGGAAAUUAAUUCCUUUAUGAAUAUAAGACAAAUUACAUACAAUAGUCUUAUUUCUAACCAUUAAGUUAUUUGAUUAAAAAAAAAAGAAUACUAAUUUUACCAAAAGUUUAUUUUAUUUUAUUUUUUUGACUUGCAUCUUUGUCCAUCGUUAUUAAUAAAAAUAUAAUGACUUGAGAGUGAUCUACAUAGUGCUACUAAUUCUUUUGGGUUAUAACAUAGUUCUACUAAUUAGAUGGUAGAAUUAGAAAGAAAAUAAGUAUUUGUUUUUUAACAAAAAGAAGAAGAAAAAAAAAACUAAUAAUAAUAUAUUUAUAAUGACAAUCAUUUUUGCAUAAAUUAAUGGGACACUUGUUAUGAGUUUUAUGAUAUAUCUAUGUAGUGAGAGAGAAGUUAUUGUUACCAUCAGCACUUGUAGCACUAAUCAAUUUAAGAGCCACAUUACGGCCUAAGAAGGCAGUAGCAGUGUCAAGAACAGUACCAACAGCACCAAAGGCACCACCAAUGGCACCACCAAUUAUACCACCAACUGGGUUACUUUUAAUUGAAGUGAGUUCAUUCACAUCUAACACAUUCUUUUGCAUCAACACCACAGUUCCCUUUAACUUUUCACCCCUGUUGAUGAUACCUGUAAUUCCUGAAAACAUUUUUGCUACUUUUGAUUUGGACAAUGAGAGAAAUGCUUGUGGCUUGCUCACUUCUAUGGAAGUGUUCACUAUUUAUAGGACUAUACAAGAUAUUUGGAUAAUUAAUUUUUAUUUAGAUCUUUCUUUUUGAGUCACUCAUUAUACACCACGUGCUAAACACUCUCCAGCCAAACCUCUCGUGGUAUAUAAAAUAAUAAUAUAUUCAUUCUAUCACCUUGAUUGGAGAUGUAUCUCUUUCAACUAUUUUUCUAUACAUUAUAUUUUUCUCAUUUUUCUAUAUGUAUUUUAUACAUUAUAAUAUAUUAAUAUAUUAGUAAUAGUAUCAAUUGAGACAUUCCAUAUUUGGAUACUUAAAUGGGUCACACAUGCGCAUAUCAUUAAUUUAUAAAUUUUUUAAUAGUAGUAAGCAUUCAAUUCCUCCAACUAGCAUCUCACACAAAUUUUUUAAAUAGGACCUACUAAUCAACUAUCAAUAAUUUUAUAUCAUUAUAUUUUAAUUUUUUAAUAUUAAACUAGUGUGGGUCCCGUUUAGGAUUAGAGGUCUUAAGUGAGACUAUCGGUCUUAUAAGACUUGGAAAAAAAAAAUUCUCCAAAGGAUAUACCUAAUAUAUACCGGAUUUUAAAUGUCUAAGACUCUCCUAUUAGAGAUGGUCUAACAAGAUAAUUUGGUUAAAAUAGUUAAUGAGCACCAUUCCAAAACCAAUUAUUUGGAAGAAUUUGAUUUGAUUUUUAGAUAAAACACAUUCUUAGUCAUGCUAUAUUUCCUUCACCACCAAACUUUAUAUUAUCGGAUUAUGAAUUCUGUAAAAAUUGGAGGGUUAACACCAAAUAUUAUUUAGUUUUCCUUUAUCUUGUUUAAAUUGUUAAAAUUUGCCAAUGAAAGAGACGUUGAAAUUGGGAGUGAAUCACUGAUUAGUCUAAAAAAUUGUAGGGCGUAAUAACAAAAAAAAAAAAAAACAAUCACAUUAGUUUGCGUGAAACAUUUCAAUUUCAAUAGCUAAAUAAAGUAAUUUCGAUCAAUCAUCUUAUCUUUUUUUUUUUUUUGGUACAACAAUCAUCUUAUCUUAUUUAUAGAUUUUGAAAUAUUAAUAACUUUGAUGAUUGUGUUUGUCAAAACCCUAUAAAUUCAAAAACUGGAAUCAAACUAAGAUAUCACGAUUUUCGAUUAUGUAAAAGUUCCACUUUAUAGCUUUUACAAGAUUAUGAUGGAUCACUAUGAUUUUGAUAAACUCACUUUGAUAAAUCAUGCAUUAAAUUUAUAAUUCUAUUUUAGUAUAUAGCUUGUUAAAAUUUGUAUAGAGUUUUUGAUAGAAGAAUGUAAAUAAUUUACGAAGAGCUAUAAGUUGUCAGAUAUACGUUGAAUUGUCACAAUUUUAUUGAAAUAGUAGCUUUUGAAAAAUCUUGAUGACUUAACGUAAUUUGUAAAACUUUUUCUUUGGGUAUCUAAAUAUAUAUUUAUCUCAACGCAUCCGACAACCGAAUCUUUGAUCUCACUUUUCCUUAGUUUUUUGUUUUGAACGUAAAAUCACCUUCCUAUACAAUCUUGCUUUAGACUAUUUUCUUGUUAGCAUAUCUAAGUACUACGAUUUAUUAUUAUAUACUCCCAUAUAUAAUAUAAAAAAAAUUACUAUUUAUUAUAUACUCCAAUAUAAUCUUGUUUUAUACUAUUUUCUUGUUGGGUUGGCCCAGUCUUUGGUUGUGCUCAAUUUCUUAGAAAGUUCAUGAGCUUUACAGAGCCAACAUAUAAUAAAAAGUGCAUAGAUUGUUUUAAAAGUGCUAUAUUAUAUUCAUAGGUUUUAUACAGUAAACAUUAUUUUAAUACUUGCAGUUGCCAGUUAGUAGUAAGACAAAAUUUCUAUGUUAAAAUAUUUUUUAUUUGUAUCAUACAUGGAAAAAUGUAACAAUUUUUUUUUAAUGGCAUAUAUAACGAGAAACCUCGGUAUAGACAUAUACAAAUUGUUAAGAUAGUUGGAAGUUAUUAGAAGUUAUGUGGAGUUAGUUAGUAGUUAGACAAGAGUUAGUAAUCAACUAUAAUUAGUUGAUAAGUAAACUAGAGUUAGUACCUUAGUUAAAAGUUAGUUAGAGGUAGUUACUCAAACUAAUCUCUAUAUAUAGGAACACUAUUGUAAUCAUUCAUCAUCUUUUAAUCAAAUCUAUUCACUCUACAAUGAGUUUCUUUGAGUAUCUCUCACAUGAGUACUCUUAUGUUUGCUAUCUUACUUACAUCUAUGACUUCUCUCCUUAUGAUUCCAUGAUUCUUAACACAAAUAACGAGUAGAAUAAGCAUUUUAGUCAAACGAUGACAAAACAAAUGAUACCUACUAAAAAUAAAAAAUAAAAAACAAGAGUGGAAAUUAAUACAUCAUCAAUACCAUAGGAUCAUCCAACCUCAAACGAAUAGGAGGAAUACAAGUAACAGAACCAUACAGUCAACCAACUCAUAUAUGAAUCUAUCACAUGACGCUGCCAAUGUCAACAUAUAAUGGAUUCCUGAUCCCGCUAAUAGAAUGAACAAGUGUGGCCACAAUGUUUCCUUGAAAACCACUUCCAAGAGGUUAAUUUAACCUUAUCCGCCAACUGGAGCACUAAUGACUUCUGUCCCCAAAAAGAUGUGAGCUUUAUAGGAUCUCCACAAGGACUACACAUCAAUUUUGGAGACUAAUAAGAAGCAUAACCUGUAAUUCUUCACAUCACUUAAGUCAGACAGAGUACUAAGAAGACUUGUUAAGUAUGGAGGUAAAACAAACUCUCCCCCCAACCACCUAAGCACACGAUACCACACCUGACUUAAAAAAUGACAUCUAGCAAAAAGGUGACAAACCAACUCUACAAGCUCAUUACAUAAAAUCUUAUGAUAGUAAUAAAAUAAGAGGAGAAGAUUCUAAAGAACGAGAAGUUAGAGAAAAAUUGUUGUAAAAGAACACUAAAAUCUUCUCUAACAAGCACCCAAAAUCAUUUAAAGAAUGAGAAGUUAAAACCACCCAAACCUAAACUCUUAUUACAACAAUUUAGGUCAUCUUCGAUGUUAUUUCCUUCCGAGUAAAAGAAACACGCAUAACACUACUAUAUAUAUAUAUAUAUAUAUAGAUGGAGUUUAAACUCAUAGCCCUCCAUUAGAGUCCUAUGAUAGUUAGAUUCAAAAAAUUAUCUUGAAAAAAAAAAAUUAACCACCUUUUUCAUAAUACCUGGCACGUCCUCUACUUGAGAUUUUCUAUAUAACAAAGACAUGAUGGAAUUCUAGCAUCUGGAACAUCAAGGAGGACUCUCACACCUCCUCAACUUUUGUUCUUGAGUACGUUUUAUUUCUCUUUUAUUACGUAGUUUGUUAUCAUGAGUAACUAAACACCUUUUGAUUAAGAUUGUAAGAUGAAUCUCUAUUUAUUCAUUGAAUUUAUUAAUGCAAGGUGUUUAUUCAGUUAUGAUUUAAGUUAUAUUAUAUUUUCAGAUGUUUCUUGCUUAAUGCUUUCCUACACUAAGGAGUGUGUCAUACCUAGCCUGCAGUCUGAACUUAUAUUAGGGUUGAAAGCUUAGUCUUGCUUUGAUCAAAAGUGUUACAUGUGAACUUUAUUCUAAUGUUUAGAAUUUAUUAAGGAUAAUUAAGGUAUGUGGCUAUAUUCUAAUAUUUGUGUGCAAUGUGGUUCCUCUUAUGACAAUUUAAAAAAUUCAACAUUAGUCUCAAUUGAAUUUCCGGUGAGAGUGUAAGUCACCACUAUAAUAACUAUACCAAUUUGUACAAAAAUACAAAGGGGUAAUGACCCUUUACCAUAUUGCAUAUAUGACCUUGAAGGCAACGAGGAGCAACUCGGUCACAAUGCAAUUAUUAUCAAGCAUAUUUAUAAUGCAUAUCACAAAUAUAAAGAGUAUAUUAGGGGUCCAAGAUCAUAUAAGAAACAUCUCAAGAAAUGUUUGAUUGAAGAUAAGUAUAUGUAUAACUAUAGAUAGGUUGCUAGUUUUGAGAUAGUCAAAGAUAUUUUUGUUGGUGUAAGCUCUAGAGACCAAUAGUUUACGUUAAAUUUAUCUUAUGUAUCAUAACUUUUAUUUAUUAAAUAAUAUAUGACACUCUUUAUUAUAUUUAUAGUAAUGUUAAUAAAGUCCUUAUAAUAGAUAGUUCGUGUAAUAAUAUAUUAAGUGUGACUUAAUGAGAUUACAUUAUCAUAAAUAACACUAUUCUUAAAUGUAUUCGUAGUCAAGCUUUAAUAUGAAUUAGGAUAAUAAUAAAGCGUCGAGACUAUUAUACAUAGGUAUAAAUAUUAGGAGUAAUAUUUAUACUAGAUAGACCCACCGUGAGAAUACUACAUAGUAAGUUAUGAGAUUGUCAUAAGAUAUUCUCACAAUGAUAAUAGUGUAUAUCGCUCUAAGACCUGAAAUCACUAUGAUCCCUAGAUGUGGACUCAAGUACUUUGUUGUCAUUCUAACGUUGUCUGUAAAAGGAUAACCAUAACGUUGGUUGAUGGGUACUUGAUGAAUCAUGCUGAGGGACAUGAGUGUCCUAGAUGAGAUUUGUCCCUCCUCAUAAACAGGAGAUAUAUCUUUAGGCCUCUUGAUGAAAUAUGACUGUAAAAUUGCAUGGUCAUGCCGGACUAAGUCAAUAUGAGAUAUUGGACUUAUUCGUUAUUUAGUAUAUUUCGGAAUCAAGAAAUAUAAACAUUGAUCCAUACAAGGGUGACAAUAUCUAUGUCUUGGGAUCAAUAAAGAUAUCGAGACAAAGGAGUAAUUUUACACAUAAUUAUUAUCAUGAAAAAGGUUUCGUCAGAUCACUUGACAUUCUUGUCACUUAGGUAGCAAUGAUGUGUUGCUAGAUACCGCUCAUUGUUUAUAGUAUUAAAUAUUAGAUUUAAUAUUAUUGCCAACGUGACUAGAACCUAUAGGGCCACACACAAAGAACAGUCAAAAGAGAAAUAUAUAAGUAUUACUUAUAUAAGGGGAGCGUUUAGUAAAUAACGUUAAUUAGUUAGCAGAAUUACUAAACAUGUUAUUGGGCUUACUGAAACCCAAUAGUGGCUUCUGACUUGAAGAGCACACAAGGAGUUCUAUAAAUAGAACCCUAGUGCUGAAGUUUGAUGUUGCACGUUUUUGAGAAACCCCAACUCUCUCAAACUUCUGAUUCUUUGGCUACCACCGAGUUUUAAAAGAGCACUCUUCGUGUGGACUUGCUAGAGGCUUUGCUGCAGGUAACAAUCGGAUCACUGAUUCAUGUGUAAUUCGUAAUGAUCCAAGGAAAGAAAAUCGAAAAUUUUAUCCGCUGCUUAUUCUAUUUUGAAUUCAAUUUUCCUUCAAUUUUAUGGGUCCAUCCAAAUUUCAUCAGAUUGCUUAACACUUUUCCUAUUGUGGUCAGAUAGAUUCCAAUUAUAUAACUAAUAAACAUCGACAAUAGUUGCUUGAGUGUGUUAGUGUCACUUCUACCGUUCACGUACUUUAUUUAAUUUUUUUUUUGUAUGGUGUACGAGAAGGAAAACAAUGUCGAGCUCUAGAGACGUGUCAUGAUCAUUGAAAUAUCUAAAUAAUGAUCCGAAGAUAAAUGUGAUUAACUGAGACACUUCUAUGAUGAAUGAUGUUGUCCCAAUUUUUCCUUACUAUAUUGUUGUAUUGUAGUGGUACCACAUCUAAAACAAUGUCAUACAAGAUGUAGGACAUAUUACGAAAGUGACAGAUAUCAAAUCUAAAGGUGGGAAUGAGAUGAGAUCAAAUCCAAAGAUGAAUGUGAAGCUAUACUGGAGUCUUGGUCGAAGAAAACAUAAGUUAGUAUGUAUAAACUUUCCAAAAAAAUUGGAAUAUGUGGAAGGUACUAUAUAUAUUUGGGUUGGUGAAGAAGAAAGGGGUAAGAGCUUGGACAGAUUAUGACAUUCAUAUUGGAAAUACAACGACAAACAAGGUUGAAUUUGCUCAUAGUUAGUUAAAAAAGAAUCUAGCAGAUAAUAUGGUGAUAUAUGUAAAAAUUGGGUUUCAAAUAACACGAUAGCACACUUAGAUACAAGUCUAGUUUGAAAAGAACAUGAUUUCAAUGGAACACAAAAGAUGUAAAAAUCAUGUUCAUAUAUAUAAUCUGGAAUGGGUAAACACACCUCUAGGUGUGUAGGACUUCGUUCCUCUUCUGCUCUGGUACUGGGGUGUUCAAAUCAUACAAAAGGUUAAUACAAAAGUUGCACACAAAAAUGAGCAAUACAAAGGUUCUGUUCAGAAGGAUCAUUUUGAACGGUCAAUUAAAUUAUUACCGUCUUUUUUUUUUAGCAUGUUGACUCUUUGCAUCCAAAUACAUCAGUUUCACAGUUGAAGUCAUCAUGUUCAUGUAAAAAUAGUGUGCAUGCUAUUAACUUGUCCUAAUCCUACUCCAAACCUAAAUGAGUUGCCUCGAUUCAUUUAUCGGUUUAUUAAAAUUGUCGUGAAUGUCGAAGGUGGUGGUAAUUAUGGAUUACAUGUUGUUUCUAGUCUUCUUGGUCAGUCUGGUGAGUCUCAUUCUAUUAUCUGUCUUAAUAUUACACGAAGGUUAAACAAUGCUUAAAAACAUAGCCUAAUCCUUCUUGAUUAAAUCUUGCAUUUUAUGAAUGCCUCUUAAAGUUUCAUUUUCUGCUAUUAAAAACAUGCAGGGGUGUGUGGGAAGGGGUGGGUAUACGAAAUUUUCUUUAAAACAAAAAAAACUAGUAACGUUUGAAACAAGUGGACUAAUUUUUUAAAAGCCCAGAACACUCCAUUGUUUUAGAAGGAAAAAAAAAAACUUUCUCAACCAUUUUUUGUCGUAAAUUACAAUUAGUUUGAACACUUAGCUGUUAAAUUUUUGGGUCUCGCUAAUCAUUGCCCUCAGAGCAAUGGUUAAGGAAGACAAAAGUAGUAUCUUUGCAUUGGUUUUAACAAUAUUUUAACUUUUAAAAAGUUAAAUUUAUAACUUUUUACCAUUUUUCAAUGCUAUAUUUUUAUUUUUAUUCACUUAUUAGCAUCUUAUUUUGGUUUAAUUUUUUGGUUUAAUUCUUGAACAAACAUGUCCUUAAUUUUAGCAAAUUAAAUUAAAUUAAACUAUAAAUAUACAUGUAACUUUAAAAUAAGAUGCUACCUUCAAAAAUUAAAAUAAAAUAAGUUGGUUUGUUACCAAAAAAUAAAGUAGACAGAAGUGCAUGUUAGUUAAACCAGCAUAUAAAAGUCUUAAACUAUGAGAGUUAACAUAAAAACCACAUAUUACCAAGUUUAUCAGACCCCUUGAAAACCACGGAUUACCAGGCCUCUAAAAAUCGAAGGAUUAACAUAAAAAUAACGUGAUAAUAUAUUUUAAAUAGGCAAAUGCUAUUUUAUGUUCUAAAGAUAAAAAAAAAAGUUGAACUUUGCCCAUUGAAUAUUUUUGUAUAGUUAAAAAUUGUUAUUUUUAAGACAUAUUCCUUCCCCUUUCAAAAAGAAAAAAGGCAUACUAUUUCUGACUACUAGUACAAGCAAAUUUUGUCUAAUUCAAAUUUUUUUCUCAUAGUUAUAAACAAUAGAUUGGACUGGACAGAAAUGAAUAAUUUCUAUUGGUUGAUUGUUUAAAAUGUGUUUUAUGGACACAAGUGAACAAAACUUCUUAAAAUAAAGAAUGGGAAAAAUGUGAUUUAAUCAUGGAGGACCAUAAUUGUUAUAUGUGAUGACAGGCAACGUUCCAGAUGAAGAAAAUUUGAAAUAUAGAAUAACUUAUAAAAAUGGGGCAACGUGCUUCGCGAGGAGGAAUUUUAUAAUAAUAUGAUUCCUUCAAGAGCAGAUAGAGUUACUAUGAUGACAUAAUGAUAGCAUCAAAGUUUUUUUUCUUAACCAAAAUGACUUUCAAUAGCUUCAAGUUAAUUUCGUUCGUAAAAGAAAGCUUAAGAUUAAUCUUUUAUUGUAUGAAAAAAUGACAUCAAGCUUUUUGAUGCUUGACAUAAAUCGGUCACAAUACCACACACGCUAUCACCACCACCACUCACCAUGUUGAAGGUAGGCACCGCAACGGGAUGUAAACGGUUUUUGCUUUGUCCAUCGCUAAAUUUGAUAGAGUUCGGGUUUUCUCAUACCCACCUCGAUCCUCAAGAAAGGUGAAAAAUAGAACCUCAUACCUAUUUAAGUUUGGGUAUUUUCAUCUUGUCAAAUAAAAAGUUUGGGUAUAUCCGUAUCAUCCUCAAAUGAAUUUGCACUAUAUUUUGAUACUUUUUAUUUAAGAAAAAAGUAAAAAAUAAAAAAAAAAAUCCAAGUUUAGGUUUGGAUUUUCUAAUUUCAAAAAACAAUGCGGAUGAUACGAGUUUUAAUUUGGGUUUUCCACUUUAAAAUUGGUUCAAACGAGUACUCAUAAUUAUGAGUUAUGUUGUCAUGCUUAGUCGAAAGGAGAAAUUUACACACAUAAAAAUUUACGCAAUUAUUAGUUAUGAAAAGCAAAAAAAAAAGUUUUUUUAUUGAAUUAAGGGAUGACAAUAAUAACAUCGAAAUAUAUAAAUACUUCAAUAUCUUGAUCAUUUGGUUGAGUGGUAAUCUAUUAUUAUGAAUGGUGCAAGUGUUAGAAAUAUUAUUCUCUUAAAGAAAAUUAAUAAGAGUUUGAUUAUUUUUUUGACGGGGAAUACGAGUUUUAUUUAUGAAAUUAUUCAUUUGAGAAGUAGUUCAACUCUAAUAGGAAAAAUACGUCUCACUAGAAUUAGUUUCACAAUGAGAAUACAUUGCAUUACUAGAAACUAUCGAUUUACCUGCGGGUAUCCUUGCGGAAAUUAAUCUGCAGGAAUACCUAAAGAUUUUCCUACACUUUUCUUUGCAUUGAGGACAUUUUCUCUGGAUCCUGUCACAGCCAGAAUAUUCGCAGGAAACUGUAAUUUUUGCUGGGGUUUUUCCUGCGGAAGAUUUUGGAAUAUUUUUGUCACUUUUCCUGCGGAUUUUCCUACGGAUUUGUUUAAUGUAAUGGAUCCUGUUCCAGCCAGAAUAUUCGCAGGAAACUGUAAUUUUUGCUGGGGUUUUUCCUGCGGAAGAUUUUGGAAUAUUUUUUGUCACUUUUCCUGCGGAUUUGUUUAAUGUAUCCAAAACGUCAAUUGUUUUUAAGUAGGACCGGAGGGAGUAUUUUUUUUUGUUUCUUCAUGGAAUGUUCUUUUUUGGUGUGUGCAAGAUCAAUUCAAUAGUUUUCUCUUUUUUACUUAAAAUAGGUACAAUAGGUUCCUUGCAACAUUUAAAAGCGGAAACGGUAAAAACAAUAUUGAUGAAUGCUCGUUGUAAAAAAUGCAAUUGCGCAUAACAGCUGAAAUCGUGGUUGGGACUAUCGAUUGGAUACCUUCAAACAUCAACUUUUUACGAGUGCACCAUAGAUUCCGUAUUAUGAUAGGAGCGACACCCUAUCUUACUAAUUAACAUUUGUAUGAUAACUCCCAUAUUACUCAAACAGUUAUUAGCGAACAACAAUUAUUAUCUCCACCAAAAAACCUCUGCUAUUUUUAUCGGUCAAUACGCAUAUACAGUAUCAUAGGUUGGUUUUAGAUCGACCUUUUUGGUCCUUGGAUGAGCACCUCAUUGUCAUAAUGGUCCCUAACUCAAGAGAAAACAAGAAAAAUUCCCUGACUCCAAAAUUUGUUAACCACUUUGGUCUCCGACUUUAGAUUUGGCUGUUAACUCUACAAAAAAACUGAGUUUUUUUUUUUUUUUAGACAUGUAAGCUGUGAGGUGGCAAUAGUAACCAAAAUGAAAGAGCAUCCUUCAUCUCUUCCAACAAUACAAUUUAUCUCAUCUUCCUCGAUGUAAUGUGCGAGUUGAACAUUUCAAUAAAAUCUUUCUGAUUUUUAUUCCUUAACUAGUAGAGCACUUAUUGGGGCUUGCCUUUUGAAAAUAUUUUUUUUUUAAGAAGUUAAAUUAACUCAUCCAAAUUGGUUUCAGAGGGAAUCGAAUCUGAGACCUUGCGGAGGAGCACACUCCUAAGUCCCAAGCCAAUACCACCAGGGCAACCCAAGUGGGUUCCUUUUGAAAAUGUCUUUCUUGAGGUUUUCUUGUUUGUUGUAUUCAUUUUCAAUAAUUUGUAUGCAACUAACACUAAAAUGCCGAAAUUGUUAGGCCGGAUGCCAUGACCGGGGUUCGAACCCCGGUCCUCCACUUGUGUGUGUGAGUUUUAUAAUGGCUUUGCCAUUUCGUCUAUCUACCAAAAAAAAAAAAAAAAAGAAAGUAUGUCAUACACUAGAACCAUUUGUUUACAUGUUUGUUUCAAUUUCUUUUUUGUGAUCUUCGGAUUAAGGUUUUAUGAUGGGGAUAAUUGAUUUUGUCUGUUAUCCUAUUGAUAAUUGUUACUCUUUUUUUUUAUUUUUCUGGGUUAAAGUGAGGAAAAUUGAGAAAGAUGAGAUGAAUGAUGUUGUUGGAAGAGAUGGAUGAUGUUCUUUCAUUUUGGUUCAUGUUGUUAUAUCACAGCUUACAUGUCUCCAAAAAUAUGUCAACUCAGCUUUUUUGUGGAGUUACGGCCAAAUCUAAUGUUAGAGAUCACGGACCAUUAUAACAGUGAGUUGCAUAUUCAUAAACUAAAAUGGUUGUUUACCGUCAUUUUAAUGAAAUAUAAUUAUUUUAUUUUUAAUUUGUUUCUUUCUUAUGUUUUGUUCUAUGCUUAUUACACAAUUUGUUUGAUAGUGAUUUAUUGAAUUUGAAACUUUUAAAUAGAUAACUUUUUUCUUAAAGAAGUAAAUUGAUAACUUACCAAUCAUCUUCAUUUUAUUUUCUUUGACGAAGACUCAUCAACCCUGUUAAUCAAUGAAUUAAUAAAUAUUUGGAUGACAUGGCCAUUUAUUGAAGAUUGGUACUAUUUAUUUAAAAUUAUUUUACUUUCUUUUUUUAUUAAUUGAGAGAAUUAUUUUACUUUCAUUUUAUUCCUCACAUGACCCUUUUUUUUUUUUUUGAAGGUCCUCACAUGACCUAUUGUUCAUUUAAUUUUUUUGUAUUUAUUUAUUUAUCUCUCUUACAUAAUAAAAAGUUUUGUUGGUUCCCUUCAAAAAACGACCAUGUGAAUGUAACCAAUGUGGUUUCUGAACGAUCACAUAUUUAGUACUCUAAAUUUGUCACGACCAUGUAACCAAAUCUAUCGUAUCAUUCAACGUGGCUUUUAAACUUGGUUUAAAAAACUUAGUACCAAAAACCGAACGUGACAGAUUUGGUACUCUCAAAUAAGUAUGAGAUCGUUUAUAAAAUUAUUUUUACUUUUUAAUAAAUAUUUAAUUUUCAAGAAUGAUAAUUUGUAAAAUACAUUAUCUUUUUUUUUCAAAAAGAAAUACUCUCUCCAUCCCACAAUGAUAAUGGUGAAUAUACCAAUAUUUUACAAGAGCAUUUAAAACAAUUUUUCUGUCUCAUUCACUUAUACAUUUUUUUUAAUAUACGUAAAAUGAACAAAUAACUCACUUAAUUUGAGACGGAAAGAGUAUUAGCUAAUAUUAAACAAAAUGUAUACACCAAUAUUUAGCGUUAAAAGCUUCUUAUAACUAGGAUGAAUCUCAUAAAUCCAAUUCACCUUUAAAUAAGUCUAUCGUUAUCAUCUACUAUUUUUUUUUUCUUUUUAAAAUACUCUCUCCAUUCCUAUAUGUAAGCACCCUUUUAUUAGAGAUAAAUGGUGCUUACAUACGGAUGAAGUAAUACACACACUUUUUCUUGUAAUAAUAUUAUUGAUAUUUGAUUAAAAAAAUUGAUUUUUACCUGACUAAUCUUGGAUGAAAUUAAACCUAUUACCUGACUAAUCUUGGAAGAAAUCAAACCUAUAACCAAGCCUUUAUCUUUAGUAUGAAAUUUUCUUUUCACGUCCAAACAAAACUUGGUGGGCUAGGGCAACUAAUUAGACCACGUGCAAAACAAUCCACGUCACCGGCCAACUAAAAAUGGUCCAAAGAAAACAAAUUAUAUAGUAUAGGACAGUUUCUUAAAAAGAUAAUGAUAUACUGUAGUACAAUGUUCCAGAGCUGAUUUAAUUAUUUAUAGAAGGAAAAAUUAUCAUUUGUUGUCUUAUCAAAAUGUGUCAUGUUCGGUUUGUCCUUUUAAGUUGAAAGGAGCUUAUUAUCUUCAUUUUUUAAUUUAAAAAAAUAUCCAAACUGUAGCCAUGAGGGAAACGAGGUGGGGACCACCCAACUAAAAGCCAUAAUAAAUCAAAGUUUUCACUUCUUGGAGGAGACCUUUUUGGUAUAUACUCAAUAACUUCUCUGCAUAAAUGUAAAGAUUAAUCAAUUAAUUGAAUCGGAUAGAAUAUAAAUUAUGUAAAACUUCUUUUUCAAAAAAUAUUAAACUAUAUCAUUAUUCCUUUAAAAAAAAAAAAUUAAACUAUAUUAUUCUCAAAUUUAGAUCUAAACUCUUGUGUUCAUAUAAACUUAUCUCAAUUGAUAAAGAUAAUACAUAAUAUAUGUAAGGUCUGGGGUUCGAACUCCGAUACAACCAAAAAAAAAUCUAAACUCUUGUGAUAUGACAUCUGACUAUUUUUUUUAAGUGUAUAUAUAUAUAUAUAUAUAUAUAUAUAUAUAUAUAUGUGUGUGUGUGUGUGUGUGUACAUUUGCCUCAUGACAUAUGAUUAUUAGAAAUUACACAUCUGUUUUAUUUAAAAAAAAUAUUUAGACAUAAAUAAGACAGAGUCUUUCCCCUAAAAAACAAGAAUGAGACUUAGUUAGUGAAGCAAUAUUAGUCCGACAACAAAAAGUGUGUAAAUAUUAGCUCAUUCAUUAUUUAAUAGAAGUUGUAAAACAUAUGUUGCAAAUAUAUUUUACACAAAUAAUGAAUUAAAGAUAUACUUCAAGGUCUCAAAUUAACAUCAUAUUGUCAAUUUAAGUGGGUUAAACAUUAAAUGAUAUGAUAAACAAUUUAUUAGUUUUUUUAAUAAAAAAUAUCAACAAUUUAUUAAUAUUUACUCAUCUUUUCGGAUUUAAACCCAAAACAUUCAACUUUAUAACUCUUAGUUCGAAGCAAUUGAAUACACAUGCAAUAAUUUAAAGUGAUAGUACAUACACAUAUAUAAAGUUUUAUUUGUUUUGUGACCCUCAAUUCUUAUUAUAAAAAAAUAUUUGCACUCAUUUUUUAUUAAUAAAUUAAUUUCAGUAACGGAAUCUAGGAGCCACAUAAGUUAAGAACUAGCACGAUGUAUGGAAUCGACGAUGAUGAGAUGAGAUUAUUUAUAUUAUUGAGCAUCGUGAUAAAUGUUGUACUUGCUACUGUGCUUCAUAUCAUUUUCCUCACCCCACAUCACAUGCUUUGUUUUUAUCCAUCCACCACCUUCAUGCAAUUAUUUGGACGUGGAAAGAUACUAUAUGAAAAUAAUUCAUAGACAUCCAUGUCUAUUCUCAAUGAAAGAAAGAAGAUGAAAAGUAAAUGAUAUGAUGAAAAGAGAAAGACAUCUUCAGAGAAAGAUCAUAUCUUAUAAAUAAUUUUUUUUUUAACUUGUAAAACAUAGAUAAAAUAAGAGAAAUGAUAUUUGUACAACUAUUUCUUUACAACUUUUGUGACAACUUUCUCUCUCAUACUCACAUUAUAUUUUUACUUUCUCUCUUUCUUGCUUUGAUUUUUGUGUCAAUACAUACUUUUCUUUGUAAAAAUAUGGUUGUCAAUUUGGUUGUCAACCAAGUUGAUGUUCAAAUAACAUUGCUUAUAAAAUAACAAGUAAAGAUGUGAUUUGAUCUCUACAAAAAAAUUCGUCACUCAAUUUAGUCUUUUACAAAAAAUAAUAUCUAAAUUAGUCCAUCUAUAUAAUAAAUCAGAAAUUUAUUUAUUAUUCAUAUAAAGGUAUCAAGGACUAAAUUUUGUUGAAAAAAAUUAUGAGGGAGCAAAUUGAGUAUUUACUCUAAAAUAAAUACAAUUCUUUCUUAUAAAAGAAGGAAUCAAACAAAUACACGUUCCUUUCAUAUCCAUCUAUAAUCUUUAAUCUUUAUUUUAUAUGUCUUACAAGUUGCAAAACAACAAGUAUUAUUUAUGAGAAAUGAUCUCAAGAAAAUUCUGUCUUCAGCGUAAAAAAUGUCAACAGUUGUUGCAUGCUACAAUGGUCACACAUUUUUGUAGCACUAACAUAAGCUUCUUUUUUUAAGUAUAGUUGUAACAUAAGCUUAAAUACAUUUUUUAUUUUAGUAAAUAUAAUAUAAUCAGUAGUUGAGACUGACAGUUCCUUUCAUUUAUGUGUGAAGACGUGGUUCUCUUAAUUUACUUUUUAUAUAUUUGUCUCUUAACUUGUUGUAUGUGUAGGUAUUAUUAUUAAUAUAUUAAGAUCUUAUGAGAUUUGAUAUAAUAUUGCCGCGGAUUAAAUAUGAACAAAUAAUUUUUUUUUGACAGGGAAGCAUGAACAAAUCAUAUUAAAUAAGUUAUUAGAUUAUAUUAUCCAUUCUUAUAUGCUUGUGCAAUUAUGCUUUUGACACGUACUAUUAUUAUUCUUUUCAUUAAUAGUACAAUUUUUGGCUUUUGCAUUAUUGUACUAUACUUUCCCAUUUAAUUAUCGAUCGAUCUUCACAAGAGAAAAUAGUAUUAUAAUUCCCAUGCGAGCCACGCUAUGAAUAAACAAUUCAGUUAUCUUGGGAGCAAUGUGAACAAAAAUAAUCAAUUGUCGUUGUUCAACACGUCAAGAAGCUUUCUCUUUAUUGGUCCAAGCUUAUGUACACGUACUUAUCUAAAAUCAAGAAUGCUUUUUUUAUAAUUGAUUAAUUAUGGCACGUUCUCUGUAUAAAAAAAAAAUAGUUAUAGUACAAACAACAUAUAAUAUAGUGGAAACGGGUGUAUGUCAUUUCAUAAUCAAGGUGAGGUGGAUCUGAAUUUCUACCCAAAAUCAACUCCAAAAUUGGUCGUUAUUUCUUCAACCACUUCGGCCACCUUUGAAGUUUUGCCGGUAACUUUUUACACAAGGUUAAAUGUACCGCCUUCCGGUCGAUCAUUGUUAUAAACAAAAAUCACUAUUUUAGAUUUAUUCAUUAAAUCAUAUAUAUGUUUUAUAAUAAAGGUCAUAUAUAUAUAUCAUUAGUUGAAUGAUAUAUGUAUAUAUUAUUUUGCACAAUUCUUAGAAUUUUGUCUUAGGCAUAACAUAAUUUUACAAACUUAUAAAGUGAGAUUUAUCUUCACUUAAAAAUUUUGAUAUCAUUUCUCAUGGAACUCUUAACAACCUCUUGAUUCAAGACCAAACAUCUCAAACGUGAUCCAUAAUGGUUACUAAUACAAUGAUGAAUGUAGAAAUUUCAACUGAUAUGUGUAAGAUAAGAUUAUAUAUACGAUAAUUACUUAUACACAAAAUCAAUCAAUUCAUGAACGAUAAAAUUAAAUAAUGACAUCAUUAUUACUAAAAAAUGAUAUUACAAAUAUUACAAUAUCCUUGUAUAUUACAAGAUAUUAAAGAGACCUUAACACAUACAAAUUGUAAUUUUCUUUUUUUUGAAAGAAUGUACAAAUUAUAAUUGUUUUCUACUUGUCUUUAUAUUUUGAAAAUGUUGAAGAAUUUUUCAUUUUUAAUACUAUAUAUCAAUGUCGCCAAGACUCAACUCUAAUAUUAAAAACGAACCCUAAAAAAAAUAGAGCUAAUAUGAACAAUUUACAAAUUAACAAAUAGAAAAUCUUACUUGGCAAUUAAAAUCAUAAAUUAACAAUAAGCAUUAUUUUAAUUUCAGUUUGUUUUGUUGAUUAUUUAUUGUUGACGUUGAUGGUGGAUGUGUGUAGGUUGGGUUGGGUCUAUCUUGUCCAUUUACUCUCUUUUUGUAUUAGAUGAUAAGUGCUAGGUUUGGACCUAUAUACCAUAAAUUUUAUGAUACACCUCAACAAUUAUGCUCCUAUCUCUACAAAUAUUUGAGUCCCCCAUAAAUUAGAGGUCCAACGUCAUAAAGCUUAUUGCACAUGCUUAUCAACAACAGUACUGAUACGUUGACACCCUCUCAUGUACAACUCACACAACCACUCUCUUUCUCUCUCAUCUCCAACUUUCUCUCUCACUCAUCAUAUGUUCCCAGAACCUGCUUGUUGUGCUUUCUUUCAAUCAUCUCUAUUUCUCUCUCCCUACAUGUUGAUGGUCAGAUCGGUGGUGGUGGUGGUUAGAUUUGUGGGUGAAGAAGUCGACGGUGGAAGUGAGAUCUAAGGAUAAGAACAAAGACGAUGGUUUUUAUGGCGGGGAACGACAAUGGUGGACGUACGAGGUUGAAGGCAGACGAAGAUUGUUAGAUCUGACGGUGAGGGUGGUGCCGGUGAAGUUUGAGGGUGAUGACGGCGACGGUGGUGGUCAAAUCUUAAGGUGAGGACGACGACCGAACGAGGGUGGUGGAUGGAGGGUGUUAGAUCCGAGAGCAACGACGAUGGUGGUGAGCUUUGGGGUGAGAACCGCGUACGACGGCGGAUGGUCGUGGCCCGUGGUGGUGUCCGGUGAGGGAGAGAGGAGAAAAAGGGUGAUGGAAGAGAACGUGAGAGAUAUUACGACGUAGAUGGGGGCAGCGGUGUUGACAGUGGUCAGUGAGUGAAAGGAGGAGGAGGUAGGUGGUGGUGAAGAGGAAAGACAACCAGAAUGAAUUUAAAAAUAAAAUAAAAUGUGAAGUUACUAAAAUGCCCCUGCUAUAAGCUAUUACAAGAGUGGUACAAAUAAAAGGGUGUCAACCUAUAUUUUUCCUAUCAACAAUUAUACUCCUACUCCCACUUAUUUUUGACCAACAACCCGAAUCAUUCUUUUCAAUCUUUUUUUUUCUUUUUCUGAAGAAGCUAAAAUGAAAUUUAUUAAAAUCACAAUGAAUCCUAACCAGCACAAGGAGUGCUAGGCUAGGAGUCUUAUCGUAGCAACAUACAAAUGAUAGAUGGGGAGCCAUGAAAAACUCAUACACUCGUGCAUCUAAUAUAAAAUCCAAAAUAAUAGAUAGAAAACACCACUUACCAAAGGGCUAUCUCUAAAAUCAAUAAAAGGAAACACCAAAAACAAAGCUAACACCACAAUCAAAGACAAACCUUCGCACAACAACGUAAAAGUUGUACCAAAAUCCUCAAACAUCAUCACAACUGCCACAAAAACAACUUCCACCACGUACAUUUUGUUGCUUGCUCACAACCCUCGAACAACAACAUAAAAACCUACACAACAAUCAAUAACCUUUGAAAAACAGCCGGGAAGAAAACCCAAACAACACCAUUAACUCUCCUGAGCACUUUCAUCCAAAAAUACACCUCCCAAGGAACCACAAAAACCAAUCAAAAACCCUUAUACCAUCAUACAUCAAGAAAAAAAAACAUAACUACCAACAAAAGCCACUAGAAGCACCACCAACACCACAACAAACAGCACCACCACCGCCACCAAACUACUAUUAACCCUCAUCAAAAAACAACAACAGCCACCAUGAGCAUCACCACCAAAAACCACCACGAGCACCACCACCAAAACCACUUCGAGCACCACCACAAAAGACCCAAAAUCAGCCCCACCAUGAAAACCACCACGAAGUACCACAAACCAACACAAUCAAAGAUUCUUCGAAACCAUAACAGCUCAUAGGCGAACUCAUAUCUGAUCCAUCACCACCUUUGUGACCAAUCCAUAACCACCUAAGUUGCGAGCAAACAUAACCUCCAUCCACAACCAAGAGAGAAAUCAAAUAUCAUAUCAACCACUGCACAACAAAAGAAGAAAACUCAAGCCAUCAUAGUUGAACAACCAGAGAAACAGAGUUGUAUUACAAUUCACGACCCCACAAGAGGUUGACCGUCGGAACCACUGCCAAAACUGUCGUGCAGGACCAUCCACAGAUCUGGAGGUAGCUGAUGCGGAGGACACAAGCCGCUCGUCACACCACCAUAAACGACAUCUAGAUCUUAAGGAGAUAGAUUUUAUUUAUGGGUGGCGGCGACAAGAUUUGUGUCGUUCAUUCUUUUCAAUCUAGUUUAAAUUAAAGGGUAAUAAAGUAAUUUACUUAUAUAAAACACAAUUAAUUUCUUAUUUUGUUGGUACUCCUUCUUCCAUUUCUCUGCACUAAUUUUUUUUUAACUUUGCACUUAUUUUUUAUGGACUUUGCACACAUUUUUUCUUUUGACGAAAAGAAGUCGAAAACUUAAUUUUUUCGAUCAAUUCUUUCGUAAAAGUAAUAUUAAUAGUUUGUUUUUCUUAAAUUGUUUUUUAUUACAUUUUUUUGUGUGUGGGGUAUAAUAUAGUUAUUGUGGGUGACGACUUAAUUGCGUUAACAACAUUCUAGUUUUUUUUUUCUUGAAAAAAAGAUUAAAUGUUUAAAAAAAACAUAGAGUGCUUUAGAACACAACAAAUAUUAAAGAAACAUGUGCAGAAGACUAGUGACCUACUCAAAAAAAUAUGGUCGCAAAUGUUUGCAAUGGAAUUUGACCGCCGCAAAAGUAUAUUUGAUUUGGCGAAAAUCACUACAAAAUGUAAGGUUUGAAAAAACUGCUGACAUUUGCUUGAGCCAAAAUCCGUCAGAACACAUUUUCUUUUAAAAAAAUUGCUUGGGCCAAAAGCCUCCAAAAUUGUUAUUGUUUUUUAUAAAAUGUUUUUGCGUCAGUUUUUAACUAUUGUAAACACUUGCAGAUUUUUUUUAUAUGUUUUUAUAAAGAGAGAUGAUAUUUGUACAACCAUUUUAUGAUAAUUUUUGCAGCAAACUUUCUCUUUUAUACUCACAUAAUGUUUUUACUUUAUCUCUCUAUUGUUUUGAUUUUUGUGUUAAUAUCUACCUUUUUUUUUUGUAAAUUUAUGGUUGUCCCAUAAGUUGUCAAUCAAAUGGUCGUUCAAAUAACACAUCUCUUUUAUAAAUAUAAUGAGAAAAGUAAACAAAUUUUUUUCAAUAAAUAAAAAUUGUAUAUAGUAAAUCAAAUAUGUAGCAAAUAUAUGAAUAAAAAACAAUUUAAAACUAAACAAAUAGUAAAAGAAAAAAACAUAAUAAUUUAAAAUUAAAUGUGAAGAGUGAAAACUUAACAAAAAAUAUAGAAAAAUUUAUAGAGAAUGAUGGUAGAGAAAAGAAAGAUCUUUUUGAGGCGUAUAGAGAAGUAUAUAUUUUUUUUGAACAUUAUGCAUUUGUGGAGGCAUUUAUCUGUCGCAAAAUUCAAUUUUUUCCUGUCUUGUAUUUGCGAUUGCUUUUGUUCGCCACAAAACUUAUAUUUAAAAAUACAAUUCUCGUUUUACAUCUGCGACAGAUUUUAUCUCCUGCAACAUUCCUCUUCUUUUUACCCCUUACAUAUGCAACAAUUUUUGUGUGCUGCAAUGUUCAAAAUAAAUUCAGUCUUACAUUUGCUGCAAAUUUUGUUCACCACAAAAGUCGUUUUCUUUUGUCUUACAUUUGUGAGUGACUUAGAUCCGCAGCAAAUGUUUGGACGAAAAAAAAUCCCGCCACAAAUAUCAUUUAAAAAAAAAAAAAAUUAACCUUUUCAUUUGCAUGUGACCUUGGCCGCCGCAAAAUUGCGUGGGUCUUAUGCCCCCUCAAAUUUCAGCUGCAAAAUCUGUAUUUCUUUUAGUAUUUUCAUUCAAAAGAUCUUGAUGUGUCUUUUAUAAAAGUUAAUAUUAUAUUGGCUCAAAUAAUUAGUAGAUAACGCUCUACUUAAUGUAUGUGUAAUUUUUGUGGGCACUUCUACGGUGCAGUCAAGAAACUGACUUUUUUAAAAAAGUUGUUUUUUUUAGCCAAUAGAAUAAGUUGGUGGUGGACGGUAGCUGCUGUUUUUCGUCUUUUCUUGGUGGCUGUUUUCUGCUUGCUAACUGUUGUUCCUAGUUUAGGGGUUGUUCUGGCAGCAGCUGCUGCCUGUUUUCCUCUGGGCCAGCAACAUGUUGCUGUUGUUGGGAUCUUGUCAGUAGGCAAGAGUUUUAGCUUGUGUGGUGUGUGUAUGGGGUUAAGAUGUUGGCUUAUAUAUGGAACCUUUGUAAUUUUCCUUACGAUUUUGCAGCUUGUGCGUCUUGUACGGGUUUGCUUUUCAAUAAAAUUUGCUAAUUCAAAAAAAUAAAAAUAAAAAGUAAAAGAUUCAGAAUAAGGAUUAUGUUUGUGUUAGAUUUAUCAUAUUUUCACUUAAUUGUGUAUAUUCGACUACUUACUUGCAUUCGAAAAUACACAAAAAUCAAAUGACAUUAAAUUUGAGGUCGAAAUUUUGAAGUAAUUCUCAUGACUUCACCAGAAAAGUCAUUAUCAUGACUUCACCAUAGAAUUUUUCAAUUUUUGUUCGCACUAUAUUGUUCACUGACAAAUUUUUCUUAUUUAAAUGAACAAUAUUUGUUUGCAUUGUAUUUUUGGAAAAAGGACAAUAUUGCUUAUUUUUGAAAAAUUGUUCAUUUAACAUAAAUUUUUUGGAUAAAUUAAUUUAAAAUUGUCUCCGUAAACUUUAGUUCAGUUGGUAGGGACAAUGCAUAAUAUAUACAAGGGACAUGUUCGAAUCCCGAACACCCAGCUUCUCCGUAUUUAUAAUGUGUGAAUUCUAUCUACUAUACUACUUGACAAAAAGAAAAUGAUUUAUUUUAUGUGUAAUUUUUUUGGUAAUUUAACAACAUUCAUACCUUUUGUGCGGGUUUUUACCUUACCUAUUAGGUAUGAGUCCAAUUGUCAUUCAUAAUAAAAGUAUACGUAAAGAUCAAUAAUCAAACGGUCCUCGUGAGUUUAACUCAGUUGGUAUGGACAAUGCAUAAUAUAUGCAAGGUCCGGAGUUCAAAUCUCAGCCACCACAAAAAAAAAAAAAAAAAUUACAUUGUGUAUACUCCUUAUAAGGUGAAUUCUAACUACUAGACUACCUGACCAAUAAAAAAGAUCAAUAAUGAAACGAUUUGACUUACAAUUAAUUGGAUUAAUAUCAAAUCAAUUAGAAAUACCAAGUUUGAUUGAUGAUUGAAAUAAUUAUUACCAGAUUUUACUAUCUCCACAUCAAACCGCACAUUAUUCUUAAAACAAUAUUCUUAAAAUUAAAAAUAUGCAUCAUAAUCAUUAAUUUAUCUCCUUAAAAAAAAUCAUUAAUUUAUCAUUCUCUAAAACAAUAUUCUUUCAAUAAAAAAUAUGAAAGAUUUCUCCAUUCUCCCUUAUAUUUCUCACCCUUCAAAGUUCUCUCUUUUCCUCCCCUCCAAACUCCUAAAAAACCUAAGUGAUCGUGUUCGAUUAAGAUUCAUUGAUCCAAAGGAUAUGAAUUUCGUGAAAGAAGCUCAAAGAAUACUAUUUGAAAAAAAAAAUAUUAAAAGAAUUUAGUGAUAAAAGUAAAAUUAUACUUUUCCUUAUGAUUUAACUCUUUAAUUUGACUUUUUCAAUAGUAGAAGAAUUUGACAAGUGCAACAUUGUGACUCCAUUUCAAUUGUGGGAAGGAUAAAAUAUGAAAACAGGACAUCAACUGUGGGGAAGGAGAAUAGAAGACUAUAUAUGUGGUUGAAAAUCCAAGUACAAAAAGCAUUUGAAUGGACAUCCAUCUUGGAAGAUUAUUUAUCGACUGCAGAAAGCAAAAAAAAUGUUUAAUACCGAAGAUGACUUCUUUUUUUUAAUACAUGAGAAAAAGAAAAGUAAAAGAAAAAUGAAAAACUACUACUCCCUAAUAAAAGAGGCACCUAAAACUUCGCGAAGAAAUCUGCACAAGCAUUUCAUUUCCGAAGAAUAUCAUCAAGAGAAAUCAUACAAUCCAUACUCAGAUAAACCUUUAUACGCUCCAACAAAUUAGAAUACAUGCAAAUAGUCAUAGUAACAUACAAAAGACUUUAUUUCCGCUUUGUAACACAAAUUCUAAAUCUCAGCAUGAAGGAUAUUAGACCAACCAACACUCCCGUGGAGCCCAAAUAUGAAGCUUCCAUCUUGCCUUCUAAAGAGACAACCAAAGCCUGCAAACUCUAGAUUCGUCGGUGCACUUCCAUCUACAUUAAGGAUCACUGAGUCUUGAUUAACUCGUUGUCAAGAAACCUCUCGACAAGGUUUAAGAGCAUUUUACUCCUUAAUAUUACCAAAGCAGUUCUAGCCACUUGAGGUUGAGAUAAAAUAGUUGUUUUGCAUUAAAAUUCCCUUAAAUAAACAAAUUGACUAAAAAAUUAGAAGCCUUCGUUCAUCAAGCAACAUAAGUCAAAUCCACUCAUAUGUAGUUAAAUUUAAGCACGUACUUUUGACAGCAAAUACAUCAUGUUUGUUUAAGGCCAAACUGACAUUUGUGUUCAAGAAUUGCCUUUUGUUUCGCUCUCCAGGGUUGGGAUUCAAACUUUAGUUUGCUAUAUUGUGGAAGUCUAACUCUCUACACUAUACUCAACCUCUGUUGAUCAAAAAUUGUCUUUCUAUUUUAGAAAUUUUCAAUUUCUACUUGUUUUUUAUAUUUAUAAUUAUAAUUCAGUAAAAAAAAAAUAUCAAGUGUUUAUAACUAGUACUAAUUAAAUAAUUUUCAAACAAUAUAUAUACUACAAAUUAAAUGAGUUUGUUUGAAAAAAAAUUCAAUGAAUCUUUAUAGAACUUUUUAAUUUGAUUUUGUAUGCAAAACACUUGUACUGAACACACUUUACUAUAUGUGAUAGAAAGUAGAAUACAUAGUGCAAAGCAAAAGUGGAAAUUAAACACACUUUAUUAUAUGUGAAUAAGAGCUCCCAAAUACAGCAGUGAUGUUGUAGUAAUAGUAGUGCAGACAUAGAGACAAUAAUUAUACAUAAACCUAAUCAUCACAUUGAUGUUAUUGGAAAGCAAAAGUGCACAACAUAUAUGAGGAACCACACACAAUUUUUUCUAAAUAGAGAUACUGUUGGGAAUUCCUCUGAAUGUUAAACCUUCUUCACUUGAACGAAGUAGCAAAGUGUAGGGCAAUUGCACUGGUCCGGUGCGGUUUCUCAAACUAGACUCAUUGUUCCUCUUAGUGAUUUUCCCUUCAAUUUCAGUUAGUUUGCUUCCAAACUUUUGGAAAGCUUGAACUGCCCUUGUAUCAGAUGUCCAAAACUUGUUAUUAUUCUCUCCAAGAUACACUUCAUCGGACGCAUGUCUUGACAAUAUCUCGAUCACAGAAAGAUCAACAAGGGUUUGAUACUUUGGUGUAAUAGUUCUCAAAUACGCCUUUUGAGGACUUUUCACCAUCUCAUCGUAUUCCGGAGUUCCUGGCUCCGGAAUAAAUCUUCUACUAAUUGUUGGACGGUUCAGGAUAUAUCCUCCGUAAGGAUAUUGUCCGAAAUUAACAGCUGCAUGAAGAGCAGAAGCAGUCCAUAUAAUAAUGGAGCAAGAUUGAACCAAGUCUUGAACAGUUUGCAUCUUAGGCCACCAUGGCUUGUCUUUCAAGUCACCGUGACCCUUUUCUACAGCUUCCUUCCACCAUUUUUGAAUUUCAGUGUCUUUUUGCACCGCCUCAUCUGUUGGAUAGUAUAAGGAGACAUAGUCUUGGACCCAUGCCUUAAUAGCAUCCCAUAUUUCUAGUCCAUCAACAGCAUAAGGGUAGUCCUCUAUCACAAGUCGAAGGCCGUGAGGGGAAGAGGGAUCCUCAACAGCUAAUCCUCUGAAUCAAACAAACAAUAUGUUAUCAAUGCCAAUUAACAAGUUGUCCUAACUUUUUAUGUAGUAAUAUACAUUUACUGUUACCAAUAAUUGCAGAACUUUUGAAUUAAAUUAUUUACACAUUUUAUCAUUGUUUAACAUGAAGAAAGUGUUAUUUUCUAUUUUCAAUUUAAAUUUUAGGAAAGGCAAUGAUGACAAUCAAAAUGACUAGAUUAUGGUUUCCAAUAUUAGAUGGGAAAAUCUUGAUCUUUAUCUGUCGAAAUUAUAUGUUCUCGUGAGUCUUGGUGAAAAAUUACCUCUUGAUAAGAUCAGCUGGUAAUGCUUGAUCAGUGAAAACCCAAUUCUUGUAAACUGCAGAAGAAAUCUCAAUGGAAUUUGGUCCUGGACAAAAUGUUUGCUCUAUAAUGCCGCCAGCAUUGAUUAGAGCUUGUCGAGCAAGUCCAUUGAUAUUUAUUGUGUCACGGUAAUGGGGGAAUAAAAGCUUAUUAAUCGGGUGAAGUACACUUAGAUGUCUAUUUGUUGCUAUGAUGAAUGGUUCCAUCACUGCAUGAGUAUUCAACCUGCAAUGUCGUGCAUUUUCUUAUUAAUAAUUGCGGUAUACAUUAUCUCUUGGCCAAUGCAGGUGUAGCUAUGCAGAGUACGUAACUAUGUCUGCAUCGGCCAAGGGUUAUGUAUUAUAUAUAGAGAUAGAAUGAAUUUAUUUUGUAGAUAUAGCUAUGAAGAAUUCAUACCAAUGGCUCAUGAGUUGAUGAUAGCAUGAGUCAUUUACAAUUACAUGAGCCUUUGCCAACAUCCAAAUUGUACUUUCAACACCUUCAUGUGCAGGCAAGAAUACUUUGCUUUCAGCACCAUAUUGGACCCCAUUUGAGUGUGGCAAGCUUAAUUCGAUGGCUAAUGGCUUCAAAGUCCCAUCAUCUUGCAAAAACAAGAUUGUCCUUGUAGCAUAAGCUUUUGCAUUUAAAUUUAUCCUCUCCAAAUAUGGCAUGAAUGCAUCAUGGUAAUCUAAGAGGAAUAAUCUCUUUCCAUCAAGUGCCUGUUCCACAAAAUUAAUUUCAAUCACAUUAUUUCAUAAAUUUUGAUUGAUUUACAAGCCAAUGAGUUUGAUUGAAACAUGUUCAUAUCAUUACCUCUUCUACUGUGAUAUCACCAAGAUUAGUCUCUAAGUGUUCUUUUGUUAUUGUGCUAUUUUGAUCACCAUAGACAGUGGCAUCUAGUGUGCUUUUUGGUGGGAACUCCUGUUAUAUCAGAAAAUAAUUUAUACAAAGAAAUAUGUGAAUAUUUGAAUAUUGAUAACAAAAUACAUAUUUUAGCAGAUAUUAAUACAAUUGGUACUUACUUGAAGAAGACGAAUCACAUUAGGAUUUACACCAGCAAGCAUCUCUCUUCCAAAUUCUUCAUCAGUAUUCCAUGCAGACUUGCUAACUACACAACAACAAAGAAAAUAAUGUGAAAUUUGAUUAAUCUAAAAUACAUCAGUUUACAAAUAAUGUGACAACAAUGAUCAUUUUACGACUGUCUCCUGAGAAAAAAAUACGAGUUUUAUGUUGUUUGAUAUGCUAAUACUAUAAUAUGUGAGUGUGACGAACAUGUUAACUAUAGGUAGGUGGUUUGAUUAAGAUGAAUAAAGUACCUCUAAUUACUUGAGGUGGUGGAAACUUAAGGGCUUGUUCACCGUCUGUGCGGAGGAUUUCCUUAAGGGCUGGCAAGGGGCUGAUUUGGCUGAGUAUAUCUGUAGGAAGCUUAAUUCCACCUUCGAAAAGUCCACGCACUUCAUCGAAGCUAUCAAACUCAUUCGGGGUGAAAUUCAGAUCAAAAAUUACAGAUUGUAACAAAGGCAAAACGUCUUGUGACAAUGACUUUAUUCCAUACAUAAGAAAGUCUGAUGACUUCAAGUGACCAAAAUUUUCAUCUCUUGGAACAUAAAUGGCACCAGGUUUCUCACUCUUAAGAUCUGUUAAGAAUCAUAUAACAUAAAACCAAUUAGAACGUUCAUAUAAAAUAGACAUGUUAAAUUUACUAACCGUUACUUUGGUAGUGAACCAACCUUUUCUAGUUGGUUUUCUACCAGUUCUAACCCUACGAGGGUAGGGAUGGGUGCUAGAUCCUCCAAGGAUUGGACGAACAAGGGCGUCGCCACCAUCAGGAUUUCCGAGAUCAUUAUAAACAUCAUAAUCGUAUAUCCUAUCCCAUUCUUUGCGUUCUCCGGUUCCAUCUCCUCUUAGAUUCUGCAACUCUUCUUCUCUAAAGUGAUUUAAUGGAGCUGGUGUUUGACUUGGAAGAUACGCCUGUAAUAAAUUCAAUUUACCUUUAUUUUCUUAUCAAAAAAAUGUUAAUAAUUAAUUGUUAGAUUAAUUUUUUUAUAGGUUUAUGGUCAUAUAAAAUUCAAAGCUUACAUCAUUGGUGAAGAAGAUGCGAUUGUUUUUGUAGCUUUUGAAGUUGUAAACCCAUGAAUUACAAUCAAAUUGAACACUUCCACGAUUAGGAAUAUCUUCAAGGGUCACCCUAACAAGGAAGAACUCAGCUUGUGUAUAAUUUCUUAUGUAAAAUGCUCCUGGGAUUCCAAAGUUAGCAUCAUAUUCAAAGAAAAUACUGAAUGCAUCUUGUCUUGCUCCCAAAGUUGGUAAUUGAGGAAGAUGUUUGCUCAAAAAUGUUUCCUUUCCAACUAGUCCCUUUCCACUUGCUACAAAAUUAAAAUAACAGAUAUGAAAUUAUUUCAAAAAAUAAAUAUUUUUAUUGGUAGAAACCAAUAUCCCAAUAAAUAAAUAUAAGCAUGAUCUCGUGAUCUAAAAUAAUCACUAAAAAGGGACAGUUAAGUAAAUAAUAUAGUCUAUUAAUGUCAAAUUCAAGAACAUCUGGACCAUAAAGAAAAUGAACACAUCAUGAUCUGCCACUUGUUUAUGUUCAAUUAGUGGAAAAACAAUGACAAGGCACCAAUUAUAUAAUCUAACGCGUCAGCACUUAUUUACCCAAAAUAUUAUUUUAUUGUUUUAUUUUUAUCUCAAUAUAUAUUUUAAUACUCUGUACAUUGGAAUUUGGUUGGAUAUAUAUGUCAUUUAAUCAUUCAUUAAUGUAACAUUCUUUUUAUAUUUAAUCAUUUCAUAAUAAAUAAUAAAUUUUAAUUUUGAUUUACUUUUGCAUACAAGCACUAUAACAUCUAACUAUACGUGUAUUUGGAUUGAGGGUUUGGGAGAAAAAGGGAGGGGAAGACUCACUUUUAUUUUUUUAAAUUACGAAUAAUGUAAAAUAUUUUUUUUAAAAUAUAUUAAGUGUUUUUGAAGUAUUAUAUGAUUACUUAUCAUGUUAUUAAUUCAAUUUUCUAAAAAUCAUUUUAUAAUGAUUGUAAUUUAAAAAGGAAAAGCAAGUCCUCCCCUUCCUUCCCCUUCUAAACAAACUCUCAAUCCAAACCCACCAUAAAUAGCUCAUGUAGUAUUUUCCUCUAAAAAAAAAAAAAAAAAAAACUAUUCUCAUUUCUUUUCUUUCUAAAAAGUCUAGCAGCUAAAUAUCCACAAACACCCUUAAUGCUGAAAAAUAAGAAACUGCAAGUUUAGAUCUGCAAAUCAACAUUAUCAUAUGUUUAUGGACUUUUUACAAUCUCAAAUAUACUUAUAAGAUAAACUAAUUGGUUCCUCAAUAUUUUUUUAACUAUUGCUUUCUGUUUCAAAAAGAAUGUGUAGAAUAAGAUAAUAAAAAGAGUUAAAAUUGUCAUAGGAAGAUAAAUUAUUUCAUUGGCAUGGAACGUAGAGAAUAAUUUUUAUAUGAUUUUUUCUUUUUUGAUAGUCGUAUUCACAGUUGAUUAUUAUUAACAACAUGAAGGCCAUGGUCAUGGUGGGGUCAGUUAGCUAGCAUAUUGAAUAAAUGUGUGGGGAUUCCAAAAACACAUAAAGUUAAAUAUGUCUCUCUAUAGAUUCAGAUAGAUUACGAAAGAUAAUGAAUCAGUUUGAAUAAUUGAAGUAUAUUUUGGAACAACUUGAAUAAUUGAAGAUAGAGAACAAACCAUCAGUCUUUGUAGCACUAAUCAACUGCAUAGAGACAUUACGGCCUAAGAAGGCAGUGGCAGUGUCAACAACUCCACCAACAAUGCUGGUGACUCCUCCGAUCAAAUUUCCGGCAGCGUCGAGGACACCGCCUUUACCGAUGGACGUUAUGGCGUUGAAGUCCAAAACAUUUUUGGGCAUCAACACCACAGUCCCCUUGAUUUUUUGGCCCUUGUCAAAGAUGCCAAACAUGUUUGCUAACUCUUUAUGUAUCAACAAAUUAACACUUAAUAUUUGAUGUAGUAGAGUAGAGAAAGAAGCUUGAUGAGGUUUAUGAGGAAGUCAUGUAUUUAUAGAUGGAAUAUAAUGUAUACACCAGCUGCAAUAAAUUUUUUAAUCAGAAGCUGUGCUAUUCGUGCCAAACGUGGAAUAUAAAAUAUGAAUUAAUCAUAACAAUGAUAUUUUUUAUUAUUAUAACAAUACGGUAGGUAUGAAAGUAUUCACAAGAUCACUGAUUUAGAUGGAGAAAAUCUGUUGGUCACACAAACAAAGUAGCUCUCUUAUUCUAAUUGAGUUUUUUUUUUUUUUUUUUGGUAUAUGUAAAAGAAAGAGGUUAAAUCUUUAAUGUGUAUUAAUCCAUUUAGACUUGGACCAAUCAAUUAUAGGUGAGAUUGAUGGAACCAAUCAAUUUUGGGUCAAGUAGGACAAUGACAUGAAAUCUCAUAGCAGCUCACUCCCCGAAUGUGGAUGAAACCGAUUUCUUCUCCACACUGGGAGGAGACACCGAUCCAGGCACCUCUGGUCCAUCCAAAAACCCUUUUUUUUAACCGAAUUCUUCCCUCAUGAGUGGAAGGAACCGAUUUCUUCUCCAUAUUGGACACUAAGACUACACUAGGAGGAGACACCAAUCCAGGCACCUCUAGUCCAUCCAAAAACCCUUGAUUACCGGUUGGCACCUCCAGAAGCACAACAUCUCCAACUCUCGUAGUCGGUACCCUGCUCGCGCUGAUUGCGAGGUAGAAAACCUACUUCACACGUGAGUAUCACUUCUUUCUUCAAAAUGCCUCAAUUUUACAUUGAUUUCCAUUAAAAUAUCAAUUUCAAAUUUCCUUCGACAAUUAAUAUAAUGUGUAGGUUGAAAGAAACUUGCAAAGGAAGUUUUAAGUUAGUAAAAAGACAUGGCAAACAUGAAGCAUAGAAGUUAGUUCAUUUCUUUUGCUAUUAAUUGGGGGUUUGUUCUCCUCCAUGCGGAGUAGUUCAUUUCCAUUUAGUAAACUUGCCUAAUAGAUUAUACAUUUGUUCACAUAAAAUAAACAUUUAACUAGUUGUUGAUCAAAUAAUGUAUCUUUGUUAAUAAUAAUAUCAUUUCUUUUUAAUUUUUGUUGUUGCUUUUCUUCAUUUUUAUACUAAAUCAUUUUGUUCUUAUAUUCAUCUUCAUGUGUUUGUUUCUUGCUCUGCAAGUCUAAACUUGAAACAUAAACCUAUUAACUAAGAACCCCGUAAGAAUUUAAUGUCCUAGAUCAAUCAUCAAGUUUAUGUGUGUUGAAGAGAUAUUUAUCCCUAUCAACAAACACAUUAUUAUAUUCGAAUGAAAACACCCAAAUACAAUAGUAGUACACACAUAGAAACAACAAUUAUAAAUAGACAAUCAUCAUAUUCACAUCGAUGUACAUCGAUGUUAUUGGAAAGCGAAAAUGCACAAUAGAUAAGAAAUAAUCCACACAGACUUUUUUUUUCUUUCUAAAUAGAGAUACUGUUGGGAAUUCCUCUAAAAGUUAAACCUUCUUCACUUGAACGAAGGAGCAAAGUGUAGGGCAAUUCAACUGGUCCAGUGCGGUUUUUCAAACUAGAAUCUUUGUUCCUCCCGUGGAUUUUCCCUUCAAUUUCAGAUAGUUUGCUUCCAAACUUUUGGAAGGCUUGAACUGCCCUUGUAUCAGAUGUCCAAAACUUGUCAUUCCUCUCUCCGAGAUACACCUCAUCAGAAGCAUGUCUUGACAAUAUCUCAAUCACAGAAAGAUCAAU